ACUACCGAUGGAGUACGGUCCAGUAAAAGUUGUACAACGCCCCAAUAAAAGGGGGAACUGUGCUUGAAAACAUUGAUCACACGAUACUCCAGAGUCGACAUGCGUAUAGGUCAUCCAGAAUUCAGACACCAUUUUCUUGGGACAUCAACUGCGGUGUUAUAUUACAGCACAACAGGUAGAGCUACAGAUAACGAGACGGUCUUCUGCAGAAGACAUAUCCCCAGCACGAGGGGGUCGUCGUUACCACCAGAGCAAAACAUCAGGAAACAAAAAAAUAAAUACAAUACCCACUAGAUCGACUGGACAUGCCUCCUAUUGCAGAUACCGCGGGUGUAAGGUGGUGUGAGAUGUACAUUACAUGGUCUGUUUAUCCUGCCUCAGUUGUGGACGUCGCCCUUCCGUUUCGUGGUGGUGCUUCGGGGCCGAGCUGACCUGUUGUUGGUCCUUGGCAGCUGCCUGUCCUCCUGCUCUUGCUUAGCGUCUAACAUCUCCGAUGAAACAUCCAUGGUAGUUUCUAGCCAUGGUGUGCGCUUGGCGGGAACAAGAACAACGACCUCCAGAGGUGGCUCAAUCACCCACCUGCAAAGAAGAAUUUAAGUUAUUACAGCCUAAAAAUGGAUAAUUUCAACUUAGGUUAUUACAGCCUAAAGAAGAAUAAAAAUGAGCAUUCUUAAUACAGAAGAGAAGGAAAAAUCUAAGCAAACAAAUCUGAUAAUCAGAGUUGAUAAGUUAGCAGAAUCUUAUACUAUUUGACUGCAGUGAAAUUCAGAGUUUUUCUCAAGACCUUUUAUUCCUCAAGUCUCUCAGAAGGAGGGCUCUCUACUGCACAUGGUUUUGGUAACCAAGACUAACAUGAGGAAUGGGUCUUUUUCUUCCGCCUAACUGAUUUGAGGAAAUGUUCUUAAACGGUUGAACCAUUCAGUUUGACGGUGCUAAACUACAUGACAACAUAGGGUGCAAAAUUAUAUAUUGAAACAUUCUUUGUUCUACUGUCGGCAUAUGGCACCAUGCCAGUGGAAGAGGUCAGUCUGAAAUAUUUACAUAAAAAUAGACAGAUAUUGCAGCUACAAAAUACUUAAUUUUUACACUGGUCCUAAUGCGUGCCGAAGAAUUGGUCGCUAGAAAAUGAAUUGUGCACAUGCUACUAUGCAGAACUGUUUGGUGCAACCUGCGCUGAGCAAUUUCACUAAAAUGGAGAGUUAAAACUAUAGUAGUACAACACAAGAUGUAACAGGGACAUUUCUGUCGGAGUAAUGUGCCACGGGUAGGCUGACCCGAGCCCCAGAACCUUUCAAGACAUCGGGGCAGGCCGCGCCCCUCAAAGCCGAGUCUCAGAUGACGACUCCCAGAUGGCCGAGUCUCAGAUGACGACUCCCAGAUGGGCCGAGUCUCAGAUGGCGACUCUCAGAUAAGCCGAGUCUUAGAUGACGACUCCCAGAUGGCCGAGUCUCAGAUGACGACUCCCAGAUGGGCCGCGUCUCAGAUGGCGACUCCCAGAUAAGCCGACUCAUGGCUGGCGACUUCCGGAGGAGCCGGCUAUGGAAAGUCGGCCCACGACUCUACACUCAUUACAAUAGACGGGACGGGUACGACCACGACGUGGCCGUCACCUCCUGCUUGCGAGGAGCCGGCAUGGCUACAGUGCGCCGUACCGCCGGAGAUCUCCGGCGUGGCCCAGCACUGUAGCCAUGCUAGACCUGACCUCAGCCACAGUGCGCAGCGCACUGUGGCCACGAUGGCCUGCCUAUACAGCUCGGGGACGGCGGACCCGCCAGUCAGUGGGAGCAUAGAAGACGGCGGAUACGCCCCGAAGGCGGCCCCGUGGGAGUUGGCUCCCCGGAGUCGGCCAGCCUCUCCCACGGGUCCCACGUGCCAUUAACCAGACAAGAUGGGGAGUAACGACAGUGAUCGCCCGAUAGACGGCGGCACUGUUGCCACGACCGAAUGACCAAGCCUGCGUCACCAGAAGCACGACUACAGUGCCGGACUCGCCGGCGGGGCCCGCAAGUCGGCGGGCCCCAUCAGUCGGCAGAGAAGACGGCGACCUGUGAGACAGACGGCUGGGACCCGCGCCCAGCCGGAUUACCAUUGUACCCCCGGGGGGUAGGCCUAUAUAACCCCCCCGGGACACCCAUGCAAAGGGUUCGAUCCAUGAGCCUUAGACCAGACCACAUAGGAAGAAGAAGGCUAGCCUUGCCUCCUUCCACCUCUAGAAUACAGCUCUAGGAGCAACCUUGUACUCACUACGCCUUAGUGAUCAUGCGGAGACCCCGCAGAGCAGCAGUAGGGGUGUUAUCUCCCCGGAGAACCCCGAAGCUGGGUAAGAUUCACCGGCGUGCAUGCCUUCGCCUAAUCCCGUUUCCUGGCACCGGCGACGUUCUACUCGCUCCCACCAUGAUAAGCCAUCCUUUGGCAUAUGUCGCACCCAACCCCUGACAUUUGGCGCCCACCGUGGGGCGAGGUGCACCGUCGUCCGGAGACCUGCUUUGGACGGAAACCCUUUUCCUCCCCGGCGAGCGUAGCCAGCCCGGCACGCCCGACGGCGCUUGCCCUGAGGCGCUGCAAAGCGUCAACGACGCCUGCGCGGCGAGCUGCCUCGCUGACCUCCUCGGCGAGGUUAGCAUCUCCGACGAGCCUGCAUCCAAUGCGGGCACGGGCGGCCCCGAAAGCCUCCUCGCGGGCCUCCUCGACCAUCUCCACGUCGCCGGCGAGCCUGCCGUGGACUUGGAGUCCGUAGGCUCCACCGACUCGAUGCUGGUCGACUCCGACGGCGUGUCGCUCGACACGUUCCCCUCCAACGUGGUGAUCUAUGAUGAGCCGCUCCCUCGCGAGGCGAGCGACGGAAGCGCCAUCACGGAAGUGCUCGUCAUCAGUCAUGGUGAGCACUCCGGUGAAGGAGCUCAUGACCCGCUCGACGCGGCUCUGCGAGACCUGACGGCGCCCAUUCUGGAGGACGCUUACGCCGAGAUGCUGGAGGCACGCCGCCUUCAGCUUGUCGAAGGCGCGAAGAAGCUGGCAAGCAUGAGACGCUUGUCGGAGGCCUACCAGCAUGAGAUGGAUCGCGUUGUGGGCGGCUCGCCAGCGCCGACUGGGCCUAGCCGCCUAGGCACGGUCCGACAACGCGGCGCGGCCGUCGCCAACCUGUUCGGGGCCGAUCGCCCCGUAUAUGCCACGCCUGCGGAGAACAUCCGUGCCGCCCAGGCGGCAGCAGAUGAGCUGGACAACUUCGAAGGCGAAGAGCGCCGCCUAAUGACCGAGCGAGUCCAGCGACUCCUCAAAGCGGCUGCCGCACAGAACGAAGCCGGCUGCCGCACGGAGGCGCCGCAGCGACAAAAUGACGACUUACCUCCCCGCCGAGAUCAAGGCGCGACGUCUCGGACGCCGACUGGCGGAGUCCGCGGAAGAAAAGAGAAGGAUCCAGCUAUCAACCACAGUCGGACUCGCAUCACCAUCGAGCGCGACCAAGACGGCCGCCCAAGAGCAGUGCUGCGGCAGGGCGACUACCUACCUCCCCCACCACGAAGGGAAAGACGAGUCUCCCCACCGCCUAUCGAGCAUCCGACUCUCGGCGACCGCCUCGGCCGUCGAGAGGGAGUCGGAGAGAACGACGCUCGCCACCGGAUCGAUCGACUCCACCGACCCCUGGCGCUGGAAGAAGAAGACGAGCUGGGUCCACCCUGCUUUGGGCCCCGCAUCUGAGAUGAGCCCUUCCCCAAAGGGUUCACACUCCCCCGAAACACGCCCAAAUACACCGGCUCCGUGAAGCCAGAAGAUUGGCUAGUCGACUACUCCACAGCCGUCAACAUAGCAAACGGCAACAAGCGUAUUGCCGUGAAGUACGUUCCGCUAAUGCUCCAGGGCACAACGCGGACAUGGUUGAACAGUUUGAAGCCCCGCAGCAUCAACAGCUGGGUCGACUUCACCGAAGCUUUCAUCCGCAACUUCACCAGCACGUACAAGCGGCCUCCCAAGCCACGACAACUCUCCUUGUGCGUGCAAGGCCAAGACGAGUCGACACGUGACUACCUCACGCGAUGGGGCGAGCUUCGGAACUCCUGCGAGGGUGUGGACGAGGUGCAGGCUAUCGAGUACUUCACCGCCGGGUGCAGAGAAGGCACCCUCCUCAAGCACAGGCUCCUCUACGACGAGCCCGAGACCCUCGACGAGUUGCUGGUCAUUGCAGACAAAUAUGCCACAGCCGACUCCUCCAUGAAGACAGAAAUUCAAGCUAGUGCGACUGGCAAAGUGGCCCCUCAGGCUCCCAGAACUCCGGCUGGAGAUACCAGCCGGGCGACAGCAGCAGAAUGAUCACAAGCGCAAGGCCUCGCAGCCGACUUCCAGCAGUCGGCAGGUCGCGACAGUCGAAGACCAACAGCCUGAGGGGCAGCCUCCAGCGAAGCGGCAGAAAGGCGGCAAGUCCAACUGGUUGCCGGCCUUCUCUUACGAGCAGACUCUGGAUGGUCCCUCCAAGUUUCAUAGCGGCGCGAAGCCGUCAAACCAUACCACCCGGAAAUGCCACUGGCUCACCAGAAUCGCCAAGGGAGACGGCCUCCUUCCUCCACCGCAUGUUGGGCCGCCACCUCCACAGCCGCCCCAGCAGCCGGCGGCCAGGCCAGUCGGCACCGUACAAGAUGAAUACCCCGAAGAACAUGGAGCUUAUGUAGUGUUCACCAGUAUGGCUGAUGAUCGACGCAGCAGACGAUUGCAGCAGCAAGAAGUAAACGCAGUAGCAUCAUAUACUCCGGAGUUUAUGCAUUGGUCCGAGAAUCCUAUCAGUUGGAGCAGAGCAGAUCACCCAGAGGUGAUGCCGAAUCCGGGCUCCUACGCCUUGGUUCUGAGUGUACCUUGGCCACUGAUAGGCGUGCCGCUCGCUUCUCGCGAGUGUUGAUAGACGGAGGCAGCAGCAUCAACAUCCUGUACAAUGAUACCAUGGAGAAAUUAGGGAUCAAGCAGAAACAGCUUCAAAGCAGCCGAACUGUUUUCCAUGGCAUUGUGCCUGGCCUUUCCUGCUCCCCAAUCGGCAAGAUCCAGAUAGGCAUCCUCUUCGGAGACAAAGAUCAUUUUUGCCGAGAGCCAGUCUGGUUCGAAGUGGUGGACCAUGAAAGCACAUACCAAGCGUUGCUUGGUCGACCUGCUUUAGCCAAAUUCAUGGCGGUCCCCGACUACGCCUACCUCAAGAUGAAGAUGCCGAGUUCAAAGGGUAUUCUGACCGUGGCUGGCGACUACCGGAAGUCGUCCGCCUGCGUGGCCGAGAGCAGUCGGCUUGCCGAGUCCCUGGUGGUCGCAGCUGAAAGGCGGCUCCUUGACCGGGUUGUGGCGAUGUCCGGCAAGCAGCUAGAGAUGUCGCCCGACCCCAAGGAGUCGGAAGCUGAGGGUUCGUUCAAGCCGGCUAAAGAAACAAAGAGGAUACCUAUGGACCUGGAGCACCCGGAGAAGCACGCUGUCAUAGGUGCAAACCUAGACAGCAAAUAGGAAGGCGAGCUCGUCGAUUUCCUCCAUGAGAAUCGAGACAUCUUUGCAUGGUCCCCCAAAGACAUGCCCGGUGUACCCACGGAAUUCGCCGAGCACAAGCUACAUGUCCGAUCUGAUGUGAAGCCCGUCAGGCAGCCCUUGCGUCGCCUGUCAGAAGAGAAAAGAAGAGUUGUUCGAGAAGAGAUAGCCCGACUCCUAGCGGGCGGCUUCAUUAUGGAGGUUUUCUUUCCAGAAUGGCUGGCGAACCCGGUCCUAGUGUUGAAGAAGAACAAGGAGUGGCGGAUGUGUAUCGACUAUACAAGCCUCAACAAAGCUUGCCCCAAAGAUCCAUUUGCUCUGCCAAGAAUUGACCAGGUGAUAGACUCCACAGCCGGAUGCGAGCUAUUGAGCUUCUUAGAUGCAUAUUCGGGAUAUCACCAGAUCAAGCUGAACCCGGCAGACAGACUGAAGACUGCUUUCAUCAUGCCAUUUGGAGCCUUCUGCUACCUGACUAUGUGUUGGGGAACGUUGCAGAAAACAAAAAAUUUCCUACUCGUUUCACCAAGAUCAUCUAGGAGUUCAUCUAGCAACGAGUGAUUAGAUGCAUCUACAUACCUUUGUAGAUCGCGAGCGGAAGCGUUCAAAAGAACGGUGAUGAUGUAGUCGUACUCGACAUGAUCCAAAUCACCGAUGACCAGCGCCGAACGGACGGCACCUCCGCGUUCAACACACGUACGGAACAGCCACGUCUCCUCCUUCUUGAUCCAGCAAGGGAGGGAGGAGAGGUUGAGGGAGAUGGCACCAGCAGCAGCACGACGGCGUGGUGUUGAUGGAGCUGCAGUACUCCGGCAGAGCUUCGCUAAGCACUAUGGAGGUGGAGGAGGUGUUGGGGAGGGAGAAGGAGGCAACCAAAGGCCAAGGCGUUCAGGUAUGAAGUCCCUCCUCUCCCCCACUAUAUAUAGGAGGGCCAAGGGGGGGUGGCCGGCCCUAGGAGAUCCAAUCUCCUAGGGGGUGCGGCGGCCAAGGGGGGUUUCCCUCCCCCCCAAGGCACCUAGGAGGUGCCUUCCCCUCCUAGGACUCUUUCCCCCUUAAACCCUAGGCGCAUGGGCCUAUGUGGGGCUGGUGCCCUUGGCCCAUUAGGCCAAGGCGCACCCCCUACAGCCCAUGUGCCCCCCCCGGGACAGGUGGACCCACCCGGUGGACCCCCGGGACCCUUCCGGUGGUCCCGGUACAAUACCGAUAACCCCGAAACUUGUCCCGAUGCCCGAAACAGGACUUCCCAUAUAUAAAUCUUUACCUCCGGACCAUUCCGGAAAUCCUCGUGACGUCCGGGAUCUCAUCCGGGACUCCGAACAACAUUUGGGUUACUGCAUAUACAUAUCCCUACAACCCUAGCGUAACUGACCCUUAAGUGUGUAGACCCUACGGGUUCGGGAGACAAGCAGACAUGACCGAGACGACUCUCCGGUCAAUAACCAACAGCGGGAUCUGGAUACCCAUGUUGGCUCCCACAUGCUCCACGAUGAUCUCAUCGGAUGAACCACGAUGUCGAGGAUUCUAUCAACCCCGUACGCUAUUCCCUUUGUCUAUCGAUAUGUUACUUGCCCGAGAUUCGAUCGUCGGUAUCCCAAUACCUCGUUCAAUCUCGUUACCGGCAAGUCACUUUACUCGUACCGUAAUGCAUGAUCCCGUGACCAGACACUUGGUCACUCUGAGCUCAUUAUGAUGAUGCAUUACCGAGUGGGCCCAGUGAUACCUCUCCGUCAUACGGAGUGACAAAUCCCAGUCUUGAUCCAUGUCACCCAACAGACACUUUCGGAGAUGCCCGUAGUCUACCUUUAUAGUCACCCAGUUACGUUGUGAUGUUUGGCAUACCCAAAGCACUCCUACGGUAUCCGGGAGUUACACGAUCUCAUGGUCUAAGGAAAAGAUACUUGACAUUGGAAAACUCUAGCAAACGAACUAUACGAUCUUGUGCUAUGUUUAGGAUUGGGUCUUGUCCAUCACAUCAUUCUCCUAAUGAUGUGAUCUCGUUAUCAAUGACAUCCAGUGUCCAUAGUCAGGAAACCAUGACUAUCUGUUGAUCAACGAGCUAGUCAACUAGAGGCUCACUAGGGACAUGUUGAUGUCUGUUAUUCACACAUGUAUUACGAUUUCCGGAUAACACAAUUAUAGCAUGAAUAAAGACAAUUAUCAUGAACAAGGAAAUAUAAUAAUAAUGCUUUUAUUAUUGCCUCUAGGGCAUAUUUCCAACAGUCUCCCACUUGCACUAGAGUCAAUAAUCUAGUUACAUUGUGAUGAAUCGAACACCCAUGGAAUUCUGGUGCUGAUCAUGUUUUGCUCUAGGGAGAGGUUUAGUCAACGGAUCUGCUACAUUCAGGUCCGUAUGUACUUUACAAAUCUCUAUGUCUCCAUCUUGAACAUUUUCACGAAUGGAGUUGAAGCGACGCUUGAUGUGCCUUGUCUUCUUGUGAAACCUGGGCUCCUUGGCAAGUGCAAUAGCUCCAGUGUUGUCACAGAAGAGCUUGAUCGGCCCCGACGCAUUGGGUAUGACUCCUAGGUCGGUGAUGAACUCCUUCACCCAUAUUGCUUCAUGUGCUGCCUCCGAGGCUGCCAUGUACUCCGCUUCACAUGUAGAUCCCGCCACGACGCUUUGCUUGCAACUGCACCAGCUUACUGCCCCACCAUUCAAAAUAUACACGUAUCCGGUUUGUGACUUAGAGUCAUCCAGAUCUGUGUCGAAGCUAGCGUCGACGUAACCCUUUACGACGAGCUCUUCGUCACCUCCAUAAACGAGAAACAUUUCCUUAGUCCUUUUCAGGUACUUCAGGAUAUUCUUGACCGUUGUCCAGUGUUCCUUGCCGGGAUUACUUUGGUACCUUCCUAUCAAACUUACGGCAAGGUUUACAUCAGGUCUGGUACACAGCAUGGCAUACAUAAUAGAACCUAUGGCUGAGGCAUAGGGGAUGACGCUCAUCUCUUCUAUAUCUUCUGCCGUGGUCGGACAUUGAGCUGAGCUCAAUUUCAUACCUUGCAACACAGGCAAGAACCCCUUCUUGGAUUGAUCCAUAUUGAACUUCUUCAAUAUCUUAUCAAGGUAUGUGCUUUGUGAAAGACCUAUGAGGCGUCUCGAUCUAUCUCUAUAGAUUUUGAUGCCUAAUAUAUAAGCAGCUUCUCCAAGGUCCUUCAUUGAAAAACUUUUAUUCAAGUAGGCCUUGAUGCUGUCCAAGAGUUCUAUAUCAUUUCCCAUCAAAAGUAUGUCAUCUACAUAUAAUAUGAGAAAUGCUACAGAGCUCCCACUCACUUUCUUGUAAACGCAGGCUUCUCCAUAAGUCUGUGUAAACCCAAAUGCUUUGAUCAUCUCAUCAAAGCGAAUGUUCCAACUCCGAGAUGCUUGCACCAGCCCAUAAAUCGAGCGUUGGAGCUUGCACACUUUGUCAGCAUUCUUAGGAUCGACAAAACCUUCCGGCUGCAUCAUAUACAAUUCUUCCUUAAGGAAACCAUUAAGGAAUGCGGUUUUGACGUCCAUUUGCCAUAUUUCGUAAUCAUAGAAUGCGGCAAUUGCUAACAUGAUUCGGACGGACUUCAGCUUUGCUACCGGUGAGAAAGUCUCAUCGUAGUCAACCCCUUGAACUUGUCGAUAACCCUUAGCGACAAGCCGAGCUUUAUAGAUGGUCACAUUACCAUCCGCGUCUGUCUUCCUCUUAAAGAUCCAUUUAUUUUCUAUGGCUCGCUGUUCAACAGGCAAGUCAGUCAAAGUCCAUACUUCGUUUUCAUACAUGGAUCCUAUCUCGGAUUUCAUGGCUUCUAGCCAUUUGUCGGAAUCCGGGCCCGCCAUCGCUUCUUCAUAGUUCGAAGGUUCACCGUUGUCUAACAGCAUGAUUUCCAAGACAGGGUUGCCGUACCACUCUGGUGCGGAACGUGUCCUUGUGGACCUUCGAAUUUCAGUAGGGGCUUGAUCAGAAGUAUAUUGAUCAUUAAUUUCCUCUCCAGUCGGUGCAGGCACCUCAGGAACAUUUUCUUGAGUUGCGCCAUUUUCCGGCUCAAGAGGUAAUACUUCAUCAAGCUCUACUUUCCUCCCACUUACUUCUUUCGAGAGAAACUCUUUCUCCAGAAAGGACCCAUUCUUGGCAACAAAGAUCUUGCCUUCGGAUCUGAGGUAGAAGGUGUACCCAAUAGUUUCUUUUGGGUAUCCUAUGAAGACGCAUUUUUCCGACUUGGGUUCGAGCUUUUCAGGUUGAAGUUUCUUGACAUAAGCAUCGCAUCCCCAAACUUUUAGAAACGACAGCUUAGGUUUCUUCCCAAACCAUAAUUCAUACGGUGUCGUCUCAACGGAUUUCGACGGAGCCCUAUUUAAAGUGAAUGCGGCAGUCUCUAAAGCAUAGCCCCCAAAAGAAAGUGGUAAAUCGGUAAGAGACAUCAUAGAUCGCACCAUAUCUAACAGAGUGUGAUUACGACGUUCGGACACACCAUUACGCUGAGGUGUUCCAGGCGGCGUGAGUUGUGAAACUAUUCCACAUUUUCUUAAGUGUGCCCCAAACUUGUGACUCAAGUAUUCUCCUCCACGAUCUGAUCGCAGAAACUUGAUUUUCCUGUCACGUUGAUUUUCAACCUCACUCUGAAAUUCCUUGAACUUUUCAAAGGUUUCAGACUUGUGUUUCAUUAAGUAGAUAUACCCAUACCUACUUAAAUCAUCAGUGAGGGUGAGAACAUAACGAUAGCCACCGCGAGCCUCAACACUCAUUGGACCGCACACAUCAGUAUGUAUGAUUUCCAAUAAGUCGGUUGCUCGCUCCAUUGUUCCUGAGAACGGAGUCUUGGUCAUUUGUCAGGACCCCGACUCAAUGCCACAUCGAUCUAGCAUGUAACGCCCCAUAUCACUUUGCGGCCUCACGCACGGUAUCCCCACGGGUGUCGCCUUACCUUUGCCCGGGACCGUUUGCGCAUUUUGGCACACGUAUAUGAUGGUGUCGCUAGCAUCCAUAUGAUAAAGAGCCCGGGCUGACAUGGCUAGUCGUAAACCCAAAGUGGCACUAACUUACAGGGACAGACAUCCAUGACCCAGCAUCGAACGUGUCGGUCAUCAACGAGUGAAUCCAGGCUGUAGCACUGGGCUAACAGGACUCCGGUGAACCGGGCUGUAGCGGGCUAGCAGGACUCCGGUAUUCAUCGCGUGACAUUUCCCCGAAGGGACAGACACAGGAUCGAAGAAGGACACAUGCCGGCCUGCCUAAGUGUUCCGGAGCAGUACAAGCUACCAGGGCUCAGUGGAAGCACUAGGAGACAUUUCCCGGUAAGAGAGGCUACUAAGAAUAAACAACUAGAUAGUCAGAUCCCACACAUAGCAAUACACAUUACACGUACGCAUAACAUGCAAGUAUGUGCUGUACAACAUGGCAUCACAGCAUAACUCAACAAUCAUAUAGAUAAAGGCUCAGAAGAGCCAUCAUAGCAUUUAUUGCAAACAGGGGUCACAAAACCCAUCAUACAGAGCAUACAAGCAACAAGCGGAAGCAUUACAUGUCUGGGUACAAACAUCUAUAAAUGAAAAAGGCUGAAGAGCCUGACUAUCUACAACAUCCGAUCAAGAUCGUAGCUGAGGUACUAGCUACUAAUCGAAGUCCACGAGAACACUAAUAAGACCGAAGUCUCCGCUGCAAAGACAUAAUUAAAGCAACAUGAGUACAAAGGUACUCAGCAAGACUUACAUCAGAUCCUAUCAUACAUGCAUUUGUAUCAAGAGGGUAAUGUGGGGUUUAGUUGCAGCAAGCCAGCUUUGACUCUGUGGCUAUCCUAUUCUACGACUACCAGAAACUCUGAAGGUGAAACAACGUACACGAGUCCACUAAUCACCACACAAUACACUACUAUGGAUUCAUCCCCGUCUCCCUACGAGAAGGCCAUCCAUAGCACUCACACUUGUCUUGAGCAUUUUAUAGUAUCCACUUCAAGUUGUCUAUGUACCAUGUAAGCAUCCAAGAAGUCCAUAACCGCGGACCCGGCUAUUCGAAUAGAUUAUGUUAACCCUGCAGGGGUGUACUUCUUCACACACGCUCUCGCCACUUACCGCCAUGUACACGUCAUGUAUCUCGGCAACCUUCAAGCGGAAGCCUGGCGAGGGUGUCGGCCAUGACCUGACUAACCACACAAGACUCUAGUCCAGGUUUAUCGCCUAUUCGGGUUCCAUCCGCAAGGAGAUCCGGCCGGGGUGUCUCUCACGGCCCCAAACGAUGUGAGCAGGGUUCACGAGCCCACCAACCGGGUGCCACUCGGUACACCGGGCCACGUGUGCCUAGUCUGUCCCAAGCCCACCCUGCCGGGUGCCACUUGGUAGAAAAAUAGCACUACCUACAAACACCAGAAACUAGUUGCGACUCCUGGACAGAGAUCAAGUUGGUUAAUAAGCCGAGAGAGUCAAUUAAGGAUCCCAAUGUGUGGUAGUAUCGGGUCAUUGGACAACAUACAUAGAACUCAGUGCUUAAGGACGGUUCCAGCGAGACAACCCACCAUGUACUCCUACAUGACCUCUCACCGCUACCUUUACCAAAUCGUGUUCACACACUUAACACUCAGCAUCAGAACAUAUCGUAACACUCCAAUUCAUUCCCAAUGAACCAGACCUGUCACAACUCUAAGCAAUAGUAGGCAUAGCAUGGUAGGAACACAACAAUGGCUUCAAUCAACUCCUACACAUGCUAGUGGGUUUCAACUAUUUACUGUGGCAAUGACAGGUCAUGCAGAGGAAUGGGUUCAACUACCGCAGCACAAAGUAGCAUAUGAAUCGUUGUUGUCCUAAUGCAAUAACUGAGAGCAGGAGCGAGAGAGUAGGGUUUUAUCGAAAUGAACAAGGGGGUUUGCUUGCCUGGUAAAUCAACAAGGGAGGCACUGCUUCACAGACAGGUACUCUGGAACGUCUCCGGAGCAGGACCUAUCGAGAAGGAACGGUGCCGGCAAUCAAUACACAAUCAUAUGCAACAAUAUGAUGCAUGAACAUGGCAUGUAGAUGUGAUGCUGUUUGAGCUAAUGCAACUAGUAAACAUUUGGUUUGAAGUCCAUUUGAACCAAAGGUUCAAAUGCAUUACUAAAUUAAGUCUCUUAUAUAUGCCAUAAUGUGUUUUCUCAUAUUCAGUAUGUAUAAGUUGGUUUGUCAUGCAUGAAACUAGUACAAAUGGAAAGAUUGCAUUUUUCUGAUAAUUUUUCAUAUAUAGAUUAUUUUAAUCUGAGCUACGGUUGAAUUGAUAUGAAUUUUUGAAGUUUAAAACAAUUUCUGGAAUUUCCUGAUUUAAUUUAAAUCCAGAAAUCAUAUAUUGCGCCAGCAUGACGUCAGCACGACGUUAGCGGUCAACUGGGCUGGUCCGGGUCAAACCUGACCAGUGGGGCCCACUGGUCAGUGACUACGGCUAAUCCUAAUAUAAUUUAAACCUAACCUAGUUUAAUUAGCCGGGCCGGGCCCGCAUGUCAGUGAGUCAGUGGCAAAAAAAUUAGCAAAACUAAACUAAUUAACAGGGGCUGGCCCCACCUGUCAUCGACCCAGGGGGGUCAAACCCCUGGUCAACAGGGCCUAACCCGCCGGCGGAGAGUCGUCGGCGAGGCCGAGGCGGCGGAGGCCUUCGGGUUUCUUGCUCCGGCGACCAAACGGACGGAGGAGGGGCUCUACGGAUAGCUGGAAGGGCGCCGCGUCUUCCUGUGGAGUCGGUUGGGGUCGGGGCGGCCGGAAUCGGCGCCGGCGUCGACCUAGGUGGCCACCGGAGUUCGGCCGAGGUCGAGCACGGCGCUGCGGUGCACUAGAGGGGAAAUGGGAGGGCUCUGUGGGCUCCUGGGAGGGCGGCGAACUUGGUAACAUGCUCGGGCGCAAGCUGGGGUGACCCUGGCCACGGCAGCGCCAUGGCCGGCGGCGAGGAGCAAUCGGCUCCGGUGAGAAGGGCGGCUAGAGUGCGGGAACAAGCGCGGGGAGGAGGGGGAAUGGAAGAGGAGCUCACAGCGAGGUCGAUGAGCAGCUCGGUGGUCUCGGGGAGGCGUCGGAGGCGGCGAAUCGACCGCGGCGAUCUUCGGUGGCCGGCGACGGAAACGGCGAUGGUGGCGGCGUUGCAGCGCGUCCGGGACCUCGUGGCUCGGUGGAGAGGAAGAGGGGGUCGCGGCGGAGCUCGGGGACUCUACGGAGGGGCGAGGGAACGGCGGGGAGCGCGUCGGUGGUGAGCUGCGGCGGCGGCAGCACUCGGGUGCGCUCGGGGAAGAGAGAACCAGGGAGGAGGGAGAGAGAGAGGGAGUGAGAGCGGUGCGGGGCAGCGCGUGGCGACGUUCCGGACGUCCAGGCGUCGAGGGGGAGGACAGGCAGGCAGGUGCCGUGGCGGCACGGCGGUGCGCACGCGUCGGCCACACGCCCCUGGCCUCCUGGCGGGAGGUGGAGGACGACUGGCGCUAGCCAGUCGGCUGGGCCGGCCAGCUGGGCCGCACAGUGCCAGGCCUCAGGUGAGCACAGGUAGGCAUUUUUUUUAAUUUUGUUUUUCUUUUCUACUUUUCUGGCAUUUGUUUGGUUUAAUAAAAAUACUAAACCAUUUUAUUUGCUUAUGCCAAUUUUUGUAGGGGCUAAUGGUAUUAUUCCAGAGCUCCUCGACAAAAGGCACAAUUUUUGGACAUAUAUUAAUAUAUAUAACUAAUAUAUUUCCAAUGCAAAUAUUUAUCGAAUUAAUCCAAAUGGCCAAAAUAAAUAUCCAUGAGCCCCUAAAAUAUUGUUUUGAUUUUUAUCUCUGUCCAAUAUUUUCAGAGGGCAUCAUGAGCAUUUUCUUGGACCCUUUUGGAGAAAUUUUUAUUUGGGUCAUUUUCAAAAAUGAUUCUGAGGGUUCCACCAAUCCUCAUUUCAAAUUUAAAUGAAAUUUAAAUAUGAUGCACAAAUGGCUAGCUAGUCUAAGUCAUACCAGACUAGGGAUGUGACAACUCGCCCCCACUUGAAAAAAUCUCGUCCCGAGAUUCAGGGGUCGACGGAAAGAAAGCGGGGUACUCCAGUCGAAGACGAUCUUCUCGCUCCCAAGUAGCUUCUCUCUCGGAAUGAUGAGACCACUGAACUUUGAGAAACUUGAUGUUCUGACGUCGAGUGACACGCUCUGCUUGAUCAAGAAUGCGAACCGGGUACUCUCGGUAUGUGAGGUUAUCUUGGAGAUCAAGCGUUUCAUGGUCCACUCCGCGGAUGGGAUCCGAGAAGCAACGCCUGAGUUGAGAUACGUGGAAGACAUCAUGAAUUCGAGAAAGAUGUGGGGGUAGUUCCAAUUGGUAGGCAACCUUUCCUCGUUUAGCGAGAAUGCGAAAGGGACCAAUGUAACGAGGAGCCAACUUGCCCUUGAUACCGAAACGAUGGGUACCCUUCAAAGGAGUAACCUGAAGGUAAGCUUGGUCGCCAAUUUCAUAAGUCAUAUCCUUAUGAUGACGGUCAUACUGACUCUUCUGACGAGACUGGGCUGUUUUCAAAUUCUCACGAAUGAUGCGAACUUGCUCUUCUGCCUCCUGGAUCAUGUCCGGUCCAAAGAAUUGUCUUUCACCUGUUUCUGACCAGUUCAAAGGUGUUCGACAUCUUCGUCCAUAGAGAACCUCAAAAGGAGCUUGCUUGAGGCUGGAUUGGUAGCUAUUGUUAUAAGCAAACUCGGCGAAAGGAAGACAUUUCUCCCAAUCCAUACCGAAUGAGAUAACGCAAGCUCUGAGCAUGUCUUCGAGAAUUUGAUUGACCCGUUCCACCUGACCACUCGACUGAGGGUGGAAAGCGGUACUGAAGGAAAGAUGGGUUCCCAUGGCAGUUUGGAAACUCUCCCAGAAAUGAGAAGUGAAAAGACUGCCACGGUCUGAAUUGAUCUCUAGUGGAACACCAUGCAGUGACACUAUUCGAGAAAUAUAUAAGUUAGCAAGCUGACUAGCAGUGAUAUUUUCUCGAACAGGGAGGAAGUGAGCCACUUUGGAAAGACGAUCAACGACUACGAAGAUAGCGUUAUUCCCUCUCUUGGUCCUGGGAAAGCUGGUGAUGAAGUCCAUACCAACUUUAUCCCAUUUCCAUUCAGGAAUAGCUAAAGGCUGAAGGGUGCCAGCAGGUCUUUGAUGCUCUGCCUUAACACGACGACAUACGUCACAAUUAGCAACGAAGUCGGCGAUUUCUCUCUUCAUCCUAGUCCACCAGAACCUCUGGCGUAGGUCCUGAUACAUCUUAGUACUACCGGGAUGAAUCGUGAGAGGGGAUUCAUGCGCCUCCUUAAGAAUCAAUUGUCGAAGAUGUUGCUUCUUGGGGACCACCAGGCGGUUUCCAAAGAAAACAACACCUCGAGCAUCAACAGAGAAACUACCAGCAACUCCCUUCUUAACGUUAUCCUUGAUACGAGAAAUACCCGUAUCAUAUUGCUGGCUAGUUAUGAUCUGAUCCUCAAGAGCAGGUUUCGCCACCAAGGUAGAAAGGAAUCCGUGAGGAGCAAUGUGAAGGUUAAACUUACAGAAUUCCUCAUGGAGAAGUGGUUGGCCUUGCUGCAACAUGAGAUUGUUGCAAUAGGAUUUACGGCUUAGAGCAUCAGCCAUGACAUUGGCUUUGCCUGGGGUGUAGGUAAUUCCUAGAUCAUAAUCUGUGAUCAACUCCAGCCAACGUCUUUGCCUAAGGUUCAGAUCCGGUUGGGUGAAGAUAUACUUGAGACUCUGGUGAUCAGUGUAGAUCUCGCAACGUUUACCAAGGAGGUAAUGUCGCCAGGUCUUGAGUGCAUAGACUACGGCUGCAAGCUCUAGAUCAUGUGUAGGAUAAUUCUCCUCAUGUGGAUGCAACUGUCGAGAUGCAUAGGCAAUCACAUGACGAUCCUACAUAAGAAUGCAACCUAGUCCCUGUCGUGAGGCGUCGCAGUAGAUAAUAAAGUCUUUAGUGAAAUCCGGUGGCACAAGUAUGGGAGCAGAAGUCAGGCGUCUUUUCAGCUCCUGAGAACUGUACUCACACUGUGGGGACCACUCGAACUUUUUAUCUUUCUUAACAAGUUCCGUGAGGGGUUUGGCUACUUUGGAGAAAUUUUCAACAAAGCGGCGACAAUAGCUGGCUAGGCCAAGGAAACUCCUAACUUGUUUAACAGUCUCAGGUGGGGUCCAAUCGAGAACGGCUUGAACUCUCUCGGGAUUCACAGCAAUGCCCUUCCCAGAGAUUACGUGACCUAAGUAGGUCACCUCUGACAACCAAAAUUCACACUUGGAGAACUUGGCAUAAAGGCGGUGCUCUCUGAGUUUUUCUAACACAAGUCCAAGAUGUUCGGCAUGCUCUUCCUCGUUCUUCGAGUAAAUAAGAAUGUCAUCGAGGUAAACCACGACGAAUUUAUCUAAGUACUCCAUGAAGAUCGAGUUCAUCAGGCGGGAGAAUGUGGCUGGGGCGUUGGUUAGGCCAAAGGACAUGACGGUGUACUCGUACUGACCAUAACGAGUGACAAAAGCUGUCUUGGGAAUGUCCCCGUUUCUGAUUUUGAUUUGGUGGUAUCCUAACCUUAAAUCCAUCUUGGAGAAGACUGAGGAUCCAGCGAGCUGAUCAUACAGAUCGUUGAUCCUGGGGAGCGGAUAUUUGUUCUUUAUUGUGACCAAAUUAACGGGACGAUAAUCUACAACCAUCCGGUCCGUACCAUCCUUCUUUUUGACGAAGAGGACGGGGCAAGCCCAAGGAGAAGAACUAGGACGGAUGAAACCCUUUUGCAAGGACUCAUCGAGUUGUUUCUUAAGCUCGGCUAGUUCUAAGGGUGCCAUCUUGUAAGGUCUCCGGGAGAUUGGAGCUGUUCCGGGGAUGAGAUCUAUGACAAACUCUACAUCUCUGUCAGGUGGAACACCUGGCAGUUCCUCUGGAAAGACAUCCGGAAAGUCACGGACUACCGGGAUAUCUUCAAGGUCUGGAAGAGGGCUGGCAUUAAGAGAAUAGAGCUGACGCUUUGCAACUCUAGUGGGGACAGUGACUAUCUUGCCAGAUGGGUGUGUAAGCUGAACAAAUCUUGUGUAACAAUCAAUCUUGGCAUGAUGAGCUGUCAUCCAAUCCAUUCCCAAGAUGAUGUUAAUAUCUGAGGACUUGAGGGCUACAAGUGAUGCAAGGAAUACAAGUCUAUCAACAAGGAUUUCGUUACCAUGGCUGAUUCUGGUGGUCUGCCAUCUAGACCCUGGGGUUUGGAUUUCAAGCGGAGUUGGCAUAUCGCAAAAUGAUAUGUCGUGCAAACGAGCAUAGUCUUCAGAAAUGAAGGAGUGAGAUGCCCCAGUAUCGAAUAGAACUGAUGCUGGGUGACAAUUGACAAGGAGUGUACCAAGAACGACAUCUGGAUCAUCAUGAGCGUCUUUAGCUGAGACGUGAUGCACGCGUCCACGUUCAGUGGGGGCUGACUUGACACUGAUCAUCUUGUGUGAUGGCUUAACACAGCCAACAGUCUUCUCGGCCUGGGGUGGAACAUAACUAGUUUGAGAACAGUCACGUGCAUAGUGUCCUGGCCUCCCGCAUGUGAAGCAAGUCCCUGAGGUUGGACGUGGACCCGCACUAACAAGCGGUCUACCAGUAGGCCCGGGUGGAACAUAUGACUGAGCUAGGGAAGACACCACAUAGGAUGGCCUCGGUGCAUAUCCGGAAGGAAGAGCGGAGUUUGGAACCCAAAUCCGGCGUUUCUGGGAACUAGAACCGGAGGAAGAUCCCAAAUCACGGGUGUGCUUACGAGAUUCCUCGUAAGUGAGCUGAGCUGUCUCUGCAUUAAUGGCCUUGUUCACAAGGGCUUGGAAUGUGUCGCAAUGAUGCAGGUGGAGAUCACGGCGCAACUUGGGGUUGAGACCCUUCCGGAACCUAGCCUGCUUCUUAGCGUCCGUGGACACUUCUUCUGUGGCAUAACGGGCAAGAUUCUCGAACUCUCUGCUAUAAGCAUCAAUAGCCAUCUUACUCUGGGUGAAACUGCAGAACUCUUCUCUCUUGCGAUCAAGGAGGGCCUGGGGAAUGUGAUGCUCACGAAAAGCCUCAGUGAAAUCCUUCCAGGUAGGAAUCUGGCCAGCUGGAAGCAUAGCCUCAUAGUUUUGCCACCAAAGACUAGCAGGACCUUCCAGGUGGUAUGUGGCAAAGGUGACCUUGUCAUCUUCAGCUAUGUUCGCAGAACGCGGCUUAUGAGUGAUGCUACGGAGCCAGUCAUCUGCAUCGAGUGGCUCGAUGGAAUGAUGAAAGGUAGGUGGGUGCAAACGAAUGAAGUCAUGAAUGGUAGCAGACCCUUUGAACUGAUGUGCGGUGUUCUCCUCGAUACGUGCCAACAAAUGGUUAGACUCACGCUUGUUCCUCUCCAUCUCUAGCAUGAACUCUGUCAACGAAGGCUGGUCGGGAGGAUCCUCGUCCCUACCAUCUCCGUGGUUCUGGCCAUGAGCAAUGGAACUUCGCUUAGCUGAUGACAUCCUGAGAAACGAACCAAGGACGGAAUUAGCAUCAACUAUGGGCUGUAGAAUGUAGGACAAGGAAUUAGUAUCUCUCGAACUCCUAGGGAAAUUUCGGCAGCAUAACGGCAGUAAAAUGCUCAGAAUGAGACAUCCUACUAAAAAUGGGGUGGUAACAUACUCAUCAACAUUACUCAAGGUUCUGAGAUCAUACUAAACAGACUACACCGGAAAUACUCAAAACUAGGGUAUGACUCUGAUCAACCAAUCCUAUGGGACUACGGAGUAGUAACACGUGAUCCUGAUAGACGGAAGAGAAAGCCUAGUUCCUUAGCCCCGUAGGAAAGAUAGGACGACUCAGAUCAGAAGGCCAUGUGGUAAAGGAGUAAAAAGAGCCUUACGUUCCAACCCACAAUCAAUUCCCUUACAUAACUAAAGCAUUUCUAGACUCAACUUCGACCGGUUUGGCUUGGUAAUCCUACAGGCAGUCAGGCUCUGAUACCAGCGCUGUCAGGACCCCGACUCAAUGCCACAUCGAUCUAGCAUGUAACGCCCCAUAUCACUUUGCGGCCUCACGCACGGUAUCCCCACGGGUGUCGCCUUACCUUUGCCCGGGACCAUUUGCGCAUUUUGGCACACGUAUAUGAUGGUGUCGCUAGCAUCCAUAUGAUAAAGAGCCCGGGCUGACAUGGCUAGUCGUAAACCCAAAGUGGCACUAACUUACAGGGACACGCAUCCAUGACCCAGCAUCGAACGUGUCGGUCAUCAAGGAGUGAAUCCAGGCUGUAGCACUGGGCUAACAGGACUCCAGUGAACCGGGCUGUAGCGGGCUAGCAGGACUCCGGUAUUCAUCGCGUGACAUUUCCCUGAAGGGACAGACACAGGAUCGAAGAAGGACACAUGCCGGCCUGCCUAAGUGUUCCGGAGCAGUAGCAAGCUACCAGGGCUCAGUGGAAGCACUAGGAGACAUUUCCCGGUAAGAGAGGCUACUAAGAAUAAACAACUAGAUAGUCAGAUCCCACACAUAGCAAUACACAUUACACGUACGCAUAACAUGCAAGUAUGUGCUGUACAACAUGGCAUCACAACAUAACUCAACAAUCAUAUAGAUAAAGGCUCAGAAGAGCCAUCAUAGCAUUUAUUGCAAACAGGGGUCACAAAACCCAUCAUACAGAGCAUACAAGCAACAAGCGGAAGCAUUACAUGUCUGGGUACAGACAUCUAUAAAUGAAAAAGGCUGAAGAGCCUGACUAUCUACAACAUCCGAUCAAGAUCGUAGCGGAGGUACUAGCUACUAGUCGAAGUCCACGAGAACACUAGUAAGACCGAAGUCUCCGCUGCAAAAACAUAAUUAAAGCAACAUGAGUACAAAGGUACUCAGCAAGACUUACAUCAGAUCCUAUCAUACAUUCAUUUGUAUCAAGAGGGUAAUGUGGGGUUUAGUUGCAGCAAGCCAGCUUUGACUCUGUGGCUAUCCUGUUCUACGACUACCAGAAACUCUGAAGGUGAAACAACGUACACGAGUCCACUAAUCACCACACCAUACACUACUAUGGAUUCAUCCCCGUCUCCCUACGAGAAGGCCAUCCAUAGCACUCACACUUGUCUUGAGCAUUUUAUAGUAUCCACUUCAAGUUGUCUAUGUACCAUGUAAGCAUCCAAGAAGUCCAUAACCGCGGACCCGGCUAUUCGAAUAGAUUAUGUUAACCCUGCAGGGGUGUACUUCUUCACACACGCUCUCACCACUUACCGCCAUGUACACGUCAUGUAUCUCGGCAACCUUCAAGCGGAAGCCUGGCGAGGGUGUCGGCCACGACCUGACUAACCACACAAGACUCUAGUCCAGGUUUAUCGCCUAUUCGGGUUCCAUCCGCAAGGAGAUCCGGCCGGGGUGUCGCUCACGGCCCCAAACGAUGUGAGCAGGGUUCCCGAGCCCACCAACCGGGUGCCACUCGGUACACCGGGCCACGUGUGCCUAGUCUGUCCCAAGCCCACCCUGCCGGGUGCCACUUGGUAGAAAAAUAGCACUACCUACAAACACCAGAAACUAGUUGCGACUCCUGGACAGAGAUCAAGUUGGUUAAUAAGCCGAGAGAGUCAAUUAAGGAUCUCAAUGUGUGGUAGUAUCGGGUCAUUGGACAACAUACAUAGAACUCAGUGCUUAAGGACGGUUCCAGCGAGACAACCCACCAUGUACUCCUACAUGGCCUCUCACCGCUACCUUUACCAAAUCGUGUUCACACACUUAACACUCAGCAUCAGAACAUAUCGUAACACUCCAAUUCAUUCCCAAUGAACCAGACCUGACACAACUCUAAGCAAUAGCAGGCAUAGCAUGGUAGGAACACAACAAUGGCUUCAAUCAACUCCUACACAUGCUAGUGGGUUUCAACUAUUUACUGUGGCAAUGACAGGUCAUGCAGAGGAAUGGGUUCAACUACCGCAGCACAAAGUAGCAUAUGAAUCGUUGUUGUCCUAAUGCAAUAACUGAGAGCAGGAGCGGGAGAGUAGGAUUUUAUCGAAAUGAACAAGGGGGUUUGCUUGCCUGGUAAAUCAACAAGGGAGGCACUGCUUCACAGACAGGUACUCUGGAACGUCUCCGGAGCAGGACCUAUCGAGAAGGAACGGUGCCGGCAAUCAAUACACAAUCAUAUGCAACAAUAUGAUGCAUGAACAUGGCAUUUAGAUGUGAUGCUGUUUGAGCUAAUGCAACUAGUAAACAUUUGGUUUGAAGUCCAUUUGAACCAAAGGUUCAAAUGCAUUACUAAAUUAAGUCUCUUAUAUAUGCCAUAAUGUGUUUUCUCAUAUUCAGUAUGUAUAAGUUGGUUUGUCAUGCAUGAAACUAGUACAGAUGGAAAGAUUGCAUUUUUCUGAUAAUUUUUCAUAUAUAGAUUAUUUUAAUCUGAGCUACGGUUGAAUUGAUAUGAAUUUUUGAAGUUUAAAACAAUUUCUGGAAUUUCCUGAUUUAAUUUAAAUCCAGAAAUCAUAUAUUGCGCCAGCAUGACGUCAGCACGACGUCAGCGGUCAACUGGGCUGGUCCGGGUCAAACCUGACCAGUGGGGCCCACUAGUCAGUGACUACGGCUAAUCCUAAUAUAAUUUAAACCUAACCUAGUUUAAUUAGCCGGGCCGGGCCCGCAUGUCAGUGAGUCAGUGGCAAAAAAAUUAGCAAAACUAAACUAAUUAACAGGGGCUGGCCCCACCUGUCAUCGACCCAGGGGGGUCAAACCCCUGGUCAACAGGGCCUAACCCGCCGGCGGAGAGUCGCCGGCGAGGCCGAGGCGGCGGAGGCCUUCAGGUUUCUUGCUCCGGCGACCAAACGGACGGAGGAGGGGCUCUACGGAUAGCUGGAAGGGCGCCGCGUCUUCCUGUGGAGUCGGUUGGGGUCGGGGCGGCCGGAAUCGGCGCCGGCGUCGACCUAGGUGGCCACCGGAGUUCGGCCGAGGUCGAGCACGGCGCUGCGGUGCACUAGAGGGGAAACGGGAGGGCUCUGUGGGCUCCUGGGAGGGCAGCGAACUUGGUAACAUGCUCGGGCGCAAGCUGGGGUGACCCUGGCCAUGGCAGCGCCAUGGCCGGCGGCGAGGAGCAAUCGGCUCCGGUGAGAAGGGCGGCUAGAGUGCGGGAACGAGCGCGGGGAGGAGGGGGAAUGGAAGAGGAGCUCACAGCGAGGUCGAUGAGCAGCUCGGUGGUCUCGGGGAGGCGUCGGAGGCGGCGAAUCGACCGCGGCGAUCUUCGGUGGCCGGCGACGGAAACGGCGAUGGUGGCGGCGUUGCAGCGCGUCCGGGACCUCGUGGCUCGGUGGAGAGGAAGAGGGGGUCGCGGCGGAGCUCGGGGACUCUACGGAGGGGCGAGGGAACGGCGGGGAGCGCGUCGGUGGUGAGCUGCGGCGGCGGCAGCGCUCGGGUGCGCUCGGGGAAGAGAGAACCAGGGAGGAGGGAGAGCGAGAGGGAGUGAGAGCGGUGCGGGGCAGCGCGUGGCGACGUUCCGGACGUCCAGGCGUCGAGGGGGAGGACAGGCAGGCAGGUGCCGUGGCGGCACGGCGGUGCGCACGCGUCGGCCACACGCCCCUGGCCUCCUGGCGGGAGGUGGAGGACGACUGGCGCUAGCCAGUCGGCUGGGCCGGCCAGCUGGGCCGCACAGUGCCAGGCCUCAGGUGAGCACAGGUAGGCAUUUUUUUUAAUUUUGUUUUUCUUUUCUACUUUUCUGGCAUUUGUUUGGUUUAAUAAAAAUACUAAACCAUUUUAUUUGCUUAUGCCAAUUUUUGUAGGGGCUAAUGGUAUUAUUCCAGAGCUCCUCGACAAAAGGCACAAUUUUUGGACAUAUAUUAAUACAUAUAACUAAUAUAUUUCCAAUGCAAAUAUUUAUCGAAUUAAUCCAAAUGGCCAAAAUAAAUAUCCAUGAGCCCCUAAAAUAUUGUUUUGAUUUUUAUCUCUGUCCAAUAUUUUCAGAGGGCAUCAUGAGCAUUUUCUUGGACCCUUUUGGAGAAAUUUUUAUUUGGGUCAUUUUCAAAAAUGAUUCUGAGGGUUCCACCAAUCCUCAUUUCAAAUUUAAAUGAAAUUUAAAUAUGAUGCACAAAUGGCUAGCUAGUCUAAGUCAUACCAGACUAGGGAUGUGACAUCAUUUUACCCAUAAGGCAUGGUUCGCACGUGUCAAAUGAUUCAUAAUCAAGAGACUCUAAAAGUCCAUCAGCAUGGAGCUUCUUCAUGCGUUUGACACCUAUGUGACCAAGGCGGCAGUGCCACAAGUAUGUGGGACUAUCAUUAUCAACCUUACUUCUUUUGGUACUCACAUUAUGAACAUGUGUAGCAUCACGUUCGAGAUUCAUAAAGAAUAAACCAUUCACCAUAGGAGCAUGACCAUAAAACAUAUCUCUCAUAAAAAUGGAACAACCAUUAUUCUCAGAUUUAAAAGAGUAGCCAUCUCGAAUUAAACGAGAUCCCGAUACAAUGUUCAUGCUCAAAGCUGGCACUAAAUAACAAUUAUUAAGGUUUAAAACUAAUCCCGAAGGGAGAUGCAGAGGUAGCGUGCCGACGGCGAUCACAUUGACCUUGGAACCAUUCCCGACGCGCAUCGUCACCUCGUCCUUUGCCAGUUUCCGCUUAUUCCGCAGCCCCUGCUUUGAGUUACAAAUGUGAGCAACUGCACCGGUAUCAAAUACCCAGGAGCCACUACGGGGACUAGUAAGGUACACAUCAAUUACAUGUAUAUCACAUAUACCUUUGGUUUUGCCGGCCUUCUUAUCCGCUAAGUACUUAGGGCAGUUCCGCUUCCAGUGACCGCUUCCCUUGCAAUAAAAGCACUCAGUCUCGGGCUUGGGUCCAUUCUUUGGCUUCUUCCCGGCAGCUUGCUUGCCGGGCGCGGCAACCUCCUUGCCGUCCUUCUUGAAGUUCUUUUUACCCUUGCCUUUCUUGAACUUAGUGGUUUUAUUGACCAUCAACACUUGAUGUUCCUUCCUGACUUCUACCUCUGCUGAUUUCAGCAUAGCAAAUACUUCAGGAAUGGUCUUUUCCAUCCCCUGCAUAUUGAAGUUCAUCACAAAGCUCUUGUAGCUUGGUGGAAGCGACUGGAGGAUUCUGUCAAUGACCGCAUCAUCUGGGAGAUUAACUCCCAGCUGAGUCAAGCGGUUAUGCAACCCAGACAUAGUGAGUAUGUGCUCACUGACAGAACUGUUUUCCUCCAUCUUACAGCUGAAGAAUUUGUCGGAGACUUCAUAUCUCUCGACCCGGGCAUGAGCUUGGAAAACCAUUUUCAGCUCUUCGAACAUCUCAUAUGCUCCAUGUCUCUCAAAACGCUUUUGGAGCCCCGGCUCUAGGCUGUAAAGUAUGCCGCACUGAACGAGGGAGUAGUCAUCGAAACGUGCCUGCCAAGCGUUCAUAACAUCUUGUUCUGCAGGGAGAACGGGUGCAUCACCAAGCGGUGCUUGUAGGACAUAAUCUUUCUUGGUAGCUAUGAGGAUGAUCCUCAGGUUCCGGACCCAGUCCGUAUAGUUGCUGCCAUCGUCUUUCAGCUUAGUUUUCUCUAGGAACGCGUUGAAGUUGAGGACUACGUUGGCCAUUUGAUCUACAAGACAUAUUGCAAAGAUUUUAGACUAAGUUCAUGAUAAUUAAGUUCAACUAAUCAAAUUAUUAGUGAACUCCCACUUAGAUUAGACAUCCCUCUAUCCAUCUAAGUAUUACAUGAUCCGAGUUAAACUAGACCGUGUCCGAUCAUCACGUGAGACGGACUAGUCAACAUCGGUGAACAUCUUCAUGUUGAUCGUAUCUUCUAUACGACUCAUGCUCGACCUUUAGGUCUUCUGUGUUCCGAGGCCAUGUCUGUACAUGCUAGGCUCGUCAAGUCAACCUAAGUGUUUGCAUGUGUAAAUCUGUCUUACACCCGUUGUAUGUGAACGUCUGAAUAAAACACCCGAUCAUCACGUGGUGUCUUGAAACAGCGAACUGUCGCAACGGUGCACAGUUAGGGGGAACACUUCUUGAAAUUAGUAUGAGGGAUCACCUUAUUUACUACCGUCGUUCUAAGUAAACAAGAUGCAAAACAUGAUAAACAUCACAUGCAAUCAAAUAAUAAAUGUGACAUGAUAUGGCCAAUAUCACAUAGCUCCUUUGAUCUCCAUCUUGGGGCUCCAUGAUCAUCUUGUCACCGGCUUGACACCAUGAUCUCCAUCAUCAUGAUCUCCAUCAUCGUGUCUCCAUGAAGUUGCUCGCCAACUAUUACUUCUACUACUAUGGCUAACACGUUUAGCAAUAAAGUAAAGUAAUUUACAUGGCGUUUCUCGAUGACACGCAGGUCAUAUAAAAGAAUAAAGACAACUCCUAUGGCUCCUGCCGGUUGUCAUACUCAUCGACAUGCAAGUCGUGAAUCCUAUUACAAUAGCAUGAACAUCUCAUACAUCACAUAUAGAUCAUUCAUCAUUCAUCACAACUUUGGCCAUAUCAUAUCAGAAACCACUUGCUGCAAAAACAAGUUAGACGUCCUCUAAUUGUUGUUGCAAGUUUUACGUGGCUGAAUUAGGGUUCUAGCAAGAACGUUUUCUUACCUACGUUAAAGCCACAACGUGAUUUGUCAACUUCUAUUUACCCUUCAUAAGGACCAUGUUCAUCGAUUCCGCUCCAACUAAAGUAGGAGAGACAGACACCCGCCAGCCACCUUAUGCAACUAGUGCAUGUUAGUCGGUGGAACCGGUCUCACGUAAGCGUACGUGUAAGGUUGGUCUGGGCCGCUUCAUCCCACAAUACCGCUGAAGCAAGAAAGGACUAGUAACGGCAAGAAAGUUUACAAAUCUACGCCCACAACAAAUUGUGUUCUACUCGCGCAAGAAGAACUACGCAUAGACCUAGCUCAUGAUGCCACUGUUGGGGAACGUUGCAGAAAACAAAAAAUUUCCUACUCGUUUCACCAAGAUCAUCUAGGAGUUCAUCUAGCAACGAGUGAUUAGAUGUAUCUACAUACCUUUGUAGAUCGCGAGCGGAAGCGUUGAAAAGAACGGUGAUGAUGUAGUCGUACUCGACGUGAUCCAAAUCACCGAUGACCAGCGCCGAACGGACGGCAACUCCGCGUUCAACACACGUACGGAACAGCCACGUCUCCUCCUUCUUGAUCCAGCAAGGGAGGGAGGAGAGGUUGAGGGAGAUGGCACCAGCAGCAGCACGACGGCGUGGUGUUGAUGGAGCUGCAGUACUCCGGCAGAGCUUCGCUAAGCACUAUGGAGGUGGAGGAGGUGUUGGGGAGGGAGAAGGAGGCAACCAAAGGCCAAGGCGUUCAGGUAUGAAGUCCCUCCUCUCCCCCACUAUAUAUAGGAGUGCCAAGGGGGGGUGGCCGGCCCUAGGAGAUCCAAUCUCCUAGGGGGUGCGGCGGCCAAGGGGGGUUUCCCUCCCUCCCAAGGCACCUAGGAGGUGCCUUCCCCUCCUAGGACUCUUUCCCCCUUAAACCCUAGGCGCAUGGGCCUAUGUGGGGCUGGUGCCCUUGGCCCAUUAGGCCAAGGCGCACCCCCUACAGCCCAUGUGGCCCCCCCGGGACAGGUGGACCCACCCGGUGGACCCCCGGGACCCUUCCGGUGGUCCCGGUACAAUACCGAUAACCCCGAAACUUGUCCCGAUGCCCGAAACAGGACUUCCCAUAUAUAAAUCUUUACCUCCGGACCAUUCCGGAACUCCUCGUGACAUCCGGGAUCUCAUCCGGGACUCCGAACAACAUUCGGGUUACUGCAUAUACAUAUCCCUACAACCCUAGCGUAACUGACCCUUAAGUGUGUAGACCCUACGGGUUCGGGAGACAAGCAGACAUGACCGAGACGACUCUCCGGUCAAUAACCAACAGCGGGAUCUGGAUACCCAUGUUGGCUCCCACAUGCUCCACAAUGAUCUCAUCGGAUGAACCACGAUGUCGAGGAUUCUAUCAACCCCAUACGCUAUUCCCUUUGUCUAUCGAUAUGUUACUUGCCCGAGAUUCGAUCGUCGGUAUCCCAAUACCUCGUUCAAUCUCGUUACCGGCAAGUCACUUUACUCGUACCGUAAUGCUUGAUCCCGUGACCAGACACUUGGUCACUCUGAGCUCAUUAUGAUGAUGCAUUACCGAGUGGGCCCAGUGAUACCUCUCCGUCAUACGGAGUGACAAAUCCCAGUCUUGAUCCAUGUCACCCAACAGACACUUUCGGAGAUGCCCGUAGUCUACCUUUAUAGUCACCCAGUUACGUUGUGACGUUUGGCAUACCCAAAGCACUCCUACGGUAUCCGGGAGUUACACGAUCUCAUGGUCUAAGGAAAAGAUACUUGACAUUGGAAAACUCUAGCAAACGAACUAUACGAUCUUGUGCUAUGUUUAGGAUUGGGUCUUGUCCAUCACAUCAUUCUCCUAAUGAUGUGAUCUCGUUAUCAAUGACAUCCAGUGUCCAUAGUCAGGAAACCAUGACUAUCUGUUGAUCAACGAGCUAGUCAACUAGAGGCUCACUAGGGACAUGUUGAUGUCUGUUAUUCACACAUGUAUUACGAUUUCCGGAUAACACAAUUAUAGCAUGAAUAAAGACAAUUAUCAUGAACAAGGAAAUAUAAUAAUAAUGCUUUUAUUAUUGCCUCUAGGGCAUAUUUCCAACACUAUAACGUUCGGCUUAAGGAAUGUCGGCGCCACCUUUCAGCGUUGCAUGCAAAAAUGUCUCCUCAAGAAAGUCGGCAGAAAUGCCCACGUCUACGUGGAUGAUGUGGUAGUGAAGACGGAAAAGCGGGGAACAUUGUUGGAAGAUCUCCAACAAACCUUUGUGAAUCUGUGCCGAUUCCAGAUCAAGCUCAAUCCAGAGAAGUGCGUCUUCGGAGUACCAGCCGGCCAGCUCCUUGGCUUCCUGGUCUCUGAACACGGCAUAGAGUGCAACCCUGUAAAGAUCAAAGCCAUCGAGAGGAUGGCAGUCCCCCGCCGACUGUUAGAUGUGCAGAAGUUCACCGGCUGCUUGGCGUCCAUCAGCCGAUUCAUCAGUCGGCUGGGCGAGAAGGCUCUCCCUUUGUACCAACUGAUGAAGAAGACCACCUUUUUUGAGUGGAACCACAAGGCGGAUGAAGCGUUUCUCGAGAUGAAGAAAAUGUUGACUACUCCUCCUGUGCUGGCGACUCUGACUCCAAGGAGCCUAUGCUCCUAUACAUUGCCGCCACCAGUCGGGUAGUCAGCACCGUUGUCGUAGUCGAACGCAAGGAGGAAGGCAAGGCGCUCCCUGUCCAGAGACUAGUAUAUUACCUGAGCAAGGUACUGUCGACCUCCAAGCAGAACUACCCCCACUACCAGAAGAUGUGCUAUGGCGUGCAUUUCGCCGCCAAGAAGCUGAAGCCUUACUUUAAAGAACAUCCAAUCACCGUGGUUUGCACUGCUCCACUGGCCGAGAUCAUCGGAAGCCGAGAUGCUUCAGGCCGAGUAGCCAAGUGGGCCAUAGACCUGGCUCCCUACACCAUCUACUACCAGCCCCGCACCGCCAUCAAGUCACAAGCACGGGCCGACUUCCUUGUCGACUGGGCCGAGACCCAGUACCUGCCGCCAGCACCUGACUCCACCCAUUGGCGAAUGCAUUUCGAUGGCUCCAAGAUGCGCACCGGUCUGGGAGCCGGCGCCGUCCUCACCUCCCCCAAAGGCGACAAGCUCAAGUACGCAUUGCAGAUCCACUUCGCCGCCUCCAACAACGUUGCCGAAUACGAGGCGCUCGUUCACGGGCUCCGGCUUGCCAAAGAACUCGGCAUCCGCCGGAUCCUGUGCUACGGCAACUCCGAUUUGGUGGUCCAGCAGUCCUCUGGGGACUGGGACGCCAAGGACGCAAACAUGGCGAGCUACCACUUCCUAGUGCAGCAACUCAGCGGAUAUUUCGAGGGGUGUGAAUUCCUUCACAUUCCAAGAAAUGACAAUGACUAGGCGGACGCCCUGGCACGAGUCGGCUCCACUCGUCAAGUAAUACCAUCCAGCGUCGCCCUUCAGCGUCUCCUCAAGCCGUCUAUCAAGCCUUCUCCAGAAUCAGACUCCAUUUUUGUACUUUCUUCGGCGCUCAAGAGCACCGGCAGACGGCACAAGAAUCCUCACAGACGGCUCCAAAAAUACCACAGUCAAAGCCGGCCCGGGGACUUCAGAACCCGGCCCGGGGACUGCGACAGUCAGCCUGAAGACUCCGGAACUCGGCCCAGGGACUGCUCCAGUCGGCCCGGGGACUUCAUCGACCCAGCAAGCGGACGCAGAUCCCAGCCCGCCGCCUCCCAGCCCAGCCACCCUUGUCCAAGUCGCAAUAGUGGCAAUCGAAGAAGUAGCAGCACCCUCAUGGGCCCAUCCCAUCCUCAAGUUCCUAGUAAACAGAGAGCUGCCAGCUGAUGAAAUCCUGGCUCGGCAAGUGCAACCCCGAGCGGCAGCCUAUACCAUAGUCAACAGAGAGCUGGUCAGGCGCAGUGUCACUGGUGUCUACCAACGUUGUGUCGAGGCAGAACAAGGCCAAGCAAUUCUCAGAGACAUCCAUGAAGGCGAGUGUGGCCACCAUGCGGCUUCAAGGGCACUCGUCGCCAAAGCCUUCCGACACGGCUUCUUCUGGCCGACUGCCCUGGAAGAGGCCAAGGAAUUAGUCCAAAACUGCAAAUGGUGCCAGAUGUUCCGUUCCAAGCCGCUCCAGCCGGCUUCGGCGCUCAAGACCAUUCCCAUCGCCUGUCCCUUUGCGCUUUGGGGCCUGGACAUGGUGGGACCAUUCAAGACGGCACGAGGCGGCCUAACUCACCUACUUGUCGCAGUGGACAAGUUCACCAAGUGGAUAGAAGCAAAACCCAUCAAGAAAUUGAAUGGUCCGACUGCAGUAACCUUCAUCGCCGACAUUACGACUCGGUAUGGCAUACCACAUAGCAUCAUCACCAACAAUGGCACAAAUUUUGCCAAAGGAGCCUUGGCCCGUUUCUGCGCAACACACGGCAUCCAACUGGACUUAGCAUCCGUCGCCCAUCCGCAGUCAAACGGCCAGGUAGAGCGAGCAAACGGCCUCAUCCUAUCCGGCAUCAAGCCCCGCCUGGUUGAGCCACUGGAGCGCCCGGCCGGCUGUUGGCUUGAGGAGCUACCAGCCGUCCUCUGGAGCCUGCGCAUGACUCCAAACAAGUCAACCGGCUUCACGCCUUUCUUCCUCGUCUACGGUGCUGAAGCCGACAUCCCGACAGACAUAGAAUUCGACUCCCCGUGAUUCACCAUGUACACCGAGGAGGAAGCAGAAGAAGCACGUCAAGACGGCGUCGAUCCGCUGGAAGAGGGCCGACUGUUGGGACUCAGUCGGUCCGGCAUCUACCAGCAGAGCCUGCGCCGAUACUACAACAGGAAGGUCAAGCCAAGAUCUUUCCAAGAGGGCGACCUUGUGCUCCGACUGAUCCAGCGGACAGCCGGCUAGCACAAGCUGUCGGCACCUUGGGAAGGCCCCUUCAUUGUCAGCAAGGUGUUGGGCAAUGACUCCUACUACCUGAUUGAUGCUCAGAAGCCCCGAGCUCGCGAGAGAGAUGACUCUGGCAAAGAGUCGGAACGACCAUGGAAUGCAAACCUCCUCCGAAGGUUUUACAGUUGAUUCAGUAUGUAUCACGCUACCCCUUUGUAUUAAAGUACCGAGACUUCGGGCCCCCCGAGACGAGCUCGGGGACUGCCCCUUUUUGAUUAUCUGUAUGAUAAGAGUUAUGCCUCCGAGUAUGUCACUCUACUGCUAAAAGCCGCUUGGCACCGGGCCAGACUAGUCGGCCCGGGAACUCACCGCCCCGCGCUAUGAGGAGUUUCCCGCAGUCAGACAAGUAGUGUGCGGUGCCUAAUCCGUCUCCUGGCAAAGCCGCAGCUCGCAGAGCGACUAUGUGGUGGGAAGGAGUGAGAAAGAGUGGGCACCCACACGAAAAAUGGCUAAGGACCCAAAGCACGAACAUAGCGUAAGACGGCCUCCAGCAUCUCUGAGGCAAAAAGCCAACUCAUGAGUAGUCGGCUUGCUGCUUUAUACUAGCCUCUAUUAAAGACAGCCGACUCUUUUGUAGUCGGCCUGCCGCCUUCUAUCCGGCUUGCUAGAAACUCCAAAGAAAGGCAAGUACUUGCUUUCCCCAAAGUAGCCAGGCAUUUGGCCCAGCGACAGUCCAAUGAGCGGUUUGCCGGCUCACAAAGCGGCAACUAGGGGAAGGCGGCAAAGGAAAAAGCCAAAGGAGCAAUGAGCAAGGCAAGAUAGAACUCGGAUUAAUAUUUACAUAAGAAUAGGCCCAUUAGCCGAAUCUUCAGACAGAAGUUUAAAGUACACCCCGAGGGUGGAAUUGUGCAAAUUAACAAGUUCAUCAAGACUUUCUAGAACAGAUAAAUAAAGCCGGAAGGCAGCCUAAGGAGCAGGAGACGGAUUCGGAGGGUCGGAGGAGACGGCGGUGUCAGGCGCCGGGGGAGUCGGCUGGGCAGUCUCGGCUUGAUCGCCGCCAGCGGAAGUCGGCCCGGUCGAACGCAGCUCGUUGCUAGAGGCGCGGUCGAGCUGAGGCUGGUCGCCCGCUUCGUCCUCUGGCACCUCCGUCUCGCCUUCGUCCUCCUCUUCGCCUUCUUCCUCGGUGCUGGAGUCAAUCACCUCCGCCGAGUCCUCACCAUAUUCCGGGUUCAUCCCGAGCCACUCUGGUGGCACUUCCUCGCCGCCUUCGGCCCGCUCAGGGACGAAUACACUGGUGUCCGUGUACCCAGCGAUGGCCGCCGCACGCUCGACAAGGGCGCCCUCCACAGCCUCCAGCUCGGCCUGGGCCUCUGACUGGAACGCGGCCAGACGGUCCAGGUCCAGUCCCGGAUACCACGCCUUGACGAACUCCAAAGCCCGGCGCGCUCCGACCCGGGCCGAGGAGCCCUUCCAGGCCUCAAGACGGCCGGCUGCGACCUCUAACCAGUCGGCAGUCCGGCUGGCGGUGCGCAGAGCCGUCAUGUCUGGCCACAGGGCGGCAACCGCCUGGGCGCCGGCACGCUGAAGCCGGCGCAUCCGCCGGUGGGCCGGAUGAAGACGGGCCUCGAUGCUCAGAAGCUGAUCAUCGAUGGUCAAGGGAGCGUUGGCGGCAAUCACCUCACCUUUUGCCCUCCGUAGCUCACGAUCAGCCUCGAUGGCCAGAGUGACUGCCUGCGAGUGGCCAGGGAAGAAGUCUGCCAAGACAAAAAAGAAGUGAGUCGAGAAAACCAGAAAUCGUCUCGACCUAUAGUCGGAAACUCGAAGAAAGGAAAGAAGUUCACCAUCGACGAUGUCCUCAAUCUCGUGGAAGCCGGAAGUCAGCAUCGCCUCCCUGUCGGUCCAGGAGGAGCGCUCGCUCUCGAACUCAGCCAGGAGAGCAGCCUCCUUCUUCUUGGCCUCGUCCUGCGCCUUCUUGAGCAGCUCCUUCUGCUCGGCCAGCUGCGCAGCCAGCAGGUCGAGAUGCGACAAACUUACCGCACUCCUCCUCCUUGGUGCGCAAGGCGGUACUGGCCUCUCCCAGUUGCUGCUGAAGAGCAGCGUUGGCCUCUAAAGAAAAAACAAGACGAAAGAAGAUAAGCCAUCAACAAAGAAAGUCGCCAAAAAGAUCCGGCCCGACUGCUCAGCAGUCGGCCCGAAUCUCGGGGACUACAGCCCGCGGGUGCGCCAGCGCGCCCCCGCGAGAAAGAAGAAGGACUCACUCUGACUCUCCGACAAGUCAGCUGUCCGCCUGCCUAACUCCUCAACAUUACGGUUGAAGGCGGUAGCACGGAGGUUGUGAUACUCCUGCAAAAGUCAUUUCAGACAAAGUUAACAUCUGGAACUUGCCAGAGGGAGUUCCGAACCGCCUGCUCAGCAGCCGGCCCGAAACUCGGGGACUACACCCAGUGGGUGCGCUGGCGCGCCCCCACAAAGAAAAACAAAAAUCAAAAGAAGAAGGAAACGUACUCGGACGGCCGUUCGUGCUGCCAGAUGCACCCUGGUGCAAGUUUGAAGGGCGUCGCGUUCAGCGCGCAGCUUCGCCUGAACGUCCAGAAGCGCUUGAUUCAGCGGCCCAGUGCCGCCUCCGCGCAACCACCCGAUGGGCGCGGCGCUUGUCACCUCGGCCUCUGGGGUUGCCGAGCUGGCGGCGCUGGUCUCCCGAGGUCGCGGCGCCGAGGUCGCCCUCUCAAGACAGCGACGCACCGGCGAGGCGACUUGGAGAAGCAGCCUCACCUCAGACUCGUCCGCGGUCGGCGGCUCUGGCGGACCCGCCGACUGUUUGCCGUGCGAUCUCCCAGACGACGAUGGAGGCGGUGGUGGCGGCACGAGAGUGUCCGACAUGGAGGCCUUGCCGCUCUCCUUCUCCAUGACGGGAGUCUCGGCGCCGGCUUCUCCAGUUUGCCCCGUGAACUCCGGGGGGGGGGGGCGCCGAAGACAGUAGGGUGACAAACUGCAUCGACUGGCGACGCGCGGCCUCCUCGGCUCGCUGCCUGGCCGCAGCAGCAGCGUCGGCCUCCUCCAGCUUUUUCUGGGUGGAGGCCGCCGCCUUCUCAGCCUCCGCUUUCUCCAAACGGGAGGCUUCCUCCUCGUAGCGCUUCUCCCGCGCGUUUCGCUCCGUCGCCUCCUGGAGGUCGGCGGCGGGGUCAAUCCACCGAGUGUUGGCGGACGUCUCCGCCGAUCCCAUGACGGAGGGGGCGACGACCCUCUCAAGGGAAAGGGGAGCCCUGAAGCAAAAAGCAAAUGAAAAAAGAAGACUCGGACAAGAUUCACCAAAGGAAAAUAAACAAGCGUAAAAACUUACGCAGAGACUAGCGGCGGCCUUCUCACUUCCCUACGGAAGCGGUUGGCCCUCACGGCCGCCUCCUCCCGCUUGGUCGUGGCGGCCGCCCCCUUGAGCUUCUUCGGCUUGCCGCCAAAUGAACUCGGCCCAGGCUGGCACCUCUUUAAGCCGCCUUGGCCGGCGGAGGAACCGGCGCCCGAUGAGCCGACCCUCGGCUGGUGGCACGGGGCGACUUCCCCUUCGGCGUCGUCAUCAGGCCAGUCGGCGAAGGUGGCCGAGGGCCUGAAGCCGCCUACCGCUCCUCCUCCCCCGCCUUCGGCGUCGGGUUCCAUCGCCGCCGCCCCCAAGUCGGGGUCGCCAACGUCACUCUCCGCUCGGUCGGGGACGAACUCGCGGGGCUGUCUCGUGGCGUCGGCUGAAGGCUGCAUGAGGGGGUUCUAGCUCAGAAGAAACCAACGAGAAUCAGAAGCCGGAUUUGGCCGCAAAGAAGACAAAACAAUAAGGAGAUGCGACUUACCACUGGUGGGGGGUUGUCGCGCGAGUACGGCUCCUUGCUGAACUGCCAGUCCUCCCUGAACUCGCAGUUCGAGAUAUGGUCCUCCAUGUUUGCCACCUCCGCGCGGGGCAUCUCCUUGGUGCUCAUCCGAAUUGGGUCUCGGAAUCCGCUCAUCUGACAGAUCAGGUGAGGCCGGCCUUGGAGCGGAAGAACUCGGCGCGCCACGAAGGCGGCCAGCAAGUCGGUCCCGACGAGGCCCUCCGACUGCGUCAAGACUCAGUCGCGCUACGGCGGCGGCUCCGGCGGGAGUCAGCAUCUUGACUCGAUGAGACCAGCUGGGGAGCCGGCUGCGUAAGCCGGCAGAUUAACCCAGUCGUCGUCGGAGGCGAGGUUCUUCACGUAAAAGUAUGAGCGCUGCCACAUCCUCACCAACUUGAUCAGGGAGAUGGAAGGGAAGGGGUUGUGAGCCGUCGAGCGCCGCAUCGCGAUGAAGGCACCGCACUGAGCCGGCACGCCGGCGACGUGCGUGCCGAGCUUAGAAGAGAAGAAUUCUCCCCACAGCUCGAUGGUGGGGAGAACGCCGAGGAAACCUUCACACAGAGUGGCGAAGGCAGAGAGCAGCACCACCGUAUUCGGGGUGAGGUGGUGCGGUUGGAGGCCGUGAAACUCCAAGAAGGAGCGGAAGAAGCCGCUCGCCGGCAGCGCCAGGCCACGCAUGAGGUGCGAGCGGAAGAUGACCCGCUCGCCCUCCUCCGGCGCCGGGGAUAUCUCAACCGCCGGUGCGGUGCGGGCUCGCACGAGGUGUGCGCCGGGGAGCCGGCGUGUCUUGCGGAGGAAUUCAAUGAGGUCGACGUCGACCUCCGAGCCGUCCCACGUGCCGGAACGCACGACCGGAGCCGCGGCGACGGAUGAGGAGCUCAUCGCUGGCUGGUGCAGUGUGGUUCUGCUCACCGGCGGCAAGAAGGAGAGAGGAAGCAAGAGGAGCGGGGGUCAGGGGAGAUGGGCGCGCGUGCUAUGCCGCUCCACUCCUCCCUACUUAUAGCCUUGGAGGCUGAGAAGCCGAGGGGGCGGGCGUGGGAUUAAGUGUGCCCAGAGCCCCACGCCGCCCCACGAUUUACCCCACGAAGUUACUGCACGCAGUAACAGCGUGAGAAUCCUAACCGUUCGCGCGGCCGCAGCGGAUCCGUUCGUGUGCCAAGGCGCGGUAGUGGCGGGCCCCGCCUGACAGCCUGUCCUGUCGCACGCGUGGGCCGGCAGACUGUCCCUGCCGCGUGGCGCCACGCGAUAGGGCCGCGGUGGGCGGCAGCAGGGAAGCGUAUCAGGCAUGCCGCCUGGUCUCCCGCCAUGACUUUCGAGCACUCCACAGAGCAGGACGGUACUCUACGAAUCCGACUCCGGAUAGUCGGCCAGGAGGAAGACCGUAAACGAAGCCCAGAUUCCACCACCGGAAGAGUGAAACUGUUGAGGCCCCCUAGCGAGUCACUCUCGGAGCCUCACCAGCUUCGGGGACUACUGUCGGAGUAAUGGGCCAUGCGUAGGCUGACCCGAGCCCCAGAACCUUUCAAGACAUUGGGGCAGGCCGCGCCCCUCAAAGCCGAGUCUCAGAUGACGACUCCCAGAUGGCCGAGUAUCAGAUUACGGCUCCCAGAUGGGCCGAGUCUCAGAUGGUGACUCCCAGAUAAGUCGAGUCUCAGAUGACGACUCCCAGAUGGCCGAGUCUCAGAUGACGACUCCCAGAUGGGCCGAGUCUCAGAUGGCGACACCCAAAUAAGCCGACUCAUGGCUGGCGACUUCCGGAGGAGCCGGCUAUGGAAAGUCGGCCCACGACUCUACACUCAUUACAAUAGACGGGACGGGUACGACCACGGCGUGGCCGUCACCUCCUGCUUGCGAGGAGCCGGCAUGGCUACAGUGCGCCGUACCGCCGGAGAUCUCCGGCGUGGCCCGACACUGUAGCCAUGCCAGACCUGACCUCCGCCACAGUGCGCAGCGCACUGUGGCCACGAUGGCCUGCCUAUACGGCUCGGGGACGGCGGACCCGCUAGUCAGUGGGAGCAUAGAAGACGGCGGAUACGCCCCGAAGGCGGCCCCGUGGGAGUCGGCUCCCCGGAGUCGGCCAGCCUCUCCCACGGGUCCCACGCGCCAUUAACCAGACAAGAUGGGGAGUAACGACAGUGAUCGCCCGAUAGACGGCGGCACAGUUGUCACGACCCAAUGACCAAGCCUGCGUCACCAGAAGCACAGCUACAGUGCCGGACUUGCCGGCGGGGCCCGCAAGUCGGCGGGCCCCAUCAGUCGGCAGAGAAGACGGCGACCUGUGAGACAGACGGCUGGGACACGCGCCCAGCCGGAUUACCAUUGUACCCCCGGGGGGUAGGCCUAUAUAAACCCCCUGGGACACCCAUGCAAAGGGUUCGAUCCAUGAGCCUUAGACCAGACCACAUAGGAAGAAGAAGGCUAGCCUUGCCUCCUUCCACCUCUAGAAUACAACUCUAGGAGCAACCUUGUACUCACUACGCCUUAGUGAUCAUGCGGAGACCCCUUAGAGCAGCAGUAGGGGUGUUAUCUCCCCGGAGAGCCCCGAAGCUGCGUAAGAUUCGUCGGCGUGCAUGCCUUCGCCUAAUCCCGUUUCCUGGCACCAGCGACGUUCUACUCGCUCCCACCAUGAUAAGCCAUCCUUUGGCAUAUGUCGCACCCAACCCCCGACAAUUCCGCGAAGAGAAACAUCCUUUGUUAGUGAUGCCCAUGCCGGAGGAAAAAUAUAAAAUAAACCUUAAGUUUGUAGACGAAAGCUAAAUCAAACCUUGAACUUUGAAUCCCUGAAAUCGGCACAGUGAACUAUAUGAUCCCGGUCUAUUAACUUUAAGCUUGUUUUCAAGGGGAUUGUCGACGUGGCAGGUAAGGCUAUGACUGGGCCGGCCCAUCAGGCGUGAAGCAUCUUUUUCUUUUUAGUAUCAUGCGACCUAAAAGUACCCAAGAGAAAAAAAAAUCACUAACAAGGAUUCGAGAACUUAGGACCUGCUGCUUCCAAGCUCAUACCGCUAACCACCCAAGCUAACAACUUUUGUUGUAAAAUGGAAGCGCGAACAUUUUUAAUAAGAUACUGCGGCGUCGAGAUUUGAAACAUUUAAUUUCGAAACAUUUUAAUGGUCAGCAAUUUUGAAAUCCAAGUGUUCUUAAAAGAAAAAGAGAAACACAAGGAAAUUUUGAAAACACAAACUAUUUUUUAAAUCCCCGAACAUUUUUUGAAGUCCAAACACUUUUAAAAAAGCAAAAAUAAUAAUAAUUGAAAACAUGAAUAAUUUUGAAACCUAAACAAAUAAGUGCGAAGAAUUUUCCAAGAUGAGAAUUUCUUGAAACAUAAACAUUUCUUUGUAAAAAUGUGAACAAAUUAUGAAACCUGGAUACAAUUUUAAUGUGAGAACACUUUCUAACUUUUUAAAAAUGGGAACAAAUUUUCAUAAAAAAUUUCGCACUUUCAUAUUUUGUUCAGCUUCCGAGAUAAUUCCUUUUAUAAAAGUGUUCGCACUUUAAAAAUCGUAGGGGAUUUCAAAAAUGGUUCACGUUUUCAAAUUUUGUUUGUGUAUUCCACAUAAUUCCAAAAAAUGUUCCGAUUUCAAAAUUGUUGACAAUUUCAAGAAAAUAUAUCUACAAAAUUCAGAAAUGUUUUCAAAUCUCGACGCUACUGUUUGUUGUAAAAUAUUUUCGCGCUUCUCUUUUAUCAACAACAGCUACGAGGUAGAUUGGCUAGAAAUCCCGGGUUUUAGCUGCAUGUCAACAAUCCUUGUUUGGGAAUGCACUUAAGGUUUAAAAUAGACCGGGAUCAUAUAGUUCGGUGUGCUGAUUUCAGGAAUUCAAAGUUCAGGGUUUGAUUUAGGUUUCGUCUACAAGUUUAAGGUUUAUUUUAGACUUUUACCAAUGCCGGAGGUACGUGGUGGUUGUGCCCCUGGAAAUGGAAGUUCUGUUGCUAGAUCAAACAUACAUUGAAGCUUAAGUUCCAUGGUAACUGAAAAAUACUUCCUCCAUUCGGAAAUACUUGUCAGAAAAAUGAAUGUAUCUAAGACGUAUUUUAAUUCUUGAUAUACUCAUUUUUAUCCAUUUCUGCGACAAGUAAUUUUAGACGGAGGGAGUAGUUGGUUUGGGUGAUGUUUUCAUGGUGUACCCUUCAAAUAGUGAGACUGGGCUUGUAACUACCAAGUCUAGUCAAGCCUAACUAACAAAAAGGGUUCUCUAUGAUCUGUCGUUGCAUGAGGUGUUUAAAGUAUUGGACAAAAGGUGAAGUGUCCUAUAGAACAUCAUAAUACUUUCUGAUAAGAAACAGGAAAAUUAAAAUGACCAGCAACACAUAACAAAAACAGGGUCUAAAACGAAAUCUUACCCUUGUGGAAACUUGCUGUCGGCCCGGGCUUCAACGCGGAGCCACCAGAGUAGGACCUUUUUCCCACAGUACCCCAACGGCUCAACAUAGGGCGCAUCCGGAGCCGGCAAAAUUUCGUGUUUUGACCCCUUUUAGAUACAAACUCAGGAUCUGACCCCAGUUCGGAAAAAAAUUCAUGAUUUAACCCUUUUUCUUACUGCCAGGGCAUAUGGCGGUAGGCUUGUACAUCCUACCGCCAGGGACCCUGGCGGUAGGGUAAUCCACGUCAGCACGCGGAAACGGCCGCCGUCCCCUCCGCCGCACCCUACCGUCAGGGCACCUGGCGGUAGGGUCCGAGCAGUUAUUUCGCCUGAGACCCCGCGCCCCUGCCCAUCUCCCCAGCCCUCCCCCUCCCCCCCGUCGACAGUUUCUCCCCUUUUCUCUCCCAAGUCGCCCCCCUCUUCCUCUCUCAUCUCCUCCACUCUUCCCCUCGGAUCUUCACCGAUUCUUCACCGUUUUAGCGGAUCGAGAUGGCCCCGAAGAGAGAAUCGUAAGCUCCUCCGAUCCCUCCAAUUAGUUUUUGCAAACUUGUUCUGAUUCGACGCAUUAUUUGCUCGAAAUCCCUCAUAUUUUUAAACUUAAAUUGGAUUAUUUAUUUUUACGUAAGAUUGUUUUAUUUGAUUGUAGUUCUAGUUCUUAGUUCUUUAGUAAGUAGUGGUAUUGAAUAUGAACUCUAAUCAAUAGUUCAUAUGUUAGUGUUAAAAAAAUUAUGAUGUAAUGCAUGUGGGAGGACUUGAUUGUAGUUUGAUGAUGCAUGUUGAUAUGAUGAUAUGAAGAUGUUGGAGGAAUUUUUUGUUUACAAAUAUGAUGAUAUGAUGCAUGUUGGAGGAUUUUUUUUGUUUAAAAAUAUGAUGAUAUGAUUCAUGUUGGAGUGAUGAUGUGCAUGUUGAUAUGAUGAUAUGAUGCAUGUUGGAGUGAUGAUGUGCAUGUUGAUAUGAUGAUUUUUUUUGGUGAUAUGAUGCAUGUUGGAGGAUUUUUUUUGAUAUGAUUAAUGUUGAUGUGAUUUGAUCCAUCAUGUGUAGUAGAUGUUGUAGGAUUUUAGUUUUGAUAUGAUGCAUGGUGAUAUGAUUUUGAUAUGAUGCAUGUUUAUGUAUGCUUAUGCUUAUGAUGUUUUUGUUUAUGAAAUUUUAUUAAGGCGGCCUCCUCUUGAGGACAACAUCAGCCCACGGUACUCCAUGCUGGACUGGGCAUUCGACAAGGGUCAUCGUGCCCGUUUCAUAAAGAACGGAGAGGUAAGUGAUAUGAAUGAAAUAUUGAUAAAAGUUUUCGGAUUGAUGAAAAUAAUUUCCUAACUUUUGGUGUUCACUUUUUGACAGAUGCUGCAGCCACUGCGCAUGAGGGGUCACGGGGUUCAUGGGCAUAUGGACUACGACGAGCGCUACGCGCCAUUCUUCAAGAGAGCCCGGUUGUUGGGUUUUGUGUUGCAGUUCAAGCGUCAGCCGCCAACGCUUGUCCACGCAGCUCUGACAGCUCUGAUUGACCGGUGGCGACCAGAUACCCAUUCUUUCCAUCUCCCAUACGGGAGAUGACGGUGACCCUCGAGGAUUGGUCGAUGAUUACUGCCAUGACGAUCGAAGGUCAUGCAUUGACCGGGCGAGUGGAGAGGACCAACUGGCAGGAGAGGGUUACCACCCACAUCGAUGGCUGCCCGAGGCUAAGGGUAACCGUACAUCCGGUGUGCCGUUGUCCUGGCUCUCGGAGCACCGGAAGACAUGCCCCCAAGAUGCCGAUGAGACGACUGUGGAGUGGUACGCGAGGGCCUACCUGUGAUAUCUGUUCUUCCUAGCCGACUUGGAUGCAGGGUACAGUUGGGGGACCGCAUCUCUCGCCUACCUAUACCGUUCGGUAAGAGAGUAUCUAAUUGCCUACCUACGAAAGUAUGUCCAUGACAUUUUUUAUAUCUGAUCCUCAUUUGAUUUUUUGCAGCUUGACAACGCAACGCAGAGGACGGGAGACAGGUCCAAUAUGGGUGGCUUUGUCUGGGCCUUCUCCAUUUGGAUGUAGGAGCGGCUGCCGGUGGGGCGUCCUGAGAAGUUGCCAAGACGCCCAUGGGUGCCUAUACCGAGGACGGCGACAAGGCUCAAUAUCCCACCAUAGCUUACGAGUGGGACGUUGUCAAACUCUACACGGGCCUAAACAAGACCUUGUACAAGACCUACACCAACGAGUUGGACGCUUUGACGCAUUGGCAGGUAUAUGAACUCGCUCAACACCUUUCUCUUGGAUUCCACUUUGGACCGAGAGUGGGAACUUAUCAAUGUAUAUGUAAUAGGUAAACUAGUGGUUGUAUCAUGACCGAGAGUGGGACUUUGAUCUGAACGGGAUGUGCGAUGAGGACCGUGGUCUCUGGCGGUGCAUCAUGCCCAUGAUCUGUGUGUACACCAUCGAGUGGCACUUGCCGCACCGCAUGGCCACGCAGUUUGGGAUGUAUCAGCAUACCCCCACCGGGCCAGCCCACUGAUACCGGCGGCCACGCGCUCCACUUGUGAGUGCCCGCGCUUGUUCUUCGUGCCCAUGAAUUCAUUGCGUUCGACUUUAUUAUGAUGUUUUUUGUUGCUAACGCCUUGCAGGAUGAGCCGGCAGAAGAAUCAGUCGAUCACAGACUGGGGAGAGGAGCAUAAAAAUCAUGUGAUGGAGUGGAACUGACGGAGGUACAAGAAAGACGGGGAGAGGAAAGUGACUGACUGGGAUGCUUACUUGGAGUGACACAUGAAGUGGUACGAUGAUGGCCAAAAGCACCGUCUUCGUCUUAGGCCUCGGUGGACGGUGGAAGACAUCACGGAGUUGGAGAGGAAUGACCCCGAGGAACAGGCCUACCAGACCGGCAUCAGAGACAUGCACAGUGGAUUUAGGAGUUUGCACCCCUCAUCAACAGAGUGGUAAGUUUGAACCGAUGAUUGUAUUUAAAUUAUUGUAUUCAUCAUCAUGACUGACUUAUGCCGUUGGAGUCUUGUGAGCUGAACAGAUGCAUCUUUGAAGCCUCAACUGCACUAGGUGAUGCCCCCGGGAGCGUUGAAUCUGAGAACAAAAUGAGGGGAACGAUGAAGGUACAAUUUCAGCCUCCUCGGAAGAGAUGCAUCUUGUUCACUUGCAAUCAUAAACCUGGUACUUAUUAUGCCCUUGUUUCUUUGUGAGUGCAUAAGUUCGUGAAGCAUUGUCGCAAGCUGGUAGGCCUGCUUGGGUGUGCUGGAGUUGGGUCGGUUGAAGCUUAUCAUCUCGGAGCCACCCAGAGUCACAUCGCCUCAUCGAGCCAUGCUCCCUCGUCGUUGAGGUUGGUUGAGAAGGAGGAGGAGGAGGAUGAGGAGGAGGCCACACAUGAAGAAAGGGAGGAGGAGGAUGAGCAGGAUGAGAGCAACGGGGAGGAGGAGUAUGAUGAAGAUUAUGGACCUCCAACAACUCAAUCAUCUCAAGCACCUCAGCUGGCGCCAAAGAGGAAUCCGAAGAAGAAUGAUUUGCUGAGUCUGGACCCUUUCCAGAGACGGUUACUUGACGACCCAAGAAGAAGGCUGAAGAGUUUCGUUCAAAGAGUAAUGAGGACCGUACCUCCAAGAGGGGAAGGAGCAACUAAUUCUGUUCUUGGCUCUUGUAGUUGGGUUGUCUAUGUGUUUGCUAUUUGGUUGAACUUCGUUUGGUUGAACUUGUCUAGUGGUUGUGAAACUACGUGGAACUAUGUGUUUGCUAUUUGUGGAUCUAUGUGUUUCCUAUUUGUGAAACUAUGUGAAACUCCAUUUACUAAUUAGUUGAAGUUUGUUUGAAAUGUUUUAUGCACUUCAAGUUUUGUUAAUGUGUAUGGGAUGUCCAAGUUUAAUUGUUUAAGAUCUAUGAUAUUACUGUCACAUUUUUUGAAACUUGUUGUGAUAUUGUUUUUGAAAAGAAGCAAGCAAAUGAACUUGAAAAAAAUAAAACACACCCUACCUCCAGGGACCCUAGCGGUAGGAUCACACAGCCUACCGCCAACCCCCCUGGCGGUAGGGUGAACCUACACUACAAAAAAAUACACUUCCAUGAUGAUACGUGUUGAUCCUACCGCCAACCCCCCUGGCGGUAGGGUGAACCUACACUACAAAAAAAAUACACUUCCAUGAUGAUUCGUGUUUGUCACAGUAGGUCGCGUUUUUUGUCAUGCAUGUACAUCCAUGACGAUUUUAUGAUAGAAUCAAGAUAGCCAUGCAUGUGCUGUCGUAGAAAUGUUCCAUGACAUUACCAAAAUUAUCAUCACGGAAGUGUCCACUUCCAUGGCGAUACAUCGCGCGUCAUAGAAGUGCUUUCGUCAAGGGUGACCGACACAUGGCAUCCACCGUAACGGAACACCGUUAAGCUAUCGGGUCGGGUUUUCGAUCCGAUAACCCGUUAACAGCCCCGACCAAUGGGGAUUUUCCACGUGUAAAAUCAUCAUUGGCUGGAGGAAACACGUGUCGGCUCAUCGUUGGGACAGAUGUCAUCCACUCAUUGGACAGAAGGCGCCUAUGAUACGUCGACACGUGGCACGACCCAUCAAGUUUAAACGGGUUGGCCCAAGUAAAGGCCCACAAGAUUUUGCGGACCAUAAUGGGCCGGCCCAGCUAAAGGCCCACGAGAUUUUGGCGGACCAUAAUGGGCUGGCCUAGCUAAAGGCCCACAAGAUUUCGCGGGCCAUAAUGGGCCGGCCCAGGUAAAGGCCCACAAGAUUUUUGUGUGCCAUAAUGGGCCGGCCCAGGUAAAGGCCCACAAAAUUCUUGCGGAUCAUAAUGGGCCGGCCCAGCUAAAGGCUCACGAGAUUUCGCCGACACUAAUGGCCCGGCCCAGCUGUAGGACCACAAGAUUUUGAGGACCCUAGUAGGUCGGCCCAUUAACUGGCUGCCAUGUUUUGUGCCAAAUGCCGGCCCAAAUUUCAUCCAGUCCAUUGAUGGCCUGCCACGUUUCGGGCCUAAUAAUGGCCCAUAUGAGAUCCGUCCUGUUAAAAGCCUCCCACGUUCUGGGCCAAAUCACGGCCCAGAUUAGGUCCGGCCCUUUAAGAGGUUUUGGCCUCAAUUAUGGCCCAUAUUAGAUUUGGCCCGUUAACUGGACGCUAUGCUUUUGGGCCCACUUGCUAAAGCCCCAUUUAGUAAUUCGGCCUGAUAUUAGUUUCGGCCUGUUAAGGGCCCAUUUAACAUUUCGGCCCUAUAUUAAUUUUGGCCUGUAAAAGCCCGUCAUAUAGUUGGGCCUAACUACGGACCGGUUUGCAUCCGGCCUGCUUGCAGCCGAUAUCUGAUUGGGCCAAACAAGGACCGAGACAAUUUUGGCCUGUUAAAAGCCCGUGAUUUGAUUCACACAAUCAUGACCUGGGGUCCUUUUCGGGCUGUUGCCGGCCCGUGAGCUGUUCGGCACAUUUCAGGCCCAACCUACUUCUCAGCCUCCUAAAAGCCCAUUGAGUUUUCUUUCGAAAAGAGGGCCGGGGUUUACUCGGCCUGUUAAAGGCCUGUUGGAAAUAUGCCCUAGAGGCAAUAAUAAAAGGAUUAUUAUUAUAUUUCCUUGUUCAUGAUAAUUGUCUUUUAUUCAUGCUAUAAUUGUAUUAUCCGGAAAUCGUAAUACACGUGUGAAUACAUAGACCACAAUACGUCCCUAGUAAGCCUCUAGUUGACUAGCUCGUUGGUCAACAGAUAGUCAUGGUUUCCUGACUAUGGACAUUAGAUGUCAUUGACAACGGGAUCACGUCAUUAGGAGAAUGACGUGAUGGACAAGACCCAAUCCUAAGCAUAGCACAAGAUCGUGUAGUUCGUUUUGCUAGAGCUUUUCCUUAGACCAUGAGAUCGUGUAACUCCCGGAUACCAUAGGAGUGCUUUGGGUGUACCAAACGUCACAACGUAACUGGGUGACUAUAAAGGUGCACUACAGGUAUCUCCGAAAGUGUCUGUUGGGUUGACACAGAUCGAGACUGGGAUUUGUCACUCCGUAUGACGGAGAGGUAUCACUGGGCCCACUCGAUAGUGCAUCAUCAUAAUGAGCUCAAAGUGACCAAGUGUCCGGUCACGGGAUCAUGCAUUACGGUACGAGUAAAGUGACUUGCCGGUAACGAGACUGAACGAGGUAUUGGGAUACCGACGAUCGAGUCUCGGGCAAGUAACGUACCGAUUGACAAAGGGAAUAGUAUACGGGGUUGAUUGAAUCCUCGACAUCGUGGUUCAUCCGAUGACAUCAUCGAGGAGCAUGUGGGAGCCAACAUGGGUAUCCAGAUCCCGCUGUUGGUUAUUGACCGGAGAGCCGUCUCGGUCAUGUCUGCAUGUCUCCCGAACCCGUAGGGUCUACACACUUAAGGUUCGGUGACGCUAGGGUUAUUAGGAAGACUUGUAUGUGAUAACCGAAUGUUGUUAGGAGUCCCGGAUGAGAUCCCAGACGUCACGAGGAGUCCCGGAAUGGUCCAGAGGUGAAGAUUUAUAUAUGGGAAGUUGUCAUGCGGACACCGGAAAGUUUCGGGGGCAUAUCGGUAUUGUACCGGGGCCACCGGAGGGGUUCCCGGGGUCCACCGGGAGGGGCCACCCCUCUCGGAGGGCCACAUGAGCCGCAAGGGGCAGCGAGCCAGCCCCUGGUGGGCUGGGUGCCCCCCCUGGGCCCAUGCGCCUAGGGUUGGGGGGAACCCUAGUGGGGGCGCCCCCCUUGCUUGGGGGGCAAGCCCCCCUCCCUGGCCGCCGCCCCCCCUCUAGAUCUCAUCUAGAGGGGGCCGGCCCCCUUCCCCCUUCCCCUAUAAAUAAAGGGGCGAGGGGAGGGCUGAACACCUGAUCCAAGGUGCAGCCCCUCCCCUCCCCAACACAUCUCGUCCUCCGUUGAGUGCUUGGCGAAGCCCUGUCGGAUUACUGCCUCUCCACCAUCAUCACGCCGUCGUGCUGCUGCUGGAGCCUUUUUCCUCAACCUCUCCUUCCCCCUUGCUGGAUCAAGAAGGAGGAGACAUCAUCCGUUCCGUACGUGUGUUGAACGCAGAGGUGCUGUCCGUUCAGCACUUGGUCAUCGGUGAUUUGGAUCACGACGAGUACGACUCCAUCAUCCCCGUUCCCUUGAACGCUUCCACACGCGAUCUACAAGUGGUAUGUAGAUGCAAUCUCUCUCCCAUGACUCGUUGCUUAGAUGAACUCAUAGAUGGAUCUUGCUGAAACCGUAGGAAAAAUUUUAAUUUUCUGCAACGUUCCCCAACAGUGGCAUCAUGAGCUAGGUCUAUGCGUAGUUCUCUAUUGCACGAGUAGAACACAAUUUUGUUGUGGGCGUAGAUCUUGUCAACUUGCUUGCCGCUACUAGUCUUUUCUUGCUUCAGCGGUAUUGUGGGAUGAAGCGGCCCAGACCGACCUUACACGUACGCUUACGUGAGACAGGUUCCACCGACUGACAUGCACUAGUUGCAUAAGGUGGCUAGCGGGUGUCGGUCUCUCCUACUUUAGUUGGAGCGGAUUAGAUGAAAAGGGUCCUUAUGAAGGAUAAAUAGAAGUUGACAAAAUCACGUUCUUGCUAGAACCCAAUUGCAGCCACGUAAAAGAUGCAACAACAAUUAGAGGACGUCUAACUUGUUUUUGCAGCAAUUGUCAUGUGAUGUGAUAUGGCCAGAAGUUGUGAUGAAUGAUGAAUGAUAUAUUGUGAUGUAUGAGAUCAUGUUCUUGUAAUAGGAAUCACGACUUGCAUGUCGAUGAGUAUGACAACCGGCAGGAGCCAUAGGAGUUGUCUUUAUUUUUUAUAUGACCUGCGUAUCAUUGAAGAACGCCAUGUAAAUUACUUUACUUUAUUGCUAAACGCGUUAGCCAUAGAAGUAGAAGUAGUCGUUGGCGUGACAACUUCAUGAAGACACAAUGAUGGAGAUCAUGAUGAUGGAGAUCAUGGUGUCAUGCCGGUGACGAAGAUGAUCAUGGAGCCCCAAAGAUGGAGAUCGAAGGAGCUAUAUGAUAUUGGCCAUAUCAUGUCACUACUAUAUAAUUGCAUGUGAUGUUUAUUAUGUUUUAUGCAUCUUGUUUACUUAGAACGGCGGUAGUAAAUAAGAUGAUCCCUUAUAAUAAUUUCAAGAAAAUGUUCCCCCUAACUGUGCACCGUUGCUAAAGUUCGUCGUUUCGAAGCACCACAUGAUGAUCGGGUGUGAUAGAUCCUUACGUUCACAUACAACGGGUGUAAGACAGAUUUACACAUGCAGAACACUUAGGGUUAACUUGACGAGCCUAGCAUGUACAGACAUGGCCUCGGAACACAGAGACCGAAAGGUCGAACAUGAGUCGUAUGGAAGAUACGAUCAACAUGGAGAUGUUCACCGAUGAUGACUAGUCCGUCUCACGUGAUGAACGGACACGGCCUAGUCGACUCGGAUCGUGUAACACUUAGAUGACUAGAGGGAUGUCUAAUCUGAGUGGGAGUUCAUUAAAUAAUUUGAUUAGAUGAACUUAAUUAUCAUGAACUUAGUCUAAAACUUUUGCAAAAUAUGUCUUGUAGAUCAAAUGGCCAACGCUCAUGUCAACAUGAACUUCAACGCGUUCCUAGAGAAAACCAAGCUGAAAGAUGAUGGCAGCAACUAUUCAGACUGGGUCCGGAACCUGAGGAUCAUCCUCAUAGCAGCCAAGAAAGAUUAUGUCCUAGAUGCACCGCUAGGUGAAGCACCCAUCCAAGAGAACCAAGACGUUAUGAACACUUGGCAAUUACGUGCUGAUGAUUACUCCCUCAUUCAGUGCGGCAUGCUUUACAGCUUAGAACCGGGGCCCCAAAAGCGUUUUGAGAAGCACGGAGCAUAUGAGAUGUUCGAGGAGCUGAAAAUGGUUUUCCAAGCUCAUGCCCGGGUCGAGAGAUAUGAAGUCUCUGACAAGUUCUAUAGUUCUAAGAUGGAGGAAAACAAUUCUGUCAGUGAGCACAUACUCAAAAUGUCUGGGUUGCACAACCGCCUGUCCCAGCUGGAGAUCAACCUCCCGGAAGAGGCGGUCAUUGACAGAAUCCUUCAGUCGCUCCCACCGAGCUACAAGAGCUUUGUGUUGAACUACAAUAUGCAGGGGAUGGUGAAGACCAUUCCUGAAGUAUUCUCAAUGCUGAAGUCAGCAGAGGUUGAAAUCAAGAAAGAACAUCAAGUGUUGAUGGUCAAUAAGACCACUAAGUUCAAGAAGGGCAAGGGUAAGAAGAACUUCAAGAAGGACGGCAAAGAUGUUGCCGCGCCCGGUAAGCCAGUUGCCGGGAAGAAGUCAAAGAAUGGACCCCAGCCUGAGACUGAGUGCUUUUAUUGCAAGGGGAAGGGUCACUGGAAGCGGAACUGCCCCAAAUACUUAGCGGACAAGAAGGCCGGCAACACUAAAGGUAUAUUUGAUAUACAUGUAAUUGAUGUGUACCUUACCAGUACUCGUAGUAACUCCUGGGUAUUUGAUACUGGUGCCGUUGCUCACAUUUGUAACUCACAGCAGGAGCUGCGGAAUAAGCGGAGACUGGCGAAGGACGAGGUGACGAUGCGCGUCGAGAAUGGUUCCAAGGUCGAUGUGAUCGCCGUCGGCACGCUACCUCUACAUUUACCUACGAGAUUAGUUUUAAACCUCAAUAAUUGUUAUUUAGUGCCAAGUUUGAGCAUGAACAUUGUAUCUGGAUCUCGUUUGAUACGAGAUGGCUACUCAUUUAAAUCCGAGAAUAAUUGUUGUUCUAUUUAUAUGAGAGAUAUGUUUUCUGGUCAUGCCCCAAUGGUCAAUGGUUUAUUCUUAAUGAAUCUCGAAUGUAAUGUUACACAUAUUCAUAGUGUGAAUACCAAAAGAUAUAAAGUUGAUAACGAUAGUCCCACAUACUUGUGGCACUGCCGCCUUGGUCACAUUGGUGUCAAGCGCAUGAAGAAGCUCCAUGCUGAUGGACUUUUAGAGUCUCUAGAUUAUGAAUCAUUUGACACAUGCGAACCAUGCCUCAUGGGCAAAAUGACCAAGACCCCGUUCUCCGGAACAAUGGAGCGAGCAACCAACUUAUUGGAAAUCAUACAUACUGAUGUGUGUGGUCCAAUGAGCGUUGAGGCUCGCGGACGAUAUCGUUAUGUUCUCACUCUCACCGAUGACUUGAGUAGAUAUGGGUAUGUCUACUUGAUGAAACACAAGUCUGAGACCUUUGAAAAGUUCAAGGAAUUUCAGAAUGAAGUAGAGAAUCAACGUGACCGAAAGAUAAAGUUCUUACGAUCGGAUUGUGGAGGAGAAUAUUUAAGUCACGAAUUUGGUACACACUUAAGAAAAUGUGGAAUCGUUUCACAACUCACGCCGCCUGGAACACCUCAGCGUAACGGUGUGUCCGAACGUCGUAAUCGCACUCUAUUGGAUAUGGUGCGAUCUAUGAUGUCUCUUACCGAUUUACCGCUAUCAUUUUGGGGAUACGCUCUAGAGAUAGCUACAUUCACUUUAAAUAGGGCACCGUCUAAAUCCGUUGAGACGACACCGUAUGAAUUAUGGUUUGGGAAGAAACCUAAGCUAUCGUUUCUAAAAGUUUGGGGAUGCGAUGCUUAUGUCAAGAAACUUCAACCUGAAAAGCUCGAACCCAAGUCGGAAAAAUGCGUCUUCAUAGGAUACCCUAAGGAAACCAUUGGGUAUACCUUCUACUUAAGAUCCGAAGGAAAGAUCUUUGUUGCCAAGAACGGAUCCUUUCUGGAAAAAGAGUUUCUCUCGAAAGGAGUAAGUGGGAGGAAAGUAGAACUCGAUGAAGUACUACCUCUUGAACCGGAAAGUAGUGCAGCUCAGGAAAAUGUUCCUGUGGUGCCUACACCGACUGGAGAGGAAAUUAAUGAUAAUGAUCAAGGUACUUCUGAUCAAGUUGCUACUGAACUUCGUAGGUCCACAAGGACACGUUCCACACCAGAGUGGUAUGGCAACCCUGUCCUGGAAAUCAUGUUGUUAGACAACGGUGAACCUUCGAACUAUGAAGAAGCGAUGGCGGGCCCAGAUUCCAACAAAUGGCUACCAGCCAUGAAAUCCGAGAUAGAAUCCAUGUAUGAAAACAAAGUAUGGACUUUGACUGACUUGCCCGAUGAUCGGCGAGCGAUAGAAAAUAAAUGGAUCUUUAAGAAGAAGAUGGACGCGGAUGGUAAUGUCACCAUCUAUAAAGCUCGACUUGUCGCUAAGGGUUAUCGACAAGUUCAAGGGAUUGACUACGAUGAGACUUUCUCUCCCGUAGCGAAGCUUAAGUCCGUCUGAAUCAUGUUAGCAAUUGCCGCAUACUAUGAUUAUGAGAUAUGGCAGAUGGACGUCAAAACGGCAUUCCUUAAUGGGCAUCUUAAGGAAGAACUGUAUAUGAUGCAGCCAGAGGGUUUUGUCGAUCCUAAGAAUGCUAACAAAGUAUGCAGGCUCCAGUGAUCCAUUUAUGGGCUGGUGCAAGCAUCUCGGAGUUGGAACAUUCGCUUUGAUGAGAUGAUCAAAGCGUUUGGGUUUAUGCAGACUUAUGGAGAAGCCUGCGUUUACAAGAAAGUGAGUGGGAGCUGUGUAGCAUUUCUCAUAUUAUAUGUAGAUGACAUACUUUUGAUGGGAAAUGAUAUAGAAUUCUUGGACAACAUUAAGGCCUACUUGAAUAAGUAUUUUUCAAUGAAGGACCUUGGAGAAGCUGCUUACAUAUUAGGCAUCAAGAUCUGUAGGGAUAGAUCGAGACGCCUCAUAGGUCUUUCACAAAGCACAUACCUUGAUAAGAUUUUGAAGAAGUUCAAAAUGGAUCAGUCCAAGAAAGGGUUCUUGCCUGUACUGCAAGGUGUGAGAUUGAGCUCGGCUCAAUGCCCGACCACGGCAAAAGAUAAAGAAGAGAUGAGCGUCAUCCCCUAUGCCUCAGCCAUAGGAUCUAUUAUGUAUGCCAUGCUGUGUACCAGACCUGAUGUAAACCUUGCCGUAAGUUUGGUAGGAAGGUACCAAGUAAUCCCGGCAAGGAACACUGGACAGCGGUCAAGAAUAUCCUGAAGUACCUGAAAAGGACAAAGGACAUGUUUCUCGUUUAUGGAGGUGACGAAGAGCUCGUUGUAAAGGGUUACGUCGACGCUAGCUUCGACACAGAUCUGGAUGACUCUAAGUCACAAACCGGAUACGUGUAUAUGUUGAAUGGUGGAGCAGUAAGCUGGUGCAGCUGCAAGAAGAGCGUCGUGGCGGGAUCUACAUGUGAAGUGGAGUACAUGGCAGCCUCGGAGGCAGCGCAUGAAGCAAUUUGGGUGAAGGAGUUCAUCACCGACCUAGGAGUCAUACCCAAUGCGUCGGGGCUGAUCAAACUCUUCUAUGACAACACUGGAGCUAUUGCCCUUGCCAAGGAGCCCAGGUUUCACAAGAAGACCAGGCACAUCAAGCGUCGCUUCAACUCCAUCUGUGAAAAUGUUCAAGAUGGAGACAUAGAUAUUUGCAAAGUACAUAGGGAUCUGAAUGUCGCAGAUCCGUUGACUAAACCUCUCUCCCGAGCAAAACAUGAUCAACACCAGAACUCUAUGGGUGUUCGAUUCAUCACAAUGUAACUAGAUUAUUGACUCUAGUGCAAUUGGGAGACCGUUGGAAAUAUUGCCUAGAGGCAAUAAUAAAAGGAUUAUUAUUAUAUUUCCUUGUUCAUGAUAAUUGUCUUUUAUUCAUGCUAUAAUUGUAUUAUCCGGAAAUCGUAAUACACAUGUGAAUACAUAGACCACAAUAUGUCCCUAGUAAGCCUCUAGUUGACUAGCUCGUUGGUCAACAGAUAGUCAUGGUUUCCUGACUAUGGACAUUAGACGUCAUUGACAACGGGAUCACGUCAUUAGGAGAAUGACGUGAUGGACAAGACCCAAUCCUAAGCAUAGCACAAGAUCGUGUAGUUCGUUUUGCUAGAGCUUUUCCAAUGUCAAGUAUCUUUUCCUUAGACCAUGAGAUCGUGUAACUCCCGGAUACCGUAGGAGUGCUUUGGGUGUACCAAACGUCACAACGUAACUGGGUGACUAUAAAGAUGCACUACAGGUAUCUCCGAAAGUGUCUGUUGGGUUGACACGGAUCGAGACUGGGACUUGUCACUCCGUAUGACGGAGAGGUAUCACUGGGCCCACUCGGUAGUGCAUCAUCAUAAUGAGCUCAAAGUGACCAAGUGUCUGGUCACAGGAUCAUGCAUUACGGUACGAGUAAAGUGACUUGCCGGUAACAAGACUGAACGAGGUAUUGGGAUACCGACGAUCGAGUCUCGGGCAAGUAACGUACCGAUUGACAAAGGGAAUAGUAUACGGGGUUGAUUGAAUCCUCGACAUUGUGGUUCAUUCGAUGACAUCAUCGAGGAGCAUGUGGGAGCCAACAUGGGUAUCCAGAUCCUACUGUUGGUUAUUGACCGGAGAGCCGUCUCGGUCAUGUCUGCAUAUCUCCCGAACCCGUAGGGUCUACACACUUAAGGUUCGGUGACGCUAGGGUUAUUAGGAAGACUCGUAUGUGAUUACCGAAUGUUGUUCGGAGUCCUGGAUGAGAUCCUGGAUGUCACAAGGAGUCCCGAAUGGUCCGGAGGUGAAGAUUUAUAUAUGGGAAGUUGUCAUACGGACACCGGAAAGUUUCGGGGGCAUAUCGGUAUUGUACCGGGGCCACCGGAGGGGUUCCGGGGGUCCACCGGGAGGGGCCACCCCUCUCGGAGGGCCACAUGAGCCGCAAGGGGCAGGGAACCAGCCCCUGGUGGGCUGGGCGCCCCCCCCUUGGGCCCAUGCGCCUAGGGUUGGGGGGGGAACCCUAGUGGGGGCGCCCCCCUUGCUUGGGGGGCAAGCCCCCCUCCCUGGCCGCCACCCCCCUCUAGAUCUCAUCUAGAGGGGGCCGCCCCACUUCCUCCUUCCCCUAUAAAUAGAGGGGCGAGGGGAGGGCUGAACACCUGAUCCAAGGCGCAGCCCCUCCCCUCCCCAACACCUCUCCUCCUCCGUUGAGUGCUUGGCGAAGCCCUGUUGGAUUACUGCCUCUCCACCAUCAUCACGCCGUCGUGCUGCUGCUGGAGCCUUCUUCCUCAACCUCUCCUUCCCCCUUGCUGGAUCAAGAAGGAGGAGACGUCGUCCGUUCCGUACAUGUGUUGAACGCGGAGGUGAUGUCCGUUCAGCACUUGGUCAUCGGUGAUUUGGAUCACGGCGAGUACGACUCCGUCAUCCCCGUUCCCUUGAACGCUUCCGCACACGAUCUACAAGUGGUAUGUAGAUGCAAUCUCUCUCCCAUGACUUGUUGCUUAGAUGAACUCAUAGAUGGAUCUUGGUGAAACCAUAGGAAAAAUUUUAAUUUUCUGCAACGUUCCCCAACAAGGCCCGAAUCUACUAGUGGGCCAGUUUGACGGGGCCCAUGAUGCGGAUCAUACAUCAUGAUUACAUGACAGCCCGAUUAUGUACCGUAAUUUUACGGUUUGGCCGCUUUACUGCAAAGAGAGGAUAUAUAUAUAUAUACAGUAAAAUAACUGCAUCGUGAAUAAGAAAAACCUAGACUAUACAAUAAAGAAAUUACGCCAUAUUACAUCCACUGGGCAUCAAAGUUCGCCACUAUGAUAAUAAAGCACAAGCAGACAUCAGAUUACAUACACUGGGCAUCAAAGAUCGCCACAGUGCAAAUAAACAAGCCGACAAAAUAAUAUACAAAACCGACAGCAGUCCAAUAGAGUUCAAGAAAGGUUAGCCCUGCUGGCGUGCUGCAGCGCAAGCACCUGAGCAAGAUGAUGAGACUCCGCUUGUUCAACACUUAUAUCUUCCUCACUCUGAAAGAUAAACAAGCAGACAGAUGAAAGGUUUUGCACAUAAAAGUAUCAGUGCUGACAAUUCAUCACAUUUCUUACUGACAAAUAAAGUGACAUAGUUUAAAAAUGCAUUAACACAAUAUGGUAUUGUUCAGGUCAAGACAUGACAGGAAAUGACAUUGUGAAGGAGUUGGCAGCUUCACGACACCACUGGAUUACAGAUCAAGAACUCAUAAGUAUCAAUGGUUAGUGUGCUGUCAAUUUAUCCUAUUUCAGAUUGGCAAAUACAGAGACGGUUUAAAUAAUAGUAGAAUGAUAUGGCAUUUUUCAUAGUUAAGACAUUGCAGAAUAUGACAUUAUGCUGUAGUGGGUAGGUUCACCACACCAUUGGAUUAUGGAUGAAGAACAGAAGCAUACAUGCAGUGCAAAAGAAGAUCACUUGCUCUGUAUAGUUUAAUUUACAUGGUAUGAAGAAGGAACUUGGUUGUACAACUGAAAACUUAAAUUGAGAAGGACAAACUUUUGUUUAUGAACUACUCCCUCCGUUCCUAAAUAUAAGUCUUUUAGAGAUUUCAAUAUGAACUACAUAUGGAUGUAUAUAAACAAAGUUUAGAGUGUAGAUUCACUCGUUUUGUUCUGCAUGUAGUCCAUAUUGAAAUCUUGAGAAAGACUUAUAUUUAGGAACGGAGGGAGUACAUAAUAAACUUUAAACAUGCAAUUUGAUGCAAACACCAAAAAUAAACAGUUGUUGCAUUCAUGCCUAACCAAAUAUACACAACAAAGUUUGAAGGCUUGAGAAGGACAAACUUACAUUACUGGUGAAAACAAGCUCUAUAAAUCCCAUGUCCAUGCUGAUGGGGGGGGCAGUUAAAGAAGUUUACCACAGAAUCUUCUUCAUAAGCAUUGCUUUUAUUCUACAUUUUGUUAAGAGUAUAUAUACACAUGAUAAUAUACGAAAAAAUGGAGAAUAUUUAAGAUAAGAUGAAGAGUGAUGCUACAUAACCAAGUAGCUAUAAAUGUAUGUGCAGCGAUACAGGCAAAAGGCACAAGCCAAGAGCAAUGCACAACUAAACUUCUUCAGUACCAACCUUAUGGUAAGAGUAAAUAUAGAUCUGAUGUGUAGAAAAUGGAGGGCAAAGGAAAAUAAGCUACAGAGUGAUGGUACAUGAACAACAACCUGUCAAUAUAAGUACACUGAUAAAGGACAUCAUGUACUUACAAGAACAAUGCAGAGCUAAAAAAGUCAUUGGCAUUGGAUAUAUUCUACACUAAUGUAACCAUUCAUACAAAUCAGAUAAUUUGGAGCGAACAAUUGAUAAUCCUCCGCCACCCCCACCCCCACCCCCGCCCCAACCCCCACCCGCGUCGAGUUUUCUUCAUUCGGCGAGGCCCCACAACCACCCGAGACCCUUCGUUCGCACCGGCGAACUCCGGCGAGCUCUGAAAAAUUUAGUCUACUGUGAUUUAACUAGUGUGGAAUAUAAAAGGGGAAAACCAUAAGCAUUGGGAGUAUAGUGUUGAGCGUGCCAUGGCGGAUCUGAAGGUGCAAACUGGACAAAGGCAACUUCGCAACCAAGACAAGAAAUCAGAGUAAAGAAGUGGCGAUCUAUUUUCUUGCUGCGAUAAAUAAGUUGAGAAGAUACGAUAGAGUACCGCCUCUGGUGCGGCGUCGUGUAUGCAUCUGCUGAGAAUUUGACGAUGCUGCGGUAGCGAUGGCUGUCGGUAGCGUGGAACUAGAUCUAGGAGGGUAGACGGUGGCGGCGGGGCCCGGUGGACGAGACGGUCGUAGGAGCGGCGUCGGCAAGGUGGACGACGGCGGGGAUGAAGCGAGAGGACGGGAUGCAAGGAUCCCGGUCCGAAGCCGUGGAUGAGAGAGGUCGAUCUCUUGUAAUGGUCGGCGGCGUUGGGGUAUCAGCUCCGGCAUGGUGGAGGAGGACGGCGGUGGAUGGGGUGGUGGACGGCGGCGGACGAAGGAGGGUGGGGUGGAAAGGGUGUUUUGGCGCCCACGGAGUAUGAAUGGGGAAAAGGGAGGUAGAGAGGAAGGGGGGAACCAUGUAUUCAGGGCGCGCUUGUCUCAAAUGCGAGGAAAUUUACAAACUUAGCCCCCGUUUCAAAUUUCUACUACAUCCCAGCAACAUUAGUCGGUUGGGGAUAGGACGGUAAUCUCGCAUGCACCGAAUAUUUGCCGACGAGAGUUUGUUUUUGGCGCCCACCGUGUAUGAAUAUGAAUCGGGGAGGGAGUCGAUUUUGGCCGAGGACACAUUGUGUUUUGGCGCCCACCGUGUAUGAAUCCGGAUGAGAGGCGGUUACGUCACAUUUGGGUGAAAUUACAAACCUACCCCUAUCUAAACCUAUAGAAAUCCAGCAGAUAGGCUUUGCGUGGCAGGGAUAGGCAGUAGUAAUUUCCAUCUCGCAGGUUUUGGUUUCGGGCGGUUACUGCGACUUUCCCCGCUUCGUUCAAAUUUUGCAGAGUGCACGUUUAUGCUCGUGCCAACUCAAUUCGGAUCCCGUUUGUAUUCUAUUUUUUUCGGGCGGGAUCCAUUUUCAAUUGGAAUUACAUUCUAUAUACAUCAUUUUUUUAUAUAUACUUUCAAAAGCACAACACCAUUUAUACAUAAAUAUGGUUUACAAAUGACAUGAUCUCAGAUUCAUAAGGUUGUAUCCAUCAAUUUGGAUUUUCAAAUAUUUGAAACCACUUUAUGUUGAAAUCCAAUGUAUGCAUUCCUUGCUAACUGUCUCCAAUUAAUGUGUGUUUCAUGCAGGUUUUUUUUACUUCUCAAACAUGUAUAAUGUGUUUCACACACGCAACAUAUAAUCCCGUUUAGACAUUAAUUGCAAAUAAACCAUGCAUUGUUUGUAAUUAAAGAAUCUAUGGAUCACCAAUAUUGAUAAACUAUAUAACAUUACACGUGUGCCCAAAUUCAAAUGAAUAUGUAUGUUUGAUACACCAAUUUGUGUUAUGAUAUUAUCGAUGUCGUGAUCUCCAAUUUAAAUAUUUGAAUCCCCUUUAAUCCAGAUAUUUGUCUCAUAUAUCUAUCACUCAUGCUUAUAUAGGACUAUCUCUCUGGACCUAUACGCGUUCAUCGCCUCUCAGGUAUCUCUCGUGCUACCUGUAUGCCGACAAUGAUCUUUUAUCUUCAUAACACACUAACGGUACUCUCUCCCUCGACCUUCAUCAUUCUAUCUCUCUCUAAGUAUAUCUCUCUCCCUUCUAUGUGUCUCUAACUAUGAUUCUCCAUGUGGAAUCUCUUUCUUUCACACAAACACAAACACAAACUCUGUCUCCCAGGGUCUCAUAUUUCUCCAUGUUCUCUUGUAUGUCGCUCACACACACACUCUCUCCCUAGAUAUAUCUUGCAUUCCCUCAUAUGUCUCUCUAGCUAUCAGUCUCGUUGUGAAAUAUCUUUCUCUCUCGCAGACACAAAACUCCAUCUCUCGGGAUCUCGUUUCUCUCUGAUAUCUGUUUGUAUGUGACUCACAUGCACCGUCUCUCUAUCUCUCUCACACCCACACACAUAACUCAGCCUUCUGAUCCACUCGACUCUUGUCUCUAACGCACACUAGCUAGCAUCUUUAUCUUUCUAUUUAUCUGUUUCUCCAUCAACCUUCUUUCUCGCCCUCACUCUUGAUUCCUAUCACGCACACUACAUAUGUUUCUCUCUACAUGCAGUCAAGUGCCCUCUCACACACAUAUAUAACUUCACCCUCUGAACCACCCGGCGGUCAUCUCCAACACCCAAACUAGCGGAUGUCCCUCUAUCUAGCAUAUCCAUCUCUGUAUAUCUAUAUGUAGUUUCUCCGUUGACAUUUCUUUCUCACACGGAGUCUUGCUUCCUAUCACCCACACUAUAUAUGUCUCUCCAUACAUAUGCAUUUAUAGGUUGAUCUCUUUUGCACAAUCGUUGUGCCUCACUCCCUCUGCUCGCCAUAGAUGCAUGCUCCAGCCCACGCCACUAUCUCUUAAAGACAAAAACACAUGCUCAAUUGUCGGGCCUUCUUCCCUGCAUUCUCACAUGCAUGCAUAUUGUCAUACCGAUCCGUCUCUCCCAUGUCGUUGAUCUUAUGACUUAUUUCUUCUUUCUUUUAUCUCGAUCAUGCGCGUGCGCACACACACACAUCCCACGUAUACAUGUAUACCUCUCACACAUGCACGUUCAAGGUCUCUAUGUCUCCAUACGUAGUUAACUACCCUCAAUCCUAACGCCACAUCGAAUCGUUCUCCUCUUUUGUGCACAUAACUUCCGCCUGGAUGGGUAAAACACACACUCACACUUAACAAUCUCCUUCUAGCUACCCCCCCNNNNNNNNNNUCUCUCUACAUGCAGUCAAGUGCCCUCUCACACACAUAUAUAACUUCACCCUUUGAACCACCCGACGGUCAUCUCCAACACCCAAACUAGCGGAUGUCCCUCUAGCUAGCAUCUCCAUCUCUGUAUCUAUCUGUAGUUUCUCCGUCAACAUUUCUUUCUCGCACGGAGUCUUGCUUCCUAUCACCCACACUAUAUAUGUCUCUCCAUACAUAUGCAUUUAUAGGUUGGUCUCUUUUGCACAAUCAUUGCGCCUCACUCCCUCUGCUCGCCAUAGAUGCAUGCUCCAGCCCACGCCACUAUCUCUUAAAGACAAAAACACAUGCUCAAUUGUCGGGACUUCUUCCAUGCAUUCUCACAUGCAUGCAUAUUGUCAUACCGAUCCGUCUCUCCCAUGUCGUUGAUCUUAUGACUUAUGUCUUCUUUCUUUUAUCUCGAUCAUGCGCGCGCGCGCACACACACAUCCCACGUAUACAUGUAUACCUCUCACACAUGCACGUUCAAGGUCUCUAUGUCUCCAUACGUAGUUAAUUACCCUCAAUCCUAACGCCACAUCGAAUUGUUCUCCUCUUUUGUGCACAUAACUUCCGCCUGGAUGGGUAAAACACACACCACACUUAACAAUCUCCUUCUAGCUACCCCCCGCCUCUCACUCUUCCCCUAUAUCCCCGAAACCAAUAAUACCAUCCCUUAGUUUAAUUCCUGCCUACAUGCACCAUCGAUAUAUAGUAGUCUUCCUCGGUGUCUCUCGAACAAACACGUUCUCUCGAAGUCGACUCCUCUCACGUGCACACACCUUCUCUUCCCUCUCUACGGGCAUUUUCUCUCUCGCACCCCAUCGUUGGUGGCCUCUGCCAUACACAUCACCUCUCUAUGAUGAAAGCCAUGCACACUUAAAUUACAUCCACCACAGAGGACCUCGCGACACACACACACACGCACGCACCCCCCCAACACACACACACACACUAAGACUCCAUCUCUCUCUCUCUCACACACACACAAACACACACACACACACACACGCAAGCACGCACGCCCCCCACACACACUNNNNNNNNNNCACACACCCCACACACUAAGACUCCAUCUCACACACACAUGCUCUAGGCGGAGCAUUUGUUCCUACCACCCUUCAUCCAACCUUACCCGUAUGAUAAACAAUCACCUUUAUUUACUUACAUAACAUGGAAAAAUUCCACUUUACUUUAGUAAUCAGCAAACUUAUCAUAUGUACCCUUAUAAAAAAUGAGUUGGCGAUGAUGGUGUGCCUGCCAUCUUGUAAUACACACCGUAUGAUCUAUAUCUGGCGGAUAGAAAGCAAACUAUGAUAAUUUUACAAAAGAUACCCGCACCUCUCUCCACAUCAUUAUCUCCCACAACCUCAUUGCUCAGCAAUUAAAAAAGGAAUAAGUCUCUCGAACAAUCUAGCAUGCAUGGUGGCCGCUGUCGCCUGCCGGCGCCGUCCAUCCCCAUGCCUCCGCCCAUUCCGACCACCAGUCACCACCACGCUCCACUCCUCCUCGCCUUAUCUCUCAUCUUUCAUUUUUUCGAUGACAUUCUCGAGAUACCAGUUUUCCGCUAAAAUUCUCGAGAUAUCAUUAGUUUUUACACAUGGGAUUACUCCUGCAUGGGUCAAUCACAAUAGGUGUUUUGUAAAAAAAAUGCAUAUUGAUGUUCCGUGCAAUGCACGAGAAUCUUGCUUGUAAUUAUAUAACGCAAAUCACGAGCAGGAAGUGACAUUUUUUUGACACAACCACGUUAACAUGGCCACAUAAAUCACUAGCUAAAGUAAAUACCAUUAUACUUAUAUCCCGAUGCAAAAGGUUGAGUACAUGUCCGAAGAGUAGAGUCGCACACACGCACUCUGUCUCUCAGAAUCUCUCUCACACACACACCAGUUAUGUGACGCCCACUUAAGCAGACAUGUAUGUUACAAUUUGUGCACCCGCGGGUACACGUGAUGCUGCGCAUUUAUUUAAGCCGGUAGGCGAACCCAAACAGUAGCUGCAUUCAUUUGCCUCCCGCCGCCUCUUCUCUGGUCGCCGUCGCCCGGUAGCCAUGGCCCGGCCGAAGGUACCAACAUACGCCAUACUCCCGCCGAAGUGCGCUUUAAUAUGGAAAUUUUUGUGGUCAUGCAUGCAUCUUUUUGUGCUAGCACUCCUAUAUAAGGGUUGGCCGGUCGCUUCCCGCGGACGUGCGUGGGUGGUGGAAGAGGAAGGAGAAGGGAAGCGGGUUGUGGAGUAAUAUUUUUUAACACAAUUUCUUAGGAAACUGAGUGCAAUAAUUAAGUAGUUUUGCAAACUACCAGUACUACACCUGAAACGGUUCAAAACCUAUACUCCCUUGCCAGUGUGUGCUUCCCGCAUGAAACGGUCAGCGUCGCCCUAGAGUGUCAGUGCCGCAUUAAUGCUCGGCAAGAGCGGAGGCGACCUCUCACUAGCGCCGGCUUUGAAGUGGCGCGACGGCCAAGAGAGCGCCGCUUCCCAGUGCACGCGACUGCUCCGCGUCGAGACUGGCCAUAGGCCCUGUUUGGAUCCAUGGGUUAGAGUUAGUUUGAGCUAGUUGGGGCUCAAAUAGCCCUAAAGUAUCCAAGCAUGAGGGUUUAAAUUGGAGCAAGUUGCACCGAACCCACCAAAAAAAACUAUCCCACCCAAGAGGUGCUAACUGGAGAUAGUUCUCAUUGGGACGACUGAAAAAUCACUUUUCUCUCUCCAUCAAGUGCAUUUAUUGUCAAUCUAACCCUGUCACCCAAACACCUCUUUGGCUACAGUUAGUUCAGGGUUAGUCAUGAGUUAGUCUAACCUCUAGCUAAGUUAGAGUUUCAAAUAGGAGCAGUAUAGGACAUGCAAGUUGCUCAAAGCAUACAGGCAAAUUCGUAUGUGAAAGGAUUUUUUUUAUUUUUGAAAACGGAACGUGAAAGGAAUUUUUUUAGAAUGCUCUUGGCAUGUCGCUAACAUGUGAUGAGUUAACCGACCUCAAUAGACGGCAAAAAUGCCAGCCCGCCGCACUUUGAUAGAGACGAGGAGGGAGAAGCGAUACAGGCUGCUGGAUUACUAGAGAUAUGUGUCGCAUAGAAGCCAAGAAAUAUGGUGAUAGGGUGGGUUAGCCAUGUACUAGUAUGAUGUAACUACACUAGGCUGCCGUGUUUCGUACUCUUCCAGUCCACCAUGGAGAUGUUUGGUUAAUUUUAUAUCGCUGAAUAAUAUUAAAUAUUAUGAGUGCAGACGCUCCACCACGAGGUUCCUUGCUCCUUCUCGGUCGUCUAGAAUCUAUGUUUUUCCACUCUAUUUUUUUACGUGAGCUUUGUCCAUCCUUUUGCCAACACGUGAGACAUCUAGCAUCAAGGUGCACAUGUUAUGCAAGGAUCGUUCCGUCUAUAUGAAGAACAUGUGGGACUGGAACUACGAGACGGACAUGUACCCAGGAGUGGACGUACGAACCUGAGUAAUGUAGCCCGGUAAGUGAAGUAAAAAGGCACAAAUGGUAUGAACAUGCAUGGCAUAUAGGGUGUGUUUCGUUAUGUUCUGGUCUCAGCAUAGUUGUUCCCUCUUCAUGCAUGCUCAACUCAACACCCCUCUUCAUGCAUGCUCAACUCAACACCCCUCUUCAUGCAUGCUUCUAGUGUAUUUGUACUAAACUAGUGUGGACUCAUGCACCCUCCAUACACUCUACCAAACACCCAAAAGUGGGUCGAGAAGGGAACUAUUGGGCGGCAUUUGUCUCUUACUAUGUACUUCCACUAAAUGUUGUAUGUGCAAUGCACAGUGAUGUUAUGGAGUACGUGCCUAAGUACUCUACUACUACUAUAUUAGUUGGAGGCACAUAUUAACUUUUAUAUUUGUUUAUGUGUAUGCCCCGAGACCUUCCUACUAGACGUGUCUUUCUCUACAGGUCGCACUUUGUAUCGUUCAUUCCACUAAGUACUACUACGUGGGGUGAGUGUAUGCGCGUGUAUAUGAGCGCAUGUGUCUAUAGUGAUGCUCAAAAAAAAGUACUACUACGUGUGGUCUCCGACCCAGAAGUGGAAGAAGUGGAGAUGCUCUACCAUGCUAUUUUUUUACGCUGGGCUCUACCAUGUUGUUCAUGUCCCACUCCUUUCGCUGACGUGUGGGACAUCCAGCACGUGCCAUGUUUGGCACCCUUCAUCGUAAGAGUUGAAACGCUAGCAUUCAUCAGAAAUAAAAAAUAAUUAUAAAUCAACAGUGAUACUAUUUUUUACGAACCAAUCAGCAGUGAUACUAUACCACGUGGUUUCCUUGCUCCUCGAUAUCGAAAAGAAUACUCCCGUUCGCCAACAUGUGGGACGUCGACCAUCCUGGUCCACUUGCCAUGCACGCAGAACUCCAAGGGAGAGUCACUCAGGUCGUCGCGCCGCAGUAACAAUGACUAAUGAGCCGUCAAAUCAUAGGCCCACUUCCCACUUUGAAGUUGCUCGGACGAAGGAACCAUCAUGACUUUGUUGAAUUCCGCUUCUUGAAGAAAACUACUGUACCAGCAGUACUGCUAGCUACAGUAGUUACUCCAACAGAGGCCUCCUUUAGUUCAUAGGAUAGGAAUUUUAUAGGAAUAUGAAAAUCAUAGGAAGUGAGAUGACAUGCAUCUCAAUUCCUAUAGAGAAAGAGAUGCCAUUUGAUGCAUAGGAUAGGAAUUUUUCCAUUUAGUCUAGGCUAAUGUACUGGUAAUUUGCUCUAAAAACUACAGUAGUAACUAGUAGUACCGGUACAUGCUCGUACUCAGACAUACACACACACACUAACUACUACUACUACUACUACUUCUCACAUGCUGGCCAAACGCCGUCGUUCUCCUUCCCGGCUUUGUUGGUGACACCCCACCAUGCUUGGAUCUUCGCCGACCUCUCCGCAGAAGCGCGUGCGUCCUUUUCUUUCUUGCGUCGACGGGCCUCUCUUUUCUUGAGUGCUUUCUGACUUUUCCACUCCCUCUGUGCGGCUUUGGCCGCCUCUUGCUCUAUCGCCCAUUCGGCCUUGGCAUCUUCAAAUUCCUCCCACAUAGUUGUGAGGUCGCGAGCGGCGAUGAACUCGGCAUGGCGGGAUGCCAUCGCUUCCCUACCAUUUUGUGUGUGGUCAUGGGUGGCGAGGAACUCGGCGCGGCGGGAUGCCAUCGCUGCCUUACCGGUUAGUGUGUGGUACGGUGGCAUGAACGACGCUUGGUGAGAGCUCUGGGGUGGAGUGGCCGGACAACCAUAUAGUGCAUUGGUUUGUCAAGAGCUCAAGGACAGAAGACGAAGAAAAUUUGGAUUGCCCUUCAAUCCUGGUCAUUUAUUACCGAGUAAAAUGCAUUGGCGGUCAUCGAACUUGUCUCGAUAACUCACUUUGAUCAUUGUAUACGAGAUAUGGUGAUUAUACGGUCACUGACUCAGUGUAUAGCUUCGUAUUUGUCUGGUUGAACAGGCAAACAGUCCGCAUGCGCCUCAGCAGCUCGUGUUCUUUAUCUAUCUACGCGGGCCUACCUGUCAAUGGAGAAAGAAAUAUUGUAAAAACCAAAAUUAUGCGUAUGUGAGGAAUCAAACCACGGACUCGUCGCUGCAACGCAUCCUCGUCAGCCAAAUGAAAAUGAAAUACUUCGCGUCAGACACUCACGCACACGCUAUAAAAGCAUGCUAAUGCAUGCACGUCGCCCUCUAAAUCAAAGUCCUGCUCAUGGCGCAAUGCAAACGGUGAUCCCAUCACCUGCGCGCCCCGAUGGUGCCUAACAUUAUUGUUUAGACGUUUGAUGGAGGCCUAUGCGAACGCCGAGCAUGUAUUCACCUGGCUCAACACCAACGGUCAUACUCGAACCGCCUUGCUCAUGUAUAUCGUCCAUCACAACAACAAUCUAUAAAACAGUCUAGCUAGAUAGGGUACUAUGGUAGUAUGGUACGGAGUAUGUACUAUCGUGAGUGACUGGUCUUAGUGCCCCUGCACACCGAAACCCUUCCAUCGCUAGUGCGCGCUUCCCGCCUGAAAUGGCCACCAUCUCUCCAAAAUGUCAAUGCCGCAUUCAUCGGACUUAACUGCAGGUGCAAUUGGUGUGUCACUAAAGUGCGGUCCAGAUGCCCGUUGGGCCCACAUGUCAAUAACCCAACGCAUCUGCAGUUAAGUCACUAAAGCAGCGUCCGCAUUCACGCCCGACGAACCUACUCCGGCGCCAGUUGGCCAUCCGUCUGCCGCGGCUCAUUGCCAUUCGCCCGCUAUAUUAACUUGAGCCCCAGCUCCCAGCCAUAGCCAAAGACCCACACUUAUUCUCCUCUGGUCCCUUCCUUCUGUCGGCACCGCUCCAACCAUGGCCUCCUGGCACUCCGAAGCUCUCUUGGACGUACUGUCGUAAGAGCAGAUGAGGGACAUCGGCGGCUCCACUCCGGGCGCGCUCCAAAGCUCUCUUCGACAUACUGUGGCAGGAGCAAAUGAAGGAGAUCGCCGGCACCCCCACGGCCGCCCUCCGCCGCCACGACCACGAAGCCGGCGCGCGUGCACGGGCGCAGCCGGCAGCGAGGAAGAGUAGUACACGGUAGGUCACCGCUGCUCUGGUCCCGGGAAGGCCACCGCUACUCCACUCAGUCAACGCCAAGCUUGGUGGGGUAAACAUCAGUGGCCGAUUAGCGGCUUGACGGUGAUGUGGAGGCGGAAAUCUUCAGAACCUUGUGCUCCGGAGGAGGAGGUUAUCAAGGCGGAUGAGGAGGAGGCAAAGUCAAUGUCCGGCUUUCUCGGGUUCAUGGUCGGGUUCAAUGGCCGACGAUCGUUUAGAUUAGGUUUACAGUAGGUUUUAGUACAGUUUGUGCGAAAUAUGUAAUGAAUUUCGUCCAUUUUAUAGGAAAAGUUUUCGAAAUGUAAUGAAUUUCAUCCGGUUAAUUUGAAAUUUGCUUUGUUUGCAUGAAUUUCGUCCGGUUAGUUCAUAUAGUUGUCGAAAGGUAUGCAGGCAGCAUCGGAUGGCAUCCAUCAAUGUCCUCGGACAGAUGCCGGUGUAAAUUUCUGGGCCAGCGCUGGAGAUGCCCUAACGAUCAUGCUAUAAUCGCUAACAGUCCUCCAUUAUUUGGCAAGGAACAGUUAUCCCUCGAUCAAAAUCAGAUCCAUGGUGUUUCGCACUCCUCCCGCAUAAGAGUGUAAACUCUUGUUACAUAAAAAUGGAUCAAGUGGACGGCACUGUAGCACGUCAUAUCACUCGAACUAGUCCGCCUAACGAGCGGGAAAGCGCCGCCCUCGUCAUUUUAUCGAUCGAUCGCGCGAAAAUGUUACGCUUCGCAAGUUCUAAAGGAAAAGGCGGCACACUGACAACUCGUACGCGUCGCACCCCCAACAGUCCGACUCGCACGCCGCUCACCAGAGGGGACACGUGUUGUCUUGCAAUUUCACUGACAUGUGGGACUAUAAUUAAAUAAACCGUCGAUAGCCAAAAUCUAAUCGCUCGGCGGGUGUCGGCUGAGAAGAGAGAAACGGGGGAGCGAGAAGAGAUCGCCCGCCCUCCACGCACGGACUCCAAGAAAUAUAUGGUGAUAAUGUGAGGUGGGCCAUGCUGGUGUCCGGACCGCUUCUGGAUCCUGCUCUGACCGCCCUGGCCCCUCAAGACGCCAGCUGCCCGUCGCUUGCAUAGCAAGUAGUCCCCGCUUAUGUGGAGGAGAGAGAGGCAUUGACAAAGUCAAGGAGUAACAGUGGAGACAAUAGCUUUCAUAAAAAAAUAAACAAUGAAUACUCGUUGCUCGUCCUCUAUAAAGGAAAGAACACUUUUAUUCGCCGACAUGUGGGAUGUCGACCAUCCUAGUCCACCUGCCAUGCACAAAAUUAUCCUGGUCUACCCCGGUCGUAUCACAGGCCCAACCUUUCCCGCUGUAAGUUGUUCGGAUGAAGGAACCAUCAUGACUUCGUUGAAUUCCGCUUCUUCAAGAAAACUUAUUGUACCCGCAAUACUGUUACCACACGCGAAGACUGGACGGCACUGUACAACGUCAUAUCACUGAAACCCACUAGGCCAAACUAGCCCGCCUUGGUCAUCUAUUUUGGAAUGGAGGUAGUACGUCUCUACACUGCUAUGAUUUGGUGUUGCACGUUCUCUAUACUUUUGCUACGAUUUUCCUACCCUAUGAACCAAAUGAGGCCUGAAUGUAUCCGUGUCGACUAUUGUCUGAUCGAUCACUAGGCCUACAAUUUUAGGAGCUAGGGCUAUUGGUCGAUCGACGAGGGAUAAGUAUAAGCGUACCACGAGCUCAUCAACCCCAACGUUUCUCUUCAGUGAGUGUUUUGCAAGUACUAUAGCUCGCACAGUAGCUAGACUACUAACACCAGGAAUUAUCAAACAAGCCCUGCUGAUAUGAUAAACAGUUCAAACUUACAUCUAAACAUGCCAUAUAUUACAUCAAAAGCUGGUGAGGAUACAUCUGUGUCCAUAACUCGGAGAGGGUUCGCAUGAUUAACUAUCAAACAAAAGUAGCAAGAUCCACCCACACAAGACAGUGUACUAGCCCUAAGAUGGUUUGAUAACAUGCAUCGUUCUGGUAAUUAAACACAGGGAAAUACAAACUACCCUGAAGGAUUAGCGCGACCAACUAUUUCUUGUCAUCGAUCUCUCGGGCGAAGACCACAGCACGGACAGCGGCAUGGGAAUCUAUUUCUGGGGUGAUGUCCACAGGACUGACCGCGACAUCAAAAUCGAUCUCUGGCGCGAUGUCCACAUGAUGGACAGCGGCAUCGGAAUCGAUCUCCGGGGCGAUGCCAACAGGACGGGCCACGACAUCGAAAUCAUCAAGGACGUCCACCGGCACCUACAAAACCCUAACAUAUUAGCAAGCACAUUGCAAAUAAUCAAAAACCACAACUAUGGUAAUAAGCCAUUAUUUUUUACCUUGUGCAGCUCACCGGGGGAUCUCAUCCCUCCGGGGGCCAUCUCCUAGUCCUCGAUGGGGGCCAUCACCUUGCCAGGGGAAUACUGCUUCUCAACGACGACUAUCUCCUCAAACUCGGUCUUGAGCCUCACAUAGGUGGCAAUCAGAGUUCCCGGGGUAGGCACAGUGGGGCCCUUACUAUUCUUCCAACUUUCUUUGAGGAGUUCGUCUGCCAACAUCGUCAACUCUUUGGCCAAUGCUUGUUUCUUGGAGUUCUUCGUCUCCAUGGGUUGUCCCGCCAACAUGGUCAACUCAUUGGUCGGUGCUCGCUUCCUGGAGAUCGCUAUCUCCAGUGGGUUGUCCGCCGACAACUCUUUGCCUAGGGCUCCAGGAUCCAUCAAUGAACUGACAAACAAAAAGCAAUCGAAAGGAAACCACAGUCUCAAUGAAAACGGGAAAAGAAUAGGAUGUGAGAAUCGGUCGGUGCUUCGCAAAAAUAAGAUUCUUGGAAUGAAAAUAUAGCAGCAUAACUUAUUCGCCCACCUUUCCUUCGUCGGUACAGAAGAAAAAUGGCAGAAGUGAGUAGCCUAGAGUGAGGUUUUCUUCAAGAAAGGGAAGAAAGGGCUUGAACGAGCGUUUCAGUGAAAUGAUGGUUGCUUCGUCCAGUCCAACUUGGAGGCCACCUUACAACUGCUGGUAAAGGUGUGGGUUUUGUGAUAUGACGGGUCAUGAUGGCCACACCGGGGUGAUAGGUGAGUCUCUACUGUAGCACCUCGCUGUUAUUUGGUGGAUGGCAAGCGGGCCCGGAUGCUUUGAAAUGUCCCGCAUGUAGAUAGAGCGGCUAGUCAUAUAUAGGAGUGCUCAAUAUUGUGCACCGCGACCAAGGCGAAGAGGAAAAGGAGAGAACUACGUAAUUAAUGCAUUAGUUUAAUUAGGGUAGUUUCGUAAAGUAGUAUGAGAUACAUUCCUCCAAUCGCAAAAUGCCUUGGUUCAUGAGAUUUGAGAUUUGAGCCCUAUAAGCCAGAAGGGAGGGAGUACUGCACGGCUGCACGCGGUGUAGUCUAGUCACUUGUUGAAAUCUCUAGAAAGGCAAAUACUCCUUUCCGGUUUACAGGGCUAUACUACUCCCUCCGUCUAGGUGUGUAAGUCAUCUUAAGAAAACCAAAUACUCCCAAAACACUUAGGCGUGGUGCAUUAACUUCUACCUUGUUUCUUGUUUCUUGACAUAUCAACCAAUAAGAGAUGAUAAGUGUGCAUGCUUUAAUGACUUGCAAUGGCUAGUUCAUUGCAAGCAAUGCUAUUAAUUAGCAAAUAAACAUUGGUGACCCCAGGAGGAAACGGUGCUAAGCGCGUGGACCUAUGCAAAAUGAGUAUCAACCAAUGGAUGAUGGAGUUUAAUUGUUAAACAAUAGCAAUUUUGUCUCAUGCAAGAGCCUGGCUACUAUAUGCGUGCUACAAGGCACCGCACCACGCGAGUGUUCGCAACUGCCACGUUCGGGUUGCGCUUGGCUCUUCACCUCUUCGAGAAGAUGUACAAUGAUGUUACUCCAACUUCUACAGUAUCGAAUCCACUGAUGCAUGUCCGUCCACCUCGUUCGGGAGGGAUAGCGUGUAGCGAAAGCUUCUACUUACUGCUCCUGCCUUUGCGUCUAUGACAUGUGGGCCCAAUAGGUGGUUGGCCCUCCUGUCAUGCAGCCAAAGGCAGGUGCAGUUAAGGCACCGGAGCUCAGUCCGCGUGGGAGAGGGCGUUUUAGUAAUCAAAUUUCUCGGUCUUGUACGAGUUGACGUGACACAUCAAAGCACUGCACUCGAUAUAAGUCUUUUUACACAUUUCAAAUGGACUACUUCGUAUGUAGACAUAUUCUGCUUCGUAUGUAGUCACUUGUUGCAAUCUCUAAAAAGACUUAUAUUUGGAAAAGGAGGGAGUACAACGCAUGCAUGCAUGCCGUGACUUUCCUUUUGAUACUUGCAUGUGUUGAUUUGAUGCACCUUGCCAAAGUUUAACUAUAAAUUUAACUAACCAAAUAUGCAUGCAUGUCACAAAAAAUUACGGGGCUAUUUGGACUGUGACUAUGUUUAUCUUAUGUUGCCACAUUAUUUUUCCCACACUUGCCACACUUGCCUAACCUGAGUUGCUCAAAUUGUUAGACACACUUUGGCUCCUAAGGGAAUCUUGCCACAAUUUUUGUGUCUAUGACAUGUGGAGUAGAAAAUAUAAAUAAUAAUGCAUGUUGGGGCAACCCACGUUUCCGCUAAUUUUAGCUGUGGGCUUGUUCACAAUUUUUACGAGGGGGUGGUUGUUCAUUUAAUGGAGGGACUUGUAGUACCAGACUUGAACGAUACAAAGUGCGACCUGGCACACCGUAACACCACUUGGAACAAGCGGGCAGCUAUCUCAAAAAACAAUCAACAACUAAAAAACCCGCGACCUGGCAUGUAGUAGUACACAAUUUUAAACGAUUGUUUUGAUGGAGUGAAAAAGGAAAAACUACCCCACUACGUAUAUAUAGGCGGAGCCUCCGCGCUUGCUUACUAGGGUUGCUCUAUUCACACACUCUCUGUAACAUCCCAAAUUUUCAAUUUGGAAUGUUAUACUUAGAUCAUCAUUACAUAGCAUAUUUUGUUGCAUUGUUGGCUCGAUCCUAGAAAUUCUACGCAACUCAAGGACCCACGGAGAGAGUUGGGGAUUUUGUUAUUUUCAUAUUUGAGUUUUCUCAAAUUUUGUAAAUAGGAUCAUUUGAUUUUAUUUAUUUUAUCUUCAAUUAUUUCUACUACCAAAAUUUCAGAGAGGGAAUAAAAUGACUUUCCCAAAAUAAAGAAAUAAUGAAGAUUUAAUAAAAAAAUCAAAUAAGAUUUAUUUUGGAGCUUUUCGCCUUUUUAUUUGAAUUUAGGAAAAAUACGCGUUUAUCAAAAUUGCAUUUAGGCCCCAAAUAAAUGUUCAUCUUGUCCGGCUUGAUUUUAGAAGCCGGGGAAAUUUUAUUUCGGGAUUUUUGGAGUCUGUUUAGUAUUUCUUUCGUUUGAUUUUCUGCGCGUAAUUAUUUAAAAAAACGUGAACCGACCUUGGGUCGUGCCCGAGCGGGACUCAGCCCAGGGGCGCCUUUAAAUAGCCGCCGCCCCAAGCCCCAGGCCCUUCAGCCGCCGCCGCCCAAGCCCACCUGCGCCCCGCCGCCGGCCCACACCCCACCCCAAACCCUAACCCUAGAUCCGCGCCGCCGCCGCCAGAUCCGCCGCCGCCGCCGCUCGCCGCCCGCCGCCGCCGACCCCGUCGCCGAGGUUCGCCGCCACCUCAUGUUGCGUGCCGCCGUUUUUUUAAACCGAACGGUUUUCUUCGGUUUUUUCGAUUUAUUUUAUUCGAUCGAUUUUUUUUGGUUCGGUUAAAUAGCGAGUGUUCGCUCGUUCGUUCGCUUUAACGAACGUGUUCGUCAGAUUAGGUUAGUUAACGAACGUUUGUUCGUUAACCUAUUCAUCGUUUUUCUUAUUCUCGGAUUUAAUCCGCGAUUUUUUUGAUCGCGAUUCCUGAUCCGAUUUUCGUUUUAGUAUAACUUUUCGCUCAUUUAUCGGAAUCAGGCGAUUCAAGCGCCUGGAGUUUCGUCUCGAAACCCUCUUUCCGAAUAAUCAACUUAAACAAGUUUUUUCUUCUGUAAGAAUUGACUUAGAUCCAGAUUAGUAAAACGAAGCUAUUUUCUUUCGCCGUUUGAUUUCCGUUGCUUUGUUUGAUUUGAUUCUUUUUGCAAACCGGAGUUCUUAAGUUGAACUUUCUGGUUAGAUCUUUUAUUCGAGUUUUACCUGUGCAUUAGAUGAGUACUUAAUGUAUGCUUGUUUGUUUCUAUGUGAUAGAAUACCCGGAGUGCGCCGCCUGUUACUUCGAGUCUCUAGGUUUCGCGGAUUAUCAGCAAGGCAAGUAACACUUCGAUCAUACUUUUUCUCAUACCCAGUUUUUAUGCAUUAGAUCAAUCCCAAAACAUUGCAUGAUUAGGAUCUAAUUAAAUUGUGGGUUAUGGGAAGUAGUUGAGGUAGUGCCUAUUACCUGUUUUAUUUUCAAACCCCUGGGAGUUACUUCUACGUUUGCUUAUUAUGCCAUGCUAUGCUAGUAGACGUGGAUUGGGUGAGUGUAUCCAUGACAGAUGUGAGUUUGUUAAUUAAUGGUUUAUUUAAGGUGGCAACUUAAACACACAUCUGGGUGGAUUGAGGCACCUGGUUUCCAGGACUUGCCUGUUUUUCUUCGGACCACCACCCAGGCUCAAAUGGAUCAUGAGAUUAUUCAAACUAGAAACUUCUGUGUGCAGCCACAUGCUAUUAUGGGCUCUAGCAUAGUUGACUAAGUCGUGCAAACUCUUAGAGGGUGGACUAGCAGAUGUAGGGGAUGUAGGUUGGUACGGUCUACCCUUUACGUAAGGUGCGAGCGCUUCUGAAAGACUAUGUCUCGGUCAUCCAUUUCUCAAACACCAUGUAGUGCGAGAAACCAAACGGAGGCGAUCGAGUCAUGUGGGGAAAAGUGUGCAAACCUCUGCAGAGUGUAACAAACUAAUCAUGGUUAGCUGUGUCCCCGGUUAUGGACAUCUUGAGUAUCUAGUACUUGGAUAUCAUAUGAAUCUCAUCAUUGUUACUUCUAAUUAAUAUUGUUGGGAUAUUAAUGAGUACUUUUAAUUGGGAUUGAGAAUGCUGUCAACCAUUCUCAGUGUUUAACAACCACCAUGAUAGUUAAAUCAAUUUAUUCCUUUGUAAUAGGGAAAAAUUGGCUUUACGCAAAACUGUAACCAUAGAGCUUUUCCACCAGCCAAAUAUGCAUGUAGUAUAGCUUAUUCCAUCAUGUUUCCUCUGUGUGUUACAUUGCCAGCAUAUUCCAUGUGCUGACCCAUUUUCGGGCUGCAAUGUUUCAUGUUGCAGACUUUUCAGACGAUGAGUAAGGUGCUUAGGUCGUGGUUCUAUACUCAGUGAUGCCGUUGGAGUUGAUGGACUCGCUUAUUCUUCCAAGCCUUCCGCUGUUAUUGUAUUUAGGUGGCCUUAAGCCAUACUUAUUUCAAUAAGUUCUCUCUUGAGACAUUCGAUGUAAUAAGUGUGUGAUUGCUACUCUGUUAUAAAUCCUCCGAGUACUGUGUGGUGUCAGCAUUACUAAUCCAGGGAUGACACUGAGCAUAGAGAUCAGACUGUUUGAGGUCUGGUCGCUACAAAGGUGGUAUCAGAGCACACGCUGACUGUAGGACACGGCCACUAAGCUAAAGCCCUAGAUCACUACUCUUUCUUCUCAUUUCUGACUCCUCAUCUUUUCUAUUCUUUAGGAUGGCGGAUGCAAGGAUCAAGUUCACACAACCGGAUGAAAACUCACCUUUUGGAUAUCACUUGAAGGAAGUCACUAGAUACCUGAACAUAGGAGUACCAAGCUUCACCGGGACCUUCAACACCACUUUACCCGAAGAGGAGCGUUGGAUGAUUCAAGUCUACAUUCCAGGAAGUACAUUUGCACCAGUCACGGAGCCCAUAGAGUUUUCUUUUGAUACACCAACAUGGGGCCUAGGAAAGAGCAUGGCAGCUCACAUCGCCAUGGGAAGAAUUGGAGAAGUUUUCCACAACGACCUCAAGAAUACUAUCUAUCAGAUUUGUGGGCGCCGAGAUGAGCAUUGGGAGAUGAUCAACACCAGGAAGGACCGCUCAAUUGUAGCUUAUAUCCAGGAAUUAAACCAACACAUCCGACGCCAGGAGAAUCAGAUGUGCGCAGAUAUGGAAUAUCUGUAGAAGGCUAUGACUAAGAUCAAGGAGCUAGAAGAGGAACUCAAGGCUACAUGUAAAGACUAUAUGGAAGAAAUCGUCGCUCUAGUAAGACAGAACGGUGACCUUAAGGAGAAGAUUGGAGUAUUCAUGGGAGGUUCAGCACCCAGAGGAGAAGAGGAUGAACCUACUUAUCCAGAUAAUUAUAUCAUCAUCGACGACACCGAGUCGGAUCCCGACGAUAGUGAUGAUGACUAUGUUGAUGAAGCUAGAGCAGAUAUCAUGGAAUCUUCAUCGGAGCAGUUUUUCUAGUUGACCACCAUAACAUUAGUAGAAAUUUCCACCAUUUAAUUAGUUUUAGUCCAAGCACUUUUGUAACGAUAGUUAGACUGUUGUAUGCCCUUGUUUGAAUUGAUUGGAGUGAUAUUGUGUGCUUUUGUAUCAUGUGCAUAUGGGUAGUGUUAUCUCACUAGACCUCAUUCUAUUCUUAACUCUCCUCUCCUCUUUAAAACCCUCAGAUGCCUCCGAGACGCGACCCUGAAUUUGUUUUCCCGCCAGAGAUCACUCAGUUGAUUCAGCAGCAGAAUGCCUUGAUUCAAACAUUGGUACAGAAGCAAGGCAACAACAACAACAACCCACCACCACCACCACCUGUUGACCAUCUGACACGUUUCUUAAGGCUGAAUCCGUCGGUGUUUUCCAGUAGCACCGAGCUGAUAGUAGCAGAUGAUUGGGUCCGUAAGAUAGGGAGGGAAUUGACCACUGCAGGAUGUACAGAUGGAGAGAAGGUGAAGUUUGCCGCACAUCAGCUUGACGGACCCGCACCAACAUGGUGGGAGAAUUUUACAGCCACUUACCCUGUAGACAUUGUCACAUGGAAUCAGUUUUAGCAAGCUUUCCGUACUGCCCAUGUUUCAGCAGGAGCUAUGGCCAUGAAGAAGUGUGAGUUUUGCAACUUACGCCAAGGAGGACGGACAGUUGGCCAGUAUGUGGAUGAUUUCAGUAAGCUAGCACGUUAUGCCCCAGAUGACGUUGCUACGGAUGCAGCUAAGCAGGAGAAGUUUCUAGAAGGACUGAAUGAUGAGCUGAGCAUGCAGUUGAUGGUAGCCACAUUCAAUAACUACCAGGAGUUAGUAGAUCGUGCUCUUAUGAUUGAGGGAAAGCAGCAGCAGAUUCAAAAUCGUAAGAGGAAGUAUGGACAGGGGAAGCACAAUUCUGGAGCUCAGCAGAAGCUACGCUUUACCCCGAAGUCAGGAGGACAGUUUCAGCAUACUCACAGAGGAGGCAGCUCACACAAUCAUAAUGGCACAAAGAAUGGAAACGGGAAUGGAGGAAGCAAUGGACAAAACCGCACCAACCCGUCAACACCAUCCAAGGUAGACCUGAGCCAUAUCACUUGUUAUAAGUGUCGUAAGACUGGGCAUUAUGCAAAUGAUUGCCCAGAAGCCCAAAAUGGUAAUGGCAAUGGAAGCUCAGGAAAGAAGCCAAACCCUUUCAACAGGGGACAAGUGAACCACGUUACCGUGGAGGAGGUUGAAGCCCAGCCAGACACAGUAAUAGGUAAGUUUUUGGUUAAGGCAUUUACUGCGGUUGUUCUUUUUGAUACUGGUGCAUCGCAUUCAUACAUAUCAAGGGGAUUUCUGGAUAAAUAUAAACUACCAACCCAAGCCCUUAGGUCACCGAUGCUAGUAACCUCACCCGGAGCAGAGUAUAUGGCUAGUAUAUGGUGUGAUCGACUGCCAUUAAGGAUUGGACACCAUGCAUUUCCCUCGGACCUAAUAGUUCUGGAAUCGCAAGGUUUGGAUGUGAUAUUAGGCAUGGAUUGGUUAUCAAAGUAUGGAGGGAAUAUAUAUUGCGCCAGUAAGUCGAUUUUGCUUACCAGCCCUGAAGGAAGGAGAAUCAAGUAUGUAUCACGGCAUGAGCCGAGAAGAGCACAUGUAAAUUCCUUAUCAGGAGUUGUGCAGGAGGAAGUACCAGUGGUAAGGGAUUUCCCCGAUGUAUUUCCAGAAGAGUUGCCAGGCAUGCCACCGGAUAGAGACAUUGAGUUCUUAAUUGAACUACUGCCAGGCACUGGGCCGAUAUCCAAGAGACCGUACAGGAUGCCAACCCAAGAUUUGGAGGAAAUUAAGAAGCAGAUUAAGGAGUUGUUGGACAAAGGUUUUAUUCGCCCAAGUUCUUCGCCUUGGGGAUCGCCAGUACUCCUAGUGGAGAAGAAGGAUGGAUCAUUAAGAAUGGUUGUGGAUUAUUGCGGAUUGAAUGAAGUAACAAUCAAGAACAAGUACCCACUAUCGAUGAUCAACGAUCUUUUUGAUCGGUUGCAAGGAUCUAAGGUGUUUUCCAAGAUCGAUUUGUGAUCAGGGUACCAUCAGUUGAAGAUUCGAGAGCAGGAUAUACCUAAGACGGCUUUUACCACCAGGUACGGGCUGUAUGAGUAUACCGUUAUGUCAUUUGGUCUGACUAACGCCCCAGCCUAUUUUAUGAACAUGAUGAACAAGGUAUUUAUGGAGUUUUUGGAUAAGUUCGUCGUGGUGUUCAUUGAUGAUAUUUUGGUUUACUCGAAGAAUGAAGAGGAACAUAAGGAGCACCUGCGUUUGGUACUCGAGAAGCUCAGAGAACAUCAGCUAUAUGCCAAGUUCAGCAAGUGUGAGUUUUGGCUGAAGGAAGUUGGAUUUCUCGGACAUGUUAUAUCCGGAGAAGGUAUAGCAGUAGACCCCACUAAAGUUGCCACUGUGACAAACUGGGAAGCACCAACAACAGUUGGAGAGAUUAGGAGUUUCCUUGGACUCGCAGGAUACUACCGGAGAUUUAUUGAAAAUUUCUUGAAGAUUGCGAAGCCUAUGACAGAAUUGUUGAAGAAGGACACCAAGUUCAUUUGGACUGAGGAGUGUGAGGCUAGUUUCCAAGAAUUGAAGAAACGUUUGGUUACCUCAUCGGUAUUAAUUCUGCCAGAUCAGACCAAGGAUUAUGAAGUGUAUUGCGAUGCUUCACGUCGAGGACUUGGAGCAGUGCUUAUGCAGGAGGGAAGAGUUGUUUCGUAUGCUUCACGACAGCUUAAGCCUCAUGAGAUGAAUUAUGCUACUCAUGAUUUGGAGUUAGCAGCCGUAGUGCACGCUUUGAAAACGUGGAGACAUUUUCUCAUUGGGAAUCAUUGUGAGGUGUACACGGAUCACAAGAGUUUGAAGUACAUUUUCACGCAAAAGGAAUUAAACCUCAGACAGAGGAGAUGGUUGGAACUUAUUAAAGAUUAUGAUAUGAGGUUGCAUUAUCAUCCCGGAAAGGCUAACGUUGUAGCAGACGCAUUGAGCCGCAAGAGCCAUGUCAACACCCUAAUGAUCGGAGGUUUAGCAAAAGAAUUAGCAAAGGAAUUCCGAGAGCUAUGUUUGGAUAUAGUUCCGAGAGGCUUUGUAGCAGCAUUGGAGAUUCAGUCUACUUUGAUGGAUAAAAUCAGAGAAGCUCAAAAGACAGAUAAGGAAGUUGCUUCCAUUAAGGAAAGGAUGAGCAAGAGAAAAGCUAAAGGAUUUCGUGAGGAUGAGCAUGAUACCUUAUGGUUUGAGGACCGCGUUUACGUGCCAAGUGAUCUGAAGAUUCGGAAGUUGAUUUUGCAAGAGGCACAUGAUUCACCAUAUUCGAUUCACCCAGGAAAUACCAAGAUGUAUUUAGAUUUGAAGGAAACUUUCUGGUGGACCGGAAUGAAGAAGGAUAUUGCAGAGUAUGUAGCAGUUUGUGAUGUAUGUCAGAGGGUGAAGGAAGAACAUCAGAAGCCAGCAGGAUUGUUACAGCCAUUGCCUAUACCCGAAUGGAAGUGGGAUAAAUUAGGUAUGGAUUUCAUCACGGGAUUGCUCAGGACCCGUUCAGGCUAUGACUCGAUUUGGGUUGUAGUCGAUCGUUUGAUGAAGGUAGCUCAUUUCAUUCCAGUAAAGACCACCUACAGCAGUGCCAAAUUGGCUAAGAUAUACAUGACAAGGAUUGUAUGUUUGCAUGGAGUUCCAAGGAGUAUCGUAUCAGAUAGAGGAACCCAAUUCACCUCAAAGUGCUGGAAACAGUUGCACGAAACAUUGGGAACUAGGCUUGAGUUUAGCACAGCUUUCCACCCACAGACAGAUGGACAGACCGAGAGAGUCAAUCAGAUUUUGGAGGAUAUGCUUAGAGCUUGUGCCUUGGAUUAUGGAUCAAGUUGGGAUGACAACUUGCCAUAUGCGGAGUUUUCUUACAACAACAGUUAUCAAUCCAGUUUGAAAAUGGCCCCUUUCGAAGCCUUGUACGGAAGGAGGUGCAGAACCCCGUUGUUGUGGGAUGAAGUUGGAGACCGCCAGUUGUUUGGACCAGAUUUAAUUAAGGAGUCUGAGCAGAAAGUAAAGUUGAUUCGCGAUAGGCUCAAGGUAGCCCAGUCAAGGCAGAAGAGCUAUGCAGAUUUAAAACACAAGGAGACAUAAUAUGAAGUCGGAGACAGAGUUUAUCUUCGAGUAUCUCCGCUUCGAGGAGUUAAGCGUUUUGGAGUUAAAGGAAAGUUAGCGCCACGUUUUGUGGGACCAUACAAAGUUUUGGAACGCAUGGGAGAAGUAGCGUACAAGUUGGAAUUACCCGAGGGAUUGUCAGGUGUUCAUGAUGUGUUCCAUGUUUCUCAGUUGAAGAAGUGUCACGCAGAGAUGGCCGAUAUACCACUGAGAGAUACAGUGCCACUUGAAGCAAUUCAGUUGAAUGAUGAUUUGACCUAUGAAGAGAAACCAGUUAAGAUUCUGGAAUAUGCCAGCCGAGUUACCCGCAGUAAGGUUAUCAAGUUUUGCAAAGUUCAGUGGAGCCACAACACCAAGGAAGAAGCCGUCUGGGAGCGGGAGGAAGAUCUGCUCAUGGCCCGCCCUCACCUAUUUGCUAGCUAACCCGAAUCUCGAGGGCGAGAUUCAUCUUAAGGGGGGUAGGUUUGUAACAUCCCAAAUUUUCAAUUUGGAAUGUUAUACUUAGAUCAUCAUUGCAUAGCAUAUUUUGUUGCAUUGUUGGCUCGAUCCUAGAAAUUCUACGCAACUCAAGGACCCACGGAGAGAGUUGGGGAUUUCCUUAUUUUCAUAUUUGAGUUUUCUCAAAUUUUGAAAAUAGGAUCAUUUGAUUUUAUUUAUUUUAGCUUCAAUUAUUUCUACUACCAAAAUUUCAGAGAGGGAAUAAAAUGACAUUCCCAAAAUAAAGAAAUAAUGAAGAUUUAAUAAAAAAAUCAAAUAAGAUUUAUUUUGGAGUUUUUCGCCUUUUUAUCUGAAUUUAGGAAAAAUGCGCGUUUUUCAAAAUUGCAUUUAGGCCCCAAAUAAAUGUUCAUCUUGUCCGCCUUGAUUUUAGAAGCCGGGGAAAAUUUAUUUCGGGAUUUUUGGAGUCCGUUUAGUAUUUCUUUCGUUUGAUUUUCUGCACGUAAUUAUUUAAAAAAAACGCGAACCGACCUUGGGCCGUGCCCGAGCGGGACUCCGCCCGGGGGCGCAUUUAAAUAGCUACCGCCCCGAGCCCCAGGCCCGUCAGCCGCCGCCGCCCGAGCCCACCCGCGCCCCGCCGCCGGCCCACACCCCGCCCCAAACCCUAACCCUAGAUCCGCGCCGCCGCCGCCAGAUCCGCCGCCGCCGCCGCUUGCCGCNNNNNNNNNNNNNNNNNNNNNNNNNNNNNNNNNNNNNNNNNNNNNNNNNNNNNNNNNNNNNNNNNNNNNNNNNNNNNNNNNNNNNNNNNNNNNNNNNNNNNNNNNNNNNNNNNNNNNNNNNNNNNNNNNNNNNNNNNNNNNNNNNNNNNNNNNNNNNNNNNNNNNNNNNNNNNNNNNNNNNNNNNNNNNNNNNNNNNNNNNNNNNNNNNNNNNNNNNNNNNNNNNNNNNNNNNNNNNNNNNNNNNNNNNNNNNNNNNNNNNNNNNNNNNNNNNNNNNNNNNNNNNNNNNNNNNNNNNNNNNNNNNNNNNNNNNNNNNNNNNNNNNNNNNNNNNNNNNNNNNNNNNNNNNNNNNNNNNNNNNNNNNNNNNNNNNNNNNNNNNNNNNNNNNNNNNNNNNNNNNNNNNNNNNNNNCGGAGCCGCCGCCGGACCCCGCCGCCGCCGCCGCCGACCCCGUCGCCGAGGUUCGCCGCCGCCUCGUGUUGCAUGCCACCGUUUUUUUAAAACAGAACGGUUUUCUUCGGGUUUUUUCGGUUCGGUUAAAUAGCGACCGUUCGCUCGUUCGUUCGCUUUAACGAACGUGUUCGACAGAUUAGGUUAGGUAACGAACGUUCGUUCGUUAACCUGUUCGUCAUUUUUCUUUUUCUCGGAUUUAAUCCGCGAUUUUUCUGAUCGCGAUUCCUGAUCCAAUUUUUGUUUUAGUAUAACUUUUCGCUCGUUUAUCAGAAUCAGGCGAUUCAAGCGCCUGGAGUUUUGCCUCGAAACCCUCUUUCCGAAUAAUCAACUUAAACAAGUUUUUGCUUCUGUAAAAAUUGACUUAGAUCCAGAUUAGUAAAACGAAGCUGUUUUUUUCGCCGUUUGAUUUCCGUUGCUUUGUUUGAUUUGAUUCUUUUUGCAAACUGGAGUUCUUAAGUUGAAAUUUCUGGUUAGAUCUUUUAUUCGAGUUUUACCUGUGCAUUAGAUAAGUACUUAAUGUAUGCUUGUUUGUUUGUCUGCGAUAGAAUACCCGGAGUACGCCACUUGUUACUUCAAGUCUAUAGGUUUCGCGGAUCAUCAGCAAGGCAAGUAACACUUUGAUCAUACUUUUUCUCAUACCCAGUUUUUAUGCAUUAGAUCAAUCCCCAAACAUUGCAUGAUUAGGAUCUAAUUAAAUUGUGGGUUAUGGGAAGUAGUUGAGGUAGUACCUAUUACCUGUUUUAUUUUCAAACCCCUGUGAGUUACUUCUACGUUUGCUUAUUAUGUCAUGCUAUGCUAGUAGACGUGGAUUGGGUGAGUGUAUCCAUGACAGAUGUGAGUUUGUUAAUUAAUGGUUUAUUUAAGGUGGCAACUUAAACACACAUCUGGGUGGAUUGAGGCACCUGGUUUCCAGGACUUGCCUGUUUUUCUUUGGACCGCCACCCAGGCUCAAAGGGAUCAUGAGAUUAUUCAAACUAGAAACUUCCGUGUGCAGCCACAUGCUAUUAUGGGCUCUAGCAUAGUUGACUAAGUCGUGCGAACUCUUACAGGGUGGACUAGCAGAUGUAGGGGAUGUAGGUUGGUACGGUCUACCCUUUACGUAAGGUGUGAGCGCUUCUGAAAGACUAUGUCUCGGUCAUCCAUUUCUCAAACACCAUGUAGUGCGAGAAACCAAACAGAGGUGAUCGAGUCAUGUGGGGAAAAGUGCGCAAACCUCUGCAGAGUGUAACAAACUAAUCAUGGUUAGCCAUGUCCCCGGUUAUGGACAUCUUGAGUAUCUAGUACUUGGAUAUCAUAUGAAUCUCAUCAUUGUUACUUCUAAUUAAUAUUGUUGGGAUAUUAAUGAGUACUUUUAAUUGGGAUUGAGAAUGCUGUCAACCAUUCUCACUGUUUAACAACCACCAUGAUAGUUAAAUGAAAUUAUUCCUUUGCAGUAGGGAAAAAUUGGCUUUACGCAAAACUGUGACCAUAGAGCUUUUCCACCAGCCAAAUAUGCAUGUAGUAUAGCUUAUUCCAUCAUGUUUCCUCUAUGUGUUACAUUGCCAACAUAUUCCAUGUGCUGACCCAUUUUCGGGCUGCAAAGUUUCAUGUUGCAGACUUUUCAGACGACGAGUAAGGUGCUUAGGUCGUGGUUCUAUACUCAAUGAUGCCGUUGGAGUUGAUGGACUCGUUUAUUCUUCCAAGCCUUCCGCUCUUAUCAUAUUUAGAUGGCCUUAAGCCAUACUUAUUUCAAUAAGUUCUCUCUUGAGACAUUCGAUGUAAUAAUUGUGUGAUUGCUACUCUGUUAUAAAUCCUCCGAGUACUGUGUGGUGUCAGCAUUACUAAUCCAGGGAUGACACUGAGCACAGAGAUCGGACUGUUUGAGGUAUGGUCGCUACACUCUCAUCCUCUCCAGAUCAAAACAAGAUAGGGGUAGUAAAACUGUCUUUCUCCCUUCAAAAAACACUGGCUUUCUAUCCUCACCGCUAGUUACAGAUCCAGACAUAUCCCCCUCUGCCAAUGAAGGGGAGGAGGGGCAGCGUUUAGGCCGUCGUCGAUAGCGAGGGAGGAGACCCACUGUCGGCCGCACCGUUAUCUCUGGACGAGCGCCGGCGUGGGAGGUCCUCCGAUCCCUUCGUCAUUGCCUAUGGGCAGAUCCGGCCUCCGGCCGCCCACCUAUCCACAUCCCGACGACCUUCAGGUAUAUCUUUUGUUCGAAACCGCCUUAGCUCUACUUCCCCAGCUUGCUACGUCGCUGCAUGUGCAUCAUUUUCUACCUCUCAGCCCCUCUCUAUCGGAUGGUCCAAUGUCACCUUUUUCUUCUUCUAUUGUUAGAGGUAAAGCUACUUCAUGGAGUCGAAUCUUGUACUCCCUCCGUCCAAAAAUACUUGUCAUUGAAAUGGAUGUAUCUAGAUGUAUUUUAGUUCUAGACACAUCCAUUUUGAUGACAAGUAAUUCCAGAUGGAGGGAGUACUUGGUUCAAACAAGAAAUAAAAUGGGGGUGGGGGAAUUUAGUAUGUACAUCGGACUUGGUACAAACAGGAAGGAAAGGGGGUGAAAGUAGUACAGACUAGUCAUCCAACCGGUCUCUUGGUCGAAAAGGGAAAUAUAGGGGUAACAAUGUACACAGUGGUAUGACCAGGACUAGAUUUGCUAUCCACACAUAGGAAUAGGUGGUUAGAGUGAACAAAAAUGGGACCAACCCAGAUAUGUUUCUUGGAUGUUUGUUUCUCGGGGCAACAAACUAUGAAUCACCACUUUAUGCCCCUGUUUACAUACAUGGUGCUGGACUGCUGGUGCACCCACUGUCCCAUGCCCUUAUACCAAAUAUUUAGUUGUUCUUAAUCUAAUGUCCCUGGUAAAAAUGAAGCCAUGCCACUAUUAUAAGCCAUGACAAGUUUAGCCAAAUGUUUUUGCCUGUAAUUGUUUGAAACUCUGAUUGUUUCCUCUGUACCUUUUUGUGCAAACAGGGAUAUCCAAUUCACCUGGUUGCUGUUGUGACCUUUUGGUGCACUGCAGAAAACUCUUCUUAAAAGAACUGACUUUUGUGUUGUUUAACUGGAAUGUCAGAAUGAAACAGUUGGUUCAUUUCGGUGGAACUGCACAAAGGGAGAUCUGUGUUCCAAUCCUCAUCAUCCAUAUUGGCGCCAUAACCUUCCUUUAGGUAAGAAUGAUAUUUAAUGCAUGUGUUCAUCUCUAUUUUCCGACUGCCAUGAGAAAAUGAUGCUAUUUUUUACUAGUACACUUGUACUCCCUCACUGAUAAACCAAUUCUGAAUUAGAAGGCCAACCGUGUACUUGGUUUCACCAACUGGUGAGGAGAAAGAGAAACAGAGCAUGAAGAGGAAGAAGAAGAAGAAUAAACAGUGCCAAGGCGAUCUUGCUGAAGCCAGAGGCCUCAGUCGAGGCCAUUCAAGGGCUCCGGCAACGACUAUCUUACAUGUGAGACGAUCCUCCAGGGAGCCCUUCCACUUCUGUUGUCUCACUUAAUUAAUUAGGAGUACUUAAGUACCACUAAUUUAUUACUGCCUAAUUUUUUUGUUGGAGUUAAAUAAAUGUUUAGUAGGACCCUAUGCUGAAUCAUGUACGUGUGUAUGUUUGUCUAUGGAGGUGAAUCAUGUGGUGGAGCAAGGAGGGAAUAUUAUUAGUGUCAUGACAUAAUAGUGCUAUUGUUUUGCAUGUCAAUUUAUUGCCAUUGGUUCAAUGAGGCAAUGUUUUGCGUAUUGUCCAUCAUGAAUUUGAUGCUACUUUUUGAGUAAUAUGCUAAUGUCUUCCUAUCCUUUCUCACUAAGCUAAUGAAGGUUUCACCUUGUUCCUACUUGUGUAAACAGGGAUCAUGUUGUGCCAAUCAUACAUUUUAGUGGAACUACACAAAACAAUACAAUGAAUUGUAUCCCAGCCAGUGCUUUAACUCUGCUGGAAGUUCUUGAUAAUCUUUCGAUAUAAUCUCAGCACUCGUAAACAAGAGUGAUUUCAACCAUACAUUUGAAGUGCAAAAAAAAUAUACUAUUGUGUGAUUCCAGUGAGUGCUUUAUCAUCUCUUAUGGGACUACAUGAAUAAGCUUUUUUUCUCAGGUUGGUACGGGCCUAAGGCCUUCAUCCAUAUUAGUUUGCUGUCAUCUCUAUUUGUAUCGUGCUACUGUCAUAAGAAACUCCUUUAUCUUUGCACGUUAAAGUUUUGCAACCUAUGAUAAAUGGCAAUGCUUUCAGUGUUGAGCUAAUUGGCACUGAUUAAAUAAACUAAUACCUCUCUUUAAGCAAGACUACUAUGUUGCUAACUUUACCCAUUAAGAUAAUGAGGGUGCUUCUAUUUGUUAGUGUAUGUUUCAUCAACUAGUCUCACUAUUAUAGUAAUCUCACUCUCUCAAUAUAUGUGCCAACAGGGAUGCUCGAUUUUGGUGGAACUGCACAAAAACUGUGGGUGCUUCAUUGCCUCGACGGCUUCCGUCCUUUCCUGUCAGUCGCUAAUCUCGGCUUGCUUUCUUCCUUUGAUGUUAGUCGCUUGGCUUAUCUCGGCUUCCAGUCAAAGGAAAUAGUAAUUGAUAUGCUACCUCACAUAGGUUGGUACUGGUCUUUAUCCUGAUUAUUGUGCCUGUCAUAUGUAUUGGUAAUUUGGUAUUGUGCUACUGUUUGCCGAUCUCAUAAAGGAGUAAUUUGGAGCCUGAACUCGCAGGCAAAUCAUUACAUCGGGUGAUUUCAGUAGAACUGCACAAAAUGAUCAGAUGGACACGUACUUAUACUGUUGCUAUGUACUCCAAAGUUCACUCAGACAAGCAUCGAUGUUGACAAGAAGAAGUGCCUAUAUUCAUUCGAGUAUCAACCGGCGUCAACCAAUUGUCAAACUCCAAGUAUUAGGAGAUUGAACGCCAAAAAUAUCGCUUGGUGCAUAGCCCAGAAAAACGCAGUCCAGUCUUUGCUCCCAACUUGUGCUUUUUGGUUAUCGACACAUAUGGUAGCGAACUAUAUGGCAUGGAGUCUAAAGAUUCCAGACAAGUUGGUUAACGCAUAUAUUCAUCUGGCACUUAAUCAGUCUGCACGCCAUGGAUGCUCCAUUUCAGUUGAACUACAAAAAAAAUUUGGGUGGUUCAUUUUCUCAACUGCCUCCUUUCUCGUCUGCAAUGUAGAAUUUUGGCGAGAUACAGGACCAAGAUGAGCCAGUAAACUAGUUGGAUGAAAGUAGUGGCCAAGUUGCUCAAACCUCCCUCGGCAGGAGGCCACUAUUUGAGGAUAAACCUACAAGCAAAGUUUAGAUUGUCUGUGUUGCCUCUUUUGUACUCGAAAGUUUACUCAUACAAGAACUAAUUUUAGCAAGAAGUACCUCCGAUUGAACACCAUUUAACAGUCUGUACCCUAGGUAAUUAAAGUUCGUCCAUGGAUCAUAUUGGCUGUGAUCUCAAUCAUUUGGAUGCGUAAACAUACUGAACAUGUGUAUAUCUGAAUCUUUUUGUGAAUUAUGUAUGAAUAUUAUCAUGUGAUCUAUUAAUCAUUUGGAUGCAUAGACAACUUGUGUAUAUAUGAAUCAUUUGAGUUAGUUGAUAGUGAAUGUUGGCUAUGAAUAUGAACAUGUACUGUGAACCUGAGUUUGAUACGAAUGUUUACAUUUUCUGUUGUAUUUGUGUGUGAACUUGUUAGUAUGCCUACUGUGUGGUAUAAAACGCAGGUCUCUGUUCUAUUUAUCUAUAUAUAAGAAUAAUAAUAUUGUGUCCAAUUUAUGUUUUCCCUUCUAACCACAUUAUAUAUAUUUAUAUAUUUAUAUUUAUAUUAUUAUUAUUAUCGUAUAUUUUAUAGAGACUUAUAUAUACAUUAUAAAAACAUCCCACGUGUUAUUAACUUAUAAAGGUAAAUGUUUAACGGAAGUUGGCAAGGAAAAUCCUGGUUGUUUUUGACUCACAGGCAAGGAAAAUCCUUUUUUUCGAAACGGAACAGGCAAGGAAAAUCCUGGUGAUUGCGUACAGAAGCUUGCGAAGAUUUUAAGGACCAAUUUGAUAAUAACGCGCUCAUUUUUAUUUUGAGCAAUAACUCGCUAAUUUGUUAAUUAUAUAUAUAUAUAAUGUGCCUCUCUGAUUUAUUCUUUGAUAUUAAUUGCUCCUUCUAACAUAACAUUGUAUAUAUAACGAGCCCACCUAAUACGUGUGUUCCAAGGAAGUGCAAAUGGGCUGGGAUUUAUUAGAAAAUAUAAAUGGGCCUGAUUGACGCGAAAUUAUUUGUUCACCCAGCCCAGCAAAUGCAAUGUACAUUCAAAAAAACAUGUGUUAAAUAUAUGCCACAUUUUUUGUAGGCUGACAUGUGGGCCAAUAGGUCGAAGCCUACGCAGGGCGUUGUCAACUUGGUCAACAAAUGAUUGUGUCAUCCAUAGCCAUUGGAUUUAUACCAACGGACGGCAUGCACCUUCAAUCUCUCGUCUUCUUCCUCCAGCGUCGCCGGAACCGCCUGGUCCGGCCUCCGGCGGCUAGCGGCUCUGCUUAGCACGCAUCGCUGCGAAGCGCUACCCCACCGUCGGCCAGGCUAUCCCUCCACUCCUCGACACCUCCUGUUAUUCUCCAUAGACUACAACCCCACGCUGCAACAGAACCAGUUAUAACCCUUCUCCUCCUCUCAAUCUGCGAAUCCACUGUCGUGUCUUCCCAUCUCUGAGUCGUUCCCGUCCGGGGCCUCGCCGUCGUCCACCGCCUCGCUGUGCUCGGUGCGGCAUGGUCAACAAACGAGAGUCAUCAGAAGAGGACUGUACGUGGAGAGCCUGACGGCUGGGACCCACGAGGUCCAUGGUCGCACGCAAGGAAAGUUCCUCCUUAUUAAGAUGAAAAAAAAUGUUUCCUCCACCUGAUAGCUAGGACCCACCGGCUGUAUCUUCGCACGCAAGGAAGUGCCUCCUUGUUUUGCGAAAAAAUUAUUCAUCCCGUUGACAGCUGGGACAUGUCAGAUUUGGUGGCUGACUUGUGGGCCUACUAAGCGGAUGUGUACGCACGGCUUUGUCAACUUAAUCAACAAAUGAUUCUAGCAGCUGGACCAUUGGAUGUUAAUCCAACAGCCGUGCUCCUUCUUCAACCUAUGUUCUUGCUCCUGUCUCCCGUGGGCGGCACCGCGGCUGUGCUGCCGCGCACCCGAACCAGUGAAGUUUCCCACUCCUCUCCAUCUGCAACUCCACUGCCCCGUCUUCCCCAUCUCCGGGUCGUUCCAGUCUGGAUGCGCUCAGCACGGUGUGGUCAACAUGGUCAACAACCGAGAGUCAUCGGAAGAUGACUGUACGUGAGAGGCUGACAGUGGGGACGCACCACGCCCAUGGACGCCUGCAUGCAACGGAACGCGGCGUCGUCAACGUGGUCAAGGAACGACUUCCAUCGGAAGUAUACUGUACGUGGAGAGUCUGACAGCUGGGUCCACGGCCGCAGCAAGUAAGUGCCUCCUUAUUACGCAGAAAAUAAUGAUUCCUCCAACUGACAGCAAAGACCCACUGGACAAGCCACCAUAUUUUGCGAAAAAAAAUGUUUACCCCCUGACUCCUGGGACCCACCUGACGGGCCACCGUAUUUCGUGAAAAAAAUGUUCCCACCGCUGUCAGCUCGGACCCACCGAAAGUGCCUCCUUAUUAAGCAGAAAAAAUGAAUACUCCCCCUGCUAGCUGGGACCCACCUUGGUGGGAGGCUGACUUGUGGGCCCACUAAGUUGACGGGGACGGAGGGCUUUGUCAAGUUAGUCAAUAUGAACGAUUCUAGCUGCAGUGACCGUACGAUGUCCAUCCAACGGCCAUCGUGCUUCUUCAACCUCUGGUCUUCUUGCUCCAUCCGCCCAAAGCAGCGCCGAUCGUGCCGCCUGCUCCUGCCUCCCGUGACCGGCUGUGAUGCCGCGGAGGCCUCACCGCCCCCUACUACUCCCGCCGCUGGCCAGGCCAUCCCUCCACUCACCCACGCUUCCACUGCCGGUCUUCCCCGGCUCCACGUCGUCCCAUUCCUAGGCCUCACCGUCGUCCACCGCUGUGGUGCUCUCCGCACGGUGUGGUCAACGUGGUCAAGGAACGACUUCCAUCGGAAGAGUACUGUACGAGGAGAGGCUGACAGCUGGGUCAACGGCCACAUCCCAGUUUUUUUGUGAUUUGCCAAGUAAGUCGCUUUGUCAGGCCUGUUGGGCUGCAAAUCUUUCAAGACAAGGAGAGCUUUCAUUUGGCUAGCUGACAAAAUGGUCCAUCAGUAAUGAGAAAUGGGAUGUACAUUUUUAAAACACAUCAAACCAGCAAUUAGUUUCAAAUAUCUUUUUUUCAUUUUAAGAUUUUAAAUUACAUUAGUUUUUAUGCGUGGAGAAUUUGUUGGAUUUUAUAUUGAUAUACAUUUAUUUUUAAAAUCUGUUUGAAUGUGAGUCGAAAUUUCGGGAUUAAAAACAGUUCGGACCGCACCGAAAUAUGCAAAAUUUCGUAUAAUUUUUUAACCGUGGCCACAAUAUGGGUUGUAAUGCUAACAAAAAGAAUAUGGGCUCCAAAAAAAUCUUAAAAAUUAGAAAAUAGGCUAUAAAUUAUUAGAAAUAAUGGCAGAUGGGUUGUAUGCUGUUUUCCACAGAGUUGAGGCUUCCCUAAAAAAAGGUUGACACACAAGCAGUGACUGUUGGAUGUCCAUCCAAUGGCUGUCGUGCUUCUUCAAUCUCUGCUCUUCCUGCUCCAACCGCUCAAACAAGCGCCGGCGAGACUGCCUACUCCCUCCUUCCGCGGCCGGCUCUGCUGCCGCACAGGCCUCACCGCCCCACCGUACUCCCAUUGCUGGCCUAGCCAUCCCUCUACUCACCCACACCUGCUGUUAUUCUCCGGUGACGGCAGACGAACCAGUAAACCUUCGUACAGUCGUACUCCCCUCUGUGUGGGAAACAACUGCCGAGUCUUCCCUGCUUCCAUGUUGUUCCCUUCCUAGGCCUCGCCGUCAUCCAUCGCCCUGGUGCUCUCGGUGCGGCCUGGUCAACGUGGUCAACGACCGACAUGCAUCUGAAGUGGACUGUACGUGGAGAGGCCGACAGCUGGGUCCACGGCCGCAUGCAAGGAAAUGCCUCCUUAUUACGCGCAAAAUAAUGAUUCCUCCACCUGACAUCAGGGACCCAUUGAAAGGGCCUCUAUAUUUCGCGAAAAAAUGUUACCGCCGCUGACAGCUCGGACCCACCAGUUAUAUCUUCGCACGCAAGGAAGUGCCUCCUUAUUACGCACAAAAAAUGAAUACUCCCCCUGUUAGCUGGGACCCAGUAUAGUGGCAGGCCAACUUGUGGGCCUACUAAGUUGACGGGGAUGGAGGGCUUUGUCAAAUUAGUCAAUAUGCACAAUUCUAGCUCCAGUGACCAUACGAUGUCCAUCCAGCGCCCGUAGUGUUUCUUCAACCUCUGGUCUUCUUGGUCCAGCCGCCCAAACCAGCAUCGGUCGUGCCUCGUGCUCCUGCCUCCCGUGGCCAGCUGCGAUGUGGCGGAGGCCUCACCGCCACCUACUACUCCAACCGUUGGCCAGGCCAUCCCUCUACUCACCCACACCCCCUUUUAUUCUGCGGCGACGGCAGCCUCACACCGAAGGAACCAGUUAACCCUCGUACUCCUCUAGGCGUGGGCAUCCACUGCCGUGUCUUCCCCGGCUCCGCGUCGUCCCCUUUCUAGGCCUCGCUGUCGUCCACCGCCCUGGUGCUCUCAGCGCGGCGUGGUCAACAUGGUCAAGGAACGGCUUCCAUCGGACAUGGACUGUAAGUGAAGAGGCUGACAGCUGGGUCCACAGCCGCAGCAAGGAAGUGCCUCCUUAUUACGCGCAAAAUAAUUAUUCCUCCACCUGACAGCGGGGACCCACCGGACGGGCCACCGUAUUUCGAGAAAAAACGUUUCCCCCCUGACUGCUGGGACCCACCAGCUACACCUUCGCACACAAGGAAGUGCGUCCGGGUAAAAAAAAACAUUUGCCCCUGACUGCUGGGACCCACCAGCUACACCAUCGCACGCAAGGAAGUGCGUCCGGGCAAAGAAAAACGAUUUGCCCCCCUGACUGCUGGGACCCACCAGCUACAUCUUCGCACGCAAGGAAGUGCCUAACAGUCGGGACCCACCUGGUCGAAGCGUACGUAGCGUUGUCAUUCUGGUCGCGAACGUGUACGUACAUAUAUACUGGUCGAUGUAGAGGCGCGCACGUAGCAUGUACAUGUACGUACAGCGGCCAGUGUGCAAGAAAGAAAAUACAGCCACGUAUGUGUACAUACGGGCGGGGUCUCGAACGCCUACUCGCGCAUACGUACGGCCAGGACUCGUGUACAUGGCUCGGUCGGAACGGAGAAACAGCGUCGUCGUCGUGUUCAUGGGGAGCCAACCGGCUGGGUCGGAACGGAAUGCGUCGUCGUGUUCAUCGGGAGGGCUUGGACGGAACAGGCGAUGGAAACGAGGCCUGGCGUACCGCAGAACGGAGGAAACGGACCUCCUACAUUCAGAACGGGGUCCCGUUGAUCGGGAGGGGUCUGGCGUACCGCAAAACGGAGGAAACAGACCUCCUACGGUCGAAACGGGGGUCCUGUUGAUCGGGAGGGGUGUGGUGUACCGCAAAACAGACGAAACGGACCUCCUACGGUUGAAACGGGGUCCUGUUGAUCAGGAGGGGUGUGGCGUACCGCAAAACGGAGGAAAUGGACCUCCUACGGUCGAAACGGGGGUCCUGUUGAUCGGGAGGGGUGUGGCGUACCGCAAAACGGACGAAACGGACUUGUGUUGGAGCGCUACGGUCGAAACGGGGGUCCUGUUCAUCGGGAGGGGUGUGGCGUACCGCAAAACGGGACUCCACGGGAUACUGUUCAUCUCCACCAUCGACCUCCUCCAGCCUCCACGGGCUACUGUUCAUCCACCGUCGACCUCCUCCAGCCUCCACCUGCGACUGUUCAUCCACUGGCUCCUGUUCAUCUAGCCUCCAUCGCGCACUACUCCACCGGCUACUGUUCAACCACCCCUCUCCACGGGCUCCUGUUCAACCACCCCUCCACGGGGUACUGUUCAUCCACCCCUCCACCGUCUAUUGUUCAUCCAGCCCUCCACGGGGUCGUCCUGUUCAUCCAGCCCUCCACGGGUCCUGUUCAUCCAGCCCCAACCGGCUCGAUCGAUCGGGGUCCUGUUCAUCCAAAGGCAACGCCACGGGUCCUUUUCAUCCACUCCCAACGCUCACUGUACACCCAACCCCCCCUCCCCCGCAAUGCUCACUGUUCAUCCAGAGAGGCAGUAUCAAUUGGCUUGAGUAGCAGCAGUAGUGAAGGAAUCGCUCGAUCGGGUUCAGUUAACAGCCAUCGAUCGAGCGGUCGGGUUCAGUAACGCGUAGCCUGCAGUGCAAUCGCUCGAGUUCAACUAGAGCCCAACGCCUCGCUCGGGUUCAGUUAGACUCAACGCCUCGCACACACGCGCGUACGUGUACGAGAGUAACGCGCAUCGCUCGGCCCCCGACCACCCACCGUAACUGGGAACUCCCCGAAAUUUUCCUCGCCCUCGCUUCUACCACGGUUUUUUCCGUCAUGGACGGCCCAAAGAAUGUCAUGCAGCUGCGUCUCCGGCCCGCCCUCCCAGGACGAAAAGCCCAUUUUCUGUCAUGAUUUUUUGUCAUAGAAAUAGGAGCCCACCACAUCUAGAUGAUACCUGGUUUUAUCACAAUUAUCGUCAUAGAAGUGUCAUAUGUAUGAGAGAAAAAAGUUUUGUUCGGCCCAAAAUGUCACGGAUGUGUCUUUUUUUUUGUAGUGCUUGUUGGGGAACGUAGCAGAAAUUCAAAAAUUUUCCUACGUAACACCAAGAUCUAUCUAUGGAGAGACCAGCAACGAGUAGAAAGAGAGUGCAUCUACAUACCCUUGUAGACCGCUAAGCGGAAGCGUUCAAGUGAACGGGGUUGAUGGAGUCGUACUCGUCAUGAUUCAGAUCACCGAUGAUCAAGUGCCGAACGGACGGCACCUCCGCGUUCAACACACGUACAGCCCGGUGACGUCUCCCACGCCUUGAUCCAGCAAGGAGAGAGGGAGAGGUUGAGGAAGACUCCAUCCAACAGCAGCACAACGGCGUGGUGGUGGUGGAGGAGCGUGGCAAUCCCGCAGGGCUUCGCCAAGCACCACGGGUGAGGAGAGUAACUUGGGAGAGAGGGAGGGGCUGCAUCAAAGGCAUAAGGUGUGUUUGGGAGGCCCUCCUACCCCACUAUAUAUAGGGAUCCCAAGGGGGGGUGCGCCAGCCCCUAGGAGAUCCAAUCUCCAAGGGGGCGGCGGCCAGGGGAGGAGUCCUCCCCCCNNNNNNNNNNNNNNNNNNNNNNNNNNNNNNNNNNNNNNNNNNNNNNNNNNNNNNNNNNNNNNNNNNNNNNNNNNNNNNNNNNNNNNNNNNNNNNNNNNNNNNNNNNNNNNNNNNNNNNNNNNNNNNNNNNNNNNNNNNNNNNNNNNNNNNNNNNNNNNNNNNNNNNNNNNNNNNNNNNNNNNNNNNNNNNNNNNNNNNNNNNNNNNNNNNNNNNNNNNNNNNNNNNNNNNNNNNNNNNNNNNNNNNNNNNNNNNNNNNNNNNNNNNNNNNNNNNNNNNNNNNNNNNNNNNNNNNNNNNNNNNNNNNNNNNNNNNNNNNNNNNNNNNNNNNNNNNNNNNNNNNNNNNNNNNNNNNNNNNNNNNNNNNNNNNNNNNNNNNNNNNNNNNNNNNNNNNNNNNNNNNNNNNNNNNNNNNNNNNNNNNNNNNNNNNNNNNNNNNNNNNNNNNNNNNNNNNNNNNNNNNNNNNNNNNNNNNNNNNNNNNNNNNNNNNNNNNNNNNNNNNNNNNNNNNNNNNNNNNNNNNNNNNNNNNNNNNNNNNNNNNNNNNNNNNNNNNNNNNNNNNNNNNNNNNNNNNNNNNNNNNNNNNNNNNNNNNNNNNNNNNNNNNNNNNNNNNNNNNNNNNNNNNNNNNNNNNNNNNNNNNNNNNNNNNNNNNNNNNNNNNNNNNNNNNNNNNNNNNNNNNNNNNNNNNNNNNNNNNNNNNNNNNNNNNNNNNNNNNNNNNNNNNNNNNNNNNNNNNNNNNNNNNNNNNNNNNNNNNNNNNNNNNNNNNNNNNNNNNNNNNNNNNNNNNNNNNNNNNNNNNNNNNNNNNNNNNNNNNNNNNNNNNNNNNNNNNNNNNNNNNNNNNNNNNNNNNNNNNNNNNNNNNNNNNNNNNNNNNNNNNNNNNNNNNNNNNNNNNNNNNNNNNNNNNNNNNNNNNNNNNNNNNNNNNNNNNNNNNNNNNNNNNNNNNNNNNNNNNNNNNNNNNNNNNNNNNNNNNNNNNNNNNNNNNNNNNNNNNNNNNNNNNNNNNNNNNNNNNNNNNNNNNNNNNNNNNNNNNNNNNNNNNNNNNNNNNNNNNNNNNNNNNNNNNNNNNNNNNNNNNNNNNNNNNNNACAUCAUCCCGUGAUCAACUCCUUGGUCACAUUGCGCAUAUGAUGAUGUCCUACUGAGUGGGCCCAGAGAUACCUCUCCGUUUACACGGAGUGACAAAUCCCAGUCUCGAUCCGCAUAAAACAAUAGAUACUUUCGGAGAUACCUGUAGUGCACCUUUAUAGUCACCCAGUUACGUUGUGACGUUUGAUACACCCAAAGCACUCCUACGGUAUCCAGGAGUUACACGAUCUCAUGGUCAAAGGAAGAGAUACUUGACAUUGGCAAAGCUCUAGCAAAUGAACUACACGAUCUUUUGAGCUAGUCUUAGGAUUGGGUCUUGUCCAUCACAUCAUUCUCCUAAUGAUGUGAUCCCGUUAUCAACGACAUCCAAUGUCCAUAGCCAGGAAACCAUGACUAUCUGUUGAUCACAACGAGCUAGUCAACUAGAGGCUCACUAGGGACAUAUUGUGGUCUAUGUAUUCACACAUGUAUUAUGAUUUCCGGAUAAUACAGUUAUAGCAUGAAUAAAAGACUAUUAUCAUGAACAAAGAAAUAUAAUAAUAACACUUUUAUUAUUGCCUCUAGGGCAUAUUUCCAAUAGUCUCCCACUUGCACUAGAGUCAAUAAUCUAGUUCACAUCGCCAUGUGAUUAUCACUCACAGGUCACAUCGCCAUGUGACUGAUACCCAAGAGUUUACUAGAGUCAGUAGUCUAGUUCACAUCACUAUGUGAUUAACACUCAAUGAGUUUUAUGUUUGAUCAUGUUGCUUGUGAGAGAGGUUUUAGUCAACGGGUCUGAACCUUUCAGAUCCGUGUGUGUUUUACAAAUCUCUAUGUCAUCUCCUAGAUGUAGCUACCACGCUCUAUUUGGAGCUAUUCCAAACAACUGUUCUACUUGGAGCUAUUCUAAAUUGUUGCUCCAUUAUACGUAUCUGGUAUCUCUACUCAGAGCUAUCCGGAUAUGUCUUAAGCUUGCAUCGACGUAACCCUUUACGACAAACUCUUUUACCACCUCCAUAAUCGAGAAAAUUCCUUAGUCCACUAGUUACUAAGGAUAACUUUGACCGCUGUCAUGUGAUCCAUUCAUGGAUCACUCUUGUACCCCUUGACUGACUCAUGGCAAGGCAUACUUCAGGUGCGGUACACAGCAUAGCAUACUGAAGAGCCUAUGUCUUAAGCAUAGGGGACGACCUUCGUCCUUUCUCUCUAUUCUGCCGUGGUCGAGCUUUAAGUCUUAACUUCGUACCUUACAACUCAGGCAAGAACUCCUUCUUUGACUGGUCCAUCUUGAACACCUUCAAGAUCAUGUCAAGGUAUGUGCUCAUUUGAAAGUACCAUUAAGCGUUUUGAUCUAUCCUUAUAGAUCUUGAUGCUCAAUGCUCAAGCAGCUUAAUCCAGGCUUUCCAUUGAAAAAUACUUUCAAAAUAACCCUAUAUGCUUUCCAGAAAUUCUACGUCAUUUCUGAUCAACAAUAUGUCAACAACAUAUACUCAUCAGAAAUUCUAUAGUGCUCCCACUCACUUCUUUGGAAAUACAAGUUUCUCAUAAACUUUGUAUAGACCCAAAAUCUUUGAUCAUCUUAUCAAAGCAUACAUUCCAACUCCGAGAUGCCUACUCCAGUCCUUAGAAGGAUCGCUGGAGCCAGCAUACCUUUUAGCAUCCUUAGGAUCGACAAAAAACUUUCUGACUGUAUUACAUACAACCUUUCCUCACGAAAACCGGUAAGGAAACUCGUUUUGACAUCCUAUCUACAAGAUUUCAUAAAUAAUGCAGUAAUCGCUAAUAUGAUUCCGACGGACUUAAGCAUCGCUACGGAUGAGAAAAUCUCAUCGCAGUCAACUCCUUGAACUUGUGAAAAACUCUUCGCCACAAGUCGAGCUUCAUAGAUGGUGACAUUACCAUCCACGUCCAUCUUCUUCUUAAAAGAUCCAAUUAUCUCAAUGGCUUGCCGAUCAUCGGGCAAGUCCACCAAAGUCCAUGGAUCCGUUCUUGGAUUUUAUGGCCUCGAGCCAUUUAUCAGAAUCCGGGCCCACCAUCGCUUCUCCAUAGCUCGUAGGUUCAUUGUUGUCCAGCAACAUGACUUCCAAGACAGGAUUACGUACCACUCUGAAGUAGUACGCAUCCUAGUCAUCCCACGAGGUUUGGUAGUGACUUGAUCCGAAGUUUCAUGAUCAAUAUCAUAAGCUUCCACUUCAAUUGGUGUAGGUGCCACAGGAACAACUUCCUGUGCCCUGCCACACACUAGUUGAAGAGACGGUUCAAUAACCUCAUCAAGUCUCCACCAUCCUCCCACUCAACUCUUUCGAGAGAAACCUUUCCUCGAGAAAGGACCCGAUUCUAGAAACAAUCCAUAUUGCUUUCGGAUCUGAAUUAGGAGGUAUACCCAACUGUUUUGGGUUUCCUAUGAAGAUGCAUUUUAUCCGCUUUGGGUUCGAGCUUAUCAACCUGAAACUUUUUCAUAUAAGCGUCUCAGCCCCAAACUUUUAAGAAACGACAACUUAGGUUUCUCUAAACCAUAAUUCAUACGGUGUCAUCUCAUCGGAAUUACGUGGUGCCCUAUUUAAAGUGAAUGUGGUUGUCUCUAAUGCCUAACCCAUGAACGAUAGUGGUAAUUCGAUAAGAGACAUCAUGGUACGCACCAUAUCCAAUAGGGUGCAACUAUGAUGUUCGGACACACCAUCACAUUAUGGUGUUCCAGGCGGUAUUAAUUGCGAAACAAUUUCCACAAUGUCUUAAUUGUGUGCCAAAACUCGUAACUCAGAUAUUCAUCUCUAUGAUCAUAUCAUAGACAUUUUAUCCUCUUGUCACAGUGAUCUGCUACUUCACUCUGAAAUUACUUGAACCAUUCAAUAAUUCAGACUUGUGUUUCAUCAAGUAAAUAUACUCAACAUUUAAUCGAAUCAUCUGUGAAGUAAGAACAUAAUGAUAUUCACUGCAUGCCUCAGCACUCAUUCGACCGCACACAUCAAAAUGUGUUACUUCCAACAAGUUGCUAUCUUGUUCCAUCUUGCUGAAAAUGAGGCUUUUCAGUCAUCUUGCCCAUGUGGUAUGAUUUGCAUAUCUCAAGUGAUUCAAAAUCAAGUGAGUCCGAACGAUCCAUUUGCAUGGAGUUUCUUCAUGCAUAUACACCAAUAGACAUGGUUCGCAUGUCUCAAACUUUUCAAAAACGAGUGAGUCCAAAGAUCCAUCAACAUGGAGCUUCUUCAUGCGUUUUAUACCAUUAUGACUUACAUGGCAGUGCCACAAGUAAGUGGUACUAUCAUUACUAUCGUAUAUCUUUUGACAUGAAAAUGUGUAUCACUACGAUCAAAAUUCAAUAAACCAUUCCUUUAGGUGCAAGAGCACUUAUUCAGGUUUAAUACUAAUCUUGAUGGUAGAGGGAGCGUGCGAUGUUAGAUCACAUCAAACUUGGAAACACUUCCAACACGUAUCGUCAGCUCACCUUUAGCUAGUCUCCGUUUUAUUCCGUAGCUUUUAUUUCGAGUUACUAACACUUAGCAACCGAACCGGUAUCUAAUACCCUGGUGCUACUAGGAGUACUAGUAAAGUACACAUUAACAUAAUGUAUAUCCAAUAUACUUCUAUCGACCUUGCCAGCCUUCUCAUCUACCAAGUAUCUAGGGUAAUCUUGCUCCAGUGGUUGUUCCCCUUAUUACAGAAGCACUUAGUCUCGGGUUUGGGUUCAACCUCGGGUUUCUUCAUUGGUGCAGCAGCUGAUUUGCUGUUUCAUGAAGUAUCCCUUCUUUCCCUUACCCUUCUUGAAACUAGUGGUUUCAUCAACCAUCAACAAUUGAUGCUCCUUCUUGAUUUCUACUUUCGCGAUGUCAAACAACGCGAAUACCUCAAGGAUCAUCAUCUCUAUCCUUGAUAUGUUAUAGUUCAUCACGAAGCUCUAGCAGCUUGGUGGCAAUGACUUUGGGGAAACAUCACUAUCUCAUCUGGAAGAUCAACUCCCACUCGAUUCAAGUGAUUGUUGUACUCAGACAAUCUGAGCACAAGCUCAACGAUUGAGCUUUUCUCCCUUAGUUUGCAGGCUAAGAAAAUCGUCGGAGGUCUUAUACCUCUUGACAUGGGCACGAGCCUGAAAUCCCAAUUUCAGCCCUCGAAACAUCUCAUAUGUUCCGCGACAUUUCGAAAACGUCUUUGGUGCCUAUACUCUAAACCAUUUAACUGAACUAUCACGUAGUUAUCAAAACGUGUAUGUUCGAUGUUCGAAACAUCCACAAACGAUGUUUGGGGUUCAGCACACUAAGUAGUGCAUUAAGGACAUAUGCGUUCUAGUGUCCGCAUAAUCGCUACUGUCAACUUUCAACUAUAUUUUCUCUAGGAACAUAACUAAAACAGUAGAACUAUAGCGUGAACUACGACAUAAUUUGCAAAAGGUCUUUUGACUAUGUUCAGGAUAAUUAAGUUCAUCUUAUGAACUCCCACUCAGAUAGACAUCCCUCUGGUCAUCUAAGUGAUCACAUGAUCCGAGUCAACUAGCCCGUGUCCGAUCAUCACGUGAGACGGACUAGUUAACGUCGGUGAACAUCUUCAUGUUGAUCGUAUCUACUAUACGACUCAUGCUCGACCUUUCGGUCUCCGUGUUCCGAGGCCAUGUCUGCACAUGCUAGGCUCGUCAAGUUAACCCUAAGUGUUUUUGCUGUGUAAAACUGUCUUACACCCGUUGUAUGUGAACGUAAGAAUCCAUCACACCCGAUCAUCACGUGGUGCUUAGAAGCGACGAACUGUAGCAACGGUGCACAGUUAGGGGAGAACACUUCUUGAAAUUUUGUAAGGGAUCAUCUUAUUUACUACCGUCGUCCUAAGUAAACAAGAUGCAUAAACAUGAUAAACAUCACAUGCAAUCAAAUAGAGUAGUGACAUGAUAUGGCCAAUAUCAUAUAGCUCCUUUGAUCUUCAUCUUCGGGGCUCCAUGAUCAUCUUGUCACCGGCUUGACACCAUGAUCUCCAUCAUCAUGAUCUCCAUCAUCGUGUCUUCAUGAAGUUGUCACGCCAACGACUACUUCUACUUCUAUGACUAACGCGUUUAGCAAUAAAGUAAAGUAGUUUACAUGGCGUUCUUCAUUGACACGCAGGUCAUACAAAAAAUAAAGACAACUCCUAUGGCUCCUGCCGGUUGUCAUACUCAUCGACAUGCAAGUCGUGAAUCCUAUUACAAGAACAUGAUCAAUCUCAUACAUCACAUAUAUCAUUCAUCACAUCCUUUUGGCCAUAUCACAUCACAUAGCAUACCCUGCAAAAACAAGUUAGACGUCCUCUAAUUGUUGUUGCAUGUUUUACGUGGCUGCUAUGGGUUUCUAGCAAGAACGUUUCUUACCUACGCAAGACCACAACGUGAUAUGCCAAUUUCUAUUUACCCUUCAUAAGGACCCUUUUCAUCGAAUCCGUUCCGACUAAAGUGGGAGAGACUGGCACCCGCUAGCCACCUUAUGCACCAAGUGCAUGUCAAUCGGUGGAACCUGUCUCACGUAAGAGUACGUGUAAGGUCGGUCCGGGCCGCUUCAUCCCACAAUACCGUCGAAACAAGAUUGGACUAGUAACGGUAAGCAUAUUGAACAACAUCAACGCCCACAACUACUUUGUGUUCUACUCGUGCAAAAAAUCUACGCAAUAGACCUAGCUCAUGAUGCCACUGUUGGGGAACGUAGCAGAAAUUCAAAAAAUUUCCUACGUAACACCAAGAUCUAUCUAUGGAGAGACCAGCAACGAGUAGAAAGAGAGUGCAUCUACAUACCCUUGUAGAUCGCUAAGCAGAAGCGUUCAAGUGAACGGGAUUGAUGGAGUCGUACUCGUCGUGAUUCAGAUCACCGAUGAUCAAGUGCCGAACGGACGGCACCUCCGCGUUCAACACACGUACAGCCCGGUGACGUCUCCCACGCCUUGAUCCAGUCCAAGAUCCCAUCUGGGGGGCGGCCAAGGGGGGGAGAGGGGAAACUUGCCCCCCCCCCCAAGUUAGGUGGGUGCGCCCCCUUCAUCAAACCCUAGGCGCCUUGGGCCCUUGUGGGGGGGGGGGGCGCACCAGCCCACCUGGGGCUGGUCCCCUCCCACACUUGGCCCAUGCUGCCCUCCAGGGAUGGUGGCCCCACUUGGUGGACCCCCGGGACCCUCCCGGUGGUCCCGGUACGUUACCGAUAAAACCCGAAACUUUUCCGGUGACCAAAACAGGACUUCCCAUAUAUAAAUCUUUACCUCCGGACCAUUCCGGAACUCCUUGUGACGUCCGGGAUCUCAUCCGGGACUCCGAACAACAUUCGGUAACCACAUACAAGCUUCCUUUAUAACCCUAGCGUCAUCGAACCUUAAGUGUGUAGACCCUACGGGUUCGGGAGACAUGCAGACAUGACCGAGACGUUCUCCGGUCAAUAACCAACAGCGGGAUCUGGAUACCCAUGUUGGCUCCCACAUGUUCCACGAUGAUCUCAUCGGAUGAACCACGAUGUCAAGGACUCAAUCGAUCCUGUAUACAAUUCCCUUUGUCUAGCGGUAUUUUACUUGCCCGAGAUUCGAUCGUCGGUAUCCAAUACCUUGUUCAAUCUCGUUACCGGCAAGUCACUUUACUCGUUCCGUAACACAUCAUCCCGUGAUCAACUCCUUGGUCACAUUGCGCAUAUGAUAAUGUCCUACCGAGUGGGCCCAGAGAUACCUCUCCGUUUACACGGAGUGACAAAUCCCAGUCUCGAUCCGCAUAAAACAAUAGAUACUUUCGGAGAUACCUGUAGUGCACCUUUAUAGUCACCCAGUUACGUUGUGACGUUUGAUACACCCAAAGCACUCCUACGGUAUCCAGGAGUUACACGAUCUCAUGGUCAAAGGAAGAGAUACUUGACAUUGGCAAAGCUCUAGCAAAUGAACUACACGAUCUUUUGAGCUAGUCUUAGGAUUGGGUCUUGUCCAUCACAUCAUUCUCCUAAUGAUGUGAUCCCGUUAUCAACGACAUCCAAUGUCCAUAGCCAGGAAACCAUGACUAUCUGUUGAUCACAACGAGCUAGUCAACUAGAGGCUCACUAGGGACAUAUUGUGGUCUAUGUAUUCACACGUGUAUUACGAUUUCCGGAUAAUACAUUUAUAGCAUGAAUAAAAGACUAUUAUCAUGAACAAAGAAAUAUAAUAAUAACACUUUUAUUAUUGCCUCUAGGGCAUAUUUCCAACAGUGCUAUCGCCAGGGCACUUCCAUAUUUCGUUACAGAAACUUUGCGAAGGCAAAACCCAGCACUCCCAACCGCCAGGGGCUCUGGCGGUAUGUUUAGACAGGCUAUCGCCAGGUUCCCUGGCGGUAGGGUACUCAUCCACGUCGGCUGGCCAAACAUGAGUGUACGCGCGUAUGUAUGAGCGCUUGCGUCUGUACUGUGUUAAAAAAAAAAGCAACGGUCCAACAACUCUGCACCUAAAUCUUUUCGCUCUCUGUUGACCCGAUUUGGAACAUGUAUUAACUUUUGUAAGACCUUGUAUUUGUAAGUCGUGUGGCCUGUCUUUGCUUUAUAUUCACUUCGUUCCUAAAUAGUGUAAGUUUUUUUAGAGAUCCCACUAUACAAAGCUGGGCGCACCUCAUGCCUUUGAUCUAAAAAGAAACUACGUAUGUGAGAGAAAGAAACCAAUAGAGAUCGAGUUAUGUCUAUGUGACGAGCUAGGAUUAAUCCAAGCCUUCGAUGGUGUUAAACAACCUGUAGUGAUCCAGCAAGAGGCGGGUGACAGUGAGGAAGUCGCCGCCACUGCCGAGCUGCCUGCAGUGGGAGAUUUCGGUGCUGUGGUGGGCUGCGUAGCACAGGAACUCCAUCCACACCCCGAAGAUGACCUGCAGCAUGUUGGGCAACUUCCACUCAUUCCGGAGCAGCUUACUGGCGAGACGUACGCCGCUGAGCGGAGUCCGGGGAGCCGCCGUGUCACCCUUGUCGUGGCCGUCGCCAUGCUUCUUAAGCAUCAACCGGCAGAACUCCUCGGUCGUCAGGUUCAGGUCCAGAAACACCUCAUCUUUUGUCCAGACACGCUUUGUAAACCUCCACAUUUUCUCGAAAACGGCGCUGCUGUCGGAGAGGAAGUUGCGCCGAACGCCGCCGGGCAGCAGGCCGGGGCGCACCAGGAGCAGGAACCCCAUGUAGUUGGAUAGCACCUUGAUGGCCUCCGCUAGCUCAUGGUCUUCUCGAGUGUGCUCCUUCCUGUUGUGGUUGUGGCAGCGGAGGUAAAUGUCGCUCGCGAUGUGCCAGAAGAAGAUGCACUCGGCGAAAUCCCUGCCUCCGACGCUCCAGCCCACAUCCUCCAUCAUCCCGGCGUCGGCAAGCACGGAGCUGCCUCGGGCCUCCAUCAAGUCCCAUCUCUCAGAGAAGCGCAUCUUCUGCGCUAUGUGCACUAUCACCAACUCCUUGAACUCGUCUGAAAUCGGAAUGGUCCUUGAGAAAUGCAGUUUCUUCCACCAACCCCCGAGCCUCACCGCCUCCAUGACUCUGCCUCUGAGCUCGGUCGGAUCACGGCAGCAGUAGUCCAACACGUUGUGCUGCCCGACGGAGUGCAGCCACCUCCGCCUUUUGCUUCCGGCGUUGACAAGCCGGCGGAGGCGCAUGAUCACAACAUUGGUCUCGUCGAACUCCCACGAGUCCAGGUAGGCGCAGGUCCACGUGGAUCCCAGCGCCCUCAGCACCGACGUGAUCUCCAGGGCGACGGCGCCGACCAACAGGAGGUAGGUGAUGGCAACGUCGACUCUGCCGUAGGAGGCCUUGACGUCGAGGUGGAAGAGGAAGAAGGCGGCCACGGUGGCGACCGGCGCGACGGCGCGGACGGAGCAGCCCUGCCAGGUGUGGAUCACGGGCGCCUUGGUGUAGAGCAGGUCGUACAUGAUGGAGAGCUCCGCCUCCACCAGGUCGUACAUGUACAUGCCGCGGUUGAACAGCCUGCUGCGCAUGAGGCUGCCCACCGCGAAGUUGGCGUUCCUGAAGCGGGACCCCUGGUCGAUGUUGAGGAAGGCGCUCUUGCAGAAGCCAAACAUGUAGUGGGCGUCGAGCAGGAGCUCCUCCUCGGCGUCCACGGACACCCCCCUGCUGUACAGCCUGGCGUCGGUGCCCUGCAGGACGUGGUGGAGCGGGUCGAGGGUCUCGAUGUUGGCGCGCUCCAGCGCCCACACCCGCUCGCCGUACUUGAGGAACCCGACGACGAAGAUGAGUACGGUGGCCGCGACCAGCGUCGGGGUGCCAGGGAUGUAGCGGUAGAGAGCGUAGCCGGUGCCCGACGCCUGCACCAGGAGGGUCAGCAGGUGGCGCCGCCACAGCUGGUUGUCCUCCAGGGAGUAGGCGGUGAUGGUGUCCUGGCCGCCCAGGUGCAGCAGGAAGAAGGGCGCCCAGAAGGCCACCAGCCCGUCCUCGUGCGGCCGGUUGUCCAGGGAUAUGUGGCCGAGCGCGUACACCGCCACGUUGUCCGCCAUCAGGUACGCCAGCCAGAGGAGGAUCAUCAGCGCGGCGGAGGACUUGCGCCGACGGACCCCGGCGAACACCAGGAGCACCAGCUGCAGCACGAAGCUGAGGACGACCAGUAUCUGGAUCCCCCACUCUUUCCACACCUCCACCACCAGUCCUCCGGCGCCCAUUGCACCUCACCUCACUGAAACGAAACACGCGCGUAAAAGUGUCAGGCUACAGCAGUACAGCUAGGCUAGCUAGCCCAUGCGGUGGCAAGUAAAUUUCAAAAAAUUUGUACAACAAAAAUUUAUCAGUUUAGCUGAACCUCGGUCGCUUGAAUUUGAAAUUUGGGUUAGUCGGUUCUUUUGGGAAAGAAGCAGCAGCUGUGUGGACCACCGGAGUCACCGACCACAGCGCUGGGGUGAGUGAAGCGAGGCCCGGGGAUGCCAGCAAGGCCUCGGUCAGGAACGAGCUGCAGCCGCCGGAGGCGAGUCCGAAGGUUGACGGGUGCGCGUGCGAAGUUUGCCGAGAGGAAAAUCUGGUGGUCGUCGAGUUAAAGGGAUGGCUGGGGCGGUGCGAGGUGGGGGAGGGCGGUGGGCGAGGCUGGCGUGGGAGUAUCGCCGGCCGCGGGUAGCAGAGGCAGGCGGCUGGGUUGGGCCGGUGGUACAUUGGGGCAUGGGGCGGUUUCGGGAAGAAGAUGAACAGGAUGGCAGAAGGUUGAAGAAGGUGAUCUGACCAUUCAUUCUGCAUCCGACGGCUCAAAACAAAUCGAUUGACCCAAGAAAAGUCAGUCGUCGUAUUAUAUACUAAAAAAGAUUGAAGUUAGCACAAAGGAAGAUUUAAUCCAAGAGCAAGUGACCUAUCUAUCUUGCGGUCAUUCAAAAGCUUGCAAAUGCUUUUUACUUUUAAAAAGAAAAAGAAACUUGCAAAUGCUACCACCAUGGACAUGGAGCUGCCUUGGUCUUGAUUACAAAGAAAAACAGAGUAUUUCUCUCCCGAACUUUCAGAGGACAGGACAGAAACAAAGUGGGUGAGCAACUCAGGAAUCAUGGCAAUGAUCGUGCUACAUGCCCGUAUCAAUCAACAACUACAAAAUACAAAUCAGAGCUUUCUUUAUAUACAUCCAGAUCCAAGCAAGAAACAACUACAUAAGCAGGCCAAGUAGUUGUCAUUAAAUAGGUUUAGGCAACUGAUUGACUUACACGUUGAAGGAUAUCCGGCGAGCCCAUGUCCGCCCGACCAAGAAGAAGCAGAAAGAUGGGAGACCGGAAGGCGAAGAGCAAGCGCGAUCGAGCGUUUUCCCGUUGUAAUAAUAGGCUAAGCCACAAUUUGGGGACUGAGAUACAAUCAGUAAGUAGGUCUGGACCUGGGUGCUUUGGGUUUGGGAUAAGGCUAGCAGGCCGCCACCGGAGUCUGCCGCGAAGACUCACCAACCGUCUGGCAUAUGGGGUCUCCUCGCGCUGCAAAAGAACAACUCACCUGUUACGUCAAGAAAACUGCCCCGAAAAACCUUCGACUUCGACGGACUGGAUUUUAGCUGUAGCAUUAGAGCAUUUAUAGCCCGAUUGUUAAAAUAUGAGCAAUUUAUCAAAUGAUUUUAUUAAUAAAAAUAUUAGAUAAAGCAUGACUAAUAUAACAGGGAUAAAACUAGUCAUGCGAUCUAACAGAAAGAAGGUAAUAACAUCUGCAUAUAUGAACCAGCCAUGUCGUCGAGGAGGUUGUCGAUGUCGGGGAAGAAGCCGUCGGCUCGGCUCAUUCCCGCAACCCACCGCGCGGCGCGUGGUGGCGAGGCGGGCGGCAGAGGCGGAGCGCACGUGGAUGUCCCUCUUGUUCUUAUGCUCAUACAUGUGGGAAAAAAAUCUCCCUUAUAAAGAGGUACAACUUCCUCUAAACUAGCAAUAUGGGACUAAACUUUAGUUCCACCUCUUGCCUUGCACGAAUGGACUGCGUGAGCCUCUAGGAUUUAUUAGGAAUUUCUGAAACUGUUAUUGGGUUGGCCCAAAAUAGACAAAAAUUCCAGCAAUUCCCCACCAGAUCCCAGAGGCACACAAAAUUUGCCUUUGGUUCCAAAAUAUUGUUUUAUAUACCGGUACUGCAGCGGAGACUGUUAAGUUGAACUUCCACCUAGAACUCUAUGCUACACUAGUAAGCAACUUGAACAGUGACUGGGCCUUGAACUGCAAGUUUUCUGCGAAUUUAGCUUCACACAAAGCCUUGACCGAUACGUGGCUACUGUGGGUCUUCUCCGCGGGUGGAGCUUAUGCGUCAUACUCUAAGACCUUUCAUGAGUUUACUAGAGAGAACCCUACUCUCAUAGAUUGCGACGUUUAACAAUCAGACUCAUAUAGGUGCGUUCUUCAAAAGAUGUUCUGCAGGACAACAUCUCUGCUUCAAUGAGUCUCUUAGAACACAUUAAGAUAUACAUCAACCUGCCAUGCAGAUUUAGUAGAGUAUUGCAUCUUCAUGGAGUGGUAUAUUAGACAGUAAGGGUACUCUCCUUCCAGUUGAACAACAGCUUGUCUUCCACAUCUAAUUAACAGGAUCUUCGAUCACAAAGAAUAGGUUACCACUGUGAACAACUCAUAUUGUGUGCCUCAUACCCAUCUCCCUCGAUGCAUUAUCUAUCACAUUACGUGAUAGACCCUUAGUAAAAGGAUCUGCCAGAUUUUUAGACGUUUGGAUAUAAUCCAAUGCAAUAACUCCGGAGUUUCUCAUUUUUUUGACAGACUUUAACCUUCUCUGAACGUGUCUUGGUGACUUCAUGUUAUCCUUUGAGCUGCUCACUUUCGUGAUCACAGUUUGAUUGUCGCGGUUCAUAAGGAUACCCGGUACAGGUUUCUCAACAACCGACAAGUCAUUCAAGAGCCGACGAAGCCAAUCUGCUUCGACCGUAGCUGUAUCUAGUGCUAUGAGUUCUGCUUCCAUUGUUGACCUCGUUAAGAUGGUCUGCUUGCAAGACUUCCAAGAAACAGCGCCACCUCCAUGAGUGAAUACAUAUCCGCUCGUGGCCUUUAUCUCAUCAGCAUCAGAGAUCCAGUUUGAGUCACUAUACCCUUCAAGCAUCUUUGGGUGCCCAGUGUAGUGAAUUCCAUAAUUCGCAGUGCCUUUCAAAUAUCGGAAAAUUCUCUCUAGAGCUUUCCAAUGCACAUCUCCUGGUUUUGAGACAAACCGGCUCAGUUUGCUAACAGCAAAAGAAAUGUCAGGUCUUAUAGCACUGGUUAAAUACAUAAGCGAGCCAAUAUUAUGAGAAUAUUUCAAUUGGUCUCUAGCAAUUCUUCGAUUCUUUUGAAGCAACACACUAGAAUCAUAUGAUGUUGGAGAGGGCUUGCAGUCACUAUAGCCAAAGCGACUCAAGAUCUUUUCCAUAUAGUGAGAUUGAAGCAAUGUAAUCCCACCAUCAUCGUCUCUCAACAACUUCAUGUUCAGAAUGACAUCAUCCACUCCUAAAUCCUUCAUCUCAAAGCAACGAGAUAGGAAAUCCUUGACCUCCUUAAUAACCUUCAGAUUUGUUCUGAAAAUCAUAAUGUCAUCAACAUACAAGCAAAGGAUAACUCUCUCGCCCCCACCAUGGCGAGAGUACACACAUUUAUCAGCUUCGUUUACAACAAAGCCUGGGGCUGUUAAAGUUCUUUCAAACUUCUCAUGCCACUGCUUGGGUGCUUGCUUAAGUCCAUACAAAGACUUCAGCAACUUGCACACUUUCUCUUCCUGACCAUCUAUUACAAACCCAUCUGGUUGUUCCAUAUAAAUUUCCUCUUCUAACUCUCCAUUUAGGAAAGCAGUCUUAACAUCCAUUUGAUGAACGAGAAGACCAUGUGAGGCAGCAAGUGAAAGUAGUACUCGAAUAGUGGUCAGUCGAGCCACAGGUGAGUAAGUAUCAAAGAAGUCUUCACCUUCCUUUUGGGUAUAACCCUUAGCCACGAGUCAAGCCUUAUACUUUUCAAUAGUACCAUUAGGUCUAAGCUUGUUCUUGAAUACCCAUUUGCAUCCUAUAGGUUUGCACCCAUAAGGACGAUCAGUUAUCUCCCAAGUUUCAUUCGCCAAGAUGGAAUCCAUCUCGCUACGAACCGCUUCCUUCCAGUAGUCAGCAUCUUCAGAUGCAUAGGCCUUUGAAAUAGAACUGGGAGUGUCAUCUAUGAGAUACACAAGAAAAUCAUCACCAAAGGACUUUACGGUCCUCUGUCUCUUGCUCCUUGUAGGAACUUCAUUGUUCUCCUCCACAUGAUUUUCAAAGUGUUCCAUCGAAAUGGAAGGUUCAGUAAUUGUAACUGGUUCCUGAUUCGAUGAACUAGGCAUCUCCUGAUUAGAUGAGGUAGCCAUAUUCUUCAAGGGAAAGAUAUCUUCAAAGAAAGUCGAAUCAUUCGACUCCAUGAUCAUACCGACAUGCAUGUCAGGUACCUCAGAUUUUACAACCAAGAACCUAUAACCAAUGCUAUGAAAAGCAUAUCCCAGGAAAACACAAUCCACAGUUUUUGGUCCCAGCUUCCGCUUCUUUGAAAUUGGCACAUUGACUUUCACCAAACAACCCCAAGUUCGUAGAUAAGAGCUUUAACCUUUUCUUCUCCCAUUCCUCGAACGGAGUUAUUUCCCUGUUCUUUGUGGGAACUCGGUUUAGGACAUGACAUGCAGUCAAUAUCGCCUCCCCCCACCAUGCCUUGGAGAGACCCUAUGUGUCUAAUAACAUGGUGUUAACCAAAUCAGUUAGAGUACGGUUCUUUCUUUUGGCCACCUCAUUUUACUGAGGUGAAUAGGGAGGCAUCAUCUCAUGGAUUAUACCAUGUUCCGCACAAAAGGAAUCAAAUUCAUUUGAAAAAUUCUCUCCACCAUGAUCGGACCUAAGCCUCUUGAUCUUUCGAUCAAGUUGGUUUUCCGCUUCAGCUUUAUAGAUCUUGAAAUGGUUCAAAGCCUCAUCCUUAGAUUUCAGAAGAUACACAUGACAGUAUCUAGUGGAGUCAUCAAUUAACGUCAUAAAAUACUUCUUUCCACCUUUUGUCAAAACACCAUUAAUUUCACAUAGAUCUGAAUGUAUGAGCUCUAGUGAUGCAAGAUUUCUCGUUUCUGCUGUCGUGUGAGACUUACGAGGUUGCUUAUCUUGCACACAAACCUGACACUUAGAUCUCUUGACAGUGGUGAAACUAGGGAUUAAGUUCAACUUCGCUAGUCGGGACAUGCAACCAAAGUUAACAUGACAAAGACGUGAAUGACACACAUUUGAUUCACUAUUGUUGCAAACAUGAUUAACAACUUUAUUGCAAACGUCUAAGAAGGAUAAACGAAUCAGGCCUCCUGACUCAUAGCCUUUACCAACAAAGGUUCCAUACUUGGAUAUUACAAAUUUAUUCGACUCAAAGACAAGCUUAUAGCCAUCUCUACACAGAAGAGAUCCGCUAACAAGUUUUUUAUUGACGGAGGGGACAUAAUGCACGCUCUUCAGCCGCACGAUCUUCCCCGGAGUAAACUUCAGAUCGACCGUGCCAACACCACGAAUAGAAGCACUUGAACCAUUGCCCAUCAGCACGGUUGAAGUCCCUGCGGUCUGAUAAGACGAAAACAUGGAAAUAUCACCGCAUACAUGCACAUUAGCACCCGUGUCAAUCAACCAAUCAGGAGAAUGACAUACUGAAAGAAUAGUGGGAAAUAUACCAUACCCGGCAUCCUUCAUGUCAGUGUCUCCAAUGACAACAUUAGUGGUCUUGCCGCCUUUCCCAGGAUGACGCUUGUCAUAGCGAUUAGGGUAACUAGGAGCCCAAUGAUCAGGAUCCCCACACACAUGACAGACACCUUUCUUCUUAUCAUUCUUCUUCUUGAAGUUCGUGUGCUGCACAACCUUGUUCUUCCCAUCAAACUUUGCUAUACCAUCAAACUUGCCAUUGUUCUUGAACUUGUGGGGCUGGAAGUUCUUCUUCUGUACCAGAUUGGCACUAGAACCUCCCUCAAUACCUCGAGCACGGUUGUCCUUUGCUCUCGCCUUUUCUUCCACAUCAAGAGUACCAAUGAGAUCCGGAAUGGAAAACUCCUACCUCUCAUAUAUGCUUCAGUAAGGUAGCAAAGUUCCUCCACGUGGGAGGAAGCUUAGUGAUGAUACCUCCGGCAAUAAACUUGUCCGGUAGGAUACAAUUGAAGUGCUCAAGUUCUCUAGCAAAUGACUGUAUCUCAUGACCUUGCUCAACCACGGAGCGCUCUUCAGUCAUCCUGUAGUCAUAGAAUUGCUCCAUGAUGUACAGCUCAGUGCCAGCAUCCGAGACCCCAAACUUGGCCUCGAGUGCAUCCCACAUUUCUUUUCCAUUAUAAAUUGACACAUAAGCAUCAACUAUGUUCUCACCAAGAACACUCAAGAGAGCAGCCUUAAACGAGGUAUCCAUUUUCCGAAAAGCUUGUGCCUGUUGAGCAUCAUGCUCUCCUUCAGGUUUGCCAAGAGUGGCGUCAUAGCAACUCAUGGUUUGAAAUCAUAAGACUACUCUCACGUGCCACCUCUUAUAGUAGAUACCCUCAAACGUAGGAGGUCUCAUGGAAGCAGCAAAACCACUCGGGGUAAAUUUCCUAUAAUAAAGUUUUUGGAUUGUUGGAAAUAUGAGCAAUUUACCAAAUGAUUUUAUUAACAGAAAUAUUAGAUAAAACAUGACUAAUAUAACAGGGAUAAAACUAGUCAUGCGAUCUAAUAGAGAGAAGGUAAAUAACAUAUGCAUAUAUGAACUAUAUCCAAGCUUAUCUAGAGCAGACAGUAGGGUAAGUUUCAUAUAUGAAGUAGAACUUAACAUAUCUAGGACACCAGAACAAGGAACCGUGGCAGGACCUCGAACAGAAAGGAGAAGAACACAUACGGGACAGCAGCAACAUUAGUACUGGACUUGGGGUCGAUGUCCUCGCUAGCCAUGUCGUCGAGGAGGUUGUUGACAUCGGGGAAGAGGUCAUCGUCGGGGAAGUAGGCGUCGGAGUCCGGGGCAUCCGUGACGAAGAAGUCAGUAGUCACGCUGAGCGCUCCCCAAAAACCUUAUCACCCUUCUCCCGUACAGGACUCAAAGAGGUGCGGUUUCGGAGUCCUACUGUCCCGACCUGCGGUGCACGCUGCAAGCCGGGAUGGGGAAGGACGUAGCAGCAGCACAGUGCUCAGGAACUUGGUGGCGAGAGGGAGAUGGUCUUUCUGAUGUGUCUCUCUGGAGAGGAGCGACAUCUCUUAUAUAGGCACAGGAGAGAGAGGCGAAUAGGCUGUGAUGGGAGGUGAAGCAACAAAGGGAGACGAAGCGAACAGGCAACAGGUGAAGAGGUGCGCCGUUUGUAUUCAAUCUCCACUACAGAAAAAACGUUUCAGCUCCUGUGUGACCGUUCGUAUACCCAUCGUGCGUGGCAAAAAUUUAGAUAUCGGCUCGGCUCAUUCCCGCAACCCGUGGUGCAUCGUGAUGAGGCGAGGCGUGGCAUGGCGAGGCGGGCGAAGGCGGAGGAGCGCACGUGGAUGUCCCUCUUGUUCUCAUUCUCAUACAUGUGGGGAAAGAACCUCCCUUAUAAAGAGGUCCAACUCCCUCUAAACUAGCAAUGUGGGACUAAACAGUAAACUUCAGUUCCACCUCUUGCCUUGCACGAAUGGGCUGCGUGGGCCUCUAGGAUUUAUUAGGAAUUUCUGAAACUGCUAUUGGGCUGGCCCAAAAUAGACAAAAAUUGCAGCACCGAUAUGUCAAAUAUGCCCCUCAAACACCCGCGGGCACGUCUAGGGUAGUGCCCAGACAUGUCUCAAAUUUCACUUGUUUCAUCCAGACAUCUUAUACUAGAUUCUUAAAUCCAUACAAAAACAUGUAAACGAAAUAGCAACUCGUCGUUGGAGAUGUUGACAAUCUCCGUGUCCGGCUCCGACAGGAUUGGCAGCAUCUGCGGCUCUGGCUCCUCAUACGCCUCCGGCUGCUCCGCUUCGGCCUCCUUCGCCUCUAUCUCUGAGUCGGGUUUAGUGAAGAGCGCGUCGGACGCCGUGUGCUCCUGCCGGAGGAACGCCCGGUUGGCCUCCACAUAGGCCUCAUCCUGGAUGGACUCAAGGAUGGCCUGCCGCUAUGCCAUCUCGUUGGACUGGAUGACGGCGAACUCCACCUCCGCCUACUCCAUGUUGAAGACCGGCGGCUACUGCUCUGGCUGCUCCGCCUCCUCCACCUCCAUCGAAGCCAGCUCCGGCGAGUCCGGAGGCAGCCUGGCAGCGAUGCGGGCUGCGCAUGCGGCUUGUCUCACUCGGAUCUCCUGCUGGAUCUCGGCAGUGCUCCGGCGUGAGCAUUGUGUAGUAGGUGAUCUUCCUCCAGACCAUGGCGGACCACCGGAGCAUGGGAAGAGCACCGGAGCAGGAGAGGGAGGAGGUGGAUGGGCUCGGACUGGCGGCACGGAGAAGGAGGUGGAUGGACUAUGGUUGCGGGACUCCAGCCGGCUUAAAUAGGCAGAUUUGCUCUCGGGCGGCGAACCGGAGCGGCGCCACGUGGCGACGGAGGAUGCGUCCAUUGGACUGCAGGGUUUCCGAGCGAGUCCGCGUGGGAUCCCUCUGUCAGUCCUACAUGGCAAGCGCGUGUGGGCGCCCCCAUAUUCGCCCCAUAUUUGGGUUGGAUAUGAGGGGUGUUGGUCAGCCCGGGCGUUUGAGGGGGCCGUUUGGGUCAGAAAACGUGACCGGUCAGUGACCGGACGGUCCGCCCGGACAUGUGAGGCGGGUUUGGAGCGCCCAAUUGUAGAUGCUCUUAUCUGCUAUCCCUGAAAACCCUAGUUUUCCUUCUUUUUUGCGGAAAACUUGCAAGCUUUCAUUGCAUAUCACAAGAAGUUUGACACCUCACAGUCACAGUAACAAAGAUUUUAUAUAUACAUAUAAAAGACAGCUUUACUCUCCAAUUUUCAUUGCCAGAAACCACAAUGUCUUACAAGGGAACCAAAAUUAAAAAACAAAAGAAAAGCAAAAGGCCACUGACAAACAAUGCAUCAGAAUUUCCCUAUCUAAGGGGAUCAAGGAAAGGAGCCAUCAAUCUCCUUGUAUAUCUGAAGAAAAGCUCUAAUGCGGUUAGGGUCUCUAGCUGGUUUGACACAGCUACCCACGUUGUCAUAGAAGAACUCCAAGUUCAUGCCUCUCUCAUCUUCGAGAAUCAUAUUGUGAAGGAUAACACAACAUGUCAUGAUGUUUUUAAACAUCCGCUUGUCCCAAAAAUGAGCAGGACCACGAACAAUGGCAAACCUAGAUUGCAAAACCCCGAAUGCUCUUUCAAUGUCUUUUCGGGCUGCCUCUUGCACCCUUGCGAAUUCACAUUGUUUUCUAGUAUUGGGUUGUUUGAUGCUCUUGACAAAUGUGCACCACGAAGAGUAUAUACCAUCUUCAAUAUAGUACCCUUCUGUGUAUUCAUGCCCAUUGAUAGUGUACUUGGAAGCAGGAGCAUCACCACUAACAAGCCUAGCAAACAAAUGAGACCAUUGCAACACAUUGAUAUCAUUGAGAGUUUCCGGCAUACAAAAAAACAAUGCCAAAUCCAUAAAUCCUCGGAUGCUACGGCCUCUAGCACAAUUAUUGCAUCACGAGACUUGCCACAAUACAUUCCCUGCCAUGCCUUCAGGCAAUUUUUCCAAGUCCAAUACAUACAAUCGAUGCUACCUAGCAUGCCAGGCCAACCUCUCCUCUCAUUAGAUGCCAUAAAUUUUUUUGUGUCAUCCUCGUUGGGUGCCUGAAGAUAUUCAGGACCUAAGACACGGAUGAUCACUUUGGCAAACCUACGCACUGACUCAAUUAUGGUAUCUUCACCAAUGCGAAGGUACUCAUCGGCAUAGUCAGCCGGAACGCCAUAUGCAAUCACCCGCAUAGCUGCUGAGAUUUUUUGAUAUGCACUAAAUCCCUUCAAGCCCGCGGCAUGUCUUCUUUGAGUAAAAUACCGACAAUUUGCUUCGCAAGCUUGAACAAUUUUCACAAAGAGGGAUCGGCGCAUUCGGUACCUUCUUUGGAAGAGGUGCGAUGGAUAUGUCAGAUUCUUCGCGGAGUAGUCUUGCAUCAACAUCUUGUUCCCGAGAUGGCAAUUCCGAGGAAUGCAAAGACGCCUGACGGUCGAUCCUCACCGCCUCUUUCGAUUCUCAUCUUUGUGCUCCUUCACGGCAAGAUCCAUCACCAACGUCUGCUGCCGAUAGUGUGCAAGCAGCGCCUCAACAUUUGAGUCGUAUGAAUCGGAUGAAUCGUCGAGCAAAAACUUCUCGCACGGUCUCAAUUCCAUCUACAUGAACAAAAAUCGCACGUUGUGUCAACCAACUAUGCAUACCACUCAGCACAAAGCACAGCAAACACUAACAGGCGGUGAUGGGGUUGUGUACCUAGGGUAGGAUCAUGGACCUGAUCCAAGUAACUUACCCUAGGACAUCCUUAGAAGAGGUCGCCUUCCAGUCGACCAACGAGGAUUCACUCGACUGGCCUGAAGGACUCGACCACGAAGACUCACUCGACCACCAGGAGGUCAAGAGGCACUCUGCACUGCAACGGCCUGUAAUCAAGUAGACUUUAUGAUAGUAAAGGCACUUUAUGUGGGGCGUUACCAGUAAUGCCCCAGACUUAACUCACCUUAAACCCUCUCCUACGUGGGCUGGCUGGGGUCCUGGCGCACUCUAUAUAAGCCACCCCCUCCACAGGCAGAGGGGUUCGGCACCUUGUAAUUCAUACAUUCAUAAUCCACUCGACCGCCUCCGGGCUCCGAGACGUAGGGCUGUUACUUCUUCCGAGAAGGGCCUGAACUCGUACAUCCUUUGUGCUUACAACCUCUCCAUAGCUAGGACCUUGCCUCUCCAUACCUACCCCCCACUCUACUGUCAGGCUUAGAACCACGACAGUUGGCGCCCACCGUGGGGCAGGUGUUUUAGCGAUUUUGUGGAGAAGUUGCGAUUCUUCCGAGUACUCUCAUCAUGGUGUCUGCUGGAGUUUUGGUCAAGGGUCAAGAGAUCCGUCUCGGCACUCUCACCUUCAUCGCCGACGACUCCGCAUGGCUCCAGGAGGCUCCACUCGACGUAGACGCGCUCCCCGUCCGCGGUGCGACGCAUUUUCGCGCAUGUGUCCGCGGCGUUCUGCUGCGGCAACCGUCGACCCAGUAUCGGUCGGCUCCUCCAUCGUCCACCCUCCCGGUCUCCCGCCAGCGCAAGCGCUCAGGCCGGUCGAGGCUUCAGCGAUGGGUGAUUCACGCGGUGGCUCGCCAAUCGGCCACUACACAAGUUGCGGCAAUCGAGCCCAACGAAUCUCUCUACGGCUUGUUCGAUCAGUCGACUGGCUCCGGAGAGACUGCAUCCGAGUGCGGAAGCAGUGAUCCAGCGGCGGAAAUCUUGAUGGUCGACGGGCCCCACAACCCUCCUGGCUUCGCCCGUGGCGGUGGAGCAGGUGACGGCGGCGACCCUGCACGAGACUACGAAGAGUACCAGCCCGAGCCACUCGACUCUCUGCAAAGAGAAGAGCUUCGCCGCAGGAACGAGGAUCCCCUGCGUAUUCCCAUCGCAGGAGAAACCCCCGAGGCUCGUGCCUUGGAAGAGGCGCGUCUGGCCAAUUUGGCCGAGCGCACUCGACUGGAGAACCUUCAGCGAGCACUCGACGAGCGCGCGCGGCAACGAGUUCCCGACACCAGUCGACGUCAACUCUUCCCGCCGACUCAGGUAUAUCGAACCCCAAUUCAGAAUUUAGCAGCUGCGACCCGUAUAGCAGAGUCCAUUCAGCCUUCGCAGUCGGAAGCUGACAGAGGUUUGCUGCAGAUCAGGGAUCUGCUCCGGGCAGCAGGAGAUCAGAAUUCAGCCGUGUCUCAGUCGCGCAACAGAAUUCACAGUCGAUCUGUCACUGUGAAUACGGUUCAGUCGGCUCACAGCCCCAGAUCGCCUCCGCGGCGCGAAGGGCGUGAGAAUCGGCGAGAUCAAUAUGGCGACAGACUCGACCGAGAUGAUAGGCGUCGAGUGCCCUAUUCCCCUCCGAGGGGUGGGUCUUACGCUCCUCGGCAGCCAGAUGAUAGGCGUCAGUACAGUACAGGGCGUAGGGUUCCAGUUGACCCCAGAGAGCCAGGCUUCGACGCACGAUCCAUUAUCGUGCAAGGUUGGUUGACCGGAACAGAGCCCAUCGAGGCGCACUCGACAGAGAUGUACCCACGAGCAGUCGAGUACAUGUUUCUGGUCCUGAAUGUUUCAGCAGAGCUAUCAGAGCCGCAGUUAUCCCCCCCAAUUUCAGGUUGGCAACAGGAGUCAGCAAGUUCACUGGUGAGUCUAAGCCUGAAACUUGGCUUGAAGACUACCGAGUGGCAGUUCAGAUCGGUGUGGGAACGACGAGAUGGCCAUGAAGCAUUUGCCCCUCAUGUUGGAAGGUUCUGCCAGGGCAUGGUUGACUCAAUUACCUCCUAGCAGCAUUUACACUUGGGAAGAUCUGUCCCGAGUGUUCGUCAGAACGUUUGAAGGGACUUGCAAGCGACCAGCGGGAUUGACAGAGUUGCAAGUCUGCGUGCAGAAAACUAAUGAGACUCUCAGAGAGUAUAUUCAGAGGUGGAUCACUUUGCACCACACUGUGGAAAAUGUCUCUGAUCAUCAGGCAGUAUGCGCCUUCAAAGACGGCGUCAAGAACAGAGAACUGAGUUUGAAAUUUGGUCGAACCGGUGACAUGACCUUGAGUCGGAUGAUGGAGAUUGCUACCAAGUACGCCAACGGCGAAGAAGAAGACCGACUCCGAAGCGGCAAGCACAAGCCGAGUCAGUCGGAAAAAGGAAACACCAGUCGGAAACAGAAGCGGAAGGCUGAACCAGCAGCUCCUGGAGAGGCUCUGGCCGUGACUCAAGGAAAGUUUAAGGGGAAACCAAAAGGAUCCUGGAACCCCAAGAAGGUAAAGGAUAAAGAAGGGAACGACGUGAUGGAUAUGCCGUGUCACAUUCACACGAAGAAAGAUGAAGAGGGGAAUAUCAUUUACCCAAAGCACACCACUCGCCAAUGUCGACUCCUGAUCCAGCAGUUUCAGGGAAAACAGUCUAAGGACAAGGAGAAGGAGUCGGACAAGGCCGAAGACAAAGAGGACAGUGAGGGAGGAUAUCCGCAUAUCAACUCCACUCUGAUGAUCUUUGCAGAUGUGGAAAGCAGAAGUCGACUGAAAGUGAUUAACCGAGAGGUGAACAUGGUUGCCCCAGCAAAGGCAAAUUAUCUGAAGUUGUCUCAAACACCCAUCACAUUCGACCAAUCUGAUCACCCGACUCAUAUUGCCACCCCCGGGAGGCAAGCUUUGGUGGUCGAUCCAGUUGUCGAAGGCACUCGACUGACAAAGGUGCUGAUGGAUGGUGGAAGUGGGCUGAACUUAUUGUAUGCAGACACAUUGAAAGGUAUGGGCAUUCCGAUGUCUCGACUGAGCACUAGUAACAUGAGCUUCCAUGGAGUUAUACCAGGGAAGAAGGCCGAGUCACUCGGCCAGAUAGCUUUGGACGUAGUGUUUGGUGAUUCGAAGCAUUUUCGCAAAGAAAAGUUGACGUUUGAGGUCGUGGAUUUUCAAAGUGCAUAUCAUGCCAUUUUGGGGAGACCAGCCUAUGCACGGUUCAUGGCUCGACCAUGUUACGUGUACCUCAAAUUGAAGAUGCCCGGUCCCAAAGGUGUGAUCACUGUCACCGGUGAUAGGAAAAAGGCAGAGGAGUGCUUUCAGAAGGGCUCCAAGAUUGCCGAUUCCCAAGUGACAGCGGUCGAGUUCGAAGAAUACAAGCAAAACGCAGAUCCGAGUGACUUGCUGCGAUCCAAGAAGCCCGCCACAGAGUCUGCAUUCCAGUCGUCCGGUGAGACGAAGCCUGUUCACAUUCACCCGACCGACCCCGAAGCAGCUCCGACCCGCAUCUCCACAACACUCGACCCAAAAUAGGAAGAAGCGCUCAUCUAGUUCCUCCGUGAGAACUGGGACAUUUUUGCAUGGAAGCCCGCUGACAUGCCAGGUGUUCCCAGGGGACUGGCUGAGCAUCGCCUAAGAGUCGACUCGUCUGCAAAACCAGUCAAAGAGCAUCUUCGGCGGUCCGCCGUCCAGAAGAGAAAGGCCAUCGGUGAAGAAGUGGCUCGACUGUUGGCGGCAGGAUUUAUCCGAGAGAUAUACCACUCCGAGUGGCUCGCUAAUGUCGUCAUGGUUCCUAAGAAGGACAAGUCGCUCCGAAUGUGCAUUGAUUUCAAGCACAUCAACCGGGCCUGCCCGAAAGAUCACUUUCCUCUCCCUCGCAUAGAUCAAAUUGUUGACUCGACCGCGGGAUGCGAGAGGUUGUCUUUUUUAGAUGCUUACUCCGGGUGCCACCAGAUCCGUCUGUAAGGGCCCGAUGAGGUAAAAACAGCUUUCAUCACUCCAUUCGGGUGCUUCUGCUAUAUCACCAUGCCAUUCGGCCUCAAGAAUGCCGGAGCCACAUUUAUGCGAAUGAUUCAGAAGUGUCUACUCACCCAAAUCAGUCGGAAUGUGGAAGCUUAUAUGGAUGAUAUUGUUGUCAAGUCACAAAAAGGUUCCGACCUGCUCGCUGACCUCGCCGAAACAUUUGCCAACCUCAGAAGGUAUGAUAUCAAGCUCAAUCCAUCAAAGUGCACAUUUGGAGUUCCUGGUGGCAAGUUACUCGGUUUUCUCGUUUCCGAACGGGGAAUCGACGCUAACCCAGAGAAGAUUGGCACUAUUCUCCGAAUGAAACGCCCUGUGCGAGUGCACGAUGUCCAGAAGCUUACUGGAUGCUUGGCCGCAUUAAGUCGAUUCAUCUCACGACUCGGUGAAAAGGCACUGCCUCUUUACCGACUGAUGAAGAAGGCUGACAAGUUCGAGUGGACUCCAGAAGCUGAUGCAGCGUUUGCCGAGCUAAAAGCUCUGCUCUCCACCCAGCCGGUGCUUGCUGCUCCAAUCAGCAAAGAGCCUCUGUUGCUCUACAUCGCAGCCACAGGACAAGUCAUCAGUACUGUGCUAACGGUCGAGCGGGAAGAAGAAGGAAAAGCUCUCAAAGUUCAGCGCCCAGUGUAUUAUUUGUCCGAAGUCUUGACUCCAUCCAAGCAGAGAUAUCCUCAUUAUCAGAAGCUUGUGUAUGGAAUAUACAUGACCACAAAGAAGGUUGCUCAUUAUUUCUCUGACCAUUCCAUCAUAGUCGUCAGCGACGCUCCACUAUCAGAGAUUUUGCACAACAGAGAUGCAACUGGUCGAGUGGCCAAAUGGGCGAUUGAACUUCUUCCCCUUGAUAUCAAGUUUGAGGCAAAGAAAGCCAUUAAGUCCCAGGCGAUAGCCGAUUUCCUCGCCGAGUGGAUUGAAUAACAGCAGCCGACUGAAGUUCACUCGGAGCAUUGGACCAUGUUUUUCGAUGGCUCUAAGAUGUUGAAUGGUUCCGGUGCUGGGGUUGUCCUGGUUUCCCCCAGAGGAGAUAAGCUCAGAUAUGUGCUCCAGAUUCACUUUGAUUCCUCCAACAAUGAGGCAGAAUAUGAGGCCCUCCUAUAUGGGUUGCGCAUGGCCAUUUCACUCGGCGUCCGUCGCCUAAUGGUCUAUGGCGACUCGGAUUUAGUGGUCAAUCAGGUGAUGAAAGAGUGGGACGUGAGAAGCCCAGCCAUGACUGGAUACUGCAGUGCAGUGAGGAAGCUGGAGAAGAAGUUCGAGGGGUUGGAGCUCCAUCAUAUACCCCGACUGAAAAAUCAAGCAGCUGAUGAUCUAGCAAAGAUAGGUUCCAAGAGAGAAGCCAUUCCGAGUGGUGUGUUCUUGGAGCAUAUACGCACUCCGUCAGUCAAAGAGGAUCCUUUCACCGAAGAAACUCCGCAGCCCAAGAGCGCCACAGAUCCGACUGAAGUUGAAGUCCCAGCGGUGGUCGACUUGAUCAUGGAGGUUUUGGUGGUCAUUCCCGACUGGACGAUUCCGUAUGUCGCAUAUAUCUUGAGGAAAGAGCUUCCGGAGGAUGAAGAAGAGGCUCGACAGAUCGUCCGUCGAUCUAAGGCCUUUACCGUAAUCAAAGGACAAUUAUACAGAGAAAGCGCGACUGGAGUCGGUCAGAAGUGCAUAACACCAGAAGAAGGUCGACUCAUCCUCAAUGAUAUUCACUCGGGGACCUGUGGUCAUCAUGCGUCCUCUCGGACCAUCGUGGCCAAAGCAUACCGAGCCGGAUUUUACUGGCCCAAGGCGAAUGAGAUGGCAAAAGAGAUAGUAGAUAAGUGCGAGGGAUGUCAGUUCUACUCGAAUAUGUCGCACAAGCCUGCGUCAGCUUUGAAGACCAUCCCACUCGUCUGGCCUUUUGCAGUUUGGGGGCUGGAUAUGAUCAAGCACUCGCCUAAGUUAUAAAAAUCCUACCGAGUGAAGAGCACCCCUCUCACUCGGGGGGCUUAGCUGCAGUCCAAGCACUCGCCUAAGUUGUGAAAAUCCUACCGAGUGAAGAGCGAUCCUCUCACUCGGAGGCUUAGCUGCAGCCUCGUGCUCGCCUAAGUUAUAAAAAUCCUACCGAGUGAAGAGCAACCCUCUCACUCGGGGGCUUAGCUGCAGUCCAAGCACUCGCCUAAGUUACAAAAAUCCUACCGAGUGAAGAGCAAUCCUCUCACUCGGAGGCUUAGCUGCAGCCUCGUGCUCGCCUAAGUUAUCAAAAUCCUACCGAGUGGUAAGCCAGCCUUCCACUCGGAGGCUUAGCUGCAGCCUCGUGCUCGCCUAAGUUAUAAAAAUCCUACCGAGUGAAGAGCAACCCUCUCACUCGGGGGCUUAGCUGCAGUCCAAGCACUCGCCUAAGUUAUAAAAAUCCUACUGAGUGAAGAGCAACCCUCUCACUCGGAGGCUUAGCUGCAGCCAUGUGCUCGCCUAAGUUAUAAAAAUCCUACCGAGUGAAGAGCAACCCUCUCACUCGGAGGCUUAGCUGCAGCCCUGUGCUCGCCUAAGGUAUAAAAACCCUGCCGAGUGGAGAGCAACCCUCUCACUCGGGGGGCUUAGCUGCAGCCCAGUGCUCGCCUAAGUGGACUAAAGAAUAAGUCGAUUGCAGUACAGGCACCUUGCUUUGAACCUGCAAAAGACAUUCCGAGCCGAAGGCAAUCAUGUUCAAGCGCCGAAUUCAAGUUUGAAUCGAUAUAUAAAGGAACCGAAAGUGCUCAGGUGUCAAGCCCGUUAAGGUUUGUCGGUUACAAUUCCACUCGGCAUACCGAGGCAAAUUUAAAGCGUCGAGCCAGAAGAAGUGUUUUACCCCUCCUGUGGAGGGAUGGAAGGUGCAACAAAUUCAUCAAGGUCAAUCCCGUCGGCGAUCCGAGUGGCAGCUGCAAGGAAAGUUUCCAUAAAGGAUCUGAAGUCGUGCUUCUUGGUAUUGGCCACCCGAAGGGCCGCCAGCUUCUCCUCUCGUGCAUCUUUGCAGUGGACUCGGGCCAGACACAGAGCGACAUCUGCACCACACCGAGCCGAGGACUUCUUCCACUCCUGCACUCGACCAGGGAUCGUGUUCAAGCGGGCCAUCAGCGACUCAAGGUCAUUCUGAAGUGUCUCCUCAGGCCAGAGCGUCGAGUCGAUGCGAGAUGUGGCGGCCUUCAGCCUUGCAAGAUAGUCCACGACAGCUGCAACACGAGACUCCAGUUGGAAAACAUCCAUGGCAACUUCGUCGUUCACCGGAGAAUUGACGGGGUCAAGGUUUGGCUCCAGUCGGCUGGUUUCUUCUUCAAAGUUUUGACAAAAUUCUGCAAGGGUGAUCACUAAGUCAAGGAGAUAGUCGAAUGGAAAAAGCCACAAUUGGAAAUAUUUGCCAAACAUGGAGGUCUACCUUCAAGCAUAAGGAACAACUUCUUGGCAAGGCCACUCAGGAAGGCCUCCAGUUCAGUUUUCUUCUCAGUCAAUUUGCUGACUUGGUCGGUCAGGGCAGCUUUGUCAGUUUUCAGUCGACUGACCUCCUUGUUGGCAAUCCCAAGAGCAGCUUUCAGAUUGGUAUUGUCUUGUUCGAGCUUGGUGACUGAAGCUAACUUCUCGUCAGCAAGCUUGAUCUUCUCAGCUAGCUCAAGGUCUUUCUUCUGCUGGGCCUCCCUUACCUUACCUGCAAGUUACAGCAAGAUCAGAUGCUGAAACAAGCAAGAGGAAAAGCAGUCGUCAGGGUCUCACCAAACAUACCUUCGGUCUCCUCCUUUGCCUUUGUCAGCUUCUCCUGAACCAGCUUCAAGCUCAGCUCGACUUGAGUAUGUUUUUGUUCCAGCUCUGAGUAGCGAGCCACAAGAUCACAGGAGUUCUGUGAAGAACCAAUCGACUAAAUGUCAAAUAUAAUUCACUUCCGAGUGAAAAAGGGAUAAACACACGUUUCUAAGACUACAGCCAAAUACAAGCAUUCGACCGUAGUCUCGGGGACUACACCCAGUGGGUGCACUCAGCGUGCCCCCACUAAUCCUGUUGAAGACAAAGUCGACCAGUCGACCUCGAAAAAAAAAGAGAGAGAUGCAUUCUCUAAGACUGUGAUCAACUGCAAGCAGUCGACCACAGUCUCGGGGACUACACCCAGUGGGUGCACUCAGCGUGCCCCCACCGGUUUGUGAAAUCCAGUCGACAUAGUCGACUGAAAGAAAAAUUGACGUCAUAAAGCCUAAAGCCGACUGCCAGCAGUCGACCUUAGCCUUGGGGACUACACCCAGUGGGUGCACUCAGCGUGCCCCCACCGGUUUGUGAAGUCCAGUCGACCAGUCGACUGACAGAAAGAUUGACAUCAUAAAGCCUAAGGCCGACUGCCAGCAGUCGACCUUAGCCUUGGGGACUACACCCAGCGGGUGCACUCAGCGUGCCCCCGCUAACACGGAGUUUAUUCGACACACCCAGCGGGUGACUAAUAUAAAUUCCGGAAAAGAAAAGUUUUUGGUAGCAUAUCCAACAGAACAAACAGCGGUCGACUGACCUGGACAUUGCUUUGGAGGGCAGAACUGGCGUCAUAAGCUGCCUGGCUCGCGUCCCGGAUGGUCUUCAGCUGCUCCAUCAUGAGUCCCGCCUGGCGUAUUGCCUCCUUCGCUGCGCCAGCUUGGUCCUCUGGGACGUGGUGCGUCGUAAAAAGGGAGGGCUGCUGAGCACUCGUCAGUGGAUUGGCGAAGGACACCGUGUGUCGAGUGGUGUUCCCUUCCUCCACAGUCAGAAUCUCAGGCGCCGUCACAUCCUGAGGUACCUUACUGGCGGACGCUUUCCGACUCCUCCUGUGUGUCAGUGGUUCUUCAUCCUCGUCGUCGUCAGGGAGAUUGAUAACGGUGUUGGGUGGAGCUGCGGAGAAGGAUCAGGAUCAGAGAUCGCGAGUCAGUCGACUAAGAACGAUGUUAAGAAUACAGUACCUGGGUUCGAAGUUGCUGCAUCCUCCAUCUCGUGGUCAUCGGCCCGGGCCGAGGUUUCAGAAGUAGCAGCACUGCAACUCCAAAGGAUCAGUCGACUAACUUCAGCGUCGACCAGAGAUAAAGUUCGCACAGAAUAAGAAAAUAUGAGUAGCACAAUUACCCUGAUAUGGUGGGGAUGGACACCUUCAUCUUCGGCAGGAGCUUGGUCGGCUUUGGCGGAGCCCCCCUAGGCUGCUUCGGCGACCUUUCAGUCGGCGCUGGAGAAGUGGUCCUAGGGCGCUUGGUCGACUGCGUUGCAACCCCCUUGCCACGUUCAGUCGAAGGGUCGUGGACGAGCUUCGACCGCCUUUCCGAGCGCGGUGGCACGACCUCCUCCUCUUCCUCCUCGUCUUCGGCGUCAUCAUCAUCGCCGUCGUCAUCAUCAUCGUCGUCGUCGUCCCCUGCAACGUCCGAGUCCCAUUCCUCCUCGUCCUGGCUCUCGCCCCCACUCGCCUCACCCUCCUCAGUCGGAGUUUGUGCCCCAUUGGGCAUCGAGUACAGCUCGGUGAGGGCCUAGCAGAUAUUAAGACAAUGAUCAGUCGACCAGUCGGCAGAGUAAACAGAGAUGAAUGCGACAAGAAUGCAGUGGAGAGCAGGGCAAGUGUACCUUAUUUGGAUCACUGUUGUGGUCGAGUGGAGGAAUCCUUCUGGCUCCGCGUGGGUUGUCCUUGUUUCCGGUGACGGCUACCAUCCAUCUUUCCAGAGUGACAUCGUCGACUGCUUCUGGAUGGACUCUAGUCUCGUCUUCGGUCCCACAGUACAACCACAUGCAGUGGCUCCGGAACUGGAGAGGCUGGAUGCGACGCCUGAGGAAAACCUCCAGGAGGUCCAUGCCCGUCACUCCCUCCCGAACCAACUGCACCACGCGCUCCAUCAACAUCUUCACGUCAGCUUUCUCCUCCGGAAUCAGCUUCAGAGGAGAAGGCUUGUUCACUCGGUCCAUGGUAAACGGAGGGAGUCCACUCGACUGCCCUGGCGUCGACUGGACCUGGCAGUAGAACCAAGUCGACUGCCAGCCUCUGACGGACUCGGGAAAGGUCAUGGGCGGGAAAGUGCUCUUAUUCCUCACCUGAAUCCCCAGGCCCCCACACAUUUGGACGACUCGGGUUCUCUCAUCACCUGGGCUCGCCUUCUUCACGGUCUGAGAGCGACACGUGAAGAUAUGUUUGAACAAACCCCAGUGCGGUCGACAGCCCAAGAAACCCUCACACAUGGACACGAAUGCAGCAAGAUAGGCAAUGGAGUUUGGGGUAAAGUGGUGAAGCUGCGCUCCAAAGAAAUUCAAGAAGCCACGGAAGAAAAUACUUGGCGGCAAGGAAAACCCACGAUCAACAUGAGUGGCCAAAAGCACACACUCACCCUCUUCUGGCUGUGGCUGCCACUCCUUCCCCGGCAACCUCGCAGCUCCGUGAGGGAUCAAGCCCUCGUUGGCCAUGUCGAGGAGGUCCUUCUCCGUGAUGGUCGACUGGAUCCAGUCUCCUUGGACCCAGCCUUUCGGCAGGCGGGAUCUGGACGAGGACCCUCCAUGGCUGGUGGAUCUCCCCUUCGCCUUCUCCGAUGCCGACGCCUUCGUUGCACGCUCCAGCGCUGCCGUCUUCUCCUUGGCCAUGGUCGCCGGUGAGAUGCGCGAAGGGAAGUGGUGCGGGGGCGAGAGCGAGCACGCUGAGCAGGGAGGAAGGAGCAGAGAGAGAGAGGGAGAAUGCUGAGGCGCAGCACAGAAAUCCUCGCCGGGCGCAUUUAUAAGGUCCCUUCCGAGUGGCUGACAUGUGGGCCCGGUCUAUCUAAUCAUAUCUGGGAGCAGUUAUGGAGACUGGAUACGUGGCGAAAAAGGCGGCGCGGAGAUCAAGGCGUCUAUGCCCCGUCCCAUCCGAACGCCGCGGUCUGCCCCGCUUCGCGCGCGCCCCCAAAUUUCGCAUCCCGCGGAAUCCGCGAGCAACAAAUCAGUCUGUCAGACGCGGUGUUUCCGGCGAUCCGUCGCUCGGAGAUCGUCGAAGCCCGAAAGAUCACUCGACGCAAAAAUAGAAUGGAUCGAGUCGACUGAAGGCAAAUUGCUCCCUGUCAACGAAGAGAUUCUUUGGUCCAGAACAGCGCACAACUAGAGCGCAAAGGUUAAUCGGAAACGACAUCAACUCCUUCUUCACUCGAAGCCUCGAUCCAUUCGGGGGCUAAUGAUGGGGUUGUGUACCUAGGGUAGGAUCAUGGACCUGAUCCAAGUAACUUACCCUAGGACAUCCUUAGAAGAGGUCGCCUUCCAGUCGACCAACGAGGAUUCACUCGACUGGCCUGAAGGACUCGACCACGAAGACUCACUCGACCACCAGGAGGUCAAGAGGCACUCUGCACUGCAACGGCCUGUAAUCAAGUAGACUUUAUGAUAGUAAAGGCACUUUAUGUGGGGCGUUACCAGUAACGCCCCAGACUUAACUCACCUUAAACCCUCUCCUACGUGGGCUGGCUGGGGUCCUGGCGCACUCUAUAUAAGCCACCCCCCUCCACAGGCAGAGGGGUUCGGCACCUUGUAAUUCAUACAUUCAUAAUCCACUCGACCGCCUCCGGGCUCCGAGACGUAGGGCUGUUACUUCUUCCGAGAAGGGCCUGAACUCGUACAUCCUUUGUGCUUACAACCUCUCCAUAGCUAGGACCUUGCCUCUCCAUACCUACCCCCCACUCUACUGUCAGGCUUAGAACCACGACAGGCGGCUCGUGGGGCGGGCGAUCGCGGGCGGCAACUAGGGGCGGCUCGAGGGUGGUCGGUCCCAGGCGGUGACAGCGACUGUCGGUGUCAAAACCGGCGGAUCUUGGGUAGGGGGUCCCGAACUGUGCGUCUAGGCGGAUGGUAACAGGAGACAAGGGACACGACGUUCUUACCUAGGUUCGGGCCCUCUCGAUGGAGGUAAAACCCUACUCCUGCUUGAUUAAUAUUGAUGAUAUGGGUAAUACAAGAGUUGAUCUACCACGAGAUCAGAGAGGCUAAACCCUAGAAGCUAGCCUAUGGUAUGAUUGUUGUUCCUCCUAUGGACUAAAACUCUCCUGUUUAUAUAGACACCGGAGAGGGAUAGGGUUACACAGAGUCGGUUACAAUGGGAGGAGAUCUACAUAUCGUAUCUCCAAGCUUGCCUUCCACACCAAGGACAGUCCUAUCCGGACACGGGACGAAGUCUUCAAUCUUGUAUCUUCAUAGUCCGGGAGUCCGGCCAAAGGUCACAGUCCGGCCAUCCAGACACCCCCUAAUCCAGGACUCCCUCAGUAGCCCCUGAACCAGGCUUCAACGAUGACGAGUCCAGCACGCAAAUUGCCUUCGGCAUUGCAAGGCGGGUUCCUCCUCCGAAUACUUCAUAGAAGAUGUUUGAACACAAGGAUAGUGUCCGGCUCUGCAAAAUAAGUUCCACAUACCACCAUAGAGAGAAUAAUAUUUACACAAAUCUAAUCUGCUGACGUAUUCCGUAGUGUGACAUCACGCCACGGCCAAGCCUUUAUUCGAAUCGUUUUACUAUUCCACCUCAGCGCAUUUAGCGAGGCGGUUUCCUUGGCACGUCUUUUCAAAGCAGAGAUCGUGUCCCCUUAUUCCGGUAUUCUCAUCAAUACGGGCGUGGGUAACCCAACCGUGCCAUUGGUAUGACUUCUUAAUUGAAAGUGAGUCCCACACGGUCACGGGGAGGGCUCUUGGUAUUCAACCUCUUUAUAAAGAGACCAAGGCUCGACUCCUUUCUUCCAAUCCAAUCCAAUCCGCCUCUCGCCUCGAGUUCCAACACCCAAAGCUCCAGAUUCAGGCGCUUUGGACCUUCGAUGAUGUCCGGCUCCGACCUCCAAGGCCGGUGGAUGCCUUCCUCCAUUACGGAAGAAGACAUGCGAAAGCUGAGAGAUGCCAGGUAUCUAAGCGGCAAAAUCUCGCAUAGGAUGCCUGCUCAAGGGCAGGCUAUUCCCACUCCCCAGCCCGGUGAGAGCAUGGUGUUCACAUCUCACUUCCUUCGGGGGCUAGGCUUCCCGAUCGAUCCCUUCGUGAGGGGGCUCAUGUUUUAUUACGGGCUGGAAUUUCACGACUUAGCUCCGGAGUCCAUCCUCCAAAUCUCAUCGUUUAUUGUCGUGUGUGAGGCCUUCCUACACGUUACUCCUCACUUCGGGCUGUGGCUUAAAACCUUCAAGGUAGAACCGAAGAUGAUCGAGGGGCAGCACGCUGAGUGCGGAGGUGCAACUAUAAGCAAGAUUGCCGAUGCCCCAUGGAUCGAGGGCUCUUUUCAAGAGGAGUUCGGAUUAUGGCAACGGGAGUGGUUCUACAUCACAGCCCUCAGGGGCACCACAUGGGUGAUGCCGCCUGCUUUUCGCUCGGGUCCCCCACCACGGCUAGCGUCAUGGCUCAAUAAAGGACUUAACUGGGGGCCGUCCAAGGACGUGCCCUUGCUGCAGGGCCGUAUUCGAGAUCUCCGAGAGAGAGACAUCAAUUUGGCCGUAGCGGCGUAGGUUAUGCUGAUUCGCCGCAUACUGCCCUGCAAACGUCGCCCCCUCUGCCUGUGGGAAUUUAAUCUGGAAGGGCCAUGAGCUCUCCAACACUUUAUGGGCAUGAAGCCUGUGGAGAUGUACAAAUUGUACUUUGGAUCACAAGCAAGGUGUCCGGACUUGUCCGAGGACGCGGGCCUGAGCUGCAACCGCCCGGAUACUCAAGUAAGUAGCCCCAUACCCGGACAUGUGUGAAACUCCAAAAAAAUUUGUGGUUUUUUUUUCAGCAAGAGUCUUGCUUGGUUUAAAGAAGGUCUUUUAAACCCUUCUUGAAAACCUCUCUUGAGUUUUCACUCUCAAAAAUCUUUUCUUGGUUUUAGUUUCUUCUAAAAAGAAAAUCUUUUUGGUUUUGGGCUUUUAUUUGGUUUUGAUCCUUUCUUGAUUUUACCAUGCCUCCUAUGGUAAAAUUUUCCCAAAACCCCUCCUUCCACUUUAAGACAACCCAAACAUUAUGUCCCAUCUAAUAAAAUCCAUUUUUGGAUUUUAUUCCAUUCAUUUCUUUCCCCAAAAUAAUUCUGUCCUUUAUUUUGAGCUUAGGUAGUUUGCAAAGCAAGUACCUAAAUGCCUUUGAUCUUUGACCUCAAUUCAACUCCUCUGGAUAGUCCUUAGCACCCACAACCUAGAACCAUCAUGAUCCACUCUUCUUCUUUUCAAAUAUUUCAAAAUUCACCCCCUGCAAGUUUGGACCAGAUUUGUCAAAUUUGGUGAAAUUCAUAUCUCCACUUCUCCAAAAAUUCCACCAAAAUUCAGGCAACCCCUAGCUGCAAUGAGAGACCACUCCACCAAAAACCAGCUCAAGGAAAAAUCCCCACAUGCCAAAAUCAUUCUGUCGAACACCUGGCAUGCACUGUUACUGUACAUCUUCAGUAAUAUUCAGAAUUCAGUGUCGUUUCUUCGUCAGAGAUUCAGUCACAUGUCGACAGUGCACUUGGCAUGUUGCUCACAGCCCCUCCUUCUUGUCCGGAGCACCACACGUGCGCUUGGCGCGUUCCUGGCGUCGGUGGCACCAUGGCCCACCUGCGCCAGCGUGUUUUGCGGCGGCAGAACCACCGUAGCGGCCGACAAGGGGCAAACCUGCGGCAUAACGCCGUUCGGCACCGCCCAAACCUCCUGAGAGCUCCGCGUGGCCACCUCCCUGCCAGCGCACGCAUGCAGCACCGUCGCCGUGGCCUGGCACGCGCAGAGCGCAUUCUCUGCCGCUGACGGGCCGUGCGGCCGUUCCGUCGAGGACAGACCGUAAACCCCCCUUCCUUGCUGAGUUGGACACUGGAAUGGCACCAGUGCUUCAUCAAGAUGAUGCUCAAGCCCCUAAGCCAACCGUCCAGCCACAGCGCCGCCGUAAUCGCUCGCCAGACUUAUCCGUUCACGGCAACCGCCUCGGGCCGGCUAUAAAUAGCACCCCUCGAGCUUGCUCUCGCCCCCGCACAACUCCACCACCUCACCAGACCCUGCCUAGCCACUGGAAGAGCCUCAAGGGGCCCUUCUUCCUCAACUCCGGCCACCUCCGUCCGCCUCAGGCUCCGGCAACGUUCUCUUCGGUGAGAACUCCUCUGCCGCCCUACUCUCGCCCGUAGCCUUGUACCACCUCUAGGAGUCUAACCCCCACUCCAAUUUGACCCCAGCAGCUCUCUCCGACGAGGCCCACGACCACCCGAACCGCCGUCCGCCGGAGCAAGCGCCGCCAUCGACACAGUGCUCGCCGGCGACCACCACCACCACCCACAGACGCGGAAGGACGUGCUGAUCACAGAGGUACCACCCGAUCACCCAGCCCCGCCGUGGAUCGCCGUCGGCGACCACCGCAUCUCUCGGGCGCCGUCGCGCCCUAUUGGUGGAGCCCGCCUGUCGGUCUCUCAGUCUUUUCUUUUAAACGAACCGUUUUCUGGACUUUUCCGCAAAACCCCCUGGGAGUUUUCUGUUUCAUUAUAGAAAAUUCCCUGAAUCAAAACCCUUAUAUCUUUUAAACAGAAAAGUAUUUUUGUUUGAUUCUUUUUCUGUUCUCCUUAAAAUUUUGUCUAGUUUUUUAUCAGAUUUAUUUGAAAAUUAUUUGGUAUACUUUUUGUGCACCUCGCGGUAUUUACGUUACGUGCGUAUUUUUCUUAUACCGUAGAUUCCGGAGGAAGUGACGGAGCCGCAAACUUCACCCAGUUAGACUCCGACUACUCCGAACCAGGCAAGCAUGUUUGAACUCUUGAUAUGAUGAAGUGUUUGUUGCAUGUUUGCAUCUUAGGAGUUUCUUGGCAUGUUUAUGAACAUUUCUUUAAAUGUUAUAUUUCAUGCACAGAAGUGGAAAGUAAGUUUCGGAAAGCCAUAUGUUGUUGGAUACACAUUGGCAUGGCCAUGAGAUGGCAUGAGGAUGGGUAAGAUGGCAGUGUUGUGACAUGCCAGUCUUAUGCCAGUCCAUUUGACAUCAGUGUCAUCGUGAAUCAAGUCAUAUUCCCAUUCAUUUCCUUUCCAGUACUACCACAUGUUUUCCGCAAGGAAUAUGGCUUAGUAAGUUGCAACCGUUUUCCUGGUACACACCAAGUAGAGAGGCCGGGAUGAGGGUUCCAUGGCCCUGGAUUAAAGCCCGUCAUCCGGUCAGGGGGCAUGGGUGUUUCCGGUUGGGACCGAGAGGCGGGCACCCCUUAGAGCGCGCGUAUAGAAAUUUGAUCCCAUGCUAUUCGAGGUUGUGGCCUCCCCGUCUCAAAGUUUUUCUUGGAUGUUGCCUAGGGUGAUUCCUGGCAUCGUGAGGUGGAAUGGGUGUGUACUAGUUAAAUGUGUUUCUACCGAAAUACCGUAAACCGAACUAGUCCUUUGUGACUACGGAAAUCCGUUGGCUGUGGUCAGUGAGUACAAACUCUGCAGAGUCACAAAUCCUUUAAAUCAUCUUGUACUUGUCCAAGUAUUGUAUUCAUCUUAUCUUGUCAGAUAUCAGUCUCAGUGACAAAACUCCGGUGGAAUACAUGUGUGUAAAAUCUGGUUAAAAGUUUAUUCUUGUGGAUGGACUAAUCUUGUUAUUUACAUUUGUUAUAAGCCCUGUCUGUGAUGUCGCUCAGACGUCCGACGGUGGCAUACUUGUUAUUUACAUUUAUUAUAAGCCAUGUCUGUGAUGUCGCUCAGACGUCCGACUGUGGCAUUUCUUUUAUAAGCCCUUUCUGUGAUGUCGCUCAGACGUCCGACUGUGGCAUUUCUUUUAUAAGCCCUUUCUGUGAUGUCGCUUAGAUGUCCAACUAUGGCAUUUCUUUUAUAAGCCCUUUCGGUGAUGNNNNNNNNNNNNNNNNNNNNNNNNNNNNNNNNNNNNNNNNNNNNNNNNNNNNNNNNNNNNNNNNNNNNNNNNNNNNNNNNNNNNNNNNNNNNNNNNNNNNNNNNNNNNUCCGACUGUGGCAUUUCUUUUAUAAGCCAUUUCUAUGAUGUUGCUCAGAUGUCCGACUGUGGCAUUUCUUUUAUAAGCCCUUUCUGUGAUGUCGCUCGGACGUCCGACUGUGGCAUUUCUUUUAUAAGCCCUUUCUGUGAUCUCGCUCAGACGUCCGAUUGUGGCAUUUCUUUUAUAAGCUCUUUCUGUGAUGUCGCUCAGACGUCUGACUGUGGUAUUUUCUUUUAUAAGCCCUUUAUGUGGUGUCGCUUAGACGCCCGACUGCGGCAUGAGUUUUACUUGUUUACCUUUCGAGGCGUCGCUUUAGACACCCGAUCGGUUUUCAGUUAUAUGUUUUAUUUGUCACAUCGUGAAAUUUUUAUUAUUGGAAUGAGCAUCAUUAUUUUUGCUCAUGACGCACUCAUGCAUGCAUUUGUUAUAUCUUUUGUCUGAACUGUCUUGCGAGUACUUUCAAAGUACUCACCUGGCUUGUUGAUUUGGCCAGAUGUUGAUGAAGGCGAUCUCAUGGAUGAAGAGUUCAAUAGCGAGUCCGACGCCUAGAGGAGUCCCAGUCAGUCCCGUGCGAUCCUGCUUUGGUCAUUGUAUCAUAUCCGCUUCCACCACCCCUGAAUAAAUUCAUCGAGCCUCACUUCGACGCUCGAUGAGCUGCUAGUUAGGAGUUAAGUUAUCCAUCACCACUUUUUAUCUCGAGCAAGUAGCAUGUCACCACACCCCUGAGCCAUAACCACCCUUAUGUAAGAUAUUGGCGAGUUUGUAAUAAAUUGUUGAGCAGCCUCAGCUCAACCCUGUAAUAUAUUUAAUGCUACUGGUCCUCUGUUUAUCAAGUAUUUGUCUACCAGUGAGGAUGACUUUUCCUAUACUGGGAUUAAAAGAUUGGUUUUCUCAAUAAGCAUUUUACUGAAAAACCGGUCGCGACAGACUUGGUACCAGAGCCAGGCUGACUAUAGGAAGCCACUAGGUGCGAUCGCUAAUCGGUUAUUAGCAUGAUAGAGUUUAUUCAUGUUUUUACAAAUGUAGUCAUUUUUUUCUGACAGUCAGCAUAAAAUUUAUGAUCUGAUCGCUCAGAAUUUUUGCCUACUUUUGUAGAUGGCUGGCAACGACUGUGAGUCGCAAAUGUUCACCAAUGUGCCUGAGGGUUUCGUCAAGCUCCUCUCCUUCAUCGUUCAGGUCGCGAUGGGGCCAUCCGUGCGCCCAGUCUUCACACUUUAUCCACACAAGAUCAACGACAGUCUGACCAUGCACCAGGCCGUGGUGCAAUUCAAGGGAGGGCGUGCUGAGAUACGCCGCUUCCGAUUCUUGGGGAGAGCCAUGCCUACAGAGAGGCAUGCUAUGCAGAUGGCUGCCCGCGAGGCGAUAGCUCGUCUUCGGGAUGUCCUUCCUACAAUGAAGACCCGUCGCUACCGCUACCUUCCAUGCCACGUGCCUUACACCUAUCACUACUCAUUCUCUUGCCCCAGAGGAGAGCGAGACGAGGCCUUUGAGAUGCUUGUCGAGUACCUCCGAGCCCUGGAGGCAGCCUUCGACAGCAUGGUGGACGACCUCGUAGCUGCCCGCAUGGACUUAGUUCAUGGUUGUGCUGCCAACAGGAGGGAACUCCUGCACACCGCUCCACCGCUAACUUUUGUCUCGUCCUCAGCUUCUCAUUCACCUACCAUUCUCGCCACUGCUCAUCGUCUGCCUACCACUGAGGAAUUUAACCAAGCUAUUGCACCCACUCCCAUUCGCUCUGCACCACUUGUUGCACCCACUCCCAUACGUGCUACUCCACCUAUUCCGCCCACUCGUAUUCGUGUUAUUCCGCCUAUGGCACCUGCUCCAUCAGCUCAGCGCAGCGUUUCUCGUCUGGAACCUAUUAGCGAGGAGGAGGUUGAUUCCCCAGCGUCUUUGCGUCUCACCCUCGGCAGGCCAAGGGAGACCCUCACCAUCUCCGACUGAGUACGUUUAGACGCCAUGCGAUGUACCGACUUGUGUGAUAUGUGUAUAUGUACAUAGGUUGUGAGAAGUAGCCUGUUUGUGCAUCAUGUAGGAUCUGGAGAAGUGCACUAGUCUCAAUAACAUGUCAGGAUUAUGUACGCAUAUCCUGAGUGGUGUAAUGUAUAAUUAUGCUUGCAUGUAAGAUAUGUAUUAGUCCUUCUCCGCGCGCAAUCGUGUAUUUGGUUUUUCAAGAUUUUAUUUGUGUGUGAUUUUAUUGAAUUUUGCGACUCUCUUUCCUGUCUUACGAGUUUCAGAAAAUAUAUCCUCAGAGUGAAAGAUGUCUCGUCCGUGGACGCGCUCUAUGCCAAAUCAGCCCGAAGAAAAUUAUGGCACACCGCAAAACCACAAUUUCACUCAGGGACAGACAAGUCAACAGGACAGUGAAACAACAUUUACCGAAGUGUGUCGUCUGUAUGAACAAAGUCAGCAACAACACCAGGAAAUGAUGAACCAAUUCAUCAAUAUGGGAAAUCACCGUGGUCAGUAUCAGCAGCAAUCCAAGCUAUCUGAGUUACAGAAAACGCAUCCCCAAACAUUUUCUCACACUGACAAGCCUCUUGAGGCCGAAGACUGGCUUCGAGACAUGGAGAGAAAAUUAAUUAUUGCACAAUGUUUAGACCGUGAAAAAGUAUUGUAUGCACCACAUUAUCUCACCGGAGCAGUUGCAUCAUGGUGGGAAAACUUCUUGCACAUGCACCCCAACGAAGACGAAAUAACCUGGGAGGAUUUCAAGGAAGGUUUUCGUGGGGCACACAUUCCUAAGAGUGUUAUGAAAAUCAAGAAGAGAGAAUUUGAUGAUCUCAAGCAAAGGACCAUGACAGUGUCAGAAUACAACAGCCAAUUCACUCUGCUGUCUCGCUACGCCAAUGAAGAGUGCAUGACCGAGAGCAAGAAGAUGGAAAAAUUCUUGGAAGGUCUGGCACCCGCACUUAAAUGCCAACUGGUUGUGCAUACCUUCCCAGAUUUUAAAACACUGGUGGAUAAGGCCAUUACUCUGGAAAAUGAGCGAUGUAGCCUGGAAGACUUCUGCAAACGCAAAAGGGACCAGACUACUUUUGCUCGCAAUCACAGAAACAAGACAGAAUUUCAGAAGGGUGGAACACACAAAACCCCGACGAAUAAUUCACGCCCAAUCAAGAAUUUCCAUGCAAGAGACAAGGAGUUCACAUAUUGCCCAGGCGUUACUUGUUACGCUUGUGGAGAAGAAGGGCACUAUGCCAAGCAGUGCCCCAAGCCAAGGAACUCAACCCCAAAGCCUCUCAAUGGUGGCAAUAAUUCAGCGCCCAAGCGAAACAAUUUCAACCCCAACAACAACCACAGGGAGUGUCACCUGAACCACAUGACCAAAGAGGAAGCACAGAACGCCCCAGAUAUCGUACUCGAUACGUACCCUGUCAACACAAUACCUGCCAUGGUUUUGUUUGAUUCUGGAGCUUCUCACUCAUUCAUUUCGAAGAGUUAUGCUUUGCAAAAUAAUUUUUCGAUGCUUCCCUUGGAAAAAUCAAUGAUCAUCAAGUCCCCUGGAAUUAAGCAAGUGACCCAGAGUUAUUGUCAAGGUGUGGUUAUUGAAUUUUAAGGAUUGAAGUUUUACGCAACCUUAUUGUAUUGGAAAGCAAAGGAUUGGAUGUCAUCCUAGGGAUGGAUUGGUUAACCACCAACAAAGGGUUUAUUGACUGCUUCAACCGGACCGUGAUUCUCACACACCAUCACGGGAAGACAAUAAAAGUUUCAGCCAAAGAGAGACAAAUACCCCGGCAACCAAGAUUAAACAAGGUGGACAUUUCUAAGCUAAACAAGGUUCCAGUAGUGUGUGAAUUUCCAGACGUAUUCCCAGAAGAAUUACCAGGCAUGCCACUGGACUGAGAGAUAGAAUUCAGCAUUGAGCUAGCACCCGGAACCGCUCCUAUUUACAAGAAACCAUACAUAAUGGCACCAUCCGAAUUGGUAGAGUUGAAGAAGCAAAUAAAAGAAUUAUUGGAGAAAGGAUACAUAGGAGCCAGCUCCUCACCGUGGGGUUCUCCAAUUUUAUUUGCCAAGAAAAAGGAUGGAACACUAAGAUUGUGUAUUGACUAUCGGGCUCUUAACAUGGUCACAAUCAAGAACAAAUACCCAAUGCCCCGAAUAAAUGAUUUAUUUGAUCAGCUCGCAUAGGCCAAAGUCUUCUCAAAAAUUGACUUGAGAUUGGGAUACCACCAAUUAAAAGUGCGAACCGAAGAUAUUCCCAAGACAGCCUUCACUUCCAGAUAUGGGUUGUAUGAGUUCACAGUAAUGCCAUUUGGGCUAACCAACGCCCCCGCAUAUUUUGUUCACCUCAUGAACAAAGUAUUUAUGAAGUAUAUGGACAAGUUUGUCGUGGUAUUCAUCGAUGAUAUUCUGAUAUACUCCAAAACACCAGAAGAGCACGCUGAGCACCUCAGGAUUGUACUAGGAGAACUCAGAAAACAACAACUGUACGCCAAAUUUAGCAAAUAUGAAUUUUGGCUAAGACAGGUGGGUUUUCUGGGCCACGUGCUAACCCAAGAAGGUAUUGCAGUAGACCCGGAAAAGGUCAAGGCCGUACUUGGCUGGAAACCACCAGCUAACGUAACGGACGUACGCAGUUUCUUGGGAAUGGUAGGCUAUUAUCGGAGAUUUAUUGAAGGAUUCUCCAUCAUAGCAAAGCCAAUGAUGCAGCUACUCAAGAAAGACAAGAAGUUUGAAUGGACGGAAGCCUGUGAGAAAAGCUUCCAAGAGUUAAAAAGGAAAUUAACAAUGGCCCCAGUGUUAAUUGUGCCAGACAUACACAAGAAUUUUGAGGUAUAUUGUGACGCAUCCCGGAAAGGCCUCGGGUGCGUAUUGAUGCAAGAAGGCAAGGUAGAUGCGUAUGUCUCCAGACAACUUCGCAAGCAUGAGGAAAAUUAUCCCACUCAUGACUUAGAAUUGGCAGCAGUCAUCCAUGCACUCAAAGAAUGGAGACACUUCCUACUUGGAAACCGUUGUGAAAUAUACACAGACCAUAAGAGCCUUAAGUAUAUUUUCACAUAGCCGGAACUUAAUUUACGGCAACGACGCUGGUUAGAGUUGGUGAAGGAUUAUGAUGUUGGAAUCCACUAUCAUCUCGGAAAAGCAAAUGUUGUGGCAGAUGUCCUGAGUCGGAAUCCUAGCACAGACGACGACAGCAUACCAAAGUUGAGGCCAGAAUUUCAACAGGAAUUUGCCAGACUCAAUUUAAUAAUGGUUACCGAAGGCAGUGUGUCAAAUUUGGAAAUACAGCCUACCCUGAUGGAAAAAAUUAAGGAGGCCCAGCAUGGACACCCCAGUAUUGAUGGCAUAAAGAGGAAAGUGAAUUUGGGCAAGGCCUCAGAAUUCAACAUAGAUGAGCAAGGAAUAUUGUGGUACGGAGAAAGAAUCUGCGUACCAAAUAUCAAGGACCUCAAACAGCAGAUUCUGUCUGAAAGCUACACCGCUCCGUAUUCAAUUCAUCCUGGAGGAACAAAGAUGUAUAAAGACCUUCAGGAAAAUUUUUGGUGGCACGGUAUGAAGAGAGACAUAGCCACGUUCAUUGCAUGAUGUGACUCUUGUCAACGCAUCAAGGUUGAGCACCAGAAACCAGCCGGGCUGUUACAGCCAAACAAGAUACCCGAGUGGAAGUGAGGCGAGAUUGAAAUGGAUUUCAUUGUUGGACUACCACGGUCGCAACACGGAAAUAAUGCCAUAUGGGUCAUAACCGAAAGAUUAACCAAAGUGGCACAUAUUAUUCCGGUGAAGACAACUCACACCACUCAGAGGCUGGCCAGACUUUAUCUUGCCCGUAUUGUCUGCCUGCAUGGAGUCCCAAAGACUAUCAUAUCUGACAGAGGCACACAGUUCGUCUCUAGAUUUUGGGAUCACCUGCAACAGGCACUGGGAACCCAACUAUCAUUCAGUACCGCAUACCAUCCCCAGACUGAUGGGCAGACUGAACGUGUAAACCAAAUUCUAGAAGAUAUGCUAAGAGCCUGUGUCCUCACCUACGGAACCAGUUGGGAAGAAAGUUUGCCAUAUGCAGAGUUCGCAUACAACAACAGUUAUCAAGCCACCUUGCAAAUGGCACCCUUUGAAGCUCUAUAUGGGAGAAGAUGUCGUACCCCACUAAACUGGUCAGAAACUGGGGACAGCCACAUCUUCGGCCCAGAUAUGCUCAAGGAGUCUGAGGAGAAAGUUAAGACGAUUAGAGAUCGACUCAAGACAGCUCAAAGUCGGUAAAAGAGUGAUUACGAUAGAAAGCAUCGGGAAAUCAGUUUUGAACCCGGAGAGUUUGUAUACCUAAGAGUUUCUCCUAUGAGGGGUCUGCAACGAUUCAGGAUUGAGGGAAAGCUAGGACCAAGAUUCAUCGGACCAUUCCGUAUAGUGGCCCGAAGAGGCAUGGUAGCCUACCAGCUAGACCUACCCGGAUAUUUAUCCGAUAUCCACAACGUGUUCCACAUCUCGUAGUUGAGAAAGUACGUGAGCAACCCAGAGAAGCAAGUAUCACAUGGAAAUAUUGACGUGCAACCAGACCUCACCUACCGGGAGCACCCAAUAAAAAUAUUAGAAGAGUCUGAGAGGAGGACCCGACAGAAAACCAUCAAGUUUUUCAGAGUUCAGUGGAGCAAUCACACCGAGAAUGAAGCAACUUAGGAGAGAGAGGAUUUUCUUCGGACAGAGCACCCACACCUGUUUAAGGAUCAGCUGAAAUCUCGGGGACGAGAUUUUUCCUAAGGGGGUAGGUGCUGUGACACUCCAAAAAAUUUUGUGGUUUUUGUUUUCAGCAAGAGUCUUGCUUGGUUUAAAGAAGGUCUUUUAAACCCUUCUUGAAAACCUCUCUUGAGUUUUCACUCUCAAAAAUCUUUUCUUGGUUUUAGUUUCUUCUAAAAAGAAAACCUUUUUGGUUUUGGCCUUUUAUUUGGUUUUGAUCCUUUCUUAAUUUUACCAUGCCUCCUAUGGUAAAAUUUUCCCAAAACCCCUCCUUCCACUUUAAGACAACCCAAACAUUAUGUCCCAUCUAAUAAAAUCCAUUUUUGGAUUUUAUUCCAUUCAUUUCUUUCCCCAAAAUAAUUCUGACCUUUAUUUUGAGCUUAGGUAGUUUGCAAAGCAAGUACCUAAAUGCCUUUGAUCUUUGACCUCAAUUCAACUCCUCUGGAUAGUCCUUAGCACCCACAACCUAGAACCAUCAUGAUCCACUCUUCUUCUUUUCAAAUAUUUCAAAAUUCACCCCCUGCAAGUUUGGACCAGAUUUGUCAAAUUUGGUGAAAUUCAUAUCUCCACUUCUCCAAAAAUUCCACCAAAAUUCAGGCAAUCCCUAGCUGCAAUGAGAGACCACUCCACCAAAAACCAGCUCGAGGAAAAAUCCCCACAUGCCAAAAUCAUUCUGUCGAACACCUGGCAUGCACUGUUACUGUACAUCUUCAGUAAUAUUCAGAAUUCAGUGUCGUUUCUUCGUCAGAGAUUCAGUCACAUGUCGAUAGUGCACUUGGCACGUUGCUCACAGCCCCUCCUUCUUGUCCGGAGCACCACACGCGUGCUUGGCGCGUUCCUGGCGUCGGUGGCGCCAUGGCCCGCCUGCGCCGGCGUGUUUUGCGGCGGCAGAACCACCGUAGCGGCCGACAGGGGGCAACCCUGUGGCAUAACGUCGUUCGGCGCCGCCCAAACCUCCUAAGAGCUUCGCAUGGCCACCUCCUUGCCAGCGCACGCAUGCAGCACCGUCGCCAUGGUCUGGCACGCGCAGAGCGCGUUCUCUGCCGCCGAUGGGCCAUGCGGCCGUUCCGUUGAGGACAGACCAUAAACCCCCCUUCCUUGCUGAGUUGGACACUGGAAUGGCACCAGUGCUUCAUCUAGAUGAUGCUCAAGCCCCUAAGCCAACCGUCCAGCCACAGCACCGCCGUAAUCGCUCGCCGGACUUAUCCAUUCACGGCAACCGCCUCGGGCCGGCUAUAAAUAGCACCCCCCGAGCUUGCUCUCGCCCCCGCACAACUCCACCACCUCACCAGACCCCGCCUAGCCACUGGAAGAGCCUCGAGGGGCCCUUCUUCCUCAACUCCGGCCACCUCCAUCCGCCUCGGGCGCCGGCAACGUUCUGUUCGGUGCGAACUCCUCCACCGCCCUAAUCUCGCCCGUAGCCUCGUACCACCUCUAGGAGUCUAAACCCCACUCCAAUUUGACCCCAGCAGCUCUCUCCGACGAGGCCCACGACCACCCGAACCGCCGUCUGCCGGAGCAAGCGCCACCGUCGACACAGUGCUCGCCGGCGACCACCACCACCACCCACAGACACGGAAGGACGUGUUGAUCAUAGAGGUACCACCCGAUCACCCAGCCCCGCCGUGGAUCGCCGUCGGCGACCACCGCAUCUCUCGGGCGUCGUCGCGCCCUGUUUCCCUCGUUUGAAUAUUCAAAUCUGACGGGUGGAGCCCGCCUGUCAGUCUCUCAGUCUUUUCUCUUAAACGAACCGUUUUCUGGACUUUUCCGCAAAACCCCCUGGGAGUUUUCUGUUUCAUUACAGAAAAUUCCCUGAAGGAAAACCCUUAUAUCUUUUAAACAGAAAAGUAUUUUUGUUUGAUUCUUUUUCUGUUCUCCUUAAAAUUUUGUCUAGUUUUUUAUCAGACUUAUUUGAAAAUUAUUUGGUAUACUUUUGUGCACCUCGCGGUAUUUACGUUACGUGCGUAUUUUUCUUAUACCGUAGAUUCCGGAGGAAGUGACGGAGCCGCAAACUUCACCCAGUUAGACUCCGACUACUCCGAACCAGGCAAGCAUGUUUGAACUCUUGAUAUGAUGAAGUGUUUGUUGCAUGUUUGCAUCUUAGGAGUUUCUUGGCAUGUUUAUGAACAUUUCUUUAAAUGUUAUAUUUCAUGCACAGAAGUGGAAAGUAAGUUUCGGAAAGCCAUAUGUUGUUGGAUACACAUUGGCAUGGCCAUGAGAUGGCAUGAGGAUGGGUAAGAUGGCAGUGUUGUGACAUGCCAGUCUUAUGCCAGUCCAUUUGACAUCAGUGUCAUCGUGAAUCAAGUCAUAUUCCCAUUCAUUUCCUUUCCAGUACUGCCACAUGUUUUCCGCAAGGAAUAUGGCUUAGUAAGUUGCAACCGUUUUCCUGGUACACACCAAGUAGAGAGGCCGGGAUGAGGAUUCCAUGGCCCUGGAUUAAAGCCCGUCAUCCGGUCAGGGGGCAUGGGUGUUUCCGGUUGGGACCGAGAGGGGGGCACCCCUUAGAGCGCGCGUAUAGAAAUUUGAUCCCAUGCUAUUCGAGGUUGUGGCCUCCCCGUCUCAAAGUUUUUCUUGGACGUUGCCUAGGGUGAUUCCUGGCAUCGUGAGGUGGUAUGGGUGUGUACUAGUUAAAUGUGUUUCUAUCGAAAUACCGUAAACGGAACUAGUCCUUCGUGACUACGGAAAUCCGUUGGCUGUGGUCAGUGAGUACAAACUCUGCAGAGUCACAAAUCCUUUAAAUCAUCUUGUACUUGUCCAAGUACUGUAUUCAUCUUAUCUUGUCAGAUAUCAGUCUUAGUGACAAAACUCUGGUGGAAUACAUGUGUGUAAAAUCCGGUUAAAAGUUUAUUCUUGUGGAUGGACUAAUCUUGUUAUUUACAUUUGUUAUAAGCCCUGUCUGUGAUGUCGCUCAGACGUCCGACGGUGGCAUACUUGUUAUUUACAUUUAUUAUAAGCCCUGUCUGUGAUGUCACUCAGACGUCCGAUUGUGGCAUUUCUUUUAUAAGCCCUUUCUGUGAUGUCGCUCAGACGUCCGACUGUGGCAUUUCUUUUAUAAGCCCUUUCUGUGAUGUCGCUCAGACGUCCGACUGUGGCAUUUCUUUUAUAAGCCCUUUCGGUGAUGUCGCUCAGACGUCCGACUGUGGCAUUUCUUUUAUAAGNNNNNNNNNNNNNNNNNNNNNNNNNNNNNNNNNNNNNNNNNNNNNNNNNNNNNNNNNNNNNNNNNNNNNNNNNNNNNNNNNNNNNNNNNNNNNNNNNNNNNNNNNNNNNNNNNNNNNNNNNNNNNNNNNNNNNNNNNNNNNNNNNNNNNNNNNNNNNNNNNNNNNNNNNNNNNNNNNNNNNNNNNNNNNNNNNNNNNNNNNNNNNNNNNNNNNNNNNNNNNNNNNNNNNNNNNNNNNNNNNNNNNNNNNNNNNNNNNNNNNNNNNNNNNNNNNNNNNNNNNNNNNNNNNNNNNNNNNNNNNNNNNNNNNNNNNNNNNNNNNNNNNNNNNNNNNNNNNNNNNNNNNNNNNNNNNUGUGAUGUCGCUCGGACGUCCGACUGUGGCAUUUCUUUUAUAAGCCCUUUCUGUGAUGUUGCUCAGACGUCCGACUGUGGCAUUUCUUUUAUAAGCCCUUUCUGUGAUGUCGCUCAGACGUCCGACUGUGGUAUUUUCUUUUAUAAGCCCUUUAUGUGGUGUCGCUUAGACGCCCGACUAUGGGAUGAGUUUUAUUUGUUUACCUUUCGAGGCGUCGCUUCAGACACCCGAUCGAUUUUCAGUUAUAUGUUUUAUUUGUCACAUCGUGAAAUUUUUAUUAUUGGAAUGAGCAUCAUUAUUUUUUCUCAUGACGCACUCAUGCAUGCAUUUGUUAUAUCUUUUGUCCGAACUGUCUUGCAAGUACUUUCAAAGUACUCACUUGGCUUGUUGAUUUGGCCAGAUGUUGAUGAAGGCGAUCUCAUGGAUGAAGAGUUCAAUAGCGAGUCCGACGCCUAGAGGAGUCCCAGUCAGUCCCGUGCGAUCCUGCUUUGGUCAUUGUAUCAUAUCCGCUUCCGCCACCCCCAAAUAAAUUCAUAGAGCCUCACUUCGACACUCGAUGAGCUGCCAGUUAGGAGUCAAGUUAUCCACCACCACUUUUUAUCUCGAGCAAGUAGCAUGUCACCACACCCCUGAGCCAUAACCGCCCUUAUGUAAGAUAUUGGCGAGUUUGUAAUAAAUUGUUGAGCAGCCUCAGCUCAACCCUGUAAUAUAUUUAAUGCUACUGGUCCUCUGUUUAUCAAGUAUUUGUCUACCAGUGAGGAUGAUUUUUCCUAUACUGGGAUUAAAAGAUCGGUUUUCUCAAUAAGCAUUUUAUUGAAAAACCGGUCGCGAUAACACGGCAUCCGUAUAUUUAUCAUAAAACCGCCCUUAAAAGAGCUAUCCUUUAAACAGGAGUAGGAUAGCGGAAGCAAGGCUUAUCAGGUGUCCGGCCCCCCUCCCUGAGACCACGCCGGAUCCCGUGUUGACCAGGAUGUGGGAGAUUGCGCCUUUUGAAGAAGGCAAAGAGGGGAACAAGGAAGCUACCACCUCCGCGAAGGAGGCUGUCAGGAAGGAAGGAAUCGAGAACUCCUCUAUCCAGGGAAAGAAGAGGAAUGCCUCUGAAAACCUAGAGGCGAUCGCCUCAAAGCGGGGGAAGAAAUCUUCGCCAUGGGUCCGGCGCUGGAGAGUGCUCUGGCCGCAUUGUGCCCCCAAGGGGAUCAGCUCUCCAAUGAGCCGUAAGUAAAGAGGGGGGUUUUAAAAUGAGUAAUAUCCCUGUUUUCUUUCUGAGGAAGAUAACCAAAAUUUUACCUUGUAGUUCGGAUCUCAACCCUUCUCAGCAGAGCUCAUCUUCCGGGGAUCUCCGUCCAGAGAUGAUGGAGAGCGAAACGCCUCCCCCAGCUGUACCAUCUUGCGAGGCUGGCGACCCCGAAGUGUCGUCUUAGAGGAUUUCCCCAAAUCUGGACUUUGAAAAAGGUCGUAGGACUAGUCCGGCACCUUUAGGUGCAUGGUCGGAGGGGCUGCAGGAUCUGCUCGGGCGAGCGUCUAUCUUAGAAGAACAUCGUGUGUUGAUGAACACAGUGAUUAGAAGGAUUUCAUCCGCGGAAAGCGGAUUGUACGAGGCCACCAGGAGUUUACUGAUAGGUUUUGAGGUACGCGAAAAGAUGUACCUUUUGACAGAGCCGCAUAUAUAAAAUGCGCCCUGUAUAAAUAGUAGCCCCUGAGACUCUGUGUUGUCAAAAAUGACGACGCACAGAGGAUCAUAAUCCCAGGUAUAAUAUGUCGCCUUUCCUAUGUAGGUGGUGAGGCGUUCGGUGGCUAGCCGGACUGAUGAAUCUGCCGAGCUAAAGCGGCAACUUGACAUAGUAGAUGCCGACAUCGCGCUUGUAAAUGAGCGGCUAGACGAGGCACAAGGUAUGUAAUGUCUCCAAAGACAUCUGAUAAGAGGAGCUUGAUGCUCGUGCCUUAUAACAUAUGUGCUUAAUGCAGAUGGUGUCGCUGCCAUGGAGAACAUUCAGGUGGAACUUGCCCGAGCCAAGGAGCAAGCGAGGAAGAGUGAUGCGGCUGUCGUUAAAGCGGCUGAAGAGCUAAAAGCCAAACAGGCUGCUCACUGCCAGAGCAAGAAAGAAAUGGCCGAGAUGGCUGUAAAAUUGAAGGAUGCUGCCGACCGUUGUAAGCUUCGUGAAGAAGAAGAUAGGGUGGCACAGAAGGACCUAGAAAAGGUCACUGUCGAGGCCAAGGACACUCGCUCUGCAAUGAGAGCUAUGAAGGAGGAGCUACGUCAGGCCGGAGAUAUCGCGGCUGGAAAGCCCUAUAUGCUGCGGAUGAAGUUCAGGGAUCCUAAGUAUGCUCCGUUGGACCAGAAGUGGAGUGCGGCGAACACUUAUCUGGAUUUGGCGGCAAGUGCCGCAGACGCGACCGAACACUUCCGGGGUCUGGAUGACCAUAAAUUGGAAGAACUGUUUUGGUCGUAGUUCCAUAAUCCAGAGCGCCCACUUUUGGUGUCCGACUGUUUGGCCGCUUGGGCGGAGCUGAACAGGUUGUCCGGACUUGCUAUGAGGUACGUCGCGAGUCGUCUGUGGCCGGAAGAGCCAGAGCCGAAGAGUUAUUUUAGCUUCGUGCAGCAGUUCCUUGGUUUGGUGCCGCAUGUUGAUGCAAUGAAGAGGUCAGCGUGCAUAGAGGGUGCACAGAUGGCUCUUUCCCGUGUCAAGACAAACUAGGCGGAUAUGAAGGCCAGUGUUGUUGCAUCCCGGGAUUCGGACGAAAGCCGAGUACCUGCCAAGCACUACUUUGAGGAAGUUCUUCAGGGUGCUCGUUUAAUAGAGACGCAGUGCUCGAAGGAUGUUGUGUUCGAAUAACAUGUGCUAUUGUAAAACAAUAUUUUGAUGGGAUGUAAAAGCUUUUUAUACUUGUGCUUUCAAGAAUUAAAAUGCCUCCUGUGCGGCCGUUAAUGUAUAUGUGUAUAUAACCUGAAAGAUGGCAGUCGUUGGCUUCAGCCCCCACGCAUAUAAUGCGAGGGUGUUCACAAAAGGCGCCUUUCCACACUUGAUCCAACGUCUUGGUCCUAUAAAGGAGGUGAUAGCGCAGCGAACUAGGCAACCGGACUAUAAUGCUUUAUCACUUUCACUUAGCCAUAGGAGUUUGACAGUGGGGCUACUAAAUAGCCCCUAGGGGCACUGCGCUCGCCCGAAUUCGGGGCGCGUGUGUACCUGACCGGGAAAUGGCCCUUCCUUAAUGCGGAGGAAUCCUAAAGAUUCCGACAAGUCAUCGAGUGGUUGACCAGUCUCUCGCUAGAUCAUGACAGUCAGUUUUCGUCUUUCUCUACUGAGGUGCUCACCUGGCCGAACCGGGGCACAAUCGCAGUAGUUCUCCUGGUGCCGCCUUAGCCGAUAGAGCGGAAUGUAAGGCAGCAAAACACAGGAGCCGGGCAAACCCAACAUUUGACCAAAGACAUGAUUCGGAGCUGAUGCAUAUAAGGCCAAACUCGUGACGCCGAACACUCCCUAAGGUAUUCGGUCUUUAUGAAGACGGGCCAAGCAAAAGCCCUUGGUAAAAAAGCCCCUUGUGUCCAGGUACGCACAAAAUUCUGGUGUGGCCACAUGCCAAGACACCAGCCUCCUCCUCGGUUAUAGCAAAAACCGGGGGAUGUUAUCAACAAGAGACAGUAAAUAAGGUUUACGCAGGGUCUUAAUCUGAAAAGAAUCCUUGAAACGGGUCCCUGCUGCACGUCUGCGCCUGUAUCUCCGUUGUGCCGUAUCCUGGAUGGGUGUAGCACGGCGUUCGUCUGCAAAAGAGAGGAACUUAGUGGAAAAUCAAUCGUGCGAGAAAUCUAUGUUAAAAUAAACAAAGCAUAAUACAAAAACAUGGGUAGGAUUGAGCUUUAUUGUCGCACGGAGCCCCUUGUACAGGGUUAUGCGGCUAUGAAGCCUUUGUAUGUUUACGCCGGAUUCGUCGGGCCAUGUCCGGGGUCUUUAACGACCUUUGUACGUGCUCUGAGUAGUAAAGCUGGGUAAGUGUGCGGCUGUCGAGGCAGACGCACCAUCCUACGUGCUCGGGGAACACUUGAUAUUUCCCUUUAAUGAGAUGAUGCCUCGUGGACCGGGAAUUUUGAGUGUAAGGGAUGCAUAAUGCGGUAUUGCGUUAAAGCGGGCGAAAGCUUCGCGUCCCAGUAGCGCUUGAUAGCGACUUAUGAAUUGGGCGAUGUGGAAGGUUAGCAUUUCGCUUCGAAAGUUGNNNNNNNNNNNNNNNNNNNNNNNNNNNNNNNNNNNNNNNNNNNNNNNNNNNNNNNNNNNNNNNNNNNNNNNNNNNNNNNNNNNNNNNNNNNNNNNNNNNNNNNNNNNNNNNNNNNNNNNNNNNNNNNNNNNNNNNNNNNNNNNNNNNNNNNNNNNNNNNNNNNNNNNNNNNNNNNNNNNNNNNNNNNNNNNNNNNNNNNNNNNNNNNNNNNNNNNNNNNNNNNNNNNNNNNNNNNNNNNNNNNNNNNNNNNNNNNNNNNNNNNNNNNNNNNNNNNNNNNNNNNNNNNNNNNNNNNNNNNNNNNNNNNNNNNNNNNNNNNNNNNNNNNNNNNNNNNNNNNNNNNNNNNNNNNNNNNNNNNNNNNNNNNNNNNNNNNNNNNNNNNNNNNNNNNNNNNNNNNNNNNNNNNNNNNNNNNNNNNNNNNNNNNNNNNNNNNNNNNNNNNNNNNNNNNNNNNNNNNNNNNNNNNNGGGGGGCGAACAUAACUUCUAACGAUAGGGAACCCAUACAAUGGGUAUCUGGCCCUGGCGUGACCCCUUUAAAGGAAGUGUUGCCAUGGCAGAUUAUUGCUGGGUUUAACCCCAUUUUGCAGAUUGUGUCCAGAUAUAGUGGGUUUAGGUCACUGCCGCCGUCCAUUAGGACUUGUGUAAAGUGGAGUCCAUCAAUUAUCGGAUCUAAGACCAAGGCAGUCCGGCCUGCGUUCCGGAUACCUCUAGAGUAAUCCUGAUGGUCAAAGGUGAUUGGUUGUAACAACCAGUGGAUGGAUUCCUCUGGGACAGGCCGUAUGGCACAUAUCUCCGUAGGCGCCAAUCUGUUUUUUCCUUUUGUCACAUGAAGUGAGUUUACUGUUUUGACUUCUUGUGGGAACUUCUUUUGUUCUCCGGUGUUCUGCUUAUGGGAUUUGCCGUCAUCCUCGCUUGGUAUGUCGAGCCCCUUGUGUUCGGCGUUGAGUUUGCCGGAUUGCUUGAAGACCCAACAAUCUCUGUGGGUAUGGUUUGCCGGCCUCCCGGGGGUACUGUGGAUCUGAUAUAUUUUGUCCAAGAUUUUGUUGAGGUUAGAUAGCUCGUCACUGUCAUCUUUGGGAGGCGGCUUUUUCCGAUUUUGCCGAGAGCUUUUGAAUCCGGUGUUGACUGUCGUGCUCAUCGGGCUGUUAUCCUUGAUCCGGCGUUGUUCCUUGCUACGGCGCGGUUUCCCGUUUCCAUCUCUGAGUUCAGAUGUACUUGGGUCGCUGGUGCUGCUUCUUGCCAACCAGCUAUCCUCUCCUGCGCAAAAGCGGGUCAUGAGGCUUGUCAAUGCGGCCAUUGUUCUUGGCUUUUCUUGGCCGAGGUGUCUGGCGAGCCAUUCGUCUCGGACGCUAUGUUUGAAAGCUGCUAGGGCUUCGGCGUCUGGACAGUCGACUAUCUGAUUCUUUUUAGUAAGAAAUCUGUUCCAGAGUUUCCGAGCCAACUCUCCGGGUUGUUGAGUUAUAUGACUUAGAUCGUGUGCAUCCGGAGGUCGGACAUAGGUCCCUUGAAAAUUUUCCCGAAAAGCAUCCUCGAGCUCUUCCCAACUUCCUAUGGUGUUUUCGGGAAGGCUUUUAAGCCAAUGCCGGGCCAGCCCUUUGAGCUUGAGGGGUAAGUACUUUAUGGCGUGGAGGUCAUCUCCUCUAGCCAUGUGUAUGUGGAGGAUAUAAUCCUCAAUCCAGACUCCAGGGUCUAUUGUUCUGUCGUAUGCCUCUAUGUUUACGGGCUUGCAUCCCGCUGGAAAUUCAUGGUCCAGCACCUCAUUGGUGAAACAUAGGGGAUGUGCGGUGCCCCUGUAUUUGGGUGUGCCGCGAUGUUCGGAUAUUUGUUGUGUUGCGUUGCUUACUAGAGCUUGCUUUCUUGGCCCGUAGAUAGAUCUGGUUGGGCCAUCUUUUUGAUGCGAAUCCUUGUGCGGAUCACGUGCCGGAUUGAGUGCGGCACCCUUUUUCGCUCGAUGUCGGUCGUGGGGUCGUCUAUCCGACCUGGUGGAUUCCUUGUUUUUUGACUAUGGGGGCUCUAAGGCCUCCUCAUCAAAUUCCAGUAGUAAUUUUCGCUUCGGAUAGCUCUUUGUGUGGUGACUGUCGCCGUACUUGUGUGCGGUGUUGAGUACUUUGCCCCAUCUGAUUCUGAGUGCAUCUUCCGCUGUUUUGAGCUUCCGCUUCUGCUUUUUCAGGCUACGCGCAGUGGCGACGAGCCUUUGGUGGAGGUUCUUCUGCUCCAGCAACUUGUCCGACGUGAGGUUGUCCGGACUAUUAUCUUCGCCGGGGACGGGUUGUUUGGUUUGUUUAUCCAAGUUGCCCUGUUCAGACGGUUGCUCGACGGCAUGUUCGUCGUCCGCCGGUUCGCCCUGCUCUAUGGCUGGGUCUCUAUCGAGGUGGGGUUUGGCGCGGCGCUUACGCCGCCGCUUUGAUUGCUUUUCGAGGGAACGAUCCCUUGUUGCGCCCUUUUGAUCCUCGUCAUCGUUUCUUUUAGGUGUGUCCACCAUGCAUACAUCGUGUGAUGAGGUGGUUGUCCAGUGCCCUAUAGGCGAUGGUUCUUGUUCGUCUCCUUCGUCGGUGUCCAUACCGUCGAUGUCUUCGGAGUCGAAGUCGAGCAUGUCGGUUAGAUCAUCGACAGUGGCUACGAAGUGGGUGGUGGUUGGGUUUCGAAUUUCUUCGUCGUCCGCAUCCCAACCUUGCUGACCAUAGUCCGGCUAGGGCUCUCCUGACAAAGAGAGAGACUUUAGUGAAUUCAGGAUGUCGCCAAAGGGCGAGUGCUGAAAGACGUCCGCGGCGGUGAAAUCCAUGAUCGGAGCCCAAUUGGGUUCGAUCGGAAGGGGCGCGGAAGAUUCGGAGUCCGGAAAGGAGUCCGGCACCUUGGAGUCACGAGCUCCCCAAGGGACAAGAUUGGUGUUCGGCUCGAUCACCGUAGAGAUUGCAGCCCCCGAGGUGGCGUCUAGCCACCCGUCCCCGACCGGCGCAGUCGGCUCCAAACUGAGGGUCGGAGCAGACACCUGAGCGGCGCUCUGGGCACUGUCCGGCGGCAGGGCUAGAUCAUGCCCAUCGUGACAGCGCGGCGUGCUCGGCUGCGGCUCGAAUUCGUCGAAGAUCAAGUCUCCGCGGAUGUCAGCCGGGUAGUUUAAACUUCCAAAUCUGACCUGAUGGCCAGGGGCGUAGCUUUCGAUCUGCUCCAGAUGGCAAAGCGAAUUGGCCCCAGUGCAAAGCCGCCGAAUACGAAGAUAUGUCCGGGGAGAAAAGUCUCACCCUGGACCGCGUCGUGGUUGAUUAUCGAAGAUGCCAUCGGGCCUAAAGGUGACGACACAGAGGAACUCCCAAUGAAAGCACCAAUGUCGGUGUCAAAACUGGCGGAUCUCGGGUAGGGGGUCCCGAACUAUGCGUCUAGGCGGAUGGUAACAGGAGACAAGGGACACGAUGUUUUUACCCAGGUUCGGGCCCUCUCGAUGGAGGUAAAACCCUACUCCUGCUUGAUUAAUAUUGAUGAUAUGGGUAAUACAAGAGUUGAUCUACCACGAGAUCAGAGAGGCUAAACCCUAGAAGCUAGCCUAUGGUAUGAUUGUUGUUCCUACUAUGGACUAAAACUCUCUGGUUUAUAUAGACACCGAAGAGGGCUAGGGUUACACAGUGUCGGUUACAAUGGGAGGAGAUCUACAUAUCCUAUCGCCAAGCUUGCCUUCCACGCCAAGGCAAGUCCUAUCCGGACACGGGACGAAGUCUUCAAUCUUGUAUCUUCAUAGUCCGGGAGUCCGGCCAAAGGUCACAGUCCGGCCAUCCGGACACCCCCUAAUCCAGGACUCCCUCAGCGACCAGGGGUGGCUCUUUUUGCCGGAUCCAGAGGGGUGGUGCAGCGUAUCAGUGGUGGAGGGUGGGGAACGCCCCCGCGGCGCGAUUCAGCCCGCAGAUUUGGCCGGAAUCACCAGCGGCGAACGGACGGACCCAAUGGCGGGCGGCGGUAGAAGCAGGUGGGGAAAGGGCAUGGGCUGAAAUGUCCCUACCGCCAACCGCUUCCCUGUGAUAUGGGGCACCAUAGGGGCGAGGCGGAAACCUGCCUAUUCGCGGGUUGGAGCCGAUAUUUUGCCGGCCCCUCAAAAAGUUUUACGGGCCGGCCGCGUUUGCGGGGUCUGUUCGGGCAGGAUUUUCUGCGCCGACCCAUAUUUUGGCAGUUAUUUUCUAGGUCGGGGCUUUUUGCAGGAUCUGCUAGAGUUGCUCCAAUGGGUCUCCAAUGAUUUCACACUUCCCCUCCAUUCUCUCCUCAGGGGGUUCCAAUGUUUAUUCCUAUUCUUUUUCUCAUCUACAGGGAGUCCCAAGUACUCCCUAUUCUUUUUCUCAUCUACAGGGUACUUCUCUGUAAACUAAUAUAAGAGCGUCUAGAUCACUAAAAUGGUAAUCUAAAUGCUCUUAUAGUAUAACCCAAUGUUUAUUCCUAUUCUUUUUCUCAUCUACAAGGAGUCCCAAGUACUCCAUAUUCUUUUUCUCAUCUACCAGGAGACCCAAGUACUCCCUCUGUAAACUAAUAUAGGAGCGUUUAGAUCACUAAAGUAGUAAUGGACAAGUAAAAAUUCUGGUGUAGGCUAGAUGGCGCCCGCGAUUUCAAAAGGUUCACCACAUCUAGGCGUUCUGUAUCAAUGUUCUAUACAGGGGGCAAAUCAAUCGGAACAAGAAAUUUUGUUUGAUUAGAAUCAGUGGAUCUGUGGAUAAAUCACUGUAAAUAAUCACACACUUUUAAGACUUUCAUUUACAGAACUCGACGAUACCUGCAUCUAAUAAACAACGGACAUCCCGAUUUCAGUACAACCCCAACAAGAAAUGGAAACUGUGCCUGAAAACAUUGGUCACACAAUGCUUCAGAGUUCACUGCAUGUGGGUUAUUCAGAAUCCAGACACCAUUUUUCUUGACAUCGAGUGAGGUGUUAUAUUACAGCACAACAAGUAGAGCUACAGAUAAUGAAACGGUCUUCUACAGAAAAUAUAUUUCAGCAGCCACCACAAAAAAACAUCAGGAAACAAAAAAAUAAACACAAUACCCACUAGAUCGACUGGAGAUGCCCCCUAUUGCGGAUACCGCGGGCGGGUGUAAGGUGAUGUGAGAUGUACUCAGGCCAACUCCACCGCGCGACCCUAUCCUGUCCGGCUCCGUCCGUUUGGGAUAAAAGGGACAAAAGAGGCGGCCCAGCGCACGGCAUCAAACGGACAAUUGUCCAGAUUCCGUCCGUUUUCGACCCAUCCCCGGCCCAAACUUGUGCUUGGUUUGGGGUGAAACGGACGCGCGCGGACGGCCACAACGCACGCCCUUGUCCCCCCCCCCCCUCCCCGUGGCCCGCCUAUCGGGGACACUAGCAGUCCCUCCGCUCCCAACGCUUCACCCUCUCUCCCCGCCCAGUCCCGCCGUCGGCGCCGCCGCUAUUCUACGGCCGCCUCCUCACCGCGCAGCCCCCCGUCGUCCAUACCAAACCACGUCUCGACAUGGCCGCCACCACGCCCACGCUUUCGUCGUAGUUUUGGUUGUCUAUCGAGGGAGGUUUGGCCGUCGCCGUCCUUGCCGGUGGCGGCGGGGACACGAGUGCCGGCGACGUACCACGACGGCCGAGGCAGAUUCCGAGAGCUCCAGAGCGGCCAGUAGCCGGCCGGAAACCACCCCUGCUGCAUCGAGGUGAUCAUCGCGGCCUCUUCGCCACCACGGCCGCAAGGUGUUCAACCUUUUGCCAACAAAGGUAUGGAUAGUGGAGACGAGUUUUUCUUCCAUCAUUUCCUUUGUUCAUCGGACGAUUCAUCGUCGGAUGAUGAAGAUCUUGUGGUGGCUGCACUGGUCGUUCACGACCAUAUUCAACGGCAGCUUCCUCGGUACAGGGGGUCACUCCCUGGCCGUGCUCCCAACCUGAACCUCAACAGGGAGAGAGGCCAUUCUCCUCUUACCAGAAAUGCACCGCGGCCAUCCGCAUGCUUGCAUAUGGAAUUCCAGGCGAUCUGGUGGAUGAGUAUGUGCGUAUGAGUGAGACAACAUGUCUGAUGUCAAUGUACAAAUUUUGCCAGGCUGUGAUCGAGGUGUUUGGCCCAGAGUACUUGAGGCAGCCAACUGCCGCUGAUACAGAAAGAUUGUUGGCGACCAACGCGGCUAGAGGCUUUCCAGGCAUGCUUGGCAGCAUAGAUUGUAUGCAUUGGGAGUUGAAGAACUGUCCAUUUGCUUGGCAGGGCCAGUACAAGGGGCAUGUUAAUGGGUGCACUGUCAUAUUAGAAGUGGUGGCAUCACAAGAUCUUUGGAUAUGUCAUUCUUUCUUCGGCAUGGCAGGUUCUCACAAUGAUAUCAACGUGCUCCAGCGUUCUCCAGUCUUCGCGAGGCUUGCAGAAGGCCACUCCCCACCUGUCAACUUUGAGAUCAACGGCCACCAUUACAACAAGGGAUACUACCUAGCAGAUGGUAUAUAUCCUCAGUGGUCAACUUUUGUGAAGACAAUCUCGAAACCCCAAGGUAAGAAAAGAAAGAGAUUUGCCCAAAUGCAAGAGAGUGUUAGAAAGGAUGUGGAACGUGCUUUUGGUGUGCUUCAAUCCCGGUGGGGUAUCAUUCGAAACACUACACUGUCAUGGGAUGAAAGGAAGCUUUGGGAGGUGAUGACUGCUUGUGUGAUCAUGCACAACAUGAUCGUCGAGGACGAGCGUGAUGAGAGUAUCUUCGACCAAGGAUUUGAUUAUCAAGGUGAAAAUAUUGAGCCCCUGCACCAAGACCCGGCCACAUUUGAACAGUUUGCCCAAUUCCACCAUGAGAUGUGUGAUUGGCACACUCAUUUGAAUCUUCAAAAUGACUUGGUUGAGCACGUCUAGGAUCACAUUGGCAACCAAUAGAUGUAAAACUAUUUCAUGUUCAGUCAAGACAAUUUCGAUUUGGUUGUAAAACUAUUUUAAUUUUCAGACAAAUAUUUGGGUUACAAACUAGUUUUGAUGCAAAUUAGGGCAUUGUUGGCCCUGACGGACAGGAUGGGGCAAAUGGAUGCGGCCGCGCGCUGGGCGCAUGGUCGCCGCAUCCCAGGACAGGCCCGGACACGAGCCCAAAUCCAUACCCAAACGGACAGGAUCCGGACAAAACGGACGUCCGCUUGAGGUCGCGCAGUGGAGUUGCCCUCAGUUGUGGACGUCGCCCAUCCAUUUCGUGGUGGUGCUUCGGGGCCGAGCUGGCCUGUUGUUGGUCCUUGGCAGCUAUCUCCGUGUCCGGCUGCCGCGGCACGACGUGGGCCUAGGAUGGCGGUGCCUCCCUGGACGCGCAUGGGACGCCCGCCGUUGAAGAAGCUGAGUUUGCAACGAUGGAGAUGCGCGUUGUAGUUGACCCAACGCAUGAAGUCGUGGACGCACUGCAUGGUGUCGCCGGGGCUAUCCAGAAAUUGGGAGAUCCAAAAGUGCCCACUGUACCAUGCACCAUUAAAUAUAAUUAUGUAGGUUUUGAUUUAUAUGAUCUCGAUGCCGGUGUUAGUGUUAUUCUUCUGUCUCUCUAUAAAAAAUUAAAUUUGGAUAAACUGAUAUCUAUUGAUAUAUGUUUGCAAAUGGCCGACAAGUCGACUGCCAUGCUCACAGGCAUAUGUGUAAAUGUUCUCGUCAUCUCUGCUAAUGUUUUAAUUUUAAUAGAUUGUGUUGUACUCCCUCCGUUCCAUAAUAUAAAAACACUUUUUUUUAUCUGGAACACCUUGCAAUCCAAUUACGGGGGACCAACCAAAUCGGCGGUCACAGCACGGAUUACAUCGUCAGGACAGUCCGACAGCCACUCACGUGGGUUACUCGGAUCACUACACGACCCAUAAGCCGCCAACAAAUGUGCUGGCUUAUUACAUAACCGGGGGCAAUGCACAACUUGAUCUUGUAUGAAGGCUAGUUGUAACAGAAACUUUGCUUCGCGGAAGAGAAUCCCCAGUGGUCCACGGUCCUGGCCGGAGGAAGACACAGCUUGCUGCAGUGUCAAGCAAUCUGUCUCGAACAGUACACGACCCAUGCCAUGCCUUUCAGCUAGCCUGAUGGUGUGGAUUAGAGCUUCGGUCUCCGCCUAUAACGCUGAACUUUGGUAGACCAACUUCCCUGCAGCAGCGAGAAGAAACCCACCCUCCGUGUCCCAUGCAAUCGCUCCCCAGCCUCCCUCUCCCGUUGCAGGAUUAAAGGUUGCAUCGAAGUUGAUCUUUAUAAAGUUACGUGGGGGCGCCGACCACUUGGGAUUGGGUUUAGUCUGCUCGGUCGUCCUCUUACACAGAAACUGCUGCUGUCGUGGUCCUAAAACUGACAGUAGAAAGGGGGUAGGUAUGGAGAGGCAAGAUCUCAGCUAUUGUGAAGGUGUACACACGAGGUUUACGAGUUCAGGCCCUUCUUAGUGGGAGUAACAGCCCUACGUCUCGGUGCCCGGAGGCGAUUGAUUGAAUUAUGUGUGUGAUAUUACAGGGGGUGCGAACCCUUGUGCGAGAGGAGGGGGUGGCUUAUAUAGAGUGCGCCAGGUCACAGCCAUCCUCCAUUACAAGGAACUUAAUGUACAUAAAGUGGGCGCGUUACUGGUAACGCCAGCCUUAAGCGUUGUUAAUGACCUUAAAGAUAUGGAGGAAACGCCUGUCCAUUGCCACGCCGAGUGGCUCCUGGUCUUCGAUAGGUCGAGUGGUUCUCUGCUUGGUCGAGUGACGGCAAGGAGGAAGACCUCUGAGUGACACGCAUGUCGACUGGAUUGCAUUCGACAUCUUCAACUGGUGGUCUCUUGUUGUCGCUUGGACCCUUCAUCUUCUUGGGUAGUGACCCUGGGUAGGAUACAUAGGUCAGGCCUAUGACCCUACCCCAGGUCUGUAUCCUCAUCAGUAGCCCCCGAAUGGAUUAAGGUUCGAGUGGAAAGUAGGUUGAAGUUGAACCUGCUCUGAGCUUUGCGCCUUCGUGAGUGUUUUCUGCAAGACCGAAAACCCACGUCGGUACUUCAGUGUCGACUCAGUCGCCUUGAUCCAUUCAGUGAAUUGUCGACUGAACUUGUGGCAUCAUGUGCCGAGUGUUGUAUUAGUGCGCGGGAUCUCGGGCGUGAUUGACUGCUGGUAUCCCGGAUUUCGCGGGAUAUGAAAUUUCGGGGAAGCGUGCGGGACGGAAGGCGCCGAAAAAGGCGGACCGAAUAAGCAGCGAUGCCUUGAUUACCGCGCCGCCUUUUUCGCCACGUACGUUGCGCGCAACUGUUGCGGGAUGUGACAGGAUUGCCUGGCCCCACGCGUCAGUCACUCGGAAGCGACCCUUUAUAAGGCGACGGGGCCGAGGCACCUGCACUGUGCACGCCUGUUCCUCCUUCUUUCUCCUCCGCAUCUCCACCACGCCCAGCUCCUCCGCUCUCGACGUCGCUGCCCUACCGCCAUGGUGAAGGACAAGACAGCGCCACUAGAGUGUGCAAAGAAGGCGACGGGGGCGGCGAAAAGCAAGAAGCAGAACCAUGGGUCGUCAUCGCGCGCGGGGCUGCCGCCGGGCUGGAUCCAGGGCGAUUGGAUCCGGUCUUCGGUUCGGCAAGAGGAUCUGGCUGAGCUGGAGGAGUCCGGACUAAUCACCAAGGGGGCGGCAAGGCUGCCGAAGGGGGAGAUGGAAUCGCGGCCUCGUCCGGGUGAGUGUGUACUGCUCGCCACUCACGUCGACCGGGGUUUUUCGCUCCCUCUGCAUCCUUUCUUUCGAGGGUUCCUGAACUUCUUUGGCGCUCAACUCCACCAUUUUCCCCCCAACACCAUCACGUAUUUGGCUGCAUUCGUAUCGAUGUGUGAGAACUUCUUAGGAUGUCAACUGCACUGGGGUCUUUUCAAACAUAUCUUCACCAUCCGUUCCCAGUCGGUAAAAAAGGCAAAGUCGAGUGAAUCGAAAACCCACGUCAUUCAGAUAUGUGGGGGUUUAGGUAUCCAAAAGAGGCAUAGGAGUGCCUUUCCUGCCAUGACUCUCCCUGAAUCUGUUAGAGGUUGGCAGUCGACCUAGUUCUACUGCCAGGACGUCGCAGCUCCAGGUCAGUUGACUGGUCUUCCCCACUUCUCAUUGGACCGUGUUCGGACUCCUGCCCCACUGAAAGUAACUGCUGCUGAGACCGUGGAGACGAAGAUGUUGGUGGAGAGAGUGGUCCAACUUAUCAAUGAGGGUGUCACCGGCCUGGACCUGCUGGAAGUGUUCCUUAGUCGACACAUCCAGCCUCUCCAAUCUCGUGAUCAUCCUAUGUGGCUGUACUCCGGACCAGACAACACUGCUCGAGUCCAUCCAGAAGAGGUGUCGUCUGACACCGUGGCUUUGUGGCUGAGGAGCAUCACAGGUAACCAGGACAACCCCAGAGGAUCCAGGCGAGUCAUCCCCUUUGGCGACGGAAAUCUGCCCGACAAGAUAUGUUCUUUGUUCUGACUGUUUUGCGCUCGCGCUCCGACUGUACCUGAUGUUGACUGAAUCUUACUCGACUGACUUGUCCUGCAGGUAUUCAUUGAGAUGCAUUCGAUGCCCAACGGCGAACAAGCUUUGGAGCAGGACCAGGAGGGAGAGAACAGUGCGGAAGAGAGUGGCGAGUGGGAGUCUCUGUGUGAACACGAGGAGGAGGAGAGUGAGGAUUCGGACGAGGAGGAAGAAGCCGACUCACCGUCGUGCUCUGAACGUCGAUCCAAACAGCAGCAUGACCCAUCUGUCGGGCGUGGGAAAAGCGUGGCUCCGAGUACCAACACCCAGAAGCGCACUCGGACGUCGACUCCAGAGCCGACGGAAAAGGUGGCCAAGCAGCCCAAAGUUGCUCCUCCCAAGGCUCGGAAGACUUUGCCACGGAUCAAGAUGGACUUCCCUGUUGCUUCAGGGUGAGUGUCUCGCUUGUGUUUAUGUUGGUCGACUGGAGUUUUUUUGUUCUGAUCAGCCGAUUCAUGUAUAUUUCUAGUCCCACCUCUGCUGCCACUGACAUGGACAUCGACAAGGUGCCAGAGACGAAGAGGCCACCUUGCGAGUCGGUAAGUCUGUUCGACCAAGCUUCGUUAAGUUGAGUGGGUCGCCAAUCGGCGGAGUUUGUAACAUUUCUCUCUUCUUGUAGUUCCGAAAGAGGUCAUUGUGCUUCCUGAUGACGAAGAAGAAGUGCCUCUACAGGAGAGGAGGAAGAGGGGUGGUAGCUCUGGUAGGAGGAGGCUUGAAGUUCAAGUCCCUCAGUCGACACCGGCGCUUGAGGCGGUGCUCGAACGUUCCGGAGAGCCGGUUUAGACCAGCGUCACAUUCGCCAGCCCACUGACGACUGAUCGUCCGUAGGGCUCGACCGUACCGACUCCUGCUGGUCCAGUGCAACUCCACGCCUCUGACCCAGCAACUGCUUCGACUGCCCUACAACCAUCGCUCUUUGCUACGUAUUAGACCCCGGAUGACUCAUCGAGUGCCGCUAGGGAAGCUCUUCGCCAGGUGAACCUUGUCAUGGAUCAGGUGAAGGUGAUGCAUGAGGCUAGCUAGGUGGCUUACAACGCCAGUACUGCCCUUCAGACCAAUGUUCAGGUCAGCAAAACUCCGAAUGAACUUUCGUAUGUUGUCUGCUAUCCGAUCACCCACUGGGGUGUUUCUUUGCUUAGAGUUUGGGAAACUUCCCAUGCCACUCGACUUGAGUUGAGUCUUAGUAUACUUUCUGGAUCAAUGGGAGCACGUCGAGUGCACCCACUGGGUGUAGUCCCCGAGACCACGGUCGACUGCUAGCAGUUGACUGAGGUCUUAGAAUGUACUUCUUUCCUUUGUCUCCCUUUUUUUGGACUCACGCUUGGCAGACCCUGCUGAGCAUUGAUCUGAACCAAUGGGGGCACGCUAAGUGCACCCACUGGGUGUAGUCCCCGAGACUACUGGUGAAUAUUUGAUUCGGCAGUAGUCUUAGAGUAACUUUUCUCUGUCACUGUCUCUUAUUUCUGUCGACUGACACAUCACUCUUGCUGACUACAGAGGUCUUGUGAUCUUGGAGCUCGGCUUUCCAAGUUAAAGAAGAAGCAUAUCAGUGUUGAACUUGACCUUGAACUUGCAAAGAAGAAUUUCAAGACUACUCAGCAAGAGACGGCCAUCAUGGGAGGUAACCAUUCGACUGGCUUGUCUGCUUAGCAAAUCGCAUUUUCCACUUCUUUUCAUUUAGUCUCUUUGAACCGAGUAACUUCACACAAGCAGAUGUGCGUAGUGAAAACCGCCAACUUCAGGCUCGUCUGAAGAGUGUUGUUUCUUUAGAGAAAAUGAAGGAGGCUUUGGAGAAGAAGGACAUGGACCUUCCUGCUGCUCAAAAGGAAGCACGUGAGAAGAUGACGCUUGCGGACCAGAAGUUGGCUUCAGUCGGCAAAUUGGAGGAGGAGAACACAAAGCUGAAGACUGCCAUCUCGGACGCUAAUCGGGAGGUCGAGCAACUGAAGAAGGACAAGGAGAACCUGGCCACUGAAGUCGGUAGCCUCAGAGCCAAAACGGGCAAGAUGGAGUCCUACCUGGAACAACUUGCGACGAAGCUUGUCCUGAAGCUUGAAGGUAUGGCUGUUCAAUUAGAUAACUGUCGUCGACUGAAAUUUGUUGCAAUACUAUUGACUCAUUGUUUUUUGCGAUGGAACAGAACUUUGCCAGGACUUUGAAGAUGAAACCGGGUGUGUCGAGACAGGUCUCGACCCCAUCAACUAUCCCGUGAAAGAUGAAGUUGCGAUCAACUUGAUUCGAUUGGAAUCACGCUUGGACGGCGCUGUCGACUAUCUGGCCCAGCUAAAGGCCACGAUGACCCGAGUGGACGCCGAACUCUGGCCUCAGGCAGAACUUUCUCUAGGCCUCGAGUCACUGAUGACUCGACUGAAUCAGAUUCCUGACCGAGUACAAGAGUGGAAGAAGUCCUUUGCUUGUUGUGGUGCUGACGUUGCUUUGUCAUUGUUUCGAGUACACUGCAAGGAGGCUAAAGAAGAGAAGCUGGCGGCCCUCAAGGUAGCAAAUACUAAGAAGCACUCCUUCCAGGACUUCAUGGACACAUCCUCGAGGCAGCUACGUGCAUUGCCGACAGCAUCGAUCUUGACAGCUUCUGCAAUCCAGCCAGUCCUUCUCCUGUCGAGUGACGGAAAAAUAUUAUGCCCCACUUUUAUUUGCCUCGGAAUGCCGAGUGAUUCUGUAAUCGUUAAAACUCCUUCGGGCCUGACGCCUGAGUACUUUUAAUCUGUGGUUAGGAAUCUUCGGAUUUAUCUUUGAAUAUGUUGUGUUUAUCUUCGAGUGGAAUCCGUUCUUCUCUUGGAUCUGUUUCUCCUUGUUUGAUGCAGGUGUUGAAGAAGGAUCAACAAUUGACUAGUUGGAUGAGCCUUGGGCAGCAUUGAUCAGCUCAUCAGCAAGGUACUCAACAAUGGUCUUGACAUUCCUGUCAUCAGCAAGGGGCCAGUCGUUGGACGGACAUUUGACAGUGCGCACAAACUCGUCCUUCUUCUUGACGGUGCAGCCCCCGGGGGGUGGGUUGUGGUCGAACCGCACCACUGCUCACCAUUCGGUAGGAUUUUCACACUUAGGCGAGUGCAGGACAGCAGCUAUGCUCCCGAGUGAGAGGACUGCUCACCACUCGGUAGGAUUUCUCAAACUUAGGUGAGUACUGGACUGCAGCUAAGCCCCCAAGUGGGAGGGCUGCUCACCACUUGGUAGGAUUUCUCAAACUUAGGCAAGUACUGGACUGCAGCUAAGCCCCCGAGUGGGAGGACUGCUCACCACUCGGUAGGAUUUCUCAAACUUAGGCGAGUACUGGACUACAGCUAAGCCCCCGAGUGGGAAGGCUGCUCACCACUCGGUAGGAUUUCUCAAACUUAGGCGAGUACUGGACUGCAGCUAAGCCCCCGAGUGGGAGGGCUGCUCACCACUCGGUAUGAUNNNNNNNNNNNNNNNNNNNNNNNNNNNNNNNNNNNNNNNNNNNNNNNNNNNNNNNNNNNNNNNNNNNNNNNNNNNNNNNNNNNNNNNNNNNNNNNNNNNNNNNNNNNNNNNNNNNNNNNNNNNNNNNNNNNNNNNNNNNNNNNNNNNNNNNNNNNNNNNNNNNNNNNNNNNNNNNNNNNNNNNNNNNNNNNNNNNNNNNNNNNNNNNNNNNNNNNNNNNNNNNNNNNCUAAGCCUCCGAGUGGGAGGGCUGCUCACCACUCGGUAGGAUUUCUCAAACUUAGGCGAGUACUAGACUGUAGCUAAGCCUCCGAGUGGGAGGGUUGCUCACCACUCGGUAGGAUUUCUCGAACUUAGGCGAGUACUGGACCACGGCUAAGUCUUCAAGCGGGGAGAUUUUCUCUCAGAAUCUCGUCCUUCUUCUUGACGGUGCGACCCCCUGGGGGGGAGGGACGUGACCGACCCAUACAGUUUGGUAGGACUUUGUAUUACUUAGGCGAGUACUGGACUGCAGCUAAGCCCCCGAGUGAGAGGCAAACUCACCACUCAGCGGGACUUUUAUCACUUAGGCGAGUACUGGACUGCAGCUAAGCCCCCGAGUGGGAGGCAGACUCACCACUUGGUAGGAUUUUAUCACUUAGGCGAGUAUUGGACUGCAACUAAGCCCCCUCGUGGGAGGCAGGCUCACCACUCGGUAGGACUUUUAUCACUUAGGAGAGUACUGGACUGCAGCUAAGCCCCCGAGUGGUUGGCGGACUCACCACUCGGUAGGAUUUUGAUCACUUAGGCGAGUACUGGACUGCAGCUAAGCCCCCGAGCGGGAGGCAGACUCACCACUCGGUAGGAUUUUUCCCUUCAUCUUAGGAAAAAUAGAUUCGCAGCUAAGGCGACAUAUACGAAAGAAAUAAACAACAAUCAUUUGGAAGACUAUAAAAUUAUGUCUUUUGAUAACCAAACUAAAAAAGGUACUUCUUAUUACAUCCCAUUAGUCUAAGUACUUAGGAGUAAAAAGGGCGAAGUAGUUCUGUGUUCCAAGCGCGUGGUUCAUCUUUGUUGUGCUCGAUGUUGAAGAGACGAUAUGCUCCAUUUGGAGCACCUUGGUGACGAUGAAAGGGCCCUCCCAAGCGGGAGCUAGCUUGUGUGGCUUCUGUUGGUCCACCCGGAGAACCAGGUCUUCUUCUUGAAAUGCCCGACCCCUCACAUUUCUGGCAUGGAAUCGACGCAAGUCUUGCUGGUAAAUGGUCGACCAGAUCAAGGCCAUCUCUCUUUCUUCUUCCAGGAGGUCGACUGCAUCUUGCCGAGCUUGCUCUGCUUCAUCUUCUGAGAAGAGUUUGACUCGGGGUGCAUUGUGGAGCAAAUCACUCGGGAGUACGGCUUCGGCUCCGUAGACUAAGAAGAAUGGAGUCCGUCCAGUCGACCGAUUGGGAGUUGUCCUUAGUCCCCAAAGCACUGAUGGGAGCUCAUCAACCCAAGCUCAUGCUGCAUGCUUAAGGUCACGCAUCAACUGGGGUUUCAGUCCUUUGAGAAUCAAUCCAUUUGCUCGCUCAGCCUGUCCAUUUGACUGAGGAUGGGAGACUGAAGCGUAAUCGACCCUCGUACCCUGGGAGGCACAAAAGGCUCUGAAUUCAUCAGAGUUGAAGUUCGAUCCGUUGUUCGUGAUGAUGCUAUGAAACACACCAUAUCUGAAUAUCAAUUCUCUGAUGAAACUCACAGCAGUACUUGCUUCAAGGUUUUUAAUGGGCUUGGCUUCGAUCCACUUGGUAAACUUGUCGACUGCCACUAGCACAUGGGUAAACCCGCUCCUGCCGGUCCUCAGAGGUCCAACCAUGUCUAAUCCCCAAACAGCGAAAGGUCAGACGAGUGGAAUAGUCUUCAAAGCUGAUGCAGGUUUAUGGGACAUGUUGGAGUAAAACUGGCAACCUUCACACUUCUCCACUAUCUCCUUUGCCAUCUCAUUAGCACAUGUCAAGUAAAAUCCGGCUCGGUAUGCUUUGGCCAUGAUGGUCCAAGAGGACGCAUGAUGACCACAGGUCCCCGAGUGAAUAUCAUUGAGGAUCAUUCGGCCUUCUUCUGGCGUGAUGCACUUCUGGCAGACCCUAGUUGCACUUUCACUGAACAACUAACCUCUCAUCACGGUAAAGGCUUUAGACCGUCGGACGAUCUGUCGAGCCUCUUCUUCGUCCUCUGGAAGUUCUUUCCUAAGAAUGUAUACAAUGUAUGGCACUGUCCAGUCGGGGAUGAUGACCAAAACCUCCAUGACUAAGUCGACCACGGCUGGGACUUCGACUUCAGUCGGAUCUGUGGCGCUCUUGGGCUAUGGUGACCCUUCAGUGAAAGGAUCCUCUCUGACUGAAGGUGAAUGAAUAUGUUCCAGAAACACAUUACGAGGAAUGGCUUCUCUUUUAGAACCUAUCUUUGCCAACUCAUCUGCAGCUUGAUUUUUCAGUCGGGGUAUGUGGUGAAGUCAACCCUUCAAACUUCUUUUCCAGCUUCCUUACUGCAUUGCAAUAACCAAUCAUGGCCGGGCUCCUAACAUCCCAUUCCUUCAUCACUUGAUUAACCACCAAAUCCGAGUCGCCGUAGACCAUAAGGCGACGGACACCGAUUGAAAUGGCCAUACGCAACCCGUAUAAAAGUGCUUCAUAUUCGGCUUCGUUAUUGGAGGAAUCAAAGUGGAUCUGGAGAACAUAGCUAAGCCUGUCUCCACGGGAGGAUACCAAUACUACCCCGGCACCUGAACCAUUCAGCAUCUUGGAGCCAUCAAAGAACAUAGUUCAAUGCUCCGAGUGAACUUGAGUCGGCAAUUGCUAUUCAAUCCACUCGGCAAGGAAAUCUGCGAUCGCCUGGGACUUGAUGGCCUUCUUUGCCUCAAACUUGAUAUCCAAGGGAAGGAGUUCAAUCGCCCAUUUUGCCACUCGACCAGUUGCAUCUCUAUUAUUCAGGAUCUCAGAAAGUGGUGCGUCGCUGACGACCGUGAUGGAAUGAUCAGAGAAAUAAUGUCCAACCUUCUUCAUGGUCAUUUAUAUUCCAUAGACAAGCUUCUUAUAAUGUGGAUAUCAUUGCUUGGAUGGAGUCAACACUUCAGAGAGAUAGUAAACUGGGCGUUGAACCUUGUAAGCUUUUCCUUCCUCCACUCGCUCGACCGUGAGUACUAUACUGACAACUUCUCCAGUGGCUGCAAUGUAAAUCAGUAAAGGCUCUUUGCUGAUUGGCACAACAAGCACCGGCUGGGUGGACAGCGGGGUUUUGAGUUCUGCAAACACUGCGUCAGCUUCUUCAGUCCACUCGAACUUAUCAGAUUUCUUCAUCAGUCGGUAAAGAGGCAAGGCCUUUUCACCGAGACAAGAAAUGAAUCAACUCAAGGUGGCCAAACAACCAGUCAGCUUCUGAACGUCAUGCACUCGCACAGGACGCUUCAUUCGGAGGAUGGUAUCAACUUUUUAUGGAUUGGCGUCGAUCCCUCGUUCGGAAACGAGAAAACCGAGUAACUUUCCUCCUGGAACUCUGAAUGUGCAUUUUGACAGAUUAAGCUUGAUAUCGUACCUUCUUAGGUUGGCAAAGGUUUCUGCGAGGUCAGUCAAUAGGUCGGAACCUUUGCGGGACUUGACCACAAUGUCAUCCAUGUAUGCUUCCACAUUCCGACUGAUUUGAGUGAGCAGGCACUUCUGAAUCAUUCUCAUGAAUGUGGCUCCGGCAUUUUUAAGACCAAAAGGCAUGGUGACAUAACAAAAGCACCCGAAUGGGGUGAUGAAAGCUGUCUUUAUUUCGUCGGGACCAUAUAGUCAGAUCUGAUGAUACCCGGAAUAUGCAUCUAAAAAAGAUAAGCGCUCACAGCUCGCAGUCGAGUCAACAAUCUAAUCGAUGCAAGGGAGAGGGAAGUGUACUUUCGGGCAGGCCCGAUUGAUAUGCUUGAAAUCAAUGCACAUACGAAGUGAAUCAUCCUCCUUGGGUACCAUGACUACAUUGGCAAGCUGAUACGUCUCCGUCGUAUCUACUUUUCCAAACACUUUUGCCCUUGUUUUGGACUCUAACUUGUAUGAUUUGAAUGGAACUAACCCGGACUGACGCUUUUUUCAGCAGAAUUGCCAUGAUGUUGUUUUAUGUGCAGAAAACAAAGGUUCUCGGAAUGACCUGAAACUCCACGGAAUACCUCGCCAAAGAUGAAGACCAGGAGGGCCACACCCUGUCCACGAGGGUGGGGGGCGCGCCCCUCCCCCCUGGGCGCGCCCCCCUACCUCGUGGGCCCCCUGGAUGCCCUCCGACGCCAACUCCAACUCCAUAUAUUGGCUUUCGGGAGAAAAAAAUCAGAGAGAAGAAAUCAUCACGUUUUACAAUACGGAGUCGCCGCCAAGCCAUUAUCUCUCUCGGGAGGGCUGAUCUGGAGUCCGUUCGGGGCUCCGGAGAGGGGAAUUCUUCGCCUCGUCAUCAUCAACCAUCCCCCAUCACCAAUUUCAUGAUGCUCACCGCCGUGCGUGAGUAAUUCCAUCAUAGGCUUGCUAGACGGUGAUGGGUUGGAUGAGAUUUAUCAUGUAAUCGAGUUAGUUUUGUUACGGGUUGAUCCCUAGUAUCCACUAUGUUCUGAGAUUGAUGUUGCUAUGACUUUGCUAUGCUUAAUGCUUGUCACUAGGGCCCGAGUGCCAUGAUUUCAGAUCUGAACCUAUUAUGUUUUCAUGAAUAUAUGUGAGUUCUUGAUCCUAUCUUGCAAGCCUAUAGUCACCUACUAUGUGUUAUGAUCCGGCAACCCCGAAGUGACAAUAAUCGGAACCACUCCCGGUGAUGACCUUAGUUUGAGGAGUUCAUGUAUUCACUAUGUGCUAAUGCUUUGUUCUGGUUCUCUAUUAAAAGGAGGCCUUAAUAUCCCUUAGUUUCCAAUAGGACCCCGCUGCCACGGGAGGGUAGGACAAACGAUGUCAUGCAAGUUCUUUUCCAUAAGCACGUAUGACUAUGUUCGGAAUACAUUCCUACAUUACAUUGAUGAACUGGAGCUAGUUCUGUGUCACCCUAUGUUAUGAUUGUUACAUGAUGAACCACAUCCGGCAUAAUUAUUCAUCAUUGAUCUGGUGCCUAUGAGUUUUACAUAUACUGGUUCUCGCUUAUUUACUUUUCUGUUGUUACUGUUACAAUCACUACAAAAUACCAAAAACAUUACUUUUGUUGUCUUUACUUUUGUUACCAUUACCACCACUAUCAUAUUACUUUGCUACUAAACACUUUGUUGCAGAUACUAAGUUUCCAGGUGUGCUUGAAUUGACAACUCAACUGCUAAUACUUGAGAAUAUUCUUUGGCUCCCCUUGUGUCGAAUCAACAAAUUUGGGUUGAAUACUCUACCCUCGAAAACUGUUGCGAUCCCCUAUACUUGUGGGUUAUCAAGACCUUUUUCUGGCGCCGUUGCCGGGGAGCAUAGCUCUAUUCUUUGAGUCACUUGGGAUUUAUAUCUGCUGGACACUAUGAAGAACUUGAAAGACGCUAAGACAACUAUUUAUCCCUCAACUACAAGGGGAGGUAAGGAACUGCCAUCUAGCUCUGCACUUGAUUCACCUUCUGUUAUAAACAAGCUAGUGACACCUAAACCUGCUUCUGCUAUUCGUUCCAAUAUGUCGCAUGUUAUUGAUGAUGCCACUUCUUCUAUGCAUGAUACUUAUGAUGAAACUACUUCUAUACUUGAUACUACUGUGCCUCUUGGUGAAUUUCUAGAUGAACAAAUUUCUAAGUCUAGAGAAAGAGAAAUUAUUGAAACUGAACACGAUGAUGUUAGUGAUGAUGAAAAUAGGCUUGCUAUUCCUGAGGGUUACCUUUUUAAUGUUGAAUCUACUGAAGCUAUUCUUGCUUGCCAGGAUAGUCUUGAACAUAAUAGGUUGCUAGUUAAAUGGAGUAAAGAAUCUUUUAGAGGUAGGAUGAGACCCGACCCUGCUUUUGCUACUUCACCUAUCUGUGUUCCUGAUCAGGAUUAUUAUGAUUUUUCUGUUGAUCCAGAUAUAAUUACUUUGGUUGAAUCUGAUCCUUUUUAUGGCUAUGAAUCUGAAACUGUUGUGGCACAUCUUUGUAAGUUAGAUGAUAUAGCUGCCCUGUUUACUAAUAAUGAGAGAUCGCGCUACCUUUAUUUACUCAAAAUAUUUCCGUUCUCAUUAAAGGGUGAUGCUAAGAUAUCGUUUAAUUCUCUUGAUCCUGGUUGUGUGCAAAGUCCCCAGGAUAUGGUUUAUUACUUCUCUGCUAAAUAUUUUCCUGCUCAUAAGAAACAAGCUGCUUUGAGGGAUAUAUAUAUAAUUUUUUGCAAACUGAGGAAGAGAGUCUCCCACAAGCUUGGGGGAGGCUUCUCAAGUUACUUAAUGCUUUGCCUCAUCAUCCUCUUAGGAAACCUGAAAUACUUGAUAUCUUUUAUAAUGGACUAACUGAUGCUUCCAGAGAUUACCUGGAUAGUUGUGCUGGUUCUCUUUUCAGGGAAAGAACACCGGAUGAAGCUGAAGUUCUAUUGAAUAAUAUGUUGACAAAUGAAAAUAAUUGGGCACCUCCUGAGCCAACUCCCGAGCCAGCUCCUGAGCCCAUUACUGAGCCUAUUCCUAAACCAACUCCGAAGAAGAGAGGUGUUCUAUUUCUCAGUCCCGAAGAUAUGCAAGAGGCAAAGAAAUCUAUGAAAGAAAAAGGUAUUAAAGUUGAAGAUGUUAAGAAUUUACCUCCUAUUGAAGAAAUACAUGGUCUUAAUUCACCGCCUAUUGAAGAAGUAUAUGAUCUCAAUUACUUAUUUACUGAAGAACCUCCCGAUAUCCCGACACAGGUAGUAAAGGUAAAUUCUCUCUACAGAUAUGAUAAAACUGAAGUCCCUCCUACUAAAAUUGCUAGUCGGUGCUUGGAUGAGUUUGAUGACUUUAUGUUUAAGCAAGAUGACUUUAAUGCUUAUUUUGGUAGACAAUUAAAACAGAAUACCUUUAUGAUUAAACGCUUGAGUGAUUAUAUGGCUAAUAUUAGAGGUGAACUUAAACUUGUUAGCAAACAUGCUUCUAUGGUUACCACUCAAGUAGAACAAGUACUUAAAGCUCAAAAAGAAGUGCUUAAUGAAAUGAAUAGUAAGAAAAAUGAUUAUGCCGUUAGAGUGGCUACUAGAACUGGUAGAAUGACUCUGGAACCUUUGUAUCCUGAAGGCCACCCUAAGAGAAUCGAGCAAGAUUCUCAGAGAAAUAAUAUUGAUAUGCCUAGUUCUUCUAAAAGGAAGAAAAAGAAAAAUGAUAGAACUGUGCAAACUUCUAGUGAACCUAUUGCUGAACCACCUGAUAAUCCAAAUGAUAUCUCUAUGUCUGAUGCUGAAACACAAUCUGGUAAUGAACAUGAACCUGGUAAAAAUGUUAAUGAUGAUAUUCAUGAUGAUGCUCAACCUAGUAGUGAUAAUGAUGUAGAAGUUGAACCUGCUGUUGAUCUUGAUAACCCACAAUCAAAGAAUCAAUGUUAUGAUAAAAGAGACUUCGUUUCUAGGAAACAUGGUAAAGAAAGAGAACCAUGGGUUCAGAAACCCAUGCCUUCUCCUCCCAAACCAUCCAAGAAAAAGGAUGAUGAGGAUUUUGAGCGCUUUGCUGAAAUGAUUAGACCUACCUUUUUGCGUAUGCGAUUAACUGAUGUGCUCAAAACAAAUCCUUAUGCUAAAUAUAUGAAAGAUAUUGUUACAAAUAAAAGAAAUAUACCGGAAGCUGAAAUUUCCACCAUGCUUUCUAAUUAUACUUUUAAGGGUGGAACACCAAAGAAACUUGGGGAUCCAGGAGUACCUACUAUACCAUGCUCCAUUAAAAGAAAUUAUGUUAAAACUGCUUUAUGUGAUCUUGGAGUCGGUGUUACUGUUAUGCCUCUCUCUUUAUAUCGUAGACUUGACUUGAAUAAGUUGACACCUACUGAAAUAUCUUUGCAAAUGGCUGAUAAAUCAACUGCUAUACCUGUCGGUAUUUGUGAGGAUGUGCAUGUUGUGGUUGCAAACGUUACUAUUCUAACGGACUUUCUUAUUCUUGAUAUUCCCGAGGAUGAUAGUAUGUCUAUUAUUCUUGGAAGACCUUUCCUUAAUACUGCAGGGGCUGUUAUUGAUUGCAACAAAGGCAAUGUCACUUUUCAUGUUAAUGGUAAUGAGCAUACGGUACACUUUCUGAGGAAACAACCUCAAGUUUAUAGUAUUAACUCUAUUGGAAAAAUUCCAUCGAUUAUAUUUGGAGGUUUUGAAUUUCCUCUUCCUACUGUCAAGAAGAAAUAUGAUAUACUUAUUAUUGGGGAUGUCCAUAUCCCCGUUGAGGUAACAUAGUGUUAUUCGAAAUUUCUCCGGUUCCAUGAUUAUCGGAAUGAGUUUGUUAACAAGACUUGAUCAACCUUGUUAGUGGAUUCUUUUUGAUGAGCAUGAGAUGGAUGAAACUAGAAGCACAACCUUCUGUGCCCUCUUUAUAUUUUCUGUUAUUUAGUAGAAAUAAAGUAAAAUUAGUAUUUUUCUAUCUGUCUCCUGACUUAUCCGCUCAAUAUAAAAAUAUCCCAAAAAUAAAAGUCCUCAGAAUGCCACGCCAAUUUAAUAUGAUUUUUUCGGGAAUAUUUAAGAAUGUUUAGUGCAAAAAUUACCGCGGGGGGAGCUGCCACCUGGUCACGAGGGUGGAGGGCGCGCCCUACCCCCCUGGGCGCACCCCCUGCCUCGUGGGCCCACGGUGGCCCUCCUCCACUUAUCCCUGCACCCAUCUUCUUCCUCUGUCUCACACAAACCCGAAAAACCAACUCAAGCUCGUGUUCCAGCAACUUUUGCUGCGAUUUUCGAUCUCCUUGCUUAAAGCACCUCUCGCAAAACUGCUUGGGAAGAUUGUUCCUUGGUAUGUGACUCCUCCAUUGGUCCAAUUAGUUUUUGUUCUAGUGCUUUAUUCAUUGCAAAUUUGUGCUGCAUAGGUGACCAUGUUCUUGAGCUUGCAUGUCAAAUUUAUAUGGUUCCAAGUAGUCCCAAUGCUUUAUAUAGGCUCUAGGCACUUGUAGGAGUUGUUGCUAUCAAUUUUAUUGAAGUUGGUUCACUUUUGUUUGAAGUUACUAAAAAUUUCAGAAUUAUUUUUCAGAGGAAACAAUAUGCUUAGGAGGAUGUUCCAAGGUGGUUCUUCAAGGAAGCAAGGUCCCAGGCUUGCAAUGCGUGAUGGUGACGAGGAACCACCAAGAGACGCUCCCGUGAGGCCCUGUGAAUGGCCUUUGGAAAAUUUUAUGAAUCAAGUGGGAAUUAAAGAAGAAUUCUACGCAUACUUGCGUAAUGCCGGUCUUGAGGACUUUGAAGCUGAUAAAUGCCCCCGGUAUCAUUACCUCACAAGUUCAUUUGUGGGGAGGUUUGAUUUUUCAUCUUCGCGUAAUUCUCCUUCAGUCAUGUUUGACCUUUAUGACAAAUCUUAUACCAUGGACUUAGAAGAUUUCACUCUUGCAUGCAAACUUCCAUCUUGGGGUAGUAUCAGGGAUCCCCCUAAAUCUGAAUAUAGAGACUUUCUUGCUAGAAUAACUAUGGGGGAAUCUAGAGAUAUAGCGCAGGCCACUACAGGGAGCAUUCACUUUCCUGCUAUACAUUAGUUUGCUCUCUUCAUUGGUAGAUGCAUAAAUGCUAAGGAUGAAGCAUGUCACAUGUGUGCCCCUGAUCUCAGCAUUCUCAGAAGCGUUGUGUUAGGGGACCAAGCUUAUCAUAUGGGAGCCAUUGUAGCUCAUAGGUUGCAUCUUAAUAGACGUAGCGGAAAUUUCUUUGGAGGAAUUUAUGCAACCCGCUUAGCUAAUUUUCUUGAUGUAGACAUUCGUGAGGGUGAUAUGGAGUUACCCCCUUCUUAUUUAGAUCUUGAUUCUAUGUUUUCUCACCAGUUCAUUGAGAGGACUAGACCACCUUUUCAGUAUCGACUAAUCUUUAAAAAACGGCAUGUGGUCCGUGUUGCUCUUCAUGCUCCUACCUUCUUUGAUUUUUAGGCGAGAGGAAAAUAUAUUAUUACCAGAGAGGAGGAAGAUGAAUAUGACAAGAGAGCGGAGGCAGCUCGACGCCACGCUGCAAUUCAGGAUGCGAUAGCAGCUGCAUCACAGUACGACCCCAGCUACACCUACGGGUAUCAGCCAGGCUAUCCCUGGCAAUAGACCAACUUAGUCCAAAAGCCUAAGCUUGGGGGAGUACGUAUUUCCCACCGACAUUACAUUCAUGUUCACACACACUCAUUGCUAGAUGUCGGUGCUCAUACUCUUUCACUGUAAUAUCCAUGCUAGUUUAUUUUCUUUCUUCUUGUGUGUUUGAUAAACCUUAAGAAAAAACAAAAAAAAUAGUUAGUCUACUUUCCUUGCUUGUAGUAGAAUUAAAAAGAAAACCCAAAAAUAUUUCUCGUUCUUCUUUUGCUUGUUGGGAGCUUUCCCAUGUAAAUAGUUUUUAUUUCUUUUCCUUUCUUUGGGGGUCGAGAAGACUAUAUUGAAAAUGCUUAGUGGCUCUUAUAUGCUUUAUUGCUUAUCUAACUUAGAGCUCAUAUUACUUGUCUUCUCUCUUGAGUUGAAUGCUUGCAGAUUCCAGCUUAGUCCAAUGCACGUGCACUCUUAUUAUUAUACACACUGUUCGGUCGUGCAAGUGAAAGGCAAUAAUGAUGAUAUAUGAUGGACUUAUUGGGAUGAGAAAAGCUGGUAUGAACUCGACCUCUCUUGUUUUUGUAAAUAUGAUGAUUCAUCAUUCCUAAUUCAGCUAUUAUGAAGUAAACAUAUUUGCAAUGACAUUUAGAGAUUAUAGUUGAUUGUGCCAUGCUUGAUUAGCUAUGAGUUAUAAUGGUUUACCUUGCGUGCCAACAUGCUAUUAGAAUGGUUAUGAUGUGGUACGAUGGGAUGGUAUCCUCCUUCAAAUGAAUUGAGUGACUAGACUUGGCACAUGUUCACGCAUGUAGUUGAAUCCAAUCAACAUAGCCUUCAUGACAUUUAUGUUCAUGGUGGAUUAUAUCCUACUCAUGCUUAUAUUCGGUGUAAAUUAAUUUUAAUGCAUGUUUACAACUGUUGUCGCUCUCUCAGUUGGUCGCUUCCCAGUCUUUUGCUAGCCUUCACCUGUACUAAGCGGGCAUACUGCUUGUGAAUCCAAACUCCUUAAACCCCAAAGUUGUUCCAUAUGAGUCCACCAUACCUUCCUAUAUGCGGUAUCUACCUGCCGUUCCAAGUAAAUUUGUAUGUGCCAAACUCCAAACCUUCAAAUAAAAAUUCUGUUUUGUAUGCUCGAGCAGCUCAUGUGCAACUAGGGCUGCAUAUAUCUUCCAUGCUAGGUGGGUUAUUCUCAAGAGGAGUGGACUCCGCUCCUCAUUCACGAGAAAGGUCCGGUAACCGAGAUGCCCAGUCCCAUGAUCCAAAAAGAUCAAAGCAAAUCAAAAUAAUUAAACAAAGCUCCCCCUGGGACCCGUUGAAUGUUGGAGGCACUCGUUGUUUCGAGCAAGCCAUGGAUUGAUGCUUGUGGAGGAGGGGGAGUAUAAACCUUUACCAUUCUGUUUGGGAACUGCAUAUAAUGCAUGUAGUAUGGAAGAUACAGCCAUCUCAUAGUUGUUGCGUUGACAGUGAAAGUAUGCCGCUCAAAAUAUAAUUUAUCUCUGUUUCAAAAUCGAGCUCUGGCACCGCUACAAAUCCCUGCUUCCCUCUGCGAAGGGUCUAUCUAUUUACUUUUACGUUGAGUCAUCACCCUUCUUAUUAAAAAAGCACCCGAUGGAGAGCACACUGUUGUUUGCAUUCAUUAUAAUUGGUUUAUUUUGGGUAUGACUUGACUGGAUCUCUUUUACCAUGAAUUACAAUGUUUAGUCAGUCCUUGAUCUUUAAAGGUGCUCUGCAUUUAUGUUUUGCGGUCUCAGAAAGGGCUAGCGAGAUACCAUUUCGUUAUAUCAUGUUAUGAUUAUUUUGAGAAUUGUUGUCAUCCGAGUUUUAUUAUUAUGGCUCGCUAGCUGAUUAUAUUAUUGAUAUGAGUAAUUGUGAGACCUACGUGUUAUUGUGAGUAUGGUUAGUUCAUAAUAAUUGCUGAAACUUGAAUGCUGGCUUUUCAUGUUUACAACAACAAGAGCAAACAGAGUUUGUAAAAGUUUUUCUUUUUCUCUUUCAGUUUGUCAACUGAAUUGCUUGAGGACAAGCAAGGGUUUAAGCUUGGGGGAGUUGAUACGUCUAAGUCGUAUCUACUUUUCCAAACACUUUUGCCCUUGUUUUGGACUCUAACUUGUAUGAUUUGAAUGGAACUAACCCGGACUGGCAUUGUUUUCAGCUGAAUUGCCAUGAUGUUGUUUUAUGUGCAGAAAACAAAGGUUCCCAGAAUGACCUGAAACUCCACGGAAUAUCUUAUAAUAAAAAAUAAAAAAUCCUCGCCAAAGAUGAAGACCAGGGAGGCCACACCAUGUCCACGAGGGUGGGGGGCACGCCCUCCUACCUCGUGGGCCCCCUGGAUGCCCUCCGAUGCCAACUCCAACUCCAUAUAUUGGCUUUCAGGGAGAAAAAAUCAGAGAGAAGAAAUCAUCGCGUUUUACGAUACGGAGCCGCCGCCAAGCCCUAAUCUCUCUCGGGAGGGCUGAUCUGGAGUCCGUUCGGGGCUCUGGAGAGGGGAAUUCGUCGACUCUUCAUCAUAAACCAUCCUCCAUCACCAAUUUCAUGAUGCUCACCGCCGUGCGUGAGUAAUUCCAUCGUAGGCUUGCUGGACGGUGAUGGGUUGGAUGAGAUUUAUCAUGUAAUCGAGUUAGUUUUGUUAGGGGUUGAUCCCUAGUAUCCACUAUGUUCUGAGAUUGAUGUUGCUAUGACUUUGCUAUGCUUAAUGCUUGUCACUAGGGCCCGAGUGCCAUGAUUUCAGAUCUGAACCUAUUAUGUUUUCAUGAAUAUAUGUGAGUUCUUGAUCAUAUCUUGCAAGCCUAUAGUCACCUACUAUGUGUUAUGAUCCGGCAACCCCGAAGUGACAAUAACCGGAACCACUCCCAGUGAUGACCUUAGUUUGAGGAGUUCAUGUAUUCACUAUGUGCUAAUGCUUUGUUCCGGUUCUCUAUUAAAAGGAGGCCUUAAUAUCCCUUAGUUUCCAAUAGGACCCCGCUGCCACGGGAGGGUAGGACAAAAGAUGUCAUGCAAGUUCUUUUCCAUAAGCAUGUAUGACUAUGUUCGGAAUACAUGCCUACAUUACAUUGAUGAACUGGAGCUAGUUUUGUGUCACCCUAUGUUAUGACUGUUACAUGAUGAACUACAUCUGGCAUAAUUAUUCAUCAUUGAUCCGGUGCCUACGAGUUUUCCAUAUACUGGUUCUCGCUUAUUUACUUUUCCGUUGUUACUGUUACAAUCACUACAAAAUACCAAAAACAUUACUUUUGUUGUCUUUACUUUUGUUACCGUUACCACCACUAUCAUAUUACUUUGCUACUAAACACUUUGCUGCAGAUACUAAGUUUCCAGGUGUGGUUGAAUUGACAACUCAGCUGCUAAUACUUGAGAAUAUUCUUUGGCUCCCCUUGUGUCGAAUCAACAAAUUUGGGUUGAAUACUCUACCCUCGAAAACUGUUGCGAUCCCCUAUACUUGUGGGUUAUCACAAGCCACUCGAAGUGGUAGAUCUCUCGGAUGAACUCUGUCGCUAGCAGCCGAGCCACUUCUUCGCCAAUCGCUUUCCUCUUCUACGCGGCGGACCGCCGAAGGUGCUCUUUGACGGGUUUUACCUUAGGGUCGACACGCAAACGGUGCUCAGCCAGUCCCCUGGGUACACCUGGCAUGUGAGAGGGUUUCCAUGCAAAGAUGUCCUAGUUCUCACGGAGGAACUGGAUGAGCGCUUCUUCCUAUUUGAUGUCGAGUGUUGUUGAUAUAUGAGUCGGUGCUGCAUUGGGCUUUGUUUCACCAAUCGACUGAAACGCAGAAUCUGUAGCAGGCUUCUUGGCUCGGAGCAAAUCAGUCGGAUCUGCAUUCUUCUGAUACUCUUCGAAUUCCACUGCUGCCAUUUGCGCAUCUGCAAUUUUGGAACCUUUCUGGGAGCAUUCCUCUGCUUUCUGCCGAUUGCCAGUAACUGUGAUCACACCUUUGGGGCCAGGCAUCUUCAACUUGAGAUACACGUAACAUGGUAGAGCCAUAAAACGUGCGUAGGCCGGCCUCCCCAGAAUGGCAUGAUAAGCACUCUGGAAAUCCACGACUUCAAAUGUCAACUUUUCCUUACAGUAAUGCUUGGAAUCACCGAAAACCACGUCGAGGGCAAUCUGGCCGAGUGAUUCGGCUUUCUUUCCAGGGAUGACACCAUGAAAACUCAUGUUGCUCUCGCUAAGUUUGGAUACCGGAAUGCCCAUCCCCUUCAAGGUUUCAGCAUAAAGUAUGUUCAGACCACUGCCACCGUCCAUCAGCACUUUAGUCAGUCUGGUGCCCCCAACCACGGGGUCGACCACCAGUGCUUGCCUCCCGGGGGUGGCUACGCGAGCAGGGUGGUCAGACUGGUCGAAUGUGAUGGCUAUCUGAGACCAUUUUAGGUACGCGGUCGUCGUCGUCGGAGCGGCCAUAAUCACCUCUCUGUUGAUGACUUUCAAUCGACUCUUGCUCUCAACAUCAGCAAAAAUCAUCAGGGUUGAAUUAACUUUGGGAUAACCAUCGUCCUCUUCCUCAUCUCGUCUCUGUCCGACUCCCUUUCUUUCUCACUACGUGGACCUCCUCGGAACUGUUGGAUCAGGAGCCGACACUAUCGAGUGGUAUGUUUGGGGUAAAUCAGAUUUCCCACUUUGUCCUUCUUCGUGUGAAUGUGGCACGGUAAAUCCAACACAUCAUUUCCUCCCUGAUCUUUCACUUUCUUAGGGGGCUAGGGCCCCUUCGGUUUUCCCUUAAACUUUCCUUGAACCACCGCCACGAUCUCACCGGGUGCCGCGGGCUCGGCCUUACGCUUCUGUUUCCGAUUGGAAUUACCUCCACCGGUCUCUUGACCGACUGGCUUGCUCUUUCCACUACGGAGUCGAUCCUCUUCUUCCCCGUUAGCGUACCGGGUGGCUAUUUCCAUCAUCCAGGUCAGAGUCAUGUCACCAGUUUGACCGAACUUUAGGACCAACUCUCGGUAUUUGACGCCCUCCUUGAAGGCGCACACCGCUUGAUGCUCUGAUACAUUUUCAACAGUGUGAUGCAAAGUGGACCACCUCCGAAUGAAAUCUCUCCAGGUCUCACUCGGCUUCUGCACACAAUGCUGCAACUCAGUCAAUCCCACGGGUCAUUUGCAAGUGCUUUCGAAAGUUCUGACGAACACUCGAGCUAGCUCUUCCCAACUGUAUAUACUACUCGGAGCUAAUUGAGUCAACCACGCUCGGGCUGACCCUUCCAACAUCAGAGGGAGAUGUUUCAUUGCUACCUCAUCAUUUCCACCGCCAAUCUGCACAGCCACUCGGUAAUCUUCAAGCCAAGUUUUGGGAUUGGACUCUCCAGUGAACUUACUGACUCCAGACGCCAACCUGAAGUUGGGAGGAAUUACCGCUGCCCUGAUUGCCCUGCUAAAACACUCCGGACCGGAAACAUGCACUCUGCUGCCACUUGGGCGAUCUCUGUCAGGGUCUUCUCUGUGCGCUCUAUUCCGGUCAAUCAGGCCUUGAACGAGGAUGGACCUCGCGUCGAAGCCUGGUUCUCUUGGGUCGAUUGAGGAUCUGCGCUCGCCACUGUGACGUCGCAUGUCAUCGUUCCGCCGAGGCACAUACAACGCACUCCUCGGAGGAGGCGUGGGUCCCCACGACGAUUAUCGCGGUCCAGUGGAUGAUCAUACUGUCCACGGCCUUCAUGCCGCGGGGGCGAUCUUGGGCUGUGGGCCGACUGAACCGUGUCUGCCACAACGGACCUGCUAUGAAUCCUAUUCCGCGACUGAGAUACUGAUGUGUUUUGCUCUCCCGCUGCCCGGAGCAAGGCCCGGAUCUGCAUCAGCCCUCUGCCAGCCUUCGGCUGAGAAGGUUGGAUCGACUCUGCUAUUCGGGCCGCAGCAGUGAGGUUCUGAAUCGGAGUAUGGUAUACCUUAGGUGGAGGCGGAAAAAGCUGUCGUCGACUGGACUCAUGGAUCCGCUCCCGAGCGCGCUCGUCGAGAGCAUGCUGAAGGUUAUCCAGUUGAGUGCGCUCAGCCAAAUUGGCUAAGCGUAUCUCCUCCAAGGCUCGAGCCUCGGGGGUUUCUCCAAUGAUGUGCGUGUGGAGUGCAUCCAUGUUGCGGCGACGAAGUUCUUCCCUCUACUGUGAAGAGAGGGGUUCAGGUCGGUAUUCCUUGUAGACGCGCGAUGGAUCGCCGCCCCUGUCUCCGUCGUCCUCACGGUAGAAACCAGGUGCGCUGUGAGGCCCGUCGACCAUCAAGACUUCAGCCACAGGGUCGUUGAUGUCACACUCGGAUGCAAUCUCCGCGGAGCCAGUCGACAGAUCGAACAGGCCGUGGAGAGUUUCAUCGGGAUCAAUUGCCGCAACUUGAUGGGUGGCCGAACCCCGAGCCACCACGUGCUUCACCCACCGCUGAAGCCGCGAUCGAGCUAACCUCUUGCGGCGGCGAACAGCAGGGAGUGAAAACACCAUCGCAGCCGACUGAUACUUAGUCGACAGCUGCCGGAGGAGAACGCCGCGAACGCACGCGCGGAAGUGCGUCGCCCCUCGGACGGGGAGCGCCUCAAUGUCCAGAGGGGCUUCUUGAAGCCACGCGGAGUCGUCGGUGACGAAAACGAGUGCGGCGAGACGGAUCUCGCGGCCCUCAGCCAAUCCGCCGCCGGAAACCAUGACGAUGACGAUCGGUAAAACUUGCAACUUCACCAACAAGUCGCCAAGACACCUGCCCCACGGUGGGCGCCAACUGUCGUGGUCCUAAAACUGAUAGUAGAAAGGGGGGUAGGUAUGGAGAGGCAAGAUCUCAGCUAUGGUGAAGGUGUACACAUGAGGUUUACGAGUUCAGGAGUAACAGCCCUACGUCUCGAUGCCCGUAGGUGGUCGAUUGAAUUAUGUGUGUGAUAUUACAGGGGUGCGAGCCCUUGUGCUAGAGGAGGAGGGUGGCUUAUAUAGAGUGCGCCAGGUCACAGCCAUCCUCCAUUACAAGGGACUUAAUGUACAUAAAGUGGAGGCGUUACUGGUAACGCCAGCCUUAAGCGCCGUUAAUGACCUUAAAGACUAUGGAGGAAACGCCUGUCCGUUGCCACGCCGAGUGGCUCCUAGUAUUUGAUAGGUCGAGUGGUUCUCUGUUUGGUCGAGUGACGACAAGGAGGAAGACCUCCGAGUGACACGCAUGUCGAGUGGACUGCACUCGACAUCUUCAACUGGUGGUCUCUUGUUGUCGCUUGGACCCUUCAUCUUCUUGGGUACUGACCCUGGGUAGGACGCAUAGGUCAGGCCUAUGACCCUACCCCAGGUCUGUAUCCUCAUCAGCUGCCACUCUCCAGUUGUAUACCCAAUAUGUGCCUGGAACGCCUCCCCGGACCAUGGCAUUUGCUUAUGGUUUGCCUUGUUCCUCUCAGACCACCACGACCACAAAGUGCAGAUGGACCGCAGCUUCUUUUCCUCCGGUAGCUUGAAAAUUUCCUGAAGCAUGUCCUUUGGUGUUUGGCAUGUGAGAAGGAGUUGACGUAUCUGUUCCAGCCCCCCAUCUCUCCAGACUUUCUUAACCUCUUUGCAGUGCAAGAAGAGGUGUGCACCAUCUUCAGGAACGCGGUGACAAAUCACACAUUUUGUAUCAAGCUCGACCCCAAUACGCUCCACAUUCCGUAGCAGGGGGUGGCUAUUGUGAGCAAGGUGCCACAUGAAAUGAUGCACUCUUCCAGGGCACCGGAUCGCCCAUAGCCUCUUCCAGAAUGCUGCCUCUUCUCCUGGCACCACUGAGCUCUGUCCUCUUGGGUGCGCACCCUGUCUAUCCUGCAGCUCCAUGUAUAGUCUGUAUGCCGAGCAGACAGAAAAUAGUCCUUUCGGGUCAAAGUACCAAGCCACAAAAUUGUCAUAAUGCUCAUAGAUUGGGAUGCUCAGAAUGGUUGCUGCGUCUCCCGGGCAAAAAGUCUGACGGACAAGCUGGACAUCCCGGGUGUUUGUAGUCGGAUCCAACGGUUCCGAGACUUAUGUCAGGAUAUUUGCACCUUGCAGAGUUCUUGGCAAUCGCGUAUCAUUAGAGGGCAAUCAGGGGUCCGCCCAAAUGUUUAUAUGCUCGCCCAAUCCCACUCUCCAUAUCAUCCCGGCCUUAAUUACUUCAACCCCUUGUAGCAGACUCCUCCACACAUAGCUCAUCCCAGGCUGGCUGGUAGCUUUUAGGACAUCACCCUCCGGGAAGUACUUGGCUUGUAACACACAAGCACAAAGAGAAUCCGGAGCUUGGAUAAGGCACCAAAUCUGACGGGAAAGCAUAGCCAUAUUGAACGAGUGGAGAUCUCAGAAACCUAGACCCCCUUGCUCCUUUGGGAGUCAUUUUCUCCCAACUCACCCAGUGGUGUUUGUCCUCCUCCUCCUAAUUAGCCCACCAGAACUUGCAAACCAUCUGGCUUAUACUUUUGCAGAGGGACUUGGUGAGAUCGAAGCACGCCAUGGCGUACAUGGGAACCGCAUGAAGUACUGCUUUGAUCAAUAUUUCCUUGGCUGCCUUGGACAGAAGCUUUAUCUUCCAGCCCUUGAUGGUCUCCCAUAUCCGGUCCCGUAGAUAUUCAAAACACUGUUGACGAGAUUGUCCUACAUAGGAUGGCAGGCCCAGAUAUUUUCCCUGCAAACUUUCACGCUGAAGCCCAAGUAGCGCUAGGAAUUGUUGCUUCUCCUGGUUCUUGGUGUUGCAACUGAACAAGACAGCCGAUUUGUCUCUGUUAAUGACAUGGCCUGAUCCCAAUUCAUACACAUGCAAAAUCUGGUCGACUACAGCAAUACUGGCCGGGUUAGCUUCGAACAGCAAAAGCGAGUCAUCAGCGAACAGUAAAUGACUAAAUGUUGGUGCACCCAACGCUACAUGAAUCCCUUUCAACUGACCACUAUCUUCUGCAUAUUGCAACAGUGCUGACAGACCCUCCGCGCACAGCAGAAAUAGGUAAGGUGAGAUUGGGUCGCCCUGCCGAAGCCCCCUACCAGGGAUCACUUGCUUUGUACAUGAGCCAUUCACCUUGAACUGAAACCGUACAGUCCUAAUGCACUUACUUAUCAGGUUUACAAAGCUUGGUGCAAAGCCUAGUUUCUGCGUCACCUUUUCCAAAAAGCUCCACUCCACCCGGUCAUAGGCUUUACUCAUAUCCAGUUUUAAAGCAGCAUAGCUCGCCCUUCCUGACCUCUUCCUCUUUAGAAAAUGUGUCAUCUCAUAAGCUAGAAUGGUGUUGUCUGAGAUGAGCCUUCCGGCACGAAUGCACUUUGAAUUGGUGAUAUGAUCUCUCCUAAGAUGCACUUUAGUCUAUUUUCAAUGACCUUGGACACGAGUUUGUACACCACGUUGCAUAGGCUAAUAUGGCGUAAGUCUUUCAAAGUCUCCGGGUUCUGAACCUUUGGGAUUAGUACUGCGAGAGUAUCGUUCCAUCCCUCUGGUAUACUGCCGCCUCGCAACACAUGUAACACCUCACAUACCACGUCGUCGCCAACCAAGUGCCAGUAAUGCUCAUAGAAGACAGAUGGUAAACCAUCCAUCCCGGGCGCCUUAAGAUCACCGAUCCCAUCAAGAGCUGAUUUAACCUCCUGUGGAGUGAACUCCGCUGCCAGAAAGUCAUUCAUUUCCGGCGUGACCUUAGGGGCAAUAUGAUCGAGGAUAUCAUGUGCAUCAUCACCUGCCACGGGAGUAAACAGAGAGGAAAAAUAGUUAAUAAUAUGGUUUUUUAUGCCCUCCUCAUCCUCCACAACCACUCCAUCCUCUCUCCUUAGCUUAAGGAUGUCAUUCUUUUUCUUCCUCUCCAAUGCAUAAGCUUGGAAAUAUUUUGUGUUUCUAUCCCCCUUCGUAAGCCAGUUGACAUGAGCACGUUGCCUCCAAACAAGGUCCUCCUGAUCCUGAAGCCUCUCAAGCUUAAAACUGAUAGUUUGUUCUUUCCUAACUUGGCUCUCUGAGAUUGGCUCCCUCCUGACCCUCUCCAGCUCCCCUUUCAACUUCUUAAUUCUCCUCCGAAGAUCACCUAGUACCUCUCUACUCCAAGUGUUCAGCGCCCUAACUACCACCCCCAACUUUUGUCGCACUCCAGGACCCGCAGCCCCAUCCCAUGCCUCCCGAACUGUGCUGUCACACCCCUCCUCCAAAAGCCAGUUGGCCUCAAAGCGAAGCAAGCGCUCCCCCCUCGCAUGGCGCUGUACCUGGGGGCUCCCAUCACGUAGCAGCACCACGGGACAAUGGUCCGAAUGGCAAGGAGCACCGUUUACUACUUUGUAUGCUGGAAACCGAGCACACCACUCCGGGGUUACAAUAACACGGUCCAAACAUUCACGAAUGUAGCCUUGAACACGAUUAUUUUUAUUCCACCAAGUGAAAACAUCACCCUCGAAACCGAGGUCAAUCAAAUUACAAUGAUCAAGGGCAUCUCUGAAGUUUUGCAUAUAUCUAUGAGCUCGGGGCACACCUCCUUGCUUCUCAUGGUUAAAUAGGACCUCGUUGAAGUCCCCCAAGCAUACCCAAGGGAGCUGAAUCUGAUGAUGCAGGGUACGCAAAAGGCACCAAGUUUCCACCUUCUUGUCCAUGUGUGAUUCUCCAUAGAUGCCAGUCAAUCUCCAUUUGAAACCAUCCUCCUCCUCCACAAUUGCAUCAAUAUGCAUCCUUCCCAUCAACCUAACAAUAACAUUUAUUCCCCGCCUCCAAAACAGAGCCAAACCUCCACUCUUCCCUAAAUUAUUCUUCACUUCCAUGUGAUACAAUCCUAGCUUAUCUCUAAAUUUAUUCAUCCUUCCUCUAUCCAACCUUGUCUCUGACAAAAACAAGAUAUCGGGGUCCUCCUCCUUCUACAGGUUCAGAAGGCCAUGAACUGCAGGGCCAUUCCCCAAAGCCCGACAGUUCCAUGCAACAAUCUUCAUUGGGAUUUGCAGGGCUGUCCUGGCAGCCCCGCGUCAGCAUGUGUUUUGCGGUCCUCCUCCUGUCAGUGAACCUCCACAUCCAUCACCUUCUGCUUCUUUGCAGCCUCUAUAUCCUCCAUCUCCUGGGCCUCCCCACCCAUCUUCUUUGGCAAAAGAAUCCCUUCACUUCCUNNNNNNNNNNNNNNNNNNNNNNNNNNNNNNNNNNNNNNNNNNNNNNNNNNNNNNNNNNNNNNNNNNNNNNNNNNNNNNNNNNNNNNNNNNNNNNNNNNNNNNNNNNNNNNNNNNNNNNNNNNNNNNNNNNNNNNNNNNNNNNNNNNNNNNNNNNNNNNNNNNNNNNNNNNNNNNNNNNNNNNNNNNNNNNNNNNNNNNNNNNNNNNNNNNNNNNNNNNNNNNNNNNNNNNNNNNNNNNNNNNNNNNNNNNNNNNNNNNNNNNNNNNNNNNNNNNNNNNNNNNNNNNNNUUACUCUUCUCCUCCCCUGCAUAUGUCAACCUUUUGGUUGCUCCUCCUCUUCCCCCUAUCUCCAAUUUUUUGAGCGGGCUCGUGACCUCCUGGCCCCUCUCCUCCUCUUUUGUAGCCUCCCCCAACUCUUACUAUUAUUCCUCCAUGAUGGGGCAUCACUGCCAGAGUAGGCUCUCCUCCCCCAAGCACCGCUCGUUUUGAAACCCAGGCUCCUCCUACUCGCCCCCGUUCUGUUUUCACCCCAUUUGCUCCGAGUGUCACCACCAGACUUACGAGGGAGGAAAGCCCUCAGCCAGGGUCCGAACUGACGCUUCUCCCCCCCUUUUUAGUUUUAGGCCCUUUAUCAAUGUGCCCAAUGAUUUCACACACAUAGCAAAAAUCUGGCAGGUAUUGAUACUCAAACAGACACCAAUUCUUCUCUUCGUCUUCCUCCCUUGCUGACUCCACCACCAUCUCUUUGUCAUUGUUAUCCUUCAUUUCUUCCUCAUCCAGUAUAAACCCUCUCAUCAAUGGGGCCUUGAUAUUCAUCCGGACCUUCACCCUCAGGAACUUACCAACCGCUCUGCCAUUCGCAUGUGCAUCCACUUCUAAAACUUCACCUAUCUCUGCCCCAAUUGCCUCCCCUGCCUCCCUACACAUCAUUCCUAGCGGAAGGCGCAAAACGCUAACCCAGAUCGGGAUUGGGUCAACAGCAUAAUCCUCCAGACGCUUACUUGCCAUGAAGUCCUCAAAGACGAGUAGAUCAUUUCCAAACUACCAAGGUCCUCCUUCUAGCGACAUCCGUUUCCCCGACUCCUGCCCAAAGGUAAACAUGUAUAUGUUCUCUCCAACCUCCUUACACUUCAAACCCCUGAUUGGGCACCAGAUCCGGCCCAGCAUUUCAUCCAUCGCCUCUGCAAACACCGGUUUCUCAGAGAGAAGCUUAGCCAAUGCAUGCGGUUCCACCACACCAGCCUUGCCCGAUCCAGCCCAUCCAAUCUUGAUGCGUUUCUUCUUCUUGUCCGACAACUUCUGAUUCUGCAGCAGACCUUCUACCUUCUCCAUCACCCCCUACACCCGGCCAGCAGCCUGCCUUGCCCGAUCCAGGCCGUCCAAUCUUGAUGUGUUUCUGUUUUAUCCCUUUGGUCGAUAGUCUGUCCCUCGGGUGACGGUUGGUUCCCCUCGUGUGGCGACUCGUUAGGCGAUCUAGGGUUUUUCCCUCGGCCACCGUUCCCGUUUUGUUCUCUCGCCGCCGGCGCCCGCCCUGGGGUGUCGUCUGGGAGAUCUCUCUCCUCGCCGGGGUGCCUGUGGCCCGUUCGUCUCAUCUCGUCCAACCCAUCCACCAAAAUCCUUUCGCGGGAUCUAGGGCUCGUGAUCAUACACCACCUGUGUCCCCUAGAUUGGUUUAAUAUAAGAACACUUAUUCACACUAGUUAGUGUAAAAAAAAGCUCUUAUAUUAUGGGACGAAGGGAGUACUUGAUAUGCCUGAGGAUGACAACAUAUAUGUCAUUCUUGGGAGACUCUUUCUUAACACUAUAUGAGUUAUUACUGAUUGCAACAAAAGCAACUAGUAAUGGGAAUGAGCAUGUUCUUUAUUUUCCAAAAAAACAAAGAAAAAAAUCACUAUUCUCAGAGGAUUACGGCCAUCUCCAUUAGAGAAACUGAACGAGGUGUUGGUACACAGAUGAGGACGGCCAUACCCAGUUAACAGUCCCAAAAAAUCAAAAGAAAUAAAAAUCACUAUUCUCAUUUGAACGGCGUCUAGGUCAACGUUUCAAUGGACCAAUUCUGGCGAAACUCGACUUGCAUGGUCCUGACUAAAGCGAUGUCAUCGAAUGCCCUAAUCAGUCCAGGAUGUUCCCAAUCAUUGCCGGCAUUCAGAUUGACCUGAGUGGCUUCAGUUCUUGCCAGGUUAACUGGAUAAAAGGGGAGCAAAACAAUCUCGCUCACCACCUCGCUGCCCUGGCGUCAAGAACAGUUCCUGUUGGGGACCGUCUCGGUGAACUGAAGGAGGUCCUGCCGAUUGAUUGUAACCAUGUUGUUUAAUUGGAACUUGACCCCGGGGGGCGUGUCGCACCUGCAACAGAUGACACGCUCCUUCUUUUCGAGCCGGACUUGCACAGUAUCGCAACUGUUAAGGCUAUUCUCUUGUAUUUUGAGAUUAUGUCUGGGCUCAAAAUAAACUUCCACAAGUGUGAAGUGGUGUCCAUAGGGAUGGACGCGGCCGAAAGUUUACGUGUAGCUGUGCUAAAUUGCAAGCUUGGGAAACUACCGUUUACUUACCUUGGCCUCCCGAUCGCUGAGAAAAAGUGCUUGAUCUCAGAUUGGGAACCUCUUUGCAAUAAGGUGGCGGGUAGAGUCUGCCCGUGGAGAGGGAGAUUUAUGUCUUCAGGGGCAAGACUUAUCUUAACCAACUCCAGCCUAUCGUCCCUGCCUAUGUUUGUCAUGGGACUGUUCCUGGUGGUUGACGGGGUGCACACCAAAAUGGACACCCAUAGGGCCCGCUUCUUUUGGGAAGCGGCAGGGACAAAACGUAAAUACCAUAUGGUAAAAUGGCAGGCUGUUUGCCGGCCCAAAGCCUAGGGGGGCCUUGGGAUCAUGAACUCGAAGUUGAUGAACAUUGCACUCAUGUGCAAAUGGAUUUGGAAGAUGUCUCAGGGCGAGACUGGCCUCUGGAUGGACCUCCUGUGUGCCAAAUACUUCCCUAGUGGGAAUUUUUUUGAGGCCGCAACCCAUGGGUCACCUUUCUGGAACACCAUCCAUUCCUUAAAACCGUUCUUUGCUAGAGGGGCGAAAUUCACGGUUAAUAACAGCCGCUCCACGCGAUUCUGGAUUGAUUUUUGGAUCGGCCACCAACCCCUUUGGUCGGAGUUUCGCGAUCUCUAUUCCAUCGUUGUUGAUCCCAACCAAUUAGUUGCCACGGCCUUUAGUUCUUCCCCACCUUCUAUUUUCUUCAGAAGGGAGCUCUCAGGGCCUGAGGCGGAUAGUUGGGACUGCCUGCGGGCUCUGAUCGCCGACGUGCAUCUGUCGACUGCCGCGGAUACGGUGUCAUGGAGGCUCACGGGUUCUGGCAAGUUCUCUGUCAACUCUCUUUAUAGAGAGCUGGCUCACGGCCCUGCCCUUCAGGCUGCCUCGAGGCUCUGGAAGGCACGAACUCCGCUUAAAAUCAAGGUUUUCCUCUGGCAAUUGUGCCAUGAUCGCCUCCCUACCUCCAUAAAUGUAGCUAAGCGCAAUGGGCCGGCCACUGGGCCCUGCGCGCUUUGUGGUGUCCCAGAAGACGCGGAUCAUGUGUUCUUCCGGUGCCCUCUGGCGCGCUUCGCCUGGAGUGCGGUUCGCGAGGCCGCGGGCGUGGAUUGGGAUCCACGGUCCUGCUCCAAGCUAGUGUCGUCUCUAUCCUUGGUUCAGUGCUCCUCACGCUAUAUCAUGUGGACUUGUGCGGCUGCAAUGUUGUGGGCCCUUUGGCGAACUCGAAACAAGUUUACAAUUGAGGGUGUUUUCCCAUCUCACCCCGCUGACGUAAUCUACAAAUGUAUCAUUUUCUUAUAGAAGUGGGAACCAUUGGGAAGACAUCAGGACGCUGGUCUUCAUCGCUAUGCUCUAGACCGCCUUCGCCUCGUCUACUCGGCGUCUCGAGCUCCGUCGUCUGCUACCUCUGCUCCCUAGGGAUGUGUAGCUCCUUUUGGAAGUGUUUUCUCCGAGCCUGCGCGCUCUUUUGUUGGCUAGCUAUGCCUUGUACUGCAAUUUGCUUUCUGGGCCGGUCGUCUUUGUGUUUGGUUUGGGUUCCUGGACGUUGGUUACUACUCAUGUGCAUGCUGCCUAUGUUGUGGGCUUUAUUAAUUUAAAGCCGGACGCACCUGGCGUCUUCGUUCUAAAAAAAUUGGAACUAGGUGUUGGUGAUGUCGAUGGCUUCGAUUGUGCCAUGUUUGAGGGUGUAUGAACCGGUCAUAAUGAUAUUCUUCCUUUAUGGAGGGGGUGAAAUGUUUAAUUAUGUACGGCUUUCAACAUAAAUAUAUAUUGAUAAGUAUUACCUCCAUGCUAAAAUAUAUGACGUUUUGGUAGAUUACGGAGAUAGUACAUCCGGUUGUGACAAGUAAUAUGGAUCAAAGCAUCUACAGUCGGGCACCGCAGACCGACUUCGAACGCUCGGGCGGGCCAUCCAGUCACUGACUGGUCAUGAAAUUUUGACUCAGGCGCCUCAAACGGGCCUCAAACACCUGAGUUGACCGGCACCCCUCAUAUCCAGCCCAAAUAUGGGGUGGAUAUGAAGGCGCCCGGGUGUGUCCGCCACGUCGAACUGACGUCGAGGUCCCAUGCAGAAUCGUCCGGAAACCCGGUGGUCCGACGGACAUCUCCUCCUUUGGGGUGUGAAUGAUGCGUAACGCCGGUCCGGCUCGCCGCCCAAGGUCAAAUCUUGCUAUUUAAGCCGGCCAGCGUCCCCCAACCCUAGCCCAUCCACCUCCUCCCACUCUGCGCCGCCAGCCCGAGCCCAUCUGCCUCCUCUCUCUCCCGCUCCGGCUCUCUUCCCAAGCUCUCCGGCUUCGCCAAGGUCCAGAAGAAGAUAACCACCCAUGUCAUGCUCACGCCGGAGCGCCGGUAUGAGAUCCAGCAGGAAAUCCAGGCAAGGUGCGCCGCACGCGCCACCCUCAUCGCUCUCGGGUUGCCUCCGGACUCGCCUGAAUUGGAGGAGGUGGAGGAGAAGCAGGAGAAGGGAAGAGAACAGCAACAGUCGGCUCCAUGGAGGACGAGGAGGAGGCAAAGCAGCCGAAGCAGGAGUUGGUGCCGGCUCCGGGCUUCAACGUGGAGUAGGCGGAGUUCGUUGUCGCCCAAGCGGACGAGAUGGUGGAGCAACAAGCCAUCCUGGAGUCCAUCUAGGAGGAGGCCUAUGCGGAGGCCAACUAGGUUUUUCAUCCGGCAGGAACAGGCAACGAUCGACACCCUCUUCGACAAGGUCGAAGCGAAGAUGGAUGCGCAAGCUGCCGUGGAGGAGCUGAAGCUGCAGCUGCUGCCAUGUACCCGGCACCGGACACGGAGAUAGUGGACAUAUUCGACGAGGAGUAGGUUAGUUGAUCUACGUAGUACGUAGGAUUUUUCUUCUUUGCAUGCUUUUGUAUGGAUUUAAGAUUUCUACUAUUAGGGCAUGUACAAUGGUUGAUAAGAUAGUCUUAUCUUAAGUCUUGCUUGUAAUUUAGAGAUGACAAAAGACAUGUCUACAAUGGGUCAUAUCUUAGCCUUAUCUUAAAUAACUAGUUAUUCCUAAAAACGUGGUGAGACAUAGUGUGCUAAGGGCAUGUACAAUGGUUGAUAAGAUAGUCUUAUCUUAAGUCUUGCAUGUAAAUUAGAGAUGACAAAAAAACAUGUCUACAAUGGGUCAUUUCUUAGCCUUAUCUUCAAUAAUUAGCUAUUUCUAGAAACAUGGUGAGACAAAUUAUGCUAAGAGACCAUCUCUUGUCUUCUCUUAAAUAAGAGAAGACAAGCCUUAUCUUACCAUUUCUCUUACGUGGCACUCUUAAGAUAGAACCAUUGUACAUGCCCUAGGAGAUCAUCUCUUGUCUUCUCUUAAAUAAGAGAAGACAAGUCAAUUCUUAUGAUUUUUCUCUCCUCCACCUAGUCAUUUAUCCUACGUGGCAUUGCUAAGAUAAAACCAUUAUACAUGCCCUUAGGGCGUGUACGAUGGUUGAUAAGGUAGUCUUAUCUUAAGUCUUGCAUGUAAUUUAGAGAUGAUAAAAAAUAUUGUCUACAAUGGGUCAUCUCGUAGCCUUAUCUUCAAUAACUAGUCAUUCCUAAAAAUAUGGUGAGACACAUUGUGCUAAGAGAUUAUCUCUUGUCUUCUCUUAAAUAAGAAAAAACAAGUCGUUUCUUAUGAGUUCUCUCUCCUCCACCUCACCAUUUGUCCUACGUGGCGCUGCUAAGAUAGAACCAUUGUACAUGCCCUUAGGUAUCCAGAUGCAGAUGCAAAAAUUACGGAUUGACAGGUCAGUGUCAGGGCGCGUCCACACAUGUUCGAGGGCUCGGAGUCUCGUUGUAGAGGCUCUAAUGGUUGGCUACCUCCCUGCCUCAUGCCAUGGCACGAACGGAUGGGAGGAGCAACCAAAUACCAGCUGUGCUCUAAUGGUUGGCUACCUCCCUACCUCGUGCCACGGCAUGAACGGACGGGAGGAGCAACCAAAUACCAGCAGAUCCCUCCGCAACAGGGCUCAUAGAAAAGCGAGGGCUCCUAGUGGAAAGCGUUAGCUAAGGCCGAAAGUCACAAACGCUUCCUUCUCACACUUCGUCGUGCGUUCCCAUCAUGGAUGGCGUGCUCUGUGCUUUGUGGUUGUGAAAGACACAACCUCUAUUCCAUUCGAAAUGCAGGGUGUUGGAAUAAAUCUGAGGCAUACCGUUGAUCAUUCGAGGACCAAGCAAUCACACGAGCACGAUACCGAGAUUUGUUAACGAGGUUCACCGAUAUGGCUACAUCCCCGAGGCUUGACUAUGGGCGCUCCUCCCCAUGACACUCACAAUACCGCACACCGGCCACCCGGGCGCCGGCACAUGCCACCGUCUCCCCCUUGCGCGCUUGUGCUAUUAUGCUGGCAUAGGUUACAACGUGUGUCUAGCCCUGCUAUAUAUGAGAGGCCUAGGAUACAAGUGUCCUACUAGGACACGGCUCCAUAUCCUAUCUAAACACAAUACAACUACAAGUCCAACUGUAACCUACCUCGUACACUAUAUUCGACACAACUCCAACAAACUCCACCUUGGCGAAUAUACUCCAUCACCCUAGAUUUGUCCAUGCGUCAAACUUCCAUGUACAUUGGACUUGAGCUUAUCCCAUGAGUACCGCUGCUACUCCAAAGACUCCAUGCGACUCCACCUGCAACUUGUAGUCCCUUCUUUUCUUGACCAUAGUCAACACUCGAGCAAAAUUAAGUCCCUUGUUACUCAAUUUGUGCUCCCAACUUCCAGAGUAUCUGUUCAACGCCAUCACACACUAAUCACUGACCUGCGUGAAAGUGAACAACUCACAUAUUGAGUGUCACACAGAAGAGUUACCUGAACUCAACAUCACCGCUCCUUUCUUGACUGCAUGUCUGAAACUUGAAGGAAUUUCACCAUUGCUUGUAGUCAUCCCAAGUCAAAUUCGUAGUUGUCUCACCACAUGUAUGACCACCAGAGCCCUAGCCCGUCUCCAUGCCCCGUGCAUACCGCACACCUCGCCGCUAUUACCGCGUCAAGCCUCCGCUGUCUCGGUCGAUUCUCAAGGGCCGCGGACCACACCACUCAACCCCCACUGCAGGGUACCACCGAUCUUCGUCGACCGGUGACGAGUUUGACGCUUCCAUCAGACCACUGGGCUCCAUUCCGAACUAUGUGUCACUCGCUUUGCCCGCUGAAAUAGGCUUUGACUCUCUGACGUCUUACGCCGUAGCCCCUCAAUCAGCACCGAGUGGAGUCCUCUAGACUCCAACUCCCCCUUCAACAUGACUCCAUGGUAGAUGAUCAGUCCAUCCUUGCGUCCUGUCGACUUCAAGCUCUCAUGUGAGCACCGUCUUGAAUCAACCCCGCGCCAUAGUCUUAUUGAAGGCGCCAAGCCCUCGGGCAUGUGCCACAUGUUUCCACGCCCAGAAGUCGGUCACCCAUCAGCCUCACGCUCCUAUGUCGUAGUCGCCGAUUCCACCACCGUCUUCUGUACCAACUGACUUGCGUCGAUCUGUCAGACUAUCCAGUCCAACCCAGCCGAACUUGUUCGACUGCAAUGACACGCUUCAAGGCUCCCAAAUCAUCUUCCGUGAAUUUCCAUUCAUCAUAUGAUAAUUCCAUCUUAGCUGACAUGACUUCCCGCAAUGCCUUCAAGCAUCCUUGUUGUGCCAACAAUCUUUCACCCAUGUCUGCCAUAACCCAAGGUUUUCAGUUCCAUUGAACUUCUCCACCUCAAACCCGAUGCCCGAUGACGUCAUGAUUCUUUGUACAGCUGACCUUGUGAAAAAUAACCGAGCUUCUUUCCACGAUGCCAAGGUACAUAAACAAACCUAACGUGGUCACCUCCCAGUACUAGUAGCAAUUCAACCAAAAACUUUUGAUCUUCACGUAUGUAAGAACAUGCGGUGCCCCCAUGUUUGGUUUUGGCAAUUGAUGACAAUCUCUAUGGACUAAUGGUUGCCUUGAGUUAUAUUUGAAGGGUUUGUCCAUAGGCUUUUCUUGGAGUCCAUUUGUUGGUUUCAAGGAGAGUUUGUGAUGACCAAGUUGCUAUUAAGGAAUUAUCCAAAGAUUGGUCUUAUUAGUGUUGAGCUUAUUGCAAGCAUGUCUUGAAGAAGAAGAUUGUGUGAUCAUUCAUGUUUACCUUCAAGACAUCAUCCAAAUGAAGAGAGUUGGAAAGAUUCAAGGUUGAUCAAGACUAAGUCAAAGAAUGAAUCAAGUUGAUCAACACACAAAGCAUAGAAGAUGUACCGAGAGGGAUCAAGCGAUCCCAUGGUAUGGUAAGCAUGGUCAAUUACGCUUUGUGUACUAACCCAUGGUCUUCGUGAGAGUUCUUUGUGGGGUUAGGUUGCGGUGUGGAAGCUCAAGUUGAAUCAUCAUGAAGAGAUCAUAUGCUUGAAGCUUGCCAUACAUUGUGGCGACAAUGGACUUGUGAAGAUGUGCAGAAGAGUGGCUCACCCAUAGUGGAGUAUGGGGGAGCAAUCAACUAGUCCUCUUCGAGCCAAUGCAAUCAAGAAAGGUGGUCCAACUUGAGGGAGUCAAGAUCGUCAUCAUCUAGCUCAAGUGGACCAUGUGCAAGGCAAAGGUUUGCCCUUGAUAGGUUUUCUAUUUUUCCGGUCUCAUGGUAGUUGUGGGAGACCGGGUUAUAGGAUCGUUUGCCGUACUAUCAAGGAGGGCUCUCGAUGAGUUGCUUGAUCGUAUCGUUCGUAGAGAGCUCAAACCAUUGCAUCCUUGCAUCAUCUUUAUUGGUUCUUGUUUGGUUCUUCUCCUUGUGAGAUUUGGAGCUUUUGGUCAUGUUCAUGACAAGCUCGUGUUCAUCAAAAACGGAGUUCACAUGCAUCUUCUAUGAUGUUUUCGAUGUUGGAGGGUAUGCCGGUUCUUCUCUGUUGGAGGUGUCACUCCUUUGUUUGCUAAGCAUACCUCCCCUGCCUCUUCUUCUAUAACCAGUCGUUGUUUUGAUGCUACUCGUUGUCUUGUUUCAAACAAGCUUGAGUUUGCUCAAUUCGGAGCUCAUAUGAAGAAGUUAUGGCAGUUCUGGUUUUCCUUGGAGUAUUCUUUGUUUUUGUGGUUGAGGCAUAAGGUUGGCCCCAGUGGUAGUACCGCGACCACAGCGGCAGUACCGCCGAAGCUCCCCAGCGGUAGUACCGCUCUCAGAGCAGUAGUACCGCUCCAAGCGGUAGUACCGCUCUCCGAACGGUAGUACCGCUUGGGAUUUUCGGCCGUAGUACCGUUGUGUGUCUAGGCUACUUCCGCCUCGAUUCUCGAACGAGUUUUUCGUGUCGGGUUUUGCGGCACUAAGGGAGGUAGUAGGAGCGGUAGUACCGCCCUAAGCGGUAGUACCGCUCUUCCCUAGCGGUAGCACCGCCCUGGGGUCAGGACCCUGGCAGCGCGGCAGUACCGCUGGGUUGAGCGGUAGUACCGCCCGGAGCGGUAGUACCGCCCUUCCCUAGCGGUAGUACCACUCUGUGCGGGGAUGUACAGUGGGGUAACGGUUGGAUUUUCCCCCUCCUAUAAAAGGGGGUCUUCUUCCCCAAUGGACCUUAUCCUUUGAGCUCGCGUUCUUCCCCCAUUGUUGACCUUCUCCGAGCUUGCUAUCUCUCAAUCCCUCCAUGGAUUCUUGCUAGUUUUUGGGGGGAAAGAGAUAGGAUAUCUAGAUCCACAUUUCCACCAAUCACUUUCUCCUCUAUGUGAGGGGAACCCCUUGGAUCUAGUUCUUGGAGUUCUUGGUGUUCUCCUUCUUGUUCUUCCUCUCAUUUCUUCCCUAGCAUUAGUUGCUUUGGUGGGAUUUGAGAGAGAAGGACUUGGGCACUCUAUGUGCCCUUGCCAUUGCAUUUGUGCAUCGGUUUGAGUUCUCCACGAUGAUACGUGGAAGUUAAAAGUUGAGAAGCUUAUUACUCUUGGGUGCUUGGUGCCCUUGAGCUUGUUCAUCUUGGGUGCUUGGGCGCCCUAGUCGGUUGGUGGUGUUCGGAGCUCAAUCAUUGUGGUGUAAAGCUCCGGGCAAGCGUCGGGGUCUCCAAUUAGGUUGUGGAGAUCGCCCCGAGCAUUUUGACGGGUUCCGGUGACCGCCCCCAAGGGUUGCCAAAGUGUACGGGUUCGGUGACCGCCCCCAAGGGUCGCCAUUUGUACGGGUUCGGUGACCGCCCUCAAGGGUCCCUUAGUGGAAUCACGGCAUCUUGCAUUGUGCGAGGGCGUGAGGAGAUUACGGUGGCCCUAGUGGCUUCUUGGGGAGCAUUGUGCCUCCACACCGCUCCAAACGGAGAUUAGCAUCCGCAAGGGUGUGAACUUCGGGAUACAUCGUCGUCUCCGCGUGCCUCGGUUAUCUCUUACCCGAGCCCUUUACUUAUGCACUUUACUUUGUGAUAGCCAUAUUGGUCUUUGUCACAUAUCUUGCUAUCACAUAGUUGCUUAUAUUGCUUAGCAUAAGUUGUUGGUGCACAUAGGCGAGCCUAGUUGUUUUAGGUUUUGUGCUUGACAAAUUAACCGCUAGGUUUAUUCCGCAUUUGUUCAAGCCUAAACCGUAAUUAUUUUAAAACGCCUAUUCACCCCCCCCCCCUCUAGGCGACAUCCACGAUCUUUCAACGUAUAGUUGCUCUAGCUCAACUCCCGAUGCUGCUAUUGCUUUGCCAUGUGCGUGCUUUCUGAUGUAUGCGUAUCAACCAAUGGAUUUCAUCUGCUGAUUUGAUCUGUUGCCUCCAUCUGUGCCGUACACGAGGACCUGGUCCUCCUUUUUUUUCAAACAAAUCUCGUAAGCACUCGAUCGGAUCUGCACUGCAACCGUUCCACGCAGCGUGCCAAUUGCCUAGCCAGCUUUUCCAUGCCUGGCCGCGUGUACCUGCGAGCCCCGCCUGGGCCAGCCCGUACUCUUCGUAUGCGCUGCCUAGGGUUGCCGCUACGUCAGCUGCCAACCAGCCGAUCGCGAUCCUUCCGCCGCGAUGCUUCCAAUACUCACCGAUGACCGCGGUACAAGAUGACUUUCAUGGAAAACUUGCUUCCCAUCCGAGCAGUAGCUUCGGCCGAAGACUAAUCUUCUGCACUUCAUCUCCGUGACGAAGUCAACGGCAAUCUUACUCUAAAUCAACGCACAUCGACCUUCCGUAACCUUGCUCUGAUACCAUUUGUUAGAAUAAAUCCGAGGCAUACCGUCGAUCAUUCGAAGACCAAGCAAUCACACAAGCACGACACCGAGAUUUGUUAACGAGGUUCACCGAUAUGGCUACAUCCAGUGACGGAGCUAGAAUGAAAUGAUUGGGCGGGCCAGCUUAGAAAAAGCAGAUCGUUUUUUUCCAUCCAUGCCCAUUUCACUCUUCAGGCACAUUGGUUUGUAGCAAAGCUGGGCGGGCCAUAGCCUGGUUUUGCUUGCACUAAGCUCCGCCACUGGCUACAUCCCCGGGGCUUGACUAUGGGCGCUCCUCCCCAUGACACCGUCACAAUACCGCACAACGACCACCCGGGCGCCGGCACACGCCGCCGGCUCCCCCUUGCGCGCAUGUGCUAUUAUGCUGGCAUAGGUUACAACGUGUGUCUAGCCCCGCUAUAUAUGAGAGGCCUAGGAUACAAGUGUCCUACUAGGACACGACUCUAUAUCCUAUCUAAACACAAUACAACUAUAAGUCCAACUGUAACCUACCUCGUACACUAUAUUCGACACAACUCCAACACAGGGAUCAUUGAUAACAUACUGUAAAAAAACAUACUCCCUCUGUUCCUAAAUAUAGGUUUUUUUAGAGAUUUGAACAAGUGACUACAUACUCCCUCCAUCCCGAAAUACUUGUCAUCAAAAUGGAUAAAAGAGGAUGUAUGUAACAUAUUUUAGUUCGAGAUACAUCACCUUUUAUUCAUUUUGAUGACAAGUAUUUUCGGACGGAGGGAGUACAAAGCAAAAUGAGUGAAUCUACGCUCUAAAAUAUGUCUACAUACAUUCAUAUGUUGUACUCCAUUUGAUAUGUAUAAAAAGACUUAUAUUUAGAAACGGAGGGAGUAGAUUUUAAAUACUUACAUUUGAUAAAGAUAAAAACAAAAAAACAUCACGAUUUCAGCACAACCCCCAAAGGAAGGGAAGUCAGGCUGCAAGUGGACGCGGGCUGCCCGCGGUACCCACGUAAAAGCCCACAUAAUCCGUGUUCGUGGACACCCAAGGAUAGAGCGACUGGAUAUGUGGGAUAGGUGGGAAGUCAGGCUGCAAGUGGACGUGGGCUGCCCACGGUGCCCACGUAAAAGCCCACAUAAUCCGUGUUCGUGGACACCCACGGAUAGAGCGACUGGAUAUGUGGGAUAGGUGGGUUUGUCCUGCGGCGCCCGCGAGCCCACUUCCUUCUCACUUCCUCGAAUCAGGGGCCGCCGCCGUGCAUGACCACAACGCCGUCUUCCAACUCCGCCAUAGCCGCCACGGACGCCGCCACAGCGUCGCCAUCGUCCGAUUCUGUCAUGGUCUGUCCCAGUCCGCCAUGGAUGCCGCCGCAAUGUCGCAGCCCAGCUCCGUCAAGGCCGCCCAGCUUCGCCAUGGACGACGCAUCUUUGCUAUCAUCACGAUCUUGAAAAAAGCCCCGCGUUUGUCUGGUGCCAUCCACAAGCAGGGACACACAUCCAUCUCUCUGGUUGAUCAGUCAUUUACUCAUUCUCUACCCGUCCAUCCAUCUUCCACAGCCGUGUGGGCGGCGACAACUUUAAGUACACCAGAUCCAUGUUUUGACAGUGCAUGAUGUCCAGCUUCAGGUAACUUGCCGAUGCUCGCCGGCACCAGAAGACCUCGUGUUCAACAAUCACUAUUCAGUAUACGCAUGAACAUGAACAAUUGAAUAUUUGUAUAUGCUGCCUAACGUGCCUGUACGCGCUCGUACUUGGCUGCUAUUUGAGCGCAUGAACAUUCAUUUCCAGUCAUGUUGGUGGGAGGUGCGUUACCCGCUAAACCCACUUAUCCCGUGUAAAAAUAUGCAAGCAGAUGCGGGCUUUCCACCUAUAUUAUGUGGCAGAUGUUGGGCGCGGGCUUUCCACCUAUAUUAUGUGGCAGAUGUUGGGCGGAUGCGGGCUUCCCGCGGACAGUCCCACUUGCAGCCUGAAAGGGAAACUAUGCCUGAAAACACUGAUCACACAAUACUUCAGAGUCGACAUGCGUAUAGGUCAUCCAGAAUUCAGACACCAUUUUCUUGAGACAACAACUGCGGUGUUAUAUUACAGCACAACAGGUAGAGCUACAGAUAACGAAACGGUCUUCUAGGAAGACAUAUCCCAGCACGAGAGCGUCGUCGUCGUUGCCACCAGAGCAAAACAUCAGGAAACAAAAAAAUAAACACAAUACCCACUAGAUCGACUGGACAUGCCUCCUAUUGCAGAUACCGCGGGUGUAAGGUGAUGUGAGAUGUACAUUACAUGGUUUGUUUAUCCUGCCUCAGUUGUGGACGUCGCCCUUCCGUUUCGUGGUGGUGCUUCGGGGCCGAGCUGACCUGUUGUUGGUCCUUGGCAGCUGCCUGUCCUCCUGCUCUUGCUUGGCGUCUAACAUCUCCGAUGAGACAUCCAUGGUGGUUUCUGGCCAUGGUGUGCGCUUGGCGGG
rnacentral:lncRNA from 1 species